rnacentral:lncRNA from 1 species
UGGCCCUCAGAUUUCAGGUUCAUCGUCAUAGGCUAAUGCAGCGGGCUCCAAAGUCGGCACUGGGGCGUGUCUGGGCAAACCGAAAGAGGAGGCAAGGCCAUGGCAAAGGUGCGACGACGAGGAAGAGGAGGAGCAGGAAGCAGAGGUAGACCUCAACAAGGGCCGGCCCAUAGGUCAGUGGCAGAGCUUCAGCGGAAGCAACGGCUGACCCGGACACAUGCCUCGGCGCCCAGAACAGAGAAGCCAGCGCCGCAUUAGCCAUUUCAGCGGCUUCAACCUUGCAACGCAACGGCCGGUCCCUUUUCGAGCUCAGAUCUGAGCCCAUCUAUCUAUCUAUCUAUCCAUCCAUCCAUCCAUCCACAUCCCCGCACUGGGGAUUUCAACCUAAUCAUCAUCGGGCCAAGCCACGGAAAAAUUCAUGCAGCAAGCAAGAAGCAUACUACACUACACAUCACCAAACAAGCUAGGAAAGGAAAUCUACACCGAGAUCGACCGGAACAAAGCAUCAAACCAGCGGAGAGCCGACGGAAUCGAAAGGGGGAAUGGACGUAGGAGACGGGGCAAUGCGGCGGAGAACUUCCCACCGAAGCGAAGGGGCCGAUGCCGGCGGCGGCCGCGCAGAUCCGGAGCCCUGCCGGGCUCCUGGUCGCGGGCGGAGGGCGCGAGGGAUGGGGUUUCUCCGCCCAGCGACGCUGGCACCAAAACCCUCGCCGCUCCGGUCUCCACCCGUGCUCUCUCCUCUCUGUGUGAGCUGCGCCAUUUACCCCGUCCUGCUUUUUUUUGAUGGGGCCGAAGCCAGGCGGCGUGUAUCAGCUUGUGAAAAAUUCAAUAUAGGUCCCAAAACUUGAGCCGGCUGACACUUUAGUCAGUGUACUUUAAAAUACCCUAAAUACCAUCCAUAUACUUACUCUAGGGGUUCACUUCAGUUCAUAUAUACGAUUUUGUGGAGAAAGAAUACUCAGCAAUUCAGGGGAGGGGGGAUCCGGGGGUGUUUUUGCAAAAAUGACCUACACAACUCGCCGUUGCCGCUAGUCCUGCUGCUGGGCAUCGCGCGGCCACGCGACGCAGCUCGCCGUGGUGCUUAACCAGGACGGCGUGCUGCUCCUCUCCUUCAAGUCCUCCCUCCUUGCCGACCACCUCGGCUCCAUCUCCGGCUGGGGCUACGCCGACGCCACGCCCUGCGCCUGGAACGACGUCGUCUGCAUGGACUUCCCCGCCACAUCAUCGUCGGACCAGAUGAGGGUCGUCAGCGUCGUCCUGCCCAACGAGCAGCUCGUCGGCCCCAUCUCGCCGGAGCUGGGCCGGAUCGAGCACCUCCGUCACCUCGAUCUCUCUGGCAACGCGCUCAAUGGCACCCUCCCCGUCGAACUAUUCCGCGUGCUGGAGUUCCACAUCCUCUCGCUCGCCAGCAACGGCAUCACGGGGGCGUUGUCGAAGCACGUCGGCCUGCUGCGCAGCCUCUGCGCCCUCAAUCUCGUCGGCAGCGCGCUCUCCGACGCCAUACUGGGGAACCUCACUGUCGUGGAAUUGUCACGUCAGAUGUCCUAGUGAAAGGACUUAGUCGUGGAGACAUCGCAACUAGGAAGCUUAAAGGGGUUAAUCGGGACAAAGGACACGAGGUUUAUACUGGUUCGGCCCCUUACGGUGAAGGUAAAAGCCUACGAUCCAGUUUUGAGUGGGAUUGCUUAUGAUACGUCCAUUUUGCAUCAUGCUUUUAUAUCAAUAUUUAUUGCAUUAUGGUGUCAGGACCCCGACUCAAUGCCACACCGAUCUAGCACGUAACACCUCAUAUCACUUUGCGGCCUCACGCACGGUAUUCCCAUGGGUGUCGCCUUACCAGGCCCGGGAUCGUUUGCGCCUUUUGGCACACGUAUAUGAUAGUGUUGCUAGCAUCCAUAUGACAAGGAGUCCGGGCUGACAUGACUAGUCGUGAACCCGAAGUGGCACUAACUUACAGGGAUAGACAUACAUGACCCAGCAACGAACGUGUCGGUCAUCAGCGAGUGAAUCCGGGCUGUAGCAACUGGGCUAGCAGGACUCCGGUAAACCGGGCUGUAGCGGGCUAACAGGACUCCGGUAGACACCGCGUGACAUUUCCCCAAAGGGACAGACACAGGAACGAAGGACAUAUGCCGGCCAGCCUAAGUGUUCCGGAGCAGUAGCAAGCUACCAGGGCUCAGUGGAAGCACUAGGAGACAUUUCCUGGUAAGAGAGGCUACCAAGGAUAAACAACUAGAUAGUCAGAUCCCACACAUAUCAAGCAUUUCAAAUCAUACACACAAUAUGCUCGAUAUGUGCAAAUACAACAUAGCAUCACAACAUAACUCUACGAAUCAAACUAUUUAUUCAAUAGGCUCCGAGGAGCGAGAUAUUACAAACAUGGGUCUCAUGACCCAAUAUUCAGAGCACACAAGUCAAGGCACAAGCGGAAGCUUAACAUGUCUGAGUACAGACAUCUACAAAUGAAAAAGGCUGAGAAGUCUGACUAUCUACCAGAUCCUGCCGAGGGCACAAGAUCGUAGCUGAGGUAACAAGCUAAACAUCGAAGUCCACGUGGAACUACUAGCGAGACUGAAGUCUCUCUGCAAAAACAUAAAUUAAGCAAUGUGAGUACAAAUGUACCCAGCAAGACUUACAUCAGAACUAACUACAUAUGCAUCAGUAUCAACAAAGGGGGUGGUGGGGUUUAACUGCAGCAAGCCAGCUUUGACUCGGUGGCUAUCCUGAACUACGACUGCAAGUAACUCUUUUGAGGUGGCGCACACGAGUCCACAUAUUCACCAUAUCAAUACACCACUAUGGAUCCGCUCCCGUCUCCCUACAAGAACGCCAUCCAUAGCACUCACGCUUAUCUUGCGUAUUUUAGAGUAUCCACUUCAAGUUAUCUAUGAACUGUACAGGCAACCCAGAAGUCCUUUACCGCGGACACGACUAUUCGAAUAGAUCAUAUUAACCCUGCAGGGGUGUACUUCUUCACACGCGCUCUCACCACUUACCGCCGUUUACAUGACAUGUACUCGGCAACCUUCAAGCGGAAGCCCAGCGAGGGUGUCGGCCACGACUUGACUAAUCACACAAGUCUCUCGUCCAGGUUUAUCGCCUAUUCGGGUUCCAUCCGCAAGGAGAUCCGGCCGGGGUGUCGCUCACGGCCCCAAACGAUGUGAGCAGGGUUCCCAAGCCCACCAUCAGGGUGCCACUUGGUACACCGUGCCACGGUGCCCAGUCUGUCCCAAGCCCACCUGUACCGGGUGCCACUUGGUAGACUACUAACACUACCUACAAACACCAGAAACUAGUUGCAACUCCUGGACAGAGAUCGAGUCGAUUAAUAAGUCGAGAGGGGCACUUAAGCAUUCCAAUGCGUGGUAGUAGUUGUUCAUGGAUCACAAACACAGAACUCAGUUCCUGAGGACGGCUUCAAUGAGACAACCCACCAUGUACUCCUACAUGGCCUCUCACCGCUACCUUUACCAAAUCGUGUUCACACACUUAGCUCACACACAGUAGGACAUGUUCACACACCUCCAAUUCAUCCCCGAUGAAUCAGACUUGACUCAACUCUAAGCAAUAGUAGGCAUGACAAACAAGCAUGAAUGAGUAGGCACAUCAGGGCUCAAACAACUCCUACUCAUGAUAGUGGGUUUCAUCUAUUUACUGUGGCAAUGACAGGUCAUGUAGAGGAAAGGGGUUCAACUACCGCAGCAUGUAACAGUUGAAUCGUUGUUGUCCUAAUGCAGUAAAAGAGAGCAGGAGCGAGAGAGUAGGAUUGUAUCGGAAUGAACAAGGGGGUUUUGCUUGCCUGGCACUUCUGAAGAUAGUAUAGUUCUUCAUCGGUGUCAUCGAACUCAUCAUCGGAACCACGUCUAUCGAGAGGGGACAAACACCGGCAAACAAGGGAGAACACAAUCAAUGCAAUGCAACAAUAUGACGCAUGAAUGUGACAUGGCAAUAUGAUGUGGUUUGUGCUAAUGCAACUAAAACCAGAUUAAAUGAAGUUGGUUUGAAUCCAAGAUUCAAAUUCAAGCUCCACAAGUGGUUAUCUAGAUGCCAUUUAAUUGAAUUAUCCUAAACAGUAGUCAUAAGUUGUUCUAUCAUGCAUGAAAAUGGUACAGAUGGAUAGAUUGGAUUUUUCUGAUCAUUUUUCAUAUAUAAAUUAUUUCAUUUAAAGUUACGGUUGAAUUUAUACGAUUUUUAGAAGUUUUGGAUAUUUUCUGGAAUAAUAAAUCAUUUUCUGAUUUAUUUUAAAUUCCAGGAAACCUGUACUGCGUCAGCAUGACCGCGCUAUGACGUCAGCAGGUCAACCAAGGUUGACUAGGGUCAAACCUGACGUUCGGGGCCCACAUGUCAGUUGCACAGUGAUUUAACAGAGUUUAAUUAACCUAAUUAAAUUGUUAGCCGGGUUAAUUAAACGGUAGGGCCCACCUAUCGGUGGCCCUAGGCGUGGGUUAGCGGGGUCGUUAGGCCAUAAUGACCGGCCACGCCGGCGGUUUACCGCCGGUGGCCACUGGGCACGGCGGAGACGCGCCAAAAGACCACGGAAGCGGCGGGGAAGGGAACCGGGGCGUAGCCCACGGUCGGGCGCAUCCAGAGGAGGCCACGGGAGGGCGGGGGGAGGCUUGAGCUCGCCGGAAGCGAGCUUGUGGCAGCGGCCAGAGUGCGGCCUUGAGCGGCACGGGGCUGUGAGGCACUGGGUGGCCGGAGGUGGUGUGCUACGGCCUCCUGGGUCCACCUGGAGCUCGUCUAUGAGCUCGGACGUGAUGGCUCUAAGCAGAACGACGGCGGCGAAGAGGUGCGGCGGCGGCGAGCCUCGACCAUGGUGGGGAAUGGGGCUAGAGCAUGCAAACGCGAGGGGUAGAAGAGGGGUUCGGGACAGGGGCUCACAGCGAUUCCGCAGGGUUGGUCAGUGGGCUCGGGGAGAGGCCGGAGCAAGCGGGGCGGCGAUGGAGAUCUCCGGCGUCGGGAGGUUGAAGACGACGGCGAUGGCGGCUCCACAGGGCGUCCGGAGACGCGCGGCUUGACGGAGAAGACGAGGACGAUGGCGCGGAUCUCUUGGGCACAACGGAGGGGCGAGGCCGUGGCGGUGGGCGCGGCAACGGCGAACAGCGGCGACGGCAGCGCUCGGCCACAAGGUGCAGGGCGAGAGGGAGGCAGCAGAGGAGGGGAUUGACACGAGGAAGAGAAGGAGAGGGCCAGGGGGGUGCGUGGCGGUUUUAGCCGGUCCAGUGCGUCGGCAGAAGUAGGAGGUGGCCGGGGCGCGUGGCCGCGCACGCCGGGCGCGUGCCCCUGUCCUCCUGGCGCGAGGAAGGGGACGACUGGCGCUGGCCAGUCAGCUUGGCCGGCCUGCUGGGCCAGAACAGCUGGGCUGCCAGGUAAGUGGCCCAGUUACUAACUCUCUCUCUCUCUCUCUCUUUUAUUUUCAUUUUCUAUUUUCUGUAAUUGUGUUUGUCUUAAAUAAAAAUGCCAGGGCAUUUCCAAAAAUCAUGAAAUUGCUCAAUGUCACUGUUUGGAAUAUUUCCAACAGCAAACAUUUCAGUUUGUGAUUAUUUGAGCAUUUAAAAUAUUAUUUAGCAAUUAAAUGCCCAAAUGCAAAUACCAUAUGAUUUAAUUCAAAAAUCCAGAAUGGCCUAGAAAAAUUUGCACCGUUUUUGGGAGAGGUUCUAGACCAAUCCAAAAAUAAUGAACUUUUCUGAAGAGCAUUUUGGGUUCAUUGAGAAUAUUUUUAUUUGAACCUAGUUGAUUUGAUCUGGUGCUAGGGUUUGAGCAAUCCCCAUUUCAACUUAAAUAAAUUUAAACAUGAUGCACACAUGAAGGGCUAGUCUAGUGCAUACCAGAACUAGGGAUGUGACAACUCGCCCCCACUAAACAAGAAUCUCGUCCCGAGAUACAAGCGUAGGGUAAGAUGAAGGGGGAACGCAAACUAACACAAUCUUCACGAUCCAGGUUGCACUUCAUAGGGGCAUUCAUUCGAUCACCAUCUUUGACUCGAUGUCUUCUUCUGAGAACUCCAACUAACAUGACAACGAGAGGAAUGGGACAACUCCAGAAGAAUCGAUCUUCUCGAAGAUCAAUCAACUUAGGAUCAACUCACAGAGUGAGUCAUAGCAACAUCUCUCGAGCUGAGGCACGAAGCAUACAUCUAGAGGAAUGGAGUGGAACGGAUGACAAAGGUUCACUAGGUAGACAACAAUUCCACACCUAAGAGGGUGGUGAAUGGUUGUCAACAUAGCAAGGAGUUGAAUUGCCAUGAUACCAUAACAAGACAUUUUGGAGGAGGUGACUCGUAGAAAUAUCCCCUUAAGUGGCAAAAAGAAUUACCUUUGAUUCAGAGAUCAUUGAAACUCUUUAUGCCAGCCUAAGGCAAUUCUCAAGCGAUCGUUUGGAGGGGUUCGGUAGAAUGGCAUACCCGAAUUAGAAUGGAUGAUGUGGAUUACCUUGUUGAAAACAACACAAGGAAUGAUUUUGCUUGCGCGUGCUCUCAAGAACUUGAGCAAUUCCAUAACCAACAUCUAUGAAAAGAAUGUUAAUACAACUACAUACUACCAUGAUGAAUAACGAUGGAGGAUGCAGAUGGAAAGGAAGACAACACUUUCUCAGAUUUCACCCUAGCAAUGCCAAGGAAACAAAAUCUGGAUGAUCGACCAAGAGACAUUUAGCACUCCGCUUCUAAUGUUCUCCUUGAUGUACUAGGUACCACGGUCAAUGCUUAAAAGCAUCAACAUGACCAUCAAGUAAAGGUCGGAUUUCAGAAACACAAAAAUCCAUAAGGAAUAACUACGGAAGUAGAUCCUGCGAGAUCCUUAUGGGGGUGUGACCAACUUCGUCAAUCAAGAUACUACAAUAGUAGGUCUUCCGGCUGGGUGUGUUGGCCACGACAUCCAGUUUACCGGUUAUAGAGAGACCAAUAUUAUAGUUCUUGGGAAAAGUUCCAACCAUCAUAUCUGCCUGAGAUUCAGAUAUGGUUGGUGUCAGAAUAUUCCAAACUCAUCAAGUCUAGAAGGAAAAACGAAAGCUUGCAACACAAAUCGACGAGACGGCGUUGCGAGAUUCUCGGGAAAUGAACUACGAUAGUAAGCUCCAAAACAUGAGAUGGUUCUGCUACAAACAUGUGAACACGUUGUCCCAGACAAGCAUGACCACAUAGUAGUCUUACAAUAAAGUACUACCGCAUUCAGGUGGGGAACCAUCAUUGCGGAGAGCGAAGUCCUGCGCAUGUACCUUUGGGUCCUUAAGGAUUAGCACGUAAGAACUUCUUUUCCUUGAACAAAUCAAUCAGUGGCUUGGUGUGCUAGGGACACAUAUAGAAUGAAGGUUGCAAGUCUCCAAACCACAGAGUACUUCACACGUAUGUAUGAUCGAUUUGGGAUGAUUCCAGAGGAAGCAACAUUGACUUUCUCGAAUCCACGGCGGCAACUUGCACCAUUUGCACAUGAAUUAGAGGAAAUCACUUCUUACAACCGAACAUAUGCUUCAUGAGCGGUUCAUGAAGAUAAUGCUUAUAAAAGUUUCCAAUACUAGCUAGAUGUUCAGCACAAAUCAUGGAGAAGAUAACAAUGUUGCUGAUGGGCUCAACAACAAUUCAUCCAGGUUUCCAUACAAUGGAAUUCCACAAUCAUGUGAAGAAGGUGAUAGCAUUGGUCAGACUCAAAGAUAUAAUGGUGUAUGCUCGAGGAAACAACCACGAGUAAGACAACAUUACGAAUAUUGUUGGUUCUGAUUUGAUUUGACGAUAGCCCAUACUCAAGUCAAAGGUUUGGGGUAAGAUAAUAGAUCCAACAAUUGACCACGAGGAUCAAUCAAUGAAGAUAUCAUAUUUCUUCAACACACACACACACACAAAGAUAUACCUUUGGAAAUAAACUAAGUUAGACAAGCUUUUAUCUUCCAACUCUCCAAGUUGUUAUUUAGCUUGACCAACUAGCUCAGGGGUAUCCAACACGGAUUCUUGGAGAAAGGGUGGUUUCGAAAACCAACUUGAUCACGAGCUCAACAUAGCGGUCAGGUGACAACCUGGUGAUACUUCUGAGAAGAUAUUUGGAAAGUCACGAACCACCGAUAUGUUACUAAGCUCGAGAACAAUCUUGCUUUUCAGGGCAAGACGAUAUGAUCAAAUGAGCGAGGAUUUGACAAAAUCCUAACUCAUCAAUCGAAGAGUGCACCAGGAAAUAAGGACUAGGUAGCAUAGUCAACCUUAGGGUGACGAUUCAAUAAUCAACAUGCUAUAAUGAGGUUAUUGUCCAUUAGCUACCGAGCAACAGAGUUGCUAGGAGUAUUGAUUUCACACAUCACGAUUCACUUGUCGGCAUUCCGGUUGCGGCAACACGGAACCGAGGAAUGAAUAAUGAUGGCGAGAAGUAUCACUGUAUCAAGAGUUCAUAGGAUGGUGUGCAAUUCCCAUGAUAUUCUUAAUGUAAAGAUGGUAAUACUUUAGGGUAGAACAAAACAAAAGUUGGAUUAGCAUUUUGAUAUGCAAAGUACAAUUGCUUUGACCCAAUCCUAGAUAUGGAUGAGGUACUGGAGUUUGUUUCUCCUAGUCAUUCCGGAAUAGAAUGGCUUGACAGACCACAAGAGUAAUAGGCAUCGACGAACAAAUGCACACAUACUCUUGACUAUCAAUUAAUAGACGAGGGUCAGAAGACAACUAAAAUGGGACAACUCAAAAGAACAUAUGAUUUCUGAGUUGUGGAUGCAUGGAUUAGCAUGUCGAACCAAGUUCAACAGGUUUCUUCCGGAUAACCCAUGCAGAAAGGUAGAUCUGGCAGAGUCACAAUAUAGAAUGGAGAACUCAUCAAGAGCACUUUGGUUGCGAUGUUUUGGUUCAAAGAACUUCUGCCAUAAGUGGUUCAUAGUAUUUGGAAGAAGGAAAUACCAUGGACCUCAAGGACUAAUGCAAAGGUUACUAAUAUCCUAGAGGGACUAGCAACACUAUCAACAUGAAGCAAGUAGGGUGAAUCUCGGGUUCGGAGACCCAGGAGUAGAAUACCUACCAACUAAAUGGCAUCACGGGAUGCUUUCGAGAAUGAUGGCCAGAAUCAUCACACUGGGAACACAAAACAUGGCUAGAUUACUAGAUGAUACUCUAGACACCUAGGGUCAUAAUAAUAACUCCAACAUAUAUGUCGAGGUAAUAGAAUACCUCAACUCAGCAAUUAGUGUGAUUAACCUGGCCCAAAGGAACAUCAAAACCAGAGGGAAAGGAUUUGCAAGAGCAUCAGAUUGUUUUGAAACCUAGGAUGACUCGGACAGCAUAACGGCUCUAAAUGCUCAAAAAGAAUGGAGGCAUGCUACAAGAUGGUGGCAUAGCCACUCAGAAGCACAAUAUCAAGGUUUCGAGAUCAGUUAUGAACACGCAGAGGUAGUAGAAACUGAACUGAGGCUUAAUUUAUCAAUCCUAUAAGUCUACAAAUUAGUAACACGUGAUCCUAAUAGAAAGAAGAGAAAACCUAGUUCCUUAACCCCGUAGGAAACAUAAGAUGACUCGGAUCAGAGGGCAUGAGGUAUGAGGAGUAAAAAGAGCCUUACGUUCCAUCCCACAAUCAAUUCCCUUAUAUAACUAAAGAAUUUCUAGACUCAACUUCGACUAGUUUGGCUUGGUAAUCCUACAGGCAGUCAAGCUCUGAUACCAAAGCUGUCAGGACCCCGACUUAAUGCCACACCGAUCUAGCACGUAACACCUCAUAUCACUUUGCGGCCUCACGCACGAUAUUCCCAUGGGUGUCGCCUUACCAGGCCCGGGACCGUUUGCGCCUUUUGGCACACGUAUAUGAUAGUGUUGCUAGCAUCCAUAUGACAAGGAGUCCGGGCUGACAUGACUAGUCAUGAACCCAAAGUGGCACUAACUUACAGGGACAGGCAUACAUGACACAGCAACGAACGUCUCGGUCAUCAGCGAGUGAAUCCGAGCUGUAGAAACUGGGCUAGCAGGACUCCGAUAAACCGGGCUGUAGCGGGCUAACAGGACUCCGGUAGACACCGCGUGACAUUUCCCCAAAGGGACAGACACAGGAACGAAGAAGGACACAUGCCGGCCAGCCUAAGUGUUCCGGAGCAGUAGCAAGCUACCAGGGCUCAGUGGAAGCACUAGGAGACAUUUCCCGGUAAGAGAGGCUACCAAGGAUAAACAACUAGAUAGUCAGAUCCCACACAUAUCAAGCAUUUCAAAUCAUACACACAAUAUGCUCGAUAUGUGCAAAUACAACAUGGCAUCACAACAUAACUCUAUGACUCAAAGUAUUUAUUCAAUAGGCUCUGAGGAGCGAGAUAUUACAAACAUGGGUCUCAUGACCCAACAUUCAGAGCACACAAGUCAAGGCACAAGCGGAAGCUUAACAUGUCUGAGUACAGACAUCUACAAAUGAAAAAGGCUGAGAAGCCUGACUAUCUACCAGAUCCUGCCGAGGGCACAAGAUCGUAGCUGAGGUAACAAGCUAAACGUCGAAGUCCACGUGGAACUACUAGCGAGACUGAAGUCUCUCUGCAAAAACAUAAAUUAAGCAACGUGAGUACAAAUGUACCCAGCAAGACUUACAUCAGAACUAACUACAUAUGCAUCAGUAUCAACAAAGGGGUGGUGGGGUUUAACUACAGCAAGCCAGCUUUGACUCGGUGGCUAUCCUGAACUACGACUGCAAGUAACUCUUUUGAGGUGGCGCACACGAGUCCACAUAUUCACCAUAUCAAUACACCACUAUGGAUCCGUUCCCGUCUCCCUACAAGAACGCCAUCCAUAGCACUCACGCUUAUCUUGCGUAUUUUAGAGUAUCCACUUCAAGUUAUCUAUGAACUGUACAGGCAACCCAGAAGUCCUUUACCGCGGACACAACUAUUCGAAUAGAUCAUAUUAACCCUGCAGGGGUGUACUUCUUCACACACACUCUCACCACUUACCGCCAUUUACACGACAGGUACUCGGCAACCUUCAAGCGGAAGCCCAGCGAGGGUGCUGGCCACGACUUGGCUAAUCACACAAGUCUCUCGUCCAGGUUUAUCGCCUAUUCGGGUUCCAUCCGGAAGGAGAUCCGGCCGGGGUGUCGCUCACGGCCCCAAACGAUGUGAGCAGGGUUCCCAAGCCCACCAUCUGGGUGCUACUUGGUACACCGUGCCACGGUGCCUAGUCUGUCCCAAGCCCACCUCUACCGGGUGCCACUUGGUAGACUACUAACACUACCUACAAACACCAGAAACUAGUUGCAACUCCUGGACAGAGAUCGAGUUAAUUAAUAAGUCGAGAGGGGCACUUAAGCAUUCCAAUGCGUGGUAGUAGCUGUUCAUGGAUCACAAACACAGAACUCAGUUCCUGAGGACGGCUUCAAUGAGAAAACCCACCAUGUCCUCCUACAUGGCCUCUCACCGCUACCUUUACCAAAUCGUGUUCACACACUUAGCUCACACACAGUAGGACAUGUUCACACACCUCCAAUUCAUCCCCGAUGAAUCAAACUUGACUCAACUCUAAGCAAUAGCAGGCAUGACAAACAAGCAUGAAUGAGUAGGCACAUCAGGGCUCAAACAACUCCUACUCAUGAUAGUGGGUUUCAUCUAUUUACUGUGGCAAUGACAGGUCAUGUAGAGGAAAGGGGUUCAACUACCGCAGCAUGUAACAGUUGAAUCGUUGUUGUCCUAAUGCAGUAAAAGAGAGCAGGAGCGAGCGAGUGGGAUUGUAUCGGAAUGAACAAGGGGGUUUUGCUUGCCUGGCACUUCUGAAGAUAGUAUAGUUCUUCAUCGGUGUCAUCGAACUCAUCAUCGGAACCACGUCUAUCGAGAGGGGACAAACACCGGCAAACAAGGGAGAACAUAAUCAAUGCAAUGCAACAAUGUGACAUGGCAAUAUGCUGUGGUUUGUGCUAAUGCAACUAAAACCAGAUUAAAUGAAGUUGGUUUGAAUCCAAGAUUCAAAUUCAAGCUCCACAAGUGGUUAUUUAGAUGCCAUUUAAUUGAAUUGUCCUAAACAGUAGUCACAAGUUGUUCUAUCAUGCAUGAAAAUGGUACAGAUGGAUAGAUUGGAUUUUUUUGAUCAUUUUUCAUAUAUAAAUUAUUUCAUUUAGAGUUACGGUUGAAUUUAUACGAUUUUUAGAAGUUUUGGAUAUUUUCUGGAAUAAUAAAUCAUUUUCUGAUUUAUUUUAAAUUCCAGAAAACCUAUACUGCGUCAGCAUGACCGCGCUAUGACGUCAGCAGGUCAACCAAGGUUGACUAGGGUCAAACCUGAUGUUCGGGACCCACAUGUCAGCUGCACAGUGAUUUAACAGAGUUUAAUUAACCUAAUUAAAUUGUUAGCCGGGUUAAUUAAACGGUAGGGCCCACCUGUCAAUGGCCCUAGGCGUGGGUUAGCGGGGUCGUUAGGCCCUAAUGACCGGCCACACUGGCGGUUUACCGCCGGUGGCCACUGGGCACGGCGGAGACGCGCCAAAAGACCACGGAAGCGGCGGGGAAGGGCACCGGGGCGUAGCCCACAGUCGGGCGCAUCCAGAGGAGGCCACGGGAGGGCGCGGGGAGGCUUGAGCUCGCCGUAAGCGAGCUUGUGGCGGCGGCCGGAGUGCGGCCUUGAGCGGCGCGGGGCUGUGAGGCACUAGGUGGCCGGAGGUGGUGUGCUACGGCCUCCUGGGUCCACCUGGAGCUCGUCUAUGAGCUCGGACGUGAUGGCGCUAAGUAGAACGACGACGGCGAAGAGGUGCGGCGGCAGCGAGCCUCGUCCACGGCGGGGAAUGGGGCUAGAGCAUGCAAACGCGAGGGGGGGAAGAGGGGUUCGGGACAGGGGCUCACAGCGAUUCCGUAGGGUUGGUCAGUGGGCUCGGGAAGAGGCCGGAGCAAGCGGGGCGGCGAUGGAGAUCUCCGGGCGUCGGGAGGUUGAAGACGACAGUGAUGGCGGCUCCACAGGGCGUCCGAAGACGCGCGGCUUGACGGAGAAGGCGAGGACGACGGCGCGGAUCUCUUGGGCACGACGGAGGGGCGAGGCUGUGGCGGUGGGCGCGGCAAUGGCGAACAGCGGCGACGGCAGCGCUCGGCCACGAGGUGCAGGGCGAGAGGAAGGUAGCAGAGGAGGGGAUCGACACGAGGAAGAGAAGGAGAGGGCCAGGGGGGUGCGUGGCGGCUUUAGCCGGUACAGUGCGUCGGCAGAAGCAGGAGGUGGCCGAGGCGCGUAGCCGCGCGCGCCGGGCGCGUGCCCCUGUCCUCCUGGCGCGAGGAAGGGGACGACUAGCGCUGGCCAGUCAGCUUGGCCGGCCUGCUGGGCCAGAACAGCUGGGCUGCCAGGUAAGUGGCCCAGGUACUAACUCUCUCUCUCUCUCUCUCUCUUUUAUUUUCAUUUUCUAUUUUCUGUAAUUGUGUUUGUCUUAAAUAAAAAUGCCAGGGCAUUUCCAAAAAUCAUGAAACUGCUCAAUGUCACAGUUUGGAAUAUUUCCAACAGCAAACAUUUCAGUUUGUGAUUAUUUGAGCAUUUAAAUAUUAUUUAGCAAUUAAAUGCCCAAAUGCAAAUACCAUAUGAUUUAAUUCAAAAAUCCAGAAUGGCCUAGAAAAAUGUGCACCAUUUUUGGGAGAUGUUCUAGACCAAUCCAAAAAAAAUGAACUUUUCUGAAGAGCAUUUUGGGUUCAUUGAGAAUAUUUUUAUUUGAACCUAGUUGAUUUGAUCUGGUGCUAGGGUUUGAGCAAUCCCCAUUUCAACUUAAAUAAAUUUAAACAUGAUGCACACAUGAAGGGCUAGUCUAGUGCAUACCAGAACUAGGGAUGUGACAUAUGGGUUGUUAUUUCACGUUAUGUCACAAUACUUAUGGAUAUUCUCUCUUAUUUUACGAGGUUUACAUGAAGAGGGAGAAUGCCGGCAGCUGGAAUUCUGGGCUGGAAAAUGAGCAAAUAUUGGAGGCCUAUCCUGCGCAACUCCAAAAGUCCUGAAACUCCACGGAAUAUCUUAAAAUAAAUAAAGAAAAAUCGUCGCCAAAGUUGAAGGCCAGGGGGCCCACACCCUGCUCACGAGGGUGGGGGCGCGUCCCUCCCCGGGGCGCGCCCCCCUACCUCGUGGGCCCCCUGGUGGCUCUCCGACGCCCAUCUUCUCCUAUAUGAAGUCUUUCGAUGAGAAAAAAACCAGAAGCAAUCUUUUGGGAUGAGACUCCGCCGCCACGAGGCGGAACCUUGGCGGAACCAAUCUAGGGCUCUGGCAGAGUUGUUCUGCCAGGGACACUUCCCUCCGGGAGGGGGAAAUCAUCACCAUCGUCAUCACCAAUGCUCCUCUCAUCGGGAGAGGAUAAUCUCCAUCAACAUCUUCACCAACACCAUCUCAUCUCCAAACCCUAGUUCAUCUCUUGUAUCCAGUUCUUGUCUCCAAGUCCGGGAUUGGUGCUAGUAGGUUGCUAGUAGUGUUGAUUACUCCUUGUAGUUGAUGCUAGUUGGUUUAUUUGGUGGAAGAUCAUAUGUUCAGAUCCUUUAUGCACAUUAUUACCCCUCUGAUUAUGAACAUGAAUAUGCUUUGUGAGUAGUUACGUUUGUUCCUGAGGACAAGGGAGAAGUCUUGCUAUUAGUAGUCAUGUGAAUUUGGUAUUCGUUUGAUAUUUUGAUGAGAUGUAUGUUGUCUAGCCUCUAGUUGUGUUAUGUGAAUGUCGACUACAUAACACUUCACCAUAUGUGGGCCUGGAGGAGGGCAUUGGGAAGUAAUAAGUAGAUGAUGGGUUGCUAGAGUGACAGAAGCUUAAACCCUACUUUAUGCGUUGCUUCGUAAGGGGCUGAUUUGGAUCCAUAUGUUUCAUGCUAUGGUUAGGUUUACCUUAAUACUUUUGUUGUAGUUGCGGAUGCUUGCAAUAGAGGUUAAUCAUAAGUGGGAUGCUUGUCCAAGUAAGGGCAGUACCCAAGCACCGGUCCACCCACAUAUCAAAUUAUCAAAGUACCGAACGCGAAUCAUAUGAGCGUGAUGAAAACUAGCUUGACGAUAUUCCCAUGUGUCCUCAGGAGCGCUUUUCCUAUUAUAAGAGUUUGUCCAGGCUUGUCCUUCGCUACAAAAAGGAUUGGGCCACCUUGCUGCACUUUAUUUACUUUUGUUACUUGUUGCUCGUUACAAUUUAUCUUAUCACAAAGCUAUCUGUUACUACUUAUUUCAGUACUUGCAAAGAAUACCUUGCUGAAAACCGCUUAUCAUUUCCUUCUGCUUCUCGUUGGGUUCGACACUCUUACCUAUCGAAAGGACUACGAUAGAUCCCCUGUACUUGUGGGUCAUCAAGACUCUUUUCUGGCGCCGUUGUCGGGGAGUGAAGCGCCUUUGGUAGGUGGAAUUUGGUAAGGAAAAAUUUAUUUAGUGUGCUGAAAUUUUUUGUCACUUGUUACUAUGGAAAGUAAUUCUCUGAGGGGCUUGUUCGGGGUAUCUUCACCCCGUCCAUUAGAGCAAAGAGUUGCUCCUCAACCUACUCAACCUACUGAACCUAUUGAAAAUGAAACUCCUUUUGAGAUUCCUUUGGGUAUGAUGGAAAAACUGCUAGCUAACACUUCUACAGGAGAUGGAACAAGGCAUCUUGAUGAACAUCUACGCUAUGUGGACGACGUUUGUGGACUAUUUAAGCUUGCAGGUAUACCCGAUGAUGUUGUUAAGAAGAAGGCCUUCCCUUUAUCUUUGAAGGGAGACGCAUUGACAUGGUACAGGCUAUGUGAUGAUAUGAGAUCAUGGAACUAUAAAAGAUUGAAAUUGGAAUUUCAUCAAAAGUAUUACCCUAUGCAUCUUGUUCAUCGUGAUCGCAAUUAUAUAUAUAAUUUUUGGCCUUGCGAAGGAGAAAGCAUCGCUCAAGCUUGGGGGAGGCUUAAAUCAAUGUUAUAUUCAUGCCCCAAUCAUGAGCUCCCGAGAGAAGUGAUUAUGCAAAGUUUUUAUGCUCGGUUUUCUGAUAACAAUCGUACCAUGCUCGAUACUUCUUGUGCUGGCUCUUUUAUGAUGAAGACUAUCGAAUUUAAAUGGAAUUUAUUGGAUAGAAUUAAACGCAACUCUGAAGAUUGGGACCUCGACGAAGGUAAGGAGUCAGGUAUGACACCUAAGUUUGAUUGUGUUAAAUCUUUUAUGGAUACCGAUAUUUUCCGUAAGUUUAGCACUAAAUAUGGACUUGACUCUGAGAUAGUAGCUUCUUUCUGUGAAUCCUUUGCUACUUAUAUUGAUCUCCCCAAAGAGAAGUGGUUUAAAUAUCAUCCUCACAUAGAAGUAAAAGUAGCUGCACCUAUUAAAGUUGAAGAAAAGACUGUCACUUAUAAUGAUCCUAUUGUUCCCACUUCUUAUGUUGAGAAACCGCCUUUCCCUACUAAAAUGAAGGAUCAUGCUAAAGCUUCAACUAUUGUUCGUAAAAGCAAUAUUAGAACUUAUACACCUCCUGAGCAAGUCAAAGUAGAACCAAAUAUUGCUAUUGUUAAAGAUCUCUUGUCUGAUAAUAUCGAUGGACAUGUUAUUCAAUUCCAGGGUGAAACUGCUAGAAUUACUAAACCUUGUGCUAGAGAUAAACAUAGACAUGUGGUAGGAGUGCCUGUUAUUUCUGUUAAAAUAGGAGAUCAUUGUUAUCAUGGCUUAUGUGAUAUGGGUGCUAGUGCUAGUGUAAUACCCAUUGACUUAUACAGAGAAAUUAUGCAUGAUAUUGCACCUACUGAGUUAGAAGAAAUUGAUGUCACAAUUAAACUUGCCAAUAGAGAUACUAUUUCUCCAGUGGGAAUUGUUACAGAUGUUGAAGUCUUGUGUGGGAAAACCAAAUAUCCCGCUGAUUUUCUUGUUCUUGGUUCUCCACAAGAUAGCUUUUGUCCCAUUAUAUUUGGUAGACCCUUCUUGAAUACUGUUAAUGCUAAGAUAGACUGCGAAAAGAAUGUUGUUACUAUUGGCUUGGAUGAUAUGCUUCAUGAGUUUAAUUUCUCUAAAUUUAGUAAACAACAUUGUGAGGAAGAAUCGCCUAGUAAGGAUGAAAUUAUUGGUCUUGCUUCUAUUGAUGUACCUCCUAGUGACCCUUUAGAACAAUAUUUGCUAGACCAUGAGAAUGAUAUCUUCAUGAAUGAAAGAAGGGAAAUAGAUGAGGUAUUCUUUAAACAGGAACCUAUUCUACAACACAAUUUGCAUGUUGAAAUUCUAGGGGAUCCUCCUCCACCCAAGGGUGAUCCUGUGUUUGAGCUUAAACCGUUGCCCAAUAAUCUUAAAUAUGCUUAUCUUGAUGAAAAGAAAAUAUAUCAUGUUAUUAUUAGUGCUAACCUUUCAGAGCAUGAAGAAGAAAGAUUAUUGAAAACUCUGAGGAAGCAUCGUGCUGCUAUUGGAUAUACACUUGAUGAUCUUAAGGGCACUAGUCCCACUCUAUGUCAACAUAAAAUAAAUUUGGAAGCGGAUGCCAAACCAGUUUGUGAUCCUCAAUGAUGUUUGAAUCCUAAAAUAAAAGAAGUGGUAAGAAAAGAAAUACUCAAGCUUCUGGAGGCAGGUAUAAUUUAUCCCGUUGCUGAUAGUCAGUGGGUAAGUCCUGUCCAUUGUGUCCCUAAGAAGGGAGGUAUUACUGUUGUCCCUAAUGAUAAAGAUGAAUUGAUUCUGCAAAGAAUUAUCACAGGUUAUAGGAUGGUAAUUGAUUUCCGCAAAUUAAAUAAAGCUACUAAGAAGGAUCAUUACCCAUUACCUUUUAUUGAUCAAAUGCUAGAACAAUUAUGCAAACAUACACAUUAUUGCUUUCUAGAUGGUUAUUCUGGUUUCUCUCAAAUACAUGUGUCGGCUAAAGAUCAAUCAAAGACUACUUUUACAUGCCCUUUUGGUACUUUUGCUUAUAGACGUAUGCCUUUUGGGUUAUGUAAUGCACCUGCUACCUUCCAAAGAUGCAUGAUGGAUAUAUUUUCUGACUUUUGUGAAAAAAAUUGUGAGGUUUUUAUGGAUGAUUUUUCCGUCUAUGGUUCCUCUUUUGAUGAUUGCUUGAGCAAUCUUGCUCGAGUUUUACAGAGAUGUGAAGAAACGAAUCUUGUCUUGAAUUGGGAAAAGUGCCACUUUAUGGUUAAUGAAGGUAUUGUCUUGGGGCACAAAGUUUCUGAAAGAGGUAUUGAAGUUGAUAAAGCCAAGGUUGAUGCUAUUGAAAAGAUGCCAUGUCCCAAGGACAUCAAAGGUAUAAGAAGUUUCCUUGGUCACGCCGGAUUUCAUAGGAGGUUCAUUAAGGACUUCUCAAAAAUUUCUCGGCCUCUGACUAGUUUGUUACAAAAAGAUGUACCAUUUGUCUUUGAUGAUGAUUGUGUAGAAGCAUUUGAAAUACUUAAGAAAGCAUUAGUCUCUACACCUGUUGUUCAGUCACCUGAUUGGAAUUUACCCUUUGAAAUUAUGUGUGAUGCUAGUGAUUAUGCUGUAGGUGCUGUUCUAGGGCAAAGAGUUGAUAAGAAAUUAAAUGUUAUCCAUUAUGCUAGUAAGACUCUAGACAAUGCUCAAAGAAACUAUGCUACUACCGAAAAUGAACUUUUAGCAGUUGUGUUUGCUUGUGAUAAAUUCAGACCCUAUAUUGUUGAUUCUAAAGUAACAAUUCACACUGAUCAUGCUGCCAUUAAAUAUCUUAUGGAAAAGAAGGAUGCAAAACCUAGACUCGUUAGAUGGGUUCUUUUGCUACAAGAAUUUGAUUUGCAUAUUGUUGAUAGAAAGGGAGCUGAGAACCCCGUAGCAGACAAUUUAUCUAGGUUAGAGAAUGUUCUUGAUGAUCCACUACCUAUUGAUGAUAGCUUCCCUGAUGAGCAAUUAAAUGUCAUAAGCACUUCUCGUAGCACUCCAUGGUAUGUUGAUUAUGCUAAUUAUAUUGUCGCUAAAUAUAUACCACCUAGCUUCACAUACCAACAAAGGAAAAAGUUUUUCUAUGACUUGCGACAUUACUUUUGGGAUGACCCACACCUUUAUAAAGGAGUAGAUGGUGUCAUUAGAUGUUGUGUACCCGAGCAUGAACAGGAACAUAUCCUAGGCAAGUGUCACUCCGAAGCUUAUGGAGGACAUCAUAUUGGAGAUAGAACUGCACAUAAGGUAUUGCAAUCUGGUUUUUAUUGGCCUACUCUCUUCAAGGAUGCCAGUAAGUUUGUUUUGUCUUGCGAUGAAUGUCAAAGAAUUGGUAAUAUUAGUAGACGUCAAGAAAUGCCUAUGAAUUAUUCACUUGUUAUUGAACCAUUUGAUGUUUGGGGCUUUGAUUAUAUGGGACCUUUUCUCGCCUCUAAUGGAUACACACAUAUUUUAGUUGUUGUUGAUUACGUUACUAAGUGGGUAGAAGCCAUUCCAACUAGUAGUGCUGAUCAUAACACUUCUAUUAAAAUGCUUAAGGAAGUUAUUUUUCCGAGGUUUGGAGUCCCUAGAUAUUUAAUGACUGAUGGUGGUUCACACUUUAUUCAUGGUGCUUUCCAUAAAAUGCUUGCUAAAUAUGACGUUAAUCAUAGGAUUGCAUCUCCUUAUCACCCGCAGUCUAGUGGUCAAGUAGAAUUGAGCAAUAGAGAGCUCAAAUUAAUUUUGCAAAUGGCUGUUAAUAGGUCUAGAAAGAAUUGGUCCAAGAAACUGGGCAACACAUUAUGGGCCUAUAGAACUGCAUAUAAAAAUCCUAUGGGUAUGUCUCCGUAUAAAAUGGUCUAUAGAAAAGCUUGUCACUUACCUCUCGAACUAGAACAUAAGGCAUAUUGGGCUAUUAAAGAGCUCAACUAUGAUUUCAAACUUGCCAGUGAGAAGAGGUUAUUUGAUAUUAGCUCACUUGAUGAAUGGAGAACCCAAGCUUAUGAAAAUGCCAAGUUGUUUAAAGAAAAAGUUAAAAGAUGGCAUGACAAAAGGAUACAAAAGCGUGAGUUUAAUGUAGGUGAUUAUGUAUUGCUAUACAACUCUCGUUUAAGAUUUUUUGCAGGAAAACUUCUCUCCAAAUGGGAAGGUCCCUACGUUAUCGAGGAGGUCUAUCGUUCCGGCGCCAUAAAAAUCAAUAACUUUGAAGGCACAAAUCCGAAGGUGGUAAACGGUCAAAGGAUCAAACACUAUAACUCAGGUAAUCCUAUAAAUGUUGAAACCAAUAUUAUUGAAACCGUAGCCCCGGAGGAAUACAUAAGGGACACUUUUCAGCCCGUUUCAGACUUCGAAAAGGACUAGGUAUGUGGUACGGUAAGUAAACCGACUCCAAAACAAUUUUUAAGGCAAUAUUUCUCCGUUUUGGAAUAUUUAGAAAAAUAGAAAAAUAAGUGGCAGUCCGGGAAGGACACGAGGCCUCCACGAGGGUGGAGGGCGCGCCCCCCUACCUCGUGAGCACCUUGUGUGCUCUCCGAACUCCGUUUUCUUGUACGAUACAUAUUUUGGUCGGUAAAAAUUCAUUAUAUAUACUCCCGAAGGUUUUGACUCUUGUAUCACGCAAAUAUCCUCUGUUUUUGUUUUGAGCUAUUUCCGUUGCAGAUUUAGAGCACCAUGACCUCUCCCUCCUCUAGCAACGAAGACAAGGAUGCCUGGCUAUUGAAGAUAGAGUUGAAAAGAGAGGAACCAGAAGAAAUCAACAAGGAUGAAAUGAUCAAGAAGGCCAUGGAGGUUCAAGCUCCGGUGGUGAAAGAAGAAUACAUCCCUCAACCUUGACCUAAACUUUUUGCUCCAAUAGAGAUUGAAGCUUUCAAGAUGAUUGAGUUAGCCCGCAUACAGAACAAGUAUCUUACACAGGAGAAUAUUUUGUUGAAGGAUCAUAUCGCUGGGCUUAAGGGCAUUAUCCGCAAGUUGGAGGAACUUUUAUGCUCGAUGUGCGAUUAUCCACCAUCGUCAUCACCUACUUCACCGCCUCCGAAGAAAUAAUCACAUGGGUAUGGGCACUCCCCUUGGCAACUGCCAAGAUUGGGGGAGGUGCCCUGGUAUCGUAUCACCAUCACAACUCCUAUCUUUACCGUUUUCCUUAGUUCGAUCCUAUUAGUAGUAUCUUGAUUUAGUAGAAUAAAGUCAUGGCAUGAUCUAGUUUUGAGUUUUGCUUUACGAUCCUUCUUUGUAAUCGAGUCCGUGAGCUAUAUAAUAAAGAUUAGUGUUGAGUCAAGGGCUUGAUUAUUUUGCCAUGAUCUUGGGUGAAUAGAAGAAAAGAAUAAAAAGAAUCAACUAGUCCAUAUUGAUCUUAUUCAAAGGAAUGACUUCACAUAGAGAGAGUAUGAUGAUUAAAAUUUGUUGGGAGUUGGCAAAUAUAGCUUUGGUCAUUGUUGCAAUUAAUAGGAAGUAAUAACGAAAGAGAGGUUUCACAUAUAGAUAUAUUAUCAUUGACAUCUUUUAUGAUUGGGAGCACUCAUUAAAAUAUGACAUGCUAAAGAGUCGAGGUUGGACAAGGAAGACAAUAUAAUGAGUUAUGUUUUCUUAUAUCUGAGAUAAAGUAUGUUGUCAUGGAUCCUCUAACAUGUUGAGCUUGCCUUUCCCCCUCUUGCUAGCCAAAUUCUCAGCACCAAGUAGAAAUACUACUUGUUCUUCCGAUUACCCUUAAACCAAUUUUGCCAUGAGAGUCCACCAUAUCUACCUAUGGACUGAGUAAGAUCCUUCAAGUAAGUUGUCAUCAGUGCAAGCAAUAAAAAUUGCUCUCUAAAUAUGCAUGACUUAUUAGUGCGGAGAAAAUAAGCUUUGUACGAACUUGUUGUGGACGUAAUAAAAGCGACGGACUGCAUAAUAAAGGUCCACAUACAAGGGGCAAUAUAAAGUGACGUUCUUUUGCAUUAAGAUUUUGUGCAUCAACCCUAAACGCGCAUGACAACCUCUGCUUCCCUCUGCGAAGGGCCUAUCCUUUAUUAUUAUCCUCUACCUUAUGCAAGAGUCACAGUGAUCUUCACCUUUCCUUUUUCGUUUUAUCCUUUGGCAAGCUCAGCAUGUUGGAAAGAACAUGAUAUAUAUAUAUAUAUAUAUAUAUAUAUAUAUAUAUAUAUAUAUAAUUGGAUGUAGGGGAGCAUGAAUUAUUAUUGUUGACAUUACCCUUGAGGUAAAAGGUUGUGGGGCAAAACUAUAAGCCCCUAUCUUUCUCUGUGUCCGAUUAAAACUCCGUAACCACAAGUAUCGCAUGAGUGUUAGCAAUUAUGAAGGACUAAGUGAUAGUUGAGUAUGUGGACUUGCUUUUAAGCUCUGACAUAGACUCUUUCCGAUGUUAUGAUAAAUUGCAAUUGCUUCAAUGACUGAGGUUAUAAUUUGUUAGCGCUCAAUAAGGUUUCUGAUUCAUACUCUUUGCUUUGUGAAAAGAUCAUCACUUGAACAUAAGUAAUCAUAUGACAAAAUCUCUAUAUGUUGUUGUUAUGGAAAUAAUCAUGAUGCCUUCAUACCCGUAUCUUAUUUUUAUCGGCGCCUCUACCUCUAAACAUGAGGACAUAUUUAUUGUUAUCGGCUUUUCGCUUGAGGACAAGCGAGGUCUAAGCUUGGGGGAGUUCAUACGUCCAUUUUGCAUCAUGCUUUUAUAUCAAUAUUUAUUGCAUUAUGGGCUGUUAUUUCACGUUAUGUCACAAUACUUAUGGCUAUUCUCUCUUAUUUUACGAGGUUUACAUGAAGAGGGAGAAUGCCGGCAACUAGAAUUCUAGGCUGGAAAAGGAGCAAAUAUUGGAGGCCUAUUCUGCGCAACUCCAAAAGUCCUGAAACUCCACGGAAUAUCUUAAAAUAAAUAAAGAAAAAUCGUCGCCAAAAAUGAAGGCCAGAGGGCCCACACCCUGCUCACGAGGGUGGGGGGCGCCCUCCCCUGGGGCGUGCCCCCUACCUCGUGGGCCCCCUGGUGGCUCUCCGAUGCCCAUCUUCUCCUAUAUGAAGUCUUUCGAUGAGAAAAAAACCAGAAGCAAUCUUUCGGGAUGAGACUCCGCCGCCACGAGGCGGAACCUUGGCGGAACCAAUCUAGGGCUCUGGCAGAGCUGUUCUGCCAGGGACACUUCCCUCCGGGAGGGGGAAAUCAUCACCAUCGUCAUCACCAACGCUCCUCUCAUCGGGAGAGGAUAAUCUCCAUCAACAUCUUCACCAACACCAUCUCAUCUCCAAACCCUAGUUCAUCUCUUGUAUCCAGUUCUUGUCUCCAAGUCCGGGAUUGGUGCUAGUAGGUUGCUAGUAGUGUUGAUUACUCCUUCUAGUUGAUGCUAGUUGGUUUAUUUGGUGGAAGAUCAUAUGUUCAGAUCCUUUAUGCACAUUAUUACCCCUCUGAUUAUGAACAUGAAUAUGCUUUGUGAGUAGUUACGUUUGUUCCUGAGGACAAGGGAGAAGUCUUGCUAUUAGUAGUCAUGUGAAUUUGGUAUUCGUUUGAUAUUUUGAUGAGAUGUAUGUUGUCUAGCCUCUAGUGGUGUUAUGUGAACGUCGACUACAUAACACUUCACCACAUUUGGGCCUAGAGGAAGGCAUUGGGAAGUAAUAAGUAGAUGAUGGGUUGCUAGAGUGACAGAAGCUUAAACCCUACUUUAUGCGUUGCUUCGUAAGGGGCUGAUUUGGAUCCAUAUGUUUCAUGCUAUGGUUAGGUUUACCUUAAUACUUUUGUUGUAGUUGCGGAUGCUUGCAAUAGAGGUUAAUCAUAAGUGGGAUGCUUGUCCAAGUAAGGGCAGUACCCAAGCACCGGUCCACCCACAUAUCAAAUUAUCAAAGUACCGAACGCGAAUCAUAUGAGCAUGAUGAAAACUAGCUUGACGAUAUUCCCAUGUGUCCUCGGGAGCGCUUUUCCUAUUAUAAGAGUUUGUCCAGGCCUGUCCUUUGCUACAAAAAGGAUUGGGCCACCUUGCUGCACUUUAUUUACUUUUGUUACUUGUUGCUCGUUACAAUUUAUCUUAUCACAAAACUAUCUGUUACUACUUAUUUCAGUACUUGCAGAGAAUACCUUGCUGAAAACCGCUUAUCAUUUCCUUCUGCUCCUCGUUGGGUUCGACACUCUUACUUAUCGAAAGGACUACGAUAGAUCCCCUAUACUUGUGGGUCAUCAUGUCUCGAUUACCAGGGAGCGAAUCCGCUUGACCUAGUUCUUGAUCUGAUGUUACUUGCCCUGAACCGCCACCGGGUCGUCCCUUUAUAUACAGAGGUCGACGCCCAGCGGCUCUCAGAGUCCCGGCCGACUCAUAAACAGUGUCCGGCUCGGUCUCUCUCUAUCCCUACCUUACAAUACAAGUUACAUACAUAUGGCGGUUUAUCUCUAUGGGCCUUAAAUCGCCUUUGGGCUUUGGGCCCUUUAACUGAACCGCCAUCUUCAAGUGUCGUCUUGGGCUUCAUGUCUAGAGUCGCCAUAGGUAUAACCCGACCCCUCCUGGGCUGGUCAUAUCUAAUAGUUAUAUCCCCAACAUUAGGCCCCAGAUUGAUUUGAACGGGCUCGUGUCAAUCUUCAACACUUAGAAAAAAAUUCUGCUCUUCAUUUGUACAGAAGUUUUUAUAACCCGCCAUGAUGUCAUCUUCUGGAUCUGCGAUAACCCGCCAUGACAUCAUGUGCCAUUACUUCACACUUUAUCCAACAUAUCUCAACGGAUCCUUAUCUUAAUGACCAUCCUGAGAAUCGAGGCGUCCUGAUAGCUGGAUAACCAUAUUUUCGGCCUCCUCGUUUUUCGCGCCCACUUAAGAGCCUUUCCCUUAUAAAUAGGCACGACCGGUCUUUCCUCAUUUUCUCCCCCUUUCCAUCAUCUUCCACCUCUCGCAUCCUUCUGCCACUCGAGCUCCGCCGCCACCGCAGAGCACACCGAUGUCCUUGUCCAGGCCGCUGCAUCAACCUGAGUCGAUCCAGAGAACGGCGGCGACCCACCGUAGUAGAUCUGCAGCUGUAAGUUCCUGCUUUUCCCGCACCUUAGAUCUGCCUUAGGGUUUCUGCAUGUUCUUCGUUGUCGGUGUACUAGAGUAGGGGUACCCUAGUAUCCCGAACUUGUGCACGGGCAGUUGCAGCACCCCGCGGCAAGGCUUGCCGGGUGACCGCCAAGGUCCUCCGUGGUUCCUUUGGAGCCAUUCAAGAACAAAGUAUUCAAGCCAAGGAGACAAGGCCCCGGCAAGAGGAGCUUGCCGGGAAGGCCAACCAAGGCAUCUCAAGGAACUUGCCGCGGCGCGCCACGCGUCCCGGCGAGGCCCGGUGAGCGACAAGCUUCCGGACGCAAUGAGACAACGACCGCGGCAAGGCGCUUGCCGCGGCAAACUACCACUCUGUACCCACGCUCCAGCACAUCCACCAAUGUGUCGCCCUGGGGCCUUUCCAGGCGCGCGUGGCGAGAGGCCGUGCAGCCAGCGGUGCGCAGUGGCAAGCGGCGCUGACAAGAUAGCCAUCAUGGAAAGCGGUGGCGUCCCUGACGGUCCCUUUUUGCACUAUUUGGGCGACGUAGACGGGCAUUUAAUGCCUUUGUCCCCCGCCGUCAGGGUUAGGUAUGAUACACUGUACAGGUAGUUGUACCAACCGCAAUUCCUUUUCCAUUUUUACCCUUGUCUACGUUGCCACCUGUCGGUGACCCCUUGAGCAUAUAAAAGGAGGCCCAUGCGCAACGUAGAGGGGGGUUCGAAGGCAAAAAAAACACUCACGGUCGGUCUCGUUAGCAGCUAGUGUGUACUGUAGCACUCAGCGCUCCCGAGCAAGAACUCAAUACACUCAGACAUGCAACAGUAGGAGUGUUAUCUCUCCAGAGAGCUCCGAAGCUGGGUAAACUGCUCGUGUGCUUCGCCUCGAUCCGCUCUUCGUGCGAUCUCCGCCCCCGCCGAACCGAAAGGGGCUCGGUCCGCCGGUCCCAUAGGUGUUUGUGGAUCAGUUUCCCCGACAUCUUUGGCGCGCCAGGUAGGGGAGGGGAGGUUGUGUGAACCUGAUCCGGUGUUCACACGAGCUAUAUCUUCAUCUUCUUCAUCGACAUGCCACCGAAGAAGAAGGCUUCGGCGGUAGCUGUUCCGUCCACGUCGAUCCCACCACCACCAGAGCAAACGGAUGGUGGGGUAGACGCUGGCGGAAGAACGGGCAUCGACGAGGGAGCCCACGGUGCUGCCAGGUCCAAGGACAAGGCUGCGCAGACCUCGCGUCCGUACAUGCACCGCGCCCAUCUCAGGAGGCGCAGGACCGACAGCGUCAUGGUAUUCGCAGUGCCAUACGUUUGUUGGACCAAGAUCGAGCUGGUGGAUCUCGGGGUGCUCAAGACCAGCAUGCAUGCCAACGUGCUGGCGCGAGCGAGACACGGUCGCCUGGACGGGAUACUGCUCCUUCUAACAUAGUUAGAAGUCCGAGCAUAUCCCGCUCCUCGCGCCGUUCGCCACUGCCGCCCACCACUCCAGCAGAAGCUUUGGCGCGAGCUCAACUGCUCCUGGAUUACCCUCCAACGGCAGACAAGAUCAAUGGAUGGAGGGCCACCAUUCAGAGUCUCAUCGGCUUCGCCAACGGCGACACUCCGCGGCAGCCGAGUACAUCGCUGCCGCGGCAGGACUGCCAGGCACGAGCCCAUGGCGACGAAACCGGUGGGGAUGCAACCACCAUGCACUCUCCACCCCGAAGGCCAAGAUCGCCGACUCGCCGGAUCCACCUCGACAGCGACUCCACCGCAUCAUCAGAUCCACGAGCUCGUCGCGAUCAGCACCAAGUUCUUCAUGAACGACAGCAAGAAGACGCUCGAACUCGCAUCGAGCGCCGAAGAGAAGCGCGGCGUCAAUCGGACCAGCGCGCUGGGCCCUCUGUCGACAUGCAUGCACCAGGGGAACCAUGCGACUUGCCGUACGUGGUAGGUUGCCCUGUGUUCACUCGUGAGCUGCGGCAAGUCCAGUGGCCCAGCACGAAGAAUUUCAAGCCAGACGUGCCAGAGAAGUACGACGACAAGUCGCAUCCGUCGGAGUUCCUCAGCAUCUACACCAUUGCGGUGCAAGCUGCCGGGGGGCGGGACGACAAGAUCCUGGCCAACUACUUCCCGCUGGUGCUCAAGCCCAAUGUCAGAUCCUGGCUCAUGCACUUGCCGGACAACUCCAUAUCCUCCUGGGCAGACCUAUGCCAUCAGUUUGUCGGUGCCUUUACAGGCGGCCACAAGCCUCAUGGCCAAGAGAGCGACCUUCAUCUGCUCGCCCAGAAGGAAGGAGAGCCCCUGCGCAAGUACAUUCAGAGAUUCAGCCGCGUACAGCACAACAUCCCAGAUGUCCACCCUGCCGCGGUAAUUAGCGCGUUCCAUCAGAACGUGCGAAACCGCAGGAUGCGGGAGGAGAUGGCGAUGUGCAAGAUCAGAGACGUCAGUGAGCUAUAUGCCCUGGCCGACAAGUGUGCACGUGCUGAGGAAGGGAGGAAACUGCCCGGAGAGAAUACAGAAGCAGGAGGAUCUGAUAGUGAGGAGGCUGCCCCGGCAAAGAAAAACCGGCCGCGUAACAACAGGAAGAAGAAAGGCAAAGAUGUGCUAGUCGUUGAGCAGUCCGGCAACGGAGGUGGCGCCAAGAAAGCCAAAGCUGGUAGCUCCGGCGUGGAGAUUGCCGCAGGCACCAACUACCAGGUUGUGGCGGUCGCCGACAAGCAGGACGGCACCAACAAGCAGUACUGCAAGAUCCACCGCACCAAGGGCCAUGACCUCCAGAGCUGCAAGAAGGUCGAGCAGCUUGUUGAGUAGCAAAAGGCUGAAUAUGAGCGACACGACAAGGAGAAAGCCCAGGAAGGUGCUGGAGGAGCCGGCAAGAAACACCCCGGCCGAGGAGGACGCCGCGGCAAGGCCAAGCAGCGGCAAGGAGAUAGACCUUCCCACGUCCGCAACAAGGAUGAAGAUGAUGACGACGAUGAAGAUAUGGAUGAUGACGAGACCGAUGAGCAGGAGUUCCAGAAAAGCCACAGAGGUCCUGUGCAUUGACGGCGGUGCUUCUCUGCAUACUUCACACUGCCAGCUCAAGCAGUGGGUGCGGGAAGUCAAUGCGGCAGAACCACCCGUCGAGUCACGAAAGCCUCUGAAAUGGUCCAACACGCCUAUCAUCUUUGAUAUUGAGGACCACCCUGAUCGCAUAACUGCGGUCGGGUGCUUGCCGAUGUUGGUUUCACCAACUAUCCGCAACCUUAAGGUCACUAAGAUGCUAGUUGACGGUGGGGCCGACUUGAACCUGAUCUCCUCCGCGGUACUCUAGAAACUCCAGAUCCCUGACGGCGAGCUCGAAGAGACCGACAGAUUCCAAGGAAUCAAUCCGGGAAGGAGCAAGCCGAAGGGAAAGAUCACGUUGCCGGUGACAUUUGGCAGCGAGUUGAACUUUAGGACUGAGAGGGUCACUUUUGACGUUGCUGACUUUCCAUUGCCUUACAAUGGGAUACUCGGCCGUCCAGCACUCGCCAAAUUCAUGGCAGCCUCUCACUAUGCAUACAACAUGCUGAAGAUGCCAGGCCCGAUAAGUGUCAUCUCUGUCCCUGGCGACAAGAAGGAUGCUCUUAUCUGCGCCGACAAGAUCUACCGGGAAGCAGCAGCCACAACAGAUCGCAAAUCACGUGCUUCAUAAAGCUCCCGGGGGGAAGAAAAAGACCAAGUCCGACAAGAGUUCUGAUGCCCACUCCGGCAAGCGCACCUCUUCGGAGUGCUGCGCUACCGUCGAGGACGCACCAUCGAGCUCCACCGGCAAGUGUAAGAAGGCAAUGGCAGCUCCACCAGAGACCAAGAAGGUGUCCGCCAAGGAGGACGGCACUGGUGGUACCUUCACCAUCAGUGCCACUCUCGACUCUAAAUAGGAAAGCGCGCUCGUUGCUUUCCUGCGGGCGAAUGUCGACGUGUUUGCGUGGCAACCGUCUGACAUCCCCGGUGUUCCCAGGAAAGUAAUCGAGCACCACCUUGCCGUCUGUCCUCAUGCGCGGCCCGUCAAGAAGAAAGUCAGGAAACAGGCAGUGGAGCACCAAGAAUUCAUCGCAGAAGAAAUCAAGAAAUUGGAAGCAGUAGGCCUUGUCAGAGGAGUGCUCCAUCCUACGUGGUUGGCCAACCCUGUAGUCGUGCGCAAGGCAAACGGGAAAUGGAGGCUUUGUAUCGACUUUACUGAUGUCAAUAAAGCUUGUCCCAAAGACCCAUUUCCCUUGCCGCGCAUCGACCAGAUUGUUGAGUCCACGGCCGGAUGUGACUUGCUUUCAUUUCUUGAUGCAUACUCAGGAUACCAUCAGAUCUUCAUGGCAGAAGAGGAUGAGGAGAAGACCGCAUUCAUCACCCCAUGUGGCACAUACUAUUUCGUACGGAUGCCUUUCGGUUUAAAGAAUGGUGGUUCAACAUUUGCAAGGGUAGUCCAUGACGCUUUUGAGCCGCAAAUACACAGAAAUGUGGAAGCCUACAUGGAUGACAUAGUGGUCAAGAGCAAGGACAAGGCGACUUUGAUUCAAGAUUUAGACGAAACCUUUGCAAAUCUGCGCAAGAUCAACCUCAAGCUUAAUCCCGAGAAGUGUGUGUUUGGAGUCCCCUCCGGCAAGCUUCUCGGGUUCUUCGUGUCUCAGCAAGGAAUUGAAGCCAAUCCCGACAAGAUCAAGGCCAUUGAGCAGAUCGAAGCACCAAAGUGCGUCAAGGAUGUACGAAGACUUGCCGGUUGCGUGGCUGCUCUCAGCAGGUUUAUCUCUAGAUCUGCUGAGCGCGCCCUGCCGUUUUUCAAGAUAUUGAAAAAGGCAGGUCCAAUGAAAUGGACUCCGGAGGCGGAGGCUGCGCUGCAGGACUUGAAGAGAUACCUAUCCUCCACUCCAACACUUGUCGCACCUAAGCCACAAGAGAAGUUGCUGCUAUAUAUAGCGGCAACCAAUCAAGUGGUUAGUGCUGCAUUAGUAGCGGAGAGGGAGGCGGAUGAUGAGCCAGCAACCACGGCAGAUGCAUCCAGCGACAAGCAGGGGACUUCACCGGCAAGCUCUGGUCCCGACAAAGAUGGAUCUGCACAGGCGCAUGAGAAGAUGCAGAAAAGAAUGGUGCAGCGCCCAGUUUACUUUGUCAGUUCCCUUCUGCAGGGGGCUAGGUCAAGGUACUCUGGUGUGCAGAAAUUGCUUUUCGGCCUUCUCAUGGCCUCGAGAAAGCUGCACCAUUACUUCCAAGCACAUGAGAUCACAGUCGUCACUCGUUUUCCGCUGAAGAGGAUACUUCAAAAUCCAGAAGCAAUAGGCAGAAUUGUCGAGUGGGCACUUGAACUGUCAAGCUUUGGCCUCAAGUUUGAGAGCACUUCAACUAUCCAAAGCAGAGCAUUGGCGGAGUUCAUAGCAGAAUGGACACCAACACAAGAUGAAGAAAUUCCAGAAACGAGCAUCCCCGUCAAGGAAGCAAGCAAGCUGAUGUACUUUGAUGGUGCCUUCUCGCUGCAAGGCGCCGGUGCGGGCGUGCUACUUGUUGCACCCACCGGAGAGCACUUCAAGUACGUAGUCCAGAUGCACUUUCCCAAGGAGCAAGCAAUGAACAAUACCGCAGAGUAUGAAGGUUUGCUUGCCGGUCUCAGGAUCGCAGCAGACCUUGGGAUCAAGAAGCUCAUUGUCAGGGGUGACUCACAGCUUGUCGUCCGCCAAGUGAACAAGAAUAUCAGAGUCCGUUGAUGGAAGCUUACGUUGAUGAAGUGAGGAAGCUAGAAGAGCACUUUGAUGGCCUACGGAUGGAACAUGUUCCAAGAGCUCAGAAUGACAUUGCCGAUGGCCUGUCGAAGUCCGCCGCACUUAAGUUACCCGUGGAACCAGGGAUCUUUGUGCUCAAACUGACUCAACCAUCUGUAACGCCAUCAACUGGACAGAGCAACAAGAGGAAGUUGAUUUCUGGUGACUAUUUUCCGGCAGAGCUCCCCGAAGUCGCCGCCAAGAAAGUCCUCAAGAUCAACACCAAGGGUGCUGAGGAGCAGUCUGCUCCGGCAAGCCCUAGGGUUUGUUCCGUUGAAGCAGACGCUCCCGACAAGUUUUGCUCCGGCAAGCUUGCCGGGGAACGUCAAGCUCCGGCUAAGCCGCAGGUUCUCACUGUAGAAGCGGAUGUUCCUGCAGCAGCAGAUGUGCCUUUAGUCCUUGUUGUCGAGCCGCAAGCUCCAGCAUGGGCACAGCAGAUUGUCCGUUUCCUUUAGACAGGAGAACUUCCCGAAGAGCAAGAAGAAGCGGAAAGAGUAGCCCGACAGUCAAGUACGUACCAGUUUGUCGACAACACACUGUACAGAAGAAGACUCAAUGGUAUGAAAUUGAAGUGUAUUCACCGGGAAGACGGAAAAAAGCUGUUGGCAGAGAUACAUGGAGGCAUAUGUGGUCACCACGUUGGCGCAAGAGCACUUGCCGGCAAAGCGUUUCGGCAAGGUUUCUUUUGGCCGACAGCCCUCCAGGAUGCAACUGCACAAGUAACCAAGUGUGAAGCGUGCCAGUUCCAUUCCAAGCAGAUACACCAGCCAGCUCAAGCUCUCCAGACGAUCCCUUUAUCCUGGCCAUUUUCGGUCUGGGGGCUCGACAUCCUCGGCCCCUUUCCCCGAGCUGUCGGGGGCUUUGAGUACUUGUACGUUGCAAUCGACAAGUUCACAAAGUGGCCAGAAGUGGAAGCAGUGAGGAAGGUGAUAGCACAGUCAGCAGUCAAGUUCUUCAGGUCGAUUGUUUGCCACUUCGGGAUCCCUAACAGGAUCAUCACCGACAACAACACGCAAUUCACGAGCCGCACCUUCAUGCAGUACGUCCAAGAUCUUGGCGCCAAGGUCUGCUUCGCUUCUGUUGCUCAUCCGAGAAGUAACGGUCAAGCGGAGAGGGCAAAUGCUGAAGUGCUGCGCGGGCUCAAGACCAGGACUUUCGACAGGCUGUGCAAGUGCGGAAAGAACUGGAUUGAGGAGCUGCCGGUGGUUCUUUGGUCGAUCAGGACGACGCCAAAUCGAGCCACUGGCCAGACACCUUUUGCUCUAGUCUAUGGAGCAGAGGUAGUUCUCCCCACGGAACUCGUAUACGGGUCACCUCGAGUGCUCGCUUAUGAUGAGCUUGAGCAAGAGCAGUUGCGACAAGAUGACGCGCUGCUCCUUGAGGAGAACCGUCUUCAGGCCGCUGUACGAGCUGCUCGAUACCAUCAAGCUUUGCGCCACUGCCAUAGCCGCAAAGUUAAUGCCAAAAGUCUCGAGGAAGGCGACCUUGUUCUUCGGCGCGUUCAGUCCGCCAAGAAUUCCAACAAGUUGACACCGAAGUGGGAAGGCCCUUACCGGGUGAAACGAGUCACUAGGCCUGGCACUGUCCGCCUUGAGACCGAAGAUGGCAUUCCGGUGAGCAACUCCUGGAACAUUGAGCAUCUUCGUAAGUUUUACCCGUAGGGCGCGGUUGCCGGAACCUGUUCUGGCAACCACCUUUUGUACAAGUCUUGCCUAUGUUGCAUGUAAUCCUUUGUACGAAGCCGGGCGCAGACCCCGUGUGUAAGUAAAGCUCAUGUGCUCCGCACAUCUUGUCAAUUUCAUGCUUUCUACCUUCUUUUGCAUGCGUUAUCUGACACUUUGUGCAGCACCUACCCCCGGUAAGCAAUAACGAGUCGUAAGGCUCCAUAUCUUUACUUUCUCUUCUUUCUCUUUCUCAAAGAAAGGAAGGUUCCCUCGCCCACAAGUUUGCCGGGGGGAAAGGAGAGGACAAUGAUGGUGUGGACCAAGCAUCGUUCGAGGAAGUUUCGCCUUACCGGGAAGCAAACAACAGAAAAGCUAAGUUGCUAAAGUUUGAGCAAUCAGUUUUAAAAAUUUUAAGUUAUCUUCCUCGAACGACCGUGCUUUGUAUGGAAAACCUGUGCGUGUCCGCCAAGGAGGACGGCACUGGUGGUACCUUCACCAUCAGUGCCACUCUCGACCCUAAAUAGGAAAGCGCGCUCAUUGCUUUCCCGCGGGCGAACGUCGACGUGUUUGCGUGGCAACCGUCUGACAUCCCCGGUGUUCCCAGGAAAGUAAUCGAGCACCACCUUGCCGUCUGUCCUCAUGCGCGGCCCGUCAAGCAGAAAGUCAGGAAACAGGCAGUGGAGCGCCAAGAAUUCAUCGCAGAAGAAAUCAAGAAAUUGGAAGCAGCAGGCCUUGUCAAAGGAGUGCUCCAUCCUACGUGGUUGGCCAACCCUGUAGCCAUGCGCAAGGCAAACGGGAAAUGGAGGCUUUGUAUCGACUUUACUGAUGUCAAUAAAGCUUGUCCCAAAGACCCAUUUCCCUUGCCGCGCAUCGACCAGAUUGUUGACUCCACGGCCGGAUGUGACUUGCUUUCAUUUCUUGAUGCAUACUCAGGAUACCAUCAGAUCUUCAUGGCAGAAGAGGAUGAGGAGAAGACCGCAUUCAUCACCCCAUGUGGCACAUACUAUUUCGUACGGAUGCCUUUCGGUUUAAAGAAUGCUGGUUCAACAUUUGCAAGGGUAGUCCAUGACGCUUUUGAGCCGCAAAUACACAGAAAUGUGGAAGCCUACAUGGAUGACAUAGUGGUCAAGAGCAAGGACAAGGCGAUUUUGAUUCAAGAUUUAGACGAAACCUUUGCAAAUCUGCGCAAGAUCAACCUCAAGCUUAAUCCCGAGAAGUGUGUGUUUGGAGUCCCCUCCGGCAAGCUUCUUGGGUUCUUCGUGUCUCAACGGGGAAUUGAAGCCAAUCCCGACAAGAUCAAGGCCAUUGAGCAGAUCGAAGCACCAAAGCGCGUCAAGGAUGUACGAAGACUUGCCGGUUGCGUGGCUGCUCUCAACAGGUUUAUCUCUAGAUCUGCUGAGCGCGCCCUGCCGUUUUUCAAGAUAUUGAAAAAGGCAGGUCCAAUGAAAUGGACUCCAGAGGCAGAGGCUGCGCUGCAGGACUUGAAGAGAUACCUGUCCUCCACUCCAACACUUGUCGCACCUAAGCCACAAGAGAAGUUGCUGCUAUAUAUAGCGGCAACCAAUCAAGUGGUUAGUGCUGCAUUAGUAGCAGAGAGGGAGGCGGAUGAUGAGCCAGCAACCACGGCAGAUGCAUCCAGCGACAAGCAGGGGACUUCAGCGGCAAGCUUUGGUCCCGACAAAGAUGGAUCUGCGCAGGCGCGUGAGAAGAUGCAGAAAAGAAUGGUGCAGCGCCCAGUUUACUUUGUCAGUUCCCUUCUGCAGGGGGCUAUGUCAAGGUACUCUGGUGUGCAGAAAUUGCUUUUCGGCCUUCUCAUGGCCUCGAGAAAGCUGCACCAUUACUUCCAAGCACAUGAGAUCACAGUCGUCACUCGUUUUCCGCUGAAGAGGAUACUGCAAAAUCUAGAAGCAACAGGCAGAAUUGUCGAGUGGGCACUGGAACUGUCAAGCUUUGGCCUCAAGUUUGAGAGCACUUCAACUAUCCAAAGCAGAGCAUUGGCGGAGUUCAUAGCAGAAUGGACGCCAACACAAGAUGAAGAAAUUCCAAAAACAAGCAUCCCCGUCAAGGAAGCAAGCAAGCUGAUGUACUUUGAUGGUGCCUUCUCGCUGCAAGGCGCCGGUGCGGGCGUGCUACUUGUUGCACCCACCGGAGAGCACCUCAAGUACGUAGUCCAGAUGCACUUUCCCAAGGAGCAAGCAACGAACAAUACCGCAGAGUAUGAAGGUUUGCUUGCCGGUCUCAGGAUCGCAGCAGACCUUGGGAUCAAGAAGCUCAUUGUCAGGGGUGACUCACAGCUUGUCGUCUGCCAAGUGAACAAGAAUUAUCAGAGUCCGUUGAUGGAAGCUUACGUUGAUGAAGUGAGGAAGCUAGAAGAGCACUUUGACGGCCUACGGAUGGAACAUGUUCCAAGAGCUCAGAACGACAUUGCCGAUGGCCUGUCGAAGUCCGCCGCACUUAAGUUACCUGUGGAACCAGGGAUCUUUGUGCUCAAACUGACUCAGCCGUCUGUAACGCCAUCAACUGGACAGAGCAAGAAGAGGAAGUUGAUUUCUGGUGACUAUUUUCUGGCAGAGCUCCCCGAAGCCGCCGCCAAGAAAGUCCUCAAGAUCAACACCAAGGGUGCUGAGGAGUAGUCUACUCCGGCAAGCCCUAGGGUUUGUUCCGUUGAAGCAGACGCUCCCGACAAGUUUUGCUCCGGCAAGCAUGCCGGGGAACGUCAAGCUCCGCCUGAGCCGCAGGUUCUCGCCGUAGAAGCGGAUGUUCCCGCAGCAGCAGAUGUGCCUUUAGUCCUUGUUGUCGAGCCGCAAGCUCCAGCAUGGGCACAACAGAUUGUCUAUUUCCUUCAGACAGGAGAACUUCCUGAAGAGCAAGAAGAAGCAGAAAGAGUAGCCCGACAGUCAAGUACGUACCAGUUUGUCGACAACACACUAUACAGAAGAAGACUCAAUGGUGUGAAAUUGAAGUGUAUUCACCGGGAAGACGGACAAAAGCUGUUGGCAGAGAUACAUGGAGGCAUAUGUGGUCACCACAUUGGCGCAAGAGCACUUGCCGGCAAAGCGUUCCGGCAAGGUUUCUUUUAGCCGACAACCCUCCAGGAUGCAACUGCACAAGUAACCAAGUGUGAAGCGUGCCAGUUCCAUUCCAAGCAGAUACACCAGCCAGCUCAAGCUCUCCAGACGAUCCCUUUAUCCUGGCCAUUUUCGGUCUGGGGGCUCGACAUCCUCAGCCCCUUUCCCCGAGCUGUCGGGGGCUUUGAGUACUUGUACGUUGCAAUCGACAAGUUCACAAAGUGGCCAGAAGUGGAAGCAGUGAGGAAGGUGACAACACAGUCAGCAGUCAAGUUCUUCAGGUCGAUUGUUUGCCGCUUCCGGAUCCCUAACAGGAUCAUCACCGACAACGCCAUGCAAUUCACGAGCCGCACCUUCAUGCAGUAUGUCCAAGAUCUUGGCGCCAAGGUCUGCUUCGCUUCUGUUGCUCAUCCGAGAAGUAACGGUCAAGCGGAGAGGGCAAAUGCUAAAGUGCUGCGCGGGCUCAAGACCAGGACUUUCGACAGGCUGCGCAAGGCGGAAAGAACUGGAUUGAGGAGCUGCCAGUGGUUCUUUGGUCGAUCAGGAUGACGCCAAAUCGAGCCACUGGCCAGACACCUUUUGCUCUAGUCUAUGGAGCAGAGGUAGUUCUCCCCACGGAACUCGUAUACGGGUCACCUCGAGUGCUCGCUUAUGAUGAGCUUGAGCAAGAGCAGUUGCGACAAGAUGACGCGCUGCUCCUUGAGGAGAACCGUCUUCAGGCCGCUGUACGAGCUGCUCGAUACCAGCAAGCUUUGCGCCGCUACCAUAGCCGCAAAGUUAAUGCCAGAAGUCUCGAGGAAGGCGACCUUGUUCUUCGGCGCGUUCAGUCCGCCAAGAAUUCCAAUAAGUUGACGCCGAAGUGGGAAGGCCCUUACCGGGUGAAACGAGUCACUAGGCCUGUCGAUGUCCGCCUUGAGACCGAAGAUGGCAUUCCGGUGAGCAACUCCUGGAACAUUGAGCAUCUUCGUAAGUUUUACCCGUAGGGCGCAGUUGCCGGAACCUGUUCCGGCAACCACCUUUUGUACAAGUCUUGCCGAUGUUGCAUGUAAUCCUUUGUACGAAGCCGGGCGCAGACCCCGUGCGUAAGUAAAGCUCAUGUGCUCCGCACAUCUUGUCAAUUUCAUGCUUUCUACCUUCUUUUGCAUGCGUUAUCUGACACUUUGUGCAGCACCUACCCCCGGUAAGCAAUAACGAGCCGUAAGGCUCCAUAUCUUUACUUUCUCUUCUUUCUCUUUCUCAAAGAAAGGAAGGUUCCCUUGCCCACAAGUUUGCCGGGGGAAAGGAGAGGAUAAUGAUGGUGUGGACCAAGCGUCGUUCGAGGAAGUUUCGCCUUACCGGGAAGCAAACGACAGAAAAGCUAAGUUGCUAAAGUUUGAGCAAUCAGUUUUAAAAUUUUUAAGUUAUCUUCCUCAAACGACCGUGCUUUAGAUGGAAAACCUGUGCGCGGAGGAAACAACUCGUAGCUAGUUGCGCCCUUACUUUGUUUCGAGUCCGCUCAACAACUUAAGUGAGCUGCGACUAGUUGCGACAAGGUUUCUUGUCGGAAGCGGCACCGCCAGCAGGCUGCUGACGUCCCGCACUCAGCGCUCGCGGCCCAGGUGCCUGCGCCGACAAGUUCCCUGAAAGCGUAGGGCAAAAACAUACAAAGGAAGGAAUCAAGUAGAGGAAAUAAUACAACAAUCUCUAUCCAAAAUAGAGUUAUAUUACAAGAUAGCUUGUCGCAGCUCUAACAGAUUGUUCUCAUGACAUGACCAGCAGCGACAAAGAAAAAGAGAAAACAGGCGGCCUAAUCUACGCGAUCGCCCUCAACCCUCUUGAUCCCGCUCACCUUGUCCACAAUGGGUGCGACAAGGGCCUUGAGCGCUUCCAGAUCAGCAUCCGGCGGCAGGGACCUGAGGACGUUGGCGAGGUUGAGGCCUGGGUUGCGGAAGGCCACCUUCACCAGCACCUUUUGAAGAGCUCCCGUGCAGAUCUUGCGCGACUCGUCGGCCAGCUGCUUUGGGAUCUUCUCCCGGAGUCGCUGGAGGGUCGUCUCCACACCUUUGAAGAACAAGCUGAGCUUGGCGCUGGGUUGGAGGUGCUCAUCGGAGGAGUACCCGAGAUCCUCCAUCCCCAGCUGCGCCAGCUCCCCGUCGAUGGCUGCGGCAACAUCCACGAGACCCUCCGUCCAGUGCUCCACAUUCUCCCUAAAAGUGUUCUGGGCGGCGGCAGCACUCGCCAGCAGCGCCUCGUCGGCCUUGAUCUUCUCCGUCAAGGCCACCUCCCGCUCCCUGGCGCUGUCCAGCGUCUGAGUCAAAGUAACCAGCUUCAACUCAAGAUCUGCGUUGGAGUCCUUGGCGGCGCUAAGCUCUUUGCUCCUCUCAGCGAGACGACCCUGCAGCUCGCCAUGAGCGGCGGCAUCCUUCUUGCGCUCACGCUUGAGCGCAGCAAGCUCCUCGCCACUCGCCUUGAGAUCGGCCUCCAGAUGCGCCACCUUCGUCUCUAGCUCCUUCUUGGCGGCCUCGGCAGCUGCGGCAGCAUCCUCUGCUUCCUUGAGAGCCCCGCCGAAUGUUUUCUCGCGCGCGGAAAGCUCCUCCUCGUGGCUGUCAAGGUUAACCUUCCGCUGCGUCAACUCGCCUUCCUGCGCAGACAGCUUCUCGGCAGCAAGCCGCUGUUGCUCUUCAACUUCAGCCUUCUCGAGGAGGAAGGCUUUCCGCUCCUCGGCGACUUGCUUCCGCUCCUCUGCCAGGGAUCGGAGAGCUUCCUGCCUGAGACCCCGGAGCUCCUCCGCGCGCUUCUCGAUGUCCACUCCCGCCUUCGCGACAAGCGCUUCUCGGGAUUCCAGCUUGGCCUGUCGGGCGCGGUAAAGCGACAACAGCUUCCGCAGCAGCCGCUCCUCCUCAGGCUCGUUGCUGCUGCUGCUUGGCGCAUCGACCAGCGUCAGCCCAGCGGAGGCGAGCACCUCUCCAUCUAAGAUCUCUCCUUCGACCGGCGCCCUGGAGCUUGAUGCCCAGGGGAGCUUGAUGAAGAUGCCGUCGCCAGCCUUCAAACAGGCGCCGGGCUGGGGCUCUUCGGAGCCUGGCGCUGCAACGGCGGCGGAGGGAUCAGCGGUCGGCGUAGCGCCUGACGCUCUUGCGGCCUCGGGGCCGUCAGUGCGAUCGCCGGAUCCCUCGCCAGCUUCUGCGGCGACAGCUUUGGCAGCCUCUUCGCCGGCGGGAUCAUCAGCGCCGGGUUCUCCUUCGGUGGCAACGACGUCGUCGGUAUUGCUGCGCGCGUUCUCCUCGCCGGCGACCUCGGUUUCCAUCGGCUCCGUGGCAGAUGGAUCUGACGAACGGAAAAAGGAGAAAAGUCAAGCAAAUAUCCAAAAAGAAAAUCAGAAGAAGAAGAACCCAAGGGAAGUUUUCAAGCAAGAGGAUUACCUGUACUAGGAUCUGCAGUCAUGGUCUCAACCACCGGAGGGUCGCCAGUGCUGUCCCUUGCCGGAGAACUGUCCCUUGCCGGAGAAUUGUCCCUUGCCGUAGAACGCUCCCUUGCCGGGGAAUCCUCCCUUGGCGGUGUAGUCGAAGCAGAUGGCAUUUCGGGAGCGGCUUCCGGGCACUCCUGGUGAGGCUGCUCUGCUCCUACACAAACCAACAGUCAGAUAUCAGCAAAGAAAGAGCACGCAUGCGCGCCUGACAGCAGGAAGUAAACCAUAUACUUACGCUGGGGGCUGCGCUGGGGGCUGCUUUGGGGAAAAGUUGCCGGGUCUGGCAAGGUGGUCUCGGACAUGUCCCCUGCCGUCGCAAUGGGUUCAUCCUCGAUGAAAAUCACCGGGGCCUUGGCUCUCUUCGCCGCUCUCUGGGCCAGCGUCCUGAAAAGGAAUGGGUUCAGAGUGAAGCAAAUCAGAUACAAGACAAAACAGCAAGAAUUGAAGAACUACAAGUACACCAAAGAAUCUUACUCUUCUUCUUCCUCGUCGGAGCUGAGCGCAGAGAGAUCGAAGUCCGGCUCGCCUCCGGUGCGACGAGGCGGAGGAGUAGGUUCCCUUGUCCGCUUGGCAGGAGCAGUAGCGGUGGACCGGGAAGACCCCGCUCCAGUUGCCGCAGCGGCGUGAGGCGCUCCCGCGGCAACAGUGCUUGCCGCGGUAGAGCGUGUUGUGCGGCACGGCGGCUGUUGACUCGUCUGCCGCCCCGCUACGUCCCCGGCCUUGCGGAGACGCCUUCUUGGUGGAGCCGGGGGCUCCGCUUGCGUCGAGCUGGCUGAAGGUGGGGAGGAGGAGGAGCCGAUCUUCAACGAGUCGCUCGCGCCCUCGACGGGCUCGCUCGACUCAGCUUCGGGCCUGACAAGCUCUUCCUCGCCGGCAAGCUCCUCUCGCUCGACAAGGCUUGCUUCCUCUGCUGCCUCUGCCUCCUCCACGGUGAAUCCGAACUCGCCCGCGGCAGCGGCUGCUGCCGCCUCUUCCAGCCUGGUGGCGAUGCGCUGCAUCUCAUCAUCGGUGGUGUCGCGGGUGAGGCUCUUCUGUUCAUCGGGGUGGACCGGCACUUCUACCAGGCCGUCAAAGAACUCCUGCACGACGUCGUCUGCAGGCUCUUGCCAAGUUGGGACAAUUCCAUGCGAAUCGCACAGCGGCAUCAUUGCAUGGAUGCGGUCAAGCGAGGAGUUGUUGCACAGCGGAACAACACCCCUCGGCAACCUGAACACUUCAGGAUGUUGAGGAUCGUGCUUGAACAGUUCCAGGAGCAUCACGUCCAGUUCCAGGACAGUGAAGUUAAAAUUGAGGCCCGGGCGCAGCCUCAUGAUAUCCGCCGCAUUCUGGAACUCCCAGGCGGGUCUCCUCCUCUCCUGCAGGGGGGCGAUGCAGCGAUGAAGAAAAUCUGCGCCAACGGCGCCUACAGUGAGCCCGGCAAGCCUAAGGCGUAGGAUCCGGGUGACGGCAAUCUUUAGCCUAGCGUCUUCCGGGGCCACGCUGCUCCAAUCGUUGCCACGCACUACUGGGGCUUGGCGCUGGGCGGUAAACGGCUGUUGGUUCUCCUCGACAAUCCAGCACCAGUCUGCUCUCCAUUCAUCCCACUUGCUGCAGAGCUCUCCCUCCAGAUAAGCGUCCUUCUUGCCGGUUCUCGAGAUCCAAGCGAUUCCACCGGAAAGAGGCUCCCCUCUCUCAACUCGGGGCAUAAAGAAGUGGCGGAAAAGAGCUACGUUUGGAUAGACUCCGACAAAGUUUUCGCAGAGAUGUGCGAAAACUGCCAUGGUCAGAACAGCAUUGGGGGUGAAGUCAAGGAGGCGGAACCCGUAGGUGUGCAUGAUAUCGCAGAAAAAUUCAGAGAAAGGCGGGCAGAGCCCGCAGUAGAAGAACAACACGAAGAAAGAGUAUCCAUUCGGAGCCAGUUCCGAAGCGGCAGCUGGGAGUACCUUCGUACGCGGAUGCGCUCGCGUCUCCGUCGACCAGAAGAGGUAGUAGUACUCCCUCAGCUCCUUCGUGGCGAGCUGGGGGGGGGGGGGAGAUUGCCCGCUCCUUUCGCAGCGCCGCGAGCCGCUGCGCCUCGGCCGACUUCACGACCUUCCCCUUGUCGGCUUUCGGAGCCAUGGCGGAGGUGGUGGGGGAGAUCGACAGCGUUGGUGAUGCUGGUGGCGAUGAGGGGCGGAGCACUGCUCUCUUUCAGCUUUGGGAAGAAGGGGGGAGCGGCGGAGAUUUCUGAGAUUGGAGUAGCAACCGGCGAGAUGGGCGAACUGCCCCUGUUUCCCCUGCUUAUAAAGAGGGAGGGGGGGCGUUCUGUCUUUCUGAAUAAAGAAACCACCCACGAUCUCUCCCACGACACCGCAUUCGACGCGUGCCGUUCGAGGAGGGCGCGGUGGAUACAGAGUGAGAUACGAUGUAACCCAGGCCGCGCGUGCCCGUGCCCUGUUUUGGGCCUGGCCCAACAGUGCUCGGCACCGUGUGUGGCCCAGGCCCGGGGGCUCCUGUCGGUGUACUAGAGUAGGGGUACCCUAGUAUCCCGAACUUGUGCACGGGCAGUUGCAGCACCCCGCGGCAAGGCUUGCCGGGUGACCGCCAAGGUCCUCCAUGGUUCCUUUGGAGCCAUUCAAGAACAAAGUAUUCAAGCCAAGGAGACAAGGCCCCGGCAAGAGGAGCUUGCCGGGAAGGCCAACCAAGGCAUCUCAAGGAACUUGCCGCGGUGCGCCACGCGUCCCAGCGAGGCCCGGUGAGCGACAAGCUUCCGGACACGACGAGACAACGACCGCGGCAAGGCGCUUGCCGCGGCAAACUACCAUUCUGUACCCACGCUCCAGCACAUCCACCAACGUGUCGCCCUGGGGCCUUUCCAGGCGCGCGUGGCGAGAGGCCGUGCAGCCAGCGGUGCGGAGUGGCAAGCGGCGCUGACAAGAUAGCCAUCAUGGCAAGCGGUGGCGUCCUUGACGGUACCUUUUUGCACUAUUUGGGCGACGUAGACGGGCAUUUAAUGCCUUUGUCCCCCGCCGUCAGGGUUAGGUAUGAUACACUGUACAGGUAGCUGUACCAACCGCAAUUCCUUUUCCAUUUUUACCCUUGUCUACCUUGCCACCUGUCGGAGACCCCUUGAGCAUAUAAAAGGAGGCCCAUGCGCAACGUAGAGGGGGGUUCGAAGGCAGAAAAACACUCAUGCUCGGUCUCGUUAGCAGCUAGUGUGUACUGUAGCACUCGGCGCUCCCAAGCAAGAACUCAAUACACUCAGACAUGCAGCAGUAGAGUGUUAUCUCUCCGGAGAGCUCCGAAGCUGGGUAAACUGCUCGUGUGCUUCGCCUCGAUCCGCUCUUCGUGCGAUCUCCGCCCCCCGCCGAACCGAAAGGGGCUCGGUCCGCCGGUCCCAUAGGUGUUCGUGGAUCAGUUUCCCCGACAUUCGUGUUCUUCACUGUUUCUUCAUGGUUCCUCCACUGCAGCCUCCUUUGAUCCAAAAGUAAUAUAGAACUCAUGCGGUAGUUGUUUUGCGUCCAUUUUGAUACUAGCGGAUCCCUUUUUCUGUAAAUAGGCCUCAUUAGAACUCAUCAACUUAUCUGAACUGGUUUUUUAGGUCUAGAUUAUUUCCUUUUUCUGAACAGCCGUUGAUCCAAAAUAAUAGCUGCAGCUAGUGAAACUUGUUUGUGUAACACUCAGGCAAAAAACUGUAUUUUGUUAGAUCCACCUAGCCAUGGCGACUCUUAUCACCGGCUUAAAAUCGCAAUGCUCAAUUGAUAAUCUUAACCACUCAUGGCAGUUUAAAUAACUUGACUACUCAUGGCGCUCAUGGCGGCUUAAAUAACUUGACACAAUUAGCCAUAUACCAUUAGGCCCCUUUAUAAGCCACCAUCUUGAAUAUGCACUGUAAUGUUUCUCUUCGGCUUAAAUUUGAACCGGAAAUUUUACUCUUUGUUAGGCUUCCUUCACAAUGCCGCCCAAACAACCCACUUCAUGCAAUUGGGUCAAGUCCAUCGUACAGAUAGUACGCUUGAGGACUUUGUGGAGACUGGUUAUCUGCCAAAGAAGGAAGUCAUGUCAUAUCGUGGUCCUGACCCCACAGAAGAAAAACCUCAGCCCAAAGAGGGGGAGGUCAUCAUCUUCACUGACCAUAUGACCCGGGGUUUUUCACCACCCAGCUCAAAAUUCUUCAGAGACGUCCUGCACUUUUUUGACCUCCGUCUUCAAGACAUCGGACCCCACUCCGUGUCCAAUAUUUGCAACUUUCAAGUAUUCAGUGAGGUGUAUCUUGGAGAAGAGCCCAACUUAUUACUCUUCAGAGAGUUAUUUUAUUUGAACUGCCAGAACAAAUGUGCCAAUGGACCUAGCUUGGAGCUUGGCGGGGUCUCAAUCCAACGACGGAGAGACGUCAUUUUUCCGUAUGCAAAUCCACCAAGUCACCCCAAAGACUGGAACCAUACAUGGUUUUAUUGCCAAGACACUUCUCCGACUGAUGAGAACCCUCUGCCCGGCUUUCGUGCUCUGUGUCUUGACUCCAAUCAUCUGCUUCCUGAUAAGGUGACAGCUGUCGAACGCCAGACUCUCGCCCCCACCAUGGCUAAAGUCAAGGCUCUUUUGGGGAAUGGGUUAAAUGGCAUCGACUUGGUCUGAUUUUGGCUUGCCUGGCGGAUCAUUCCAUUGAGCCGCCGCUCGGGUUUGAUGUGCACCUACACGGGCAAGAAGAAUGACCCUCUGUGGCACAACCCUGAUGAUUUACCUGACCACGUCGUUGAUGACAUGACAAAGUCACUCUUGAAUGAAAGCCUAGUAGAUUGUGGUAAUGUGGGCUUAAACCCCUUCUGCGAAGCUAACCCGGCUCCAGCGGUAAGCUGCCAACCUGAAUAAAUUACCUUCAUCCUUUGAUGUUUUGUCUGUACUCAAACCUUUGCUUAUUUUCGCAGGAUGAUGAUAAAUUCUGGAAGUCUAAGUAUGAUCAUGAGGCUGCGAAGAGAGCCAGUAAGGCCAAGAGAGCCGCCAGGAAAGAGGCCGCGAAGAAAAGAGGAAAAAAGUCUAUCACUUCUAAGUUGUUUCAACUGGAGGACUCUUCUGAGUCAGAGGUAUCCCUUGACUCUGUUGGCUCAUUUUUUAAUCACCUUAUUGAUACCGAUUAUAAUCAGGAUGACACGGGAAUGAGUCAUGGGGUAGAUGAAGAGGUAACUAUUAUUUCCUCCGACUCAGAGCCUUUGCCAAGGCAAAAAAUCCAAAGAGUAAUCCGGAAAGUAAGAUUUUCACAUCCCUUAGCUUAUCAAGAUCCUCAAUUUCUUUUGAAGCGACAGAUUCAUGAGAGCCGGAGGCAGACCCGAACCAGCAAAAACGCGGAACUCUCCUCCGGCUUACCAAAUACACCAAAGAAGAGCCGGAAUGAGUGAUGGAGUCCUGGAUAAGGGGGUAUCCGGAUGGCCAGACUAUAUACUUUGGCCGGACUGUUGGACUAUGAAGAUACAAGAUUCAAGACUUUGUCCCGUGUCCGGAUGGGACUCUCCUUUGCGUGGAAGGCAAGCUUGGCAAUUCGGAUAUUAGAUCUCCUCCUUUUGUAACCGACUCUGUGUAACCCUAGCCUCCUCCGGUGUCUAUAUAAACCGGAGGGUUUAGUCCGUAGGACGAGAACAAUCAUAAUCAUAGGCUAGCUCCUAGGGUUUAGCCUCUACGAUCUCAUGGUAGAUCAAAUCUUGUAAUACUUAUAUCAUCAAGAUCAAUCAAGCAGGAAGUAGGGUAUUACCUCCAUCGAGAGGGCCCGAACCUGGGUAAAACAUCGUGUCCCCUGCCUCCUGUUACCAUUAGCCUUAUAUGCAUAGUUUGGGACCCCUACCCGAGAUCCGGCGGUUUUGACACCGACAUUGGUGCUUUCAUUGAGAGUUCCUCUGUGUCGUCGCUAUAGGGCUCGAUGGCUCCUUCAAUCAUCAACAACAACGCGGUCCGGGGUGAGAUUUUUCUCCUCGGACAGAUCUUCAUGUUCGGCGGCUUCGCACUGCGGGCCAAUUCGCUUGGCCAUCUGGAGCAGAUCGACACCUACGCCCAUGGCCAUCAGGUCAGGUUUGGAAACUUGAAUUACAUGGCCGACAUUUGCGGAGACUUGAUCUCCAAUGAGUUCGGGCCUACACCAGGAGCGCCAAACGGUCAUGACGGGCAGGACUUGGAUCUGCCGUCGGAUAGUAUUCGGGAUAUCGCACCUGCAGUAGCCCCAGACCUAAAUCCGGGGCAGAGCGCGUCAUCCGAGGAUGGGUGGAUGGACCCCGCCAUGGAUGCCGCAUACUCAUCAGCGUUGGAGCCGAACACAGACUCCACCUGUAAGGAAAUCUGUGUCGCCGGACCCCCAGACUUGUUUUCGGCUGUAGGUCCCGGACCGUGCGCAUCCAUGCCCAUCGAAGCUGACUGGGCACCAAUCAUGGAAUUCACUGCCGCGGAUAUCUUCCAGCACUCGCCCUUCGGCGACGUGCUAAACUCUUCAAGGUCUCUCUCUUUGUCAGAAGACUCUUGGCCGAACUAUGUCCGGCUCGAGUGGGAUACGGACGACGAGGAAAAUCGCAGCCCACCCACCACCCACUUCAUAGCCACUGUCGAUGAUCUAACAGACAUGCUUGACUUCGACUCCGACGACAUCAAUGGUAUGGACGCCGAUGCAGGGGACGAUCUGGAACCACCGCCCACGGGGCGCUGGACUGCCACUUCAUCAUAUGAUAUAUACAUGGUGGAAACACCCAAGGAGAACAACGGGGACAAAAAGGACACAAUGGAGGAUAAAUCCCCUGGACAAAAGCCAAAACAACGACGCAGGGGCCGCUCCAAGUCCAGUCACGGUAAAAAUAGUGAUAAUAGCGAAAGGAAAAUUGACACCCCGCUCGGCUCCGAAGGCAACAACGACCAUAUGGACCCAGCGAUGGAGUAGGAUGAGCCAGGUCACGCCGAACACAGCCCGGAGCAGAUGCCCGAUCACAGCGAUCCCGAGGGUCGAACCCACCAACCUGCCUCCGGAGAGGAGGACAGUCCGGACGACAAUGCAUUCAUCAUCCCGGAAAAACGCCUGGAACAAGAUAAUCUCCGCAGAAGGCUGAUGGCCACUGCAAGGAGCCUAAAGAAGCAUAAGCAAAGGCUUAAGGACACGUAGGCUACACUCAACCGCAGGUGGAAAAAGUGCUAGACACCAAAGAAAAAUACGGCAACGAUCGCCAUACAAAGAGCUACCCAAAGCACAAGCUGCUGCCCGAAUUCGACGAUGAAGUCGUAGAGCCCAUUCCGCCGAAGAACAAUAUGGCCAAUCGGCCGGACCAAUCACUUCAUGGCCGCGAUAGAGCAGCUAUUGAUGACGCACACGAUUUAUGUGAGCUCCUGAACAAAAAGGCCGGCGCGACCAGGUCCAUCUAUGGAUCUAGAGGACAUGCUCCGGCGCGGAAUUAUGGUCACCAAGACGAUCACACUAAUCGCGCACCAGUCCGGAAUCAACACCGGACACAACACCAGUCGAAAGCAUGCCACGACAUGUCCAGAUACAGAGGGGCGGUGCACCCUCUAUGCUUCACCGAUGAGGUGCUGGAUCACGAAUUUCCACAGGGAUUCAAACCCGUGAACAUAGAGGCAUAUGACGGAACGACAGACCCUGGGGUCUGGAUUGAGGAUUUUAUCCUUCAUAUCCACAUGGCUCCCGAGGAUGACCUCCACGCCAUCAAAUAUCUACCCCUCAAGUUGAAAGGGCCAGCUCGGCACUAGUUGAAAAGCCUCCCCGAAAAUUCAACCGGAAGUUGGGAGGAACUUGAUGACGCUUUCAGGGCCAAUUUUCAAGGGACCUAUGUCCGACCUCCGGACGCUGACGAUUUAAGUCACAUAAUACAACAGCCCGGAGAGUCAGCCUGUAAACUUUGGAACAGAUUUCUCACUAAGAAGAAUCAAAUUGUCGAUUGUCCGGAUGCCGAAGCCCUAGCGGCCUUCAAGCACAGUAUCCGAGACGAGUGGCUCGCCAGACACCUCGGCCAAGAAAAGCCGAGGACAAUGGCGGCCUUAACAAGCCUUAUGACCCGCUUCUGUGCGGGUGAGGAUAGCUGGUUGGCCCGUAGAGGCACCAGUGACCCGGGCACAUCCAAAAUUAGGGAUGGCAACGGGAAGCCACGGCGCAAUAAAAACAAGCGUUGAAACAAGGAAGACAGUCCGGACAACACGACGGUCAACGCCGGAUUCAGGGGCUCUCGACCCGGUCAACGAAAGAAGCCAUUUAAAGGCAACAAAGAAGGACCGUCUGGCUUGAACAAAGUCCUGGACAGAUUGUGCCAAAUUCAUGGCACCCCCGAAAAACCUGCGAAUGACACUCACAGAGAAUGCUGGGUCUUCAAGCAGGCCGGCAAGUUAAAUGCCGAACACACGGGAAGAGAAACACCAAGUGAAGACGAGGAUGAGCCUCGCCAGCCGAACACUGGGGGACAGAAAAAAUUCCCACCAGAACUCAAAACAGUAAACAUGAUCUACGCGACUCACAUACCAAAUAGAAGGCGCAAACGCGCGCUCAGAGACAUAUACACUGUAGAACCCGUCGCCCCCAAAUUCAACCCCUGGUCGGCCUACCCGAUCACCUUCAACCACAGGGACCACCCGACUAGUAUCCGGCACGGAGGAUCGGCUGCCUUGGUGCUCGACCCAAUAAUCAAUGGAUACCAUCUCACUCGCGUCCUCAUGGACGGUGGCAGUAGUCUUAAUCUGAUAUAUCAGGACACUGUCCGCAAGAUGGGGAUAGACCCAUCCAGAAUCAGCCAAAGUAACACCACCUUUAAAGGAGUGAUACCAGGCGUUGAGGCCCGCUGCAGGGGCUCCCUCGUAUUAGAGGUGACAUUCGAUUCUCCUGACAACUUCAGAAGCGAAGAGUUACUCUUCGACAUCGCUCCCUUCCGAAGCGGUUAUCAUGCAUUACUCGGAAGAACGUCCUUUGCUCGCUUCAACGCAGUACCGCACUAUGCCUACCUUAAACUCAAGAUGCCCGGUCCACGUGGCAUCAUCACUGUUAGCGGAAACACAGAGCAUUCCCUACGUGCGGAAGAGUAUGUGGCGGCUCUAGCAGCCGGACACUAAGCGGCCUCUCCUAUCAGACUGCAUGAUCGGUCGUUAAGACCAUGGACACGGUUAGACGAGUCCGGCGCACCACCCUCGGUAACAGCCUAGAUAAACCUGAGCCGGGUGCUAUACAUAUUCCCCCCAUAGAUGGAACUAGGGGCUGCAAACAUGUACUAAAGCCCAUAAUUUGGCUUGACCUUAUUAAACAUGCCAAUAUCUCACAUUUCUACUAUCAAUUGAGAAUAAACCAACUUUUUGCAUGCUUACACCAUACUAUUUUGCAUGAGUUUUCCUUUUUACAGGCACCAUUCGUGCGACACCCUUCCAGGACACGGCACAACGGAGACAAAGGCACAGACAUGCAGCAGGGCCCUGCUCAAAGGUUUCUCUUUAGAUUAAGCCCCUGCGUAAACAUUUUUUACUGUCUCUUGUUGCUUGACAUCCCACGGGUAUUCAAUACACCCACAGGGGAUACUGGCGUUAUUGGCAUUUCGCCAUGACCGGUUAAUGCACGUACCUAGAAAUACAGGGUUCAUAAUCAAGGGCACUACCCAGCCUAGUAUAUGUUAUAAAGUCUGAAUACCUUCGGGAGUGUUCGACAUCGCGAGUUUGGCCCUAUAUGCAUCAGCUCCGGAUCAUGUCUUUGGUCAAAUGUUGGGUUUGCUCGGCUCCUGGGUUUCCUGCCUUACGUUCCGUUAUAUCGGCUAAGGCAGACAAAGGAGAACUACUGCGAUUGUGCCCUGGUUAUUCCGGAUGAGCACCUCAGUAGAGAAAGCCGAAAACUGACUGUCAUGAUACAGCGAGAGACUGGUCAACCACUCGAGGACUAAUCGGAAUCUUCGGGAUUCCUCCGCACUAACGAAGGACCGUUUCGCGGUCAUGUACAUACGCGCCCAUAUCCGGAUGCACGCGAAGGUACCAGGGGCUAUAUAGUAGCUCCACCGUCAAACUCCUAUGGCUAAGUGAAAGUGUUAAAGCUAUAUAGUCCGGUUGCCUAGUUCGACGUGCGAUCACCUCCUUAAUGGACCAACACGUUGGAUCAAGUGUGAUUACGCACAUUUUUGCGAACACCCCCGCAUUAUAUGUGUGGGGGCUGAAGCCAACAACUGCUAACUUUCAGGAUAUAUACAUAUUGAAAAACGGCCGCACAUGAGGCACUAUAAAACUUUCGGGCGAAAGUAUAAACAUAGCCUUUAUAAUCAAAAUAGAAUUGUUUUUACAAUUGAACAACUUGUCACUCAAACAUGACAUUCUUCGAGCACUGAGCCUCUAUUAAACGGGCACCUCCUGUGACCUGCUCAAAAUAGUGCUCGGCUGGGUCCUGGCUUCCUGCCGGACUCUGGGUUGCAACGCCAGUGGCCUCCAUAUCCGCCCAAUAUGUCUUAACACGGGCAAGAGCCAUCCGUGCACCCUCUAUGCACACCAACCUUUUCAUGGCAUUGAUUCGCGAUACGGAGCCAAAUAAUUGUUGCGCUAAACCAAAAUAACUGUCCGACCUCGGUCCCUUCAGCCAUAGAUGGUCUAUUACAGACCUCAUUGCAAGAUCGAACAACCUAUGGAGCUCGGCCAUAGCGGCCAUCCUCUCACUCAAUGGCAACGAGCGCGUUGGAGCACUGAAUUGCGACCAGAACAACCUUUCUAUUUCAUUAUCUUUAUGAUCCUUGAAUAACUUGGUCGCAUCAGCCAUACUUUUUGCCAGAUCCGCAUACGCGUCUGUAGCGCUCCAAAGCCAAUCCAGAGGAGCGUACUUUGGAUCUAAGAACUUCAUCCGCAACAAAUAGGGGCUUCCAGCCGCGAUUUCUCCGGCCUGUCGAAGCUCCUCCCGCGCAUCUCUAAUUUCAUAACGCGUCUCCUUGGCCGCAUCAAGGGCCUUCUUCAGGUCAGCCGACUUCGCCUGAUUCUCCUUUUCAAGGAGCUCAUACCGGCCGGCGGCGUUCUUCAGCUCCACAGCCAUCUUGGCUAUUUUAUCUUCACUUCGGCGAUGAGCAGCCUGUUCGGCUCUCAAAUCUUCGACCGCCUUUAGGGCAGCCGCAUUGCUAGCCCGGGCUUGUUUCUUGGCUAGGGUAAGUUUCGCCCUCAGGGCCUCCACGGCAGCAGCUCCGCCUGCAGCCAAAAUCAUAUCACAUUAACAUUAUGAUUCUCUUAAUAUUUCCUAUAACAAAUGAGGAAAAAAGAGCACAUACUCUGUGACUUGUCAAGCCGUUAGUUCACAAGCGUGAGGUCGGCAUCCACCACAUCAAUCUGUCGCCUCAAUUUGGAGAAUUCAGCGGUCCGGUCUAUCGCCGAACCCUUAGCCACUUGCGCAUGAAUAUAGUGCGAUCAUUACUUGAGAGUGUGAUCCUCCGUUUGCCGCCUAGGGCUGGCAACUAGAGUCUCAGGAGCUACUAUCUAUACGGAGCACACCUAGCGCAUGCGAUACAACCAAAAAAUUACGUAUUUCAUUAUGUACCUCGAAGCCUUUGAGCAGGCUCAUAAAAGCUUCGUUCAACCCGCUUGUGGCGGAUGAAAUCUUCUCAAACACCGUACCCAUUAACUUAUGAUGAUCCUCCAAUAAAGCAGCUUGCUCCAGAAGGCCCGUCAGUGUGUCCGGCCGAGCGCCGGACUGUCCCGAACCCUUCCGAAUGCCCCCCAUGGGAGCCGAACACUCCAAGCCCGGGGCGGCUGAAGUAUUAGCUUCCGGCCUUGAUGGAUCCGGACUCCUCCGUGACGACACCUCAGGGUCGCCCGCCCCAUAGGGCGGAGAGGCAGGUGGGUUUCACUCUCCAUCAUCUCCGGAAGAAGGUCCCUCGAAGACGAACUCUGUUGAGAAGAGCUACUAGCUGAACUGCAAAGGAUAGAUCCUGGUUAUUGUUCUCGGAGGAGGAAGCAAUAGCUUUUAUUCACGAUUAACUUACAACUUGGUGGAGGGCUGGCUCGUUUGUGGGCAUGGUGCGGUGAGGACGCCCUUCGGGGCAGGGCCCCCUGGUGAAGUUCUCUUCCCUUGUUUAGGCACCUCCGUUUCCAAGUCUUUGGAGGCGGCCCUUUUCUUCCCGCGGGGGGAGGAAACCUUGGAUUCACCUCCCCGAUUAUCCUCCUUCGUGGAGACAGUAAUUCCCCCGGUUUGGAUGUGCAAUGUGUGAAGCUCGGCUUCUCUAUUCUUCUCUUCCCCUUUCCCUGAAGGCACUUGGCUUAGCGCAUGUCUAAGCAUCCUGGCUAUUGCAGGACUAGGUGAACCUUCGGGAAGUGGGGCCGGACACCUGAUCCUCUCCGCCUUGCUGAGCCAAUCCUGGCCGCGGACAGUUUUCAGAAUAAUGUUGUGGUAAAUAUAAACGAAGUGUUCGGAUUCAGGGUUACUUACUUGGGUAUCUGGGCGGUUGCAGCUCAGGCCUGCAUCCUCGGUGGUGUCCGGACACUUUACUCGUGGUCCAAAGAAUAACUUAUACAUCCCUUCGAGCGUCAUGCCGAAGAACUGCUGAAUGGUUCCCGGACCUUCUGGAUUGAACUCCCACAUCCGGAGAGGUCGAUGUUUGCACGGCAGGGCCCGUCGAACUAGCAUUACCUGAAUGAUUCUGACAAGACUGAUAUCCCCCUCGAGUAGCUCCCAAAUGCGGCUCUGCAGUGUCAAUACGUCAUUAGCAGGCCCCCAGUCCAGUCCCACAUUGGCCCAUGAUGCCAGUUGAGGCGGAGGGCCCGAGCGGAAGGCGGGGGCAGCCGUUAUCGGUGUCAAAACCGGAGGAUCUCGAGUAGGGGGUCCCAAGCUGUGCGUCUUAGGAUCAAUGAUAACAUGAACACAACAUUUUACCUAGCUUCGGGUUCUCUUAAUGAGAUAAUACUCUACAUGCUGCUUGAUUGACUAUAAUGAGUAUAGGGGUUACAAGAGUUGAUCUACCCCGAGAUCAUAUGUUGUGGUCUAAACCAUAGAGGUAUGAUGAGUAAUGUCAUAAUCUAUCGACUAGCCUGGCCUCGGUUUAUAUAAUGUACCAGAGGCCUAGGAUAACAAGAGUCCUGGCCGAAUACGCCGGUGGGGAGGAGUCCUUGUCUUGAUCACCAAGUCUUGUGGAAUCUUCCUUGUAUUCGGCAACUGUCCGAACUGGCCCAUGAGUAUACGGCCAUGGGGGUCCUCGUGUUGGGGAACAUUGCAUAAAAUAAAAAAAUUCUACGUUCACCAAGAUCAAUCUAUGAGUUCAUCUAGCAAUGAGAGAGAGGGGUGCAUCUACAUACCCUUGUAGAUCACGAGCGGAAGCGUUCAAGAGAACGAGGUUGAGGGAGUCGUACUCGUCGUGAUCCAAAUCACCGGAGAUCCUAGCGCCGAACGGACGACACCUCCGCGUUCAACACAUGUACGGUCAGCGUGACGUCUCCUCCUUAUUGAUCCAGCAAGGGGGAAGGAGAGGUUGAUGAAGAUCCAGCAGCACGACGGCGUGGUGGUGGAUGCAGCAGGGUUCCGGCAGGGCUUCCCCAAGCGUCUGCGGGAGGGAGAGGUGUAGCAAGGGGGAAGGGAGGCGCCAAGUGCAAGGGUGUGGCUGCCCUCCCUACCCCCCUCUUUAUAUAAGGACCCCAGGGGGGCGCCGGCCCUAGGAGAUGGGAUCUCCUAGGGGGGCGCCGGCCAAGGGAGGAAACUUGCCCCCCCAAGGCAAGUGGAGGCGCCCCCUCCCCUAGGGUUCCCAACCCUAGGCGCAGGGGGGCCCAGGGGGGUGCACCAGCCCACCAGGGGCUGGUUCCCCUCCCACUUUAGCCCAUGGGACCCUCCGGGAUAGGUGGCCCCACCCGGUGGACCCCCGGGACCCUUCCGGUGGUCCCGGUACAAUACCGAUGAACCCCAAAACUUUCCCGAUGGCCGAAACUCGACUUCCCAUAUAUAAUUCUUUACCUCCGGACCAUUCCAGAACUCCUCGUGACAUCCGGGAUCUCAUCCGGGACUCCGAACAACUUUCGGUUUGCUGCAUACUCAUAUCUCUACAACCCUAGCGUCACCGAACCUUUAGUGUGUAGACCCUAUGGGUUCGGGAGACACGUAGACAUGACCGAGACGACUCUCCGGUCAAUAACCAACAGCGGGAUCUAGAUACCCAUGUUGGCUCCCACAUGCUCCUCGAUGAUCUCAUCGGAUGAACCACGAUGUCAAGGAUUCAAGCAACCCCGUAUACAAUUCCCUUUGUCAAUCGGUAUGUUACUUGCCCGAGAUUCGAUCAUCGGUAUCCCAAUACCUUGUUCAAUCUCGUACCGGAAAGUCACUUUACUCGUACCGUAAUGCAUGAUCCCGUGACCAGACACUUGGUCACUUUGAGCUCAUUAUGAUGAUGCAUUACCUAGUGGGCCCAGUGAUACCUCUCCGUAGUACGGAGUGAGAAAUCCCAGUCUCAAUCCGUGUCAACCCAACAGACACUUUCGAAGAUACCCGCAGUAUACCUUUAUAGUCACCCAGUUACGUUGUGAUGUUUGGUACACCCAAAGGACUCCUACGGUAUCCGGGAGUUACACGAUCUCAUGGUCUAAGGAAAAGAUACUUGACAUUGGAAAAGCUCUAGCAAAACGAACUACACGAUCUUGUGCUAUGCUUAGGAUUGGGUCUUGUCCAUCACAUCAUUCUCCUAAUGAUGUGAUCCCGUUAUCAAUGACAUCCAAUGUCCAUAGUUAGGAAACCAUGACUAUCUGUUGAUCAACGAGCUAGUCAACUAGAGGCUCAGUAGGGACAUGUUGUGGUCUAUGUAUUCACACGUGUAUUACGAUUUCCGGAUAAUACAAUUAUAGAAUGAAUAAAAUAAUUAUCACAAACAAGGAAAUAUAAUAAUAAUCCUUUUAUUAUUGCCUCUAGGGCAUAUUUCCAACAGUCUCCCACUUGCACUAGAGUCAAUAAUCUAGUUACAUUGUGAUGAAUCGAACACCCAUAGAGUUCUGGUGUUGAUGAUGUUUUGCUUGCGGAAGAGGUUUAGUCAAUGGAUCCGCGACAUUCAGAUCCGUAUGUACUUUGCAAAUAUCUAUGUCUCCAUCUUGAACAUUUUCACGGAUGGAGUUGAAACGACGCUUGAUGUGCCUGGUCUUCUUGUGAAACCUGGGCUCCUUGGCAAGGGCAAUAGCUCCAGUGUUGUCACAGAAGAGAGUGAUCGGCCCCGACGCAUUGGGUAUGACUCCUAGGUCGGUGAUGAACUCCUCCAUCCAUAUUGCUUCAUGUGCUGCCUCCGAGGCUGCCAUGUAUUCCGCUUCACAUGUAGAUCCCGCCACGACGCUCUGCUUGCAACUGCACCAGCUUACUGCUCCACGAUUCAACAUAUACACGUAUCCGGUUUGUGACUUAGAGUCAUCCAGAUCUGUGUCGAAGCUAGCAUCGACGUAACCCUUUACGAUGAGCUCUUCGUCACCUCCAUAAACGAGAAACAUGUCCUUUGUCCUUUUCAGGUACUUAAGGAUAUUCUUGACCGUUGUCCAGUGUUCCUUGCCGGGAUUACUUUGGUACCUUCCUACCAAACUUACGGCAAGGUUUACAUCAGUUCUGGUACACAGCAUGGCAUACAUAAUAGAUCCUAUGGCUGAGGCAUAGGGGAUGGCACUCAUCUCUUCUUUAUCUUCUGCCAUGGUCGGGCAUUGAGCCGAGCUCAAUCUCACACCUUGCAAUACAGGCAAUAACCCUUUCUUGGACUGAUCCAUAUUGAACUUAUUCAAUAUCUUAUCAAGGUAUGUGCCUUGUGAAAGACCUAUGAGGCGUCUCGAUCUAUCCCUAUAGAUCUUGAUGCCUAAUAUGUAAGCAGCUUCUCCAAGGUCCUUCAUUGAAAAACACUUAUUCAAGUAGGCCUUAAUGCUGUCCAAAAGUUCUAUAUCAUUUCCCAUCAAAAGUAUGUCAUCUACAUAUAAUAUGAGAAAUGCUACAGAACUCCCACUCACUUUCUUGUAAACGCAGGCUUCUCCAUAAGUCUGCAUAAACCCAAACGCUUUGAUCAUCUCAUCAAAGUGAAUGUUCCAACUCCGAGAUGCUUGCACCAGCCCAUAAAUGGAUUGCUGGAGUUUGCAUACCUUGUUAGCAUUCUUAGGAUCAACAAAACCUUCCGGAUGCAUCGUAUACAGUUCUUCCUUAAGAUAGCCGUUAAGGAAUGCCAUUUUGACGUCCAUCUGCCAUAUCUCAUAAUCAUAGUAUGCGGAAAUUGCUAACAUGAUUCAGAGGGACUUCAGCUUCGCUACGGGAGAGAAAGUCUCAUCGUAGUCAACCCCUUGAACUUGCCGAUAACCCUUAGCGAUAAGUCGAGCUUUAUAGAUGGUGACAUUACCAUCCGCGUCCAUCUUCUUCUUAAAGAUCCAUUUGUUUUCUAUCGCUCUCCGAUCAUCAGGCAAGUCUGUCAAAGUCCAUACUUUGUUUUCAUACAUGGAUUCUAUCUCGAAUUGCAUGGCUUUAAGCCAUUUGUUGGAAUCUGGGCCCGCCAUUGCUUCUUCAUAGUUCGAAGGUUCACCGUUGUCUAACAACAUGAUUUCCAGGACAGGGUUGCCAUACCACUCUGGCGUGGAACGUGUCCUUGUGGACCUACAAAGUUCAGUAGCAACUUGAUCUGAAGUACCUUGAUCAUCAUCAUUAAUUUCCUCUCCAGUCGGUGUAGGCACCACAAGAACAUUUUCCUGAGCUGCUCUACUUUCCGGUUCAAGAGGCAGUACUCCAUCGAGUUCUACUUUCCUCCCACUUACUUCUUUCGAGAGAAACUCUUUUUCCAGAAAGGAUCCGUUCUUGGCAACAAAGAUCUUGCCUUCGGAUCUAAGGUAGAAGGUAUACCCAAUGGUUUCCUUAGGGUAUCCUAUGAAGACACAUUUUUCCGACUUGGGCUCGAGCUUUUCAGGUUGAAGUUUCUUGACAUAAGCAUCGCAUCCCCAAACUUUUAGAAACGACAGCUUAGGUUUCUUCCCAAACCAUAAUUCAUACGGUGUCGUCUCAACGGAUUUAGACGGAGCCCUAUUUAAAGUGAAUGUAGCUGUCUCUAGAGCGUAUCCCCAAAAUGAUAGCGGUAAAUCGGUAAGAGACAUCAUAGAUCGUACCAUAUCCAAUAGAGUGCGAUUACGACGUUCGGACACACCGUUACGCUGAGGUGUUCCAGGCGGCGUGAGUUGUGAAACUAUUCUACAUUUCCUUAAGUGCGUACCAAAUUCGUGACUUAAAUAUUCUCCUCCACGAUCUGAUUGUAAGAACUUUAUUUUUCGGUCACGUUGAUUCUCUACUUCAUUCUGAAAUUCCUUGAACUUUUCAAAGGUCUCAGACUUGUGUUUCAUCAAGUAGACAUACCCAUAUCUACUUAAGUCAUCAGUGAGAGUGAGAACAUAACGAUAUCCUCCGCGAGCCUCAACGCUCAUUGGACCACACACAUCAGUAUGUAUGAUUCCCAAUAAGUUGGUUGCUCGCUCCAUUGUUCCGGAGAAUGGAGUCUUGGUCAUUUUGCCCAUGAGGCAUGGUUCGCAUGUGUCAAAUGAUUCAUAAUCGAGAGACUCUAAAAGUCCAUCAGCAUGGAGCUUCUUCAUGCGCUUGACACCAAUGUGACCAAGGCGGCAGUGCCACAAGUAUGUGGGACUAUCGUUAUCAACUUUACAUCUUUUGGUAUUCACACUAUGAAUAUGUGUAACAUUACGUUCGAGAUUCAUUAAGAAUAAACCAUUGACCAUCGGGGCAUGACCAUAAAACAUAUCUCUCAUAUAAAUAGAACAACCAUUAUUCUCGGAUUUAAAUGAGUAGCCAUCUCGUAUUAAACGAGAUCCAGAUACAAUGUUCAUGCUCAAACUUGGCACUAAAUAACAAUUAUUGAGGUUUAAAACUAAUCCCGUGGGUAAAUGUAGAGGUAGCGUGCCAACGGCAAUCACAUCGACCUUGGAACCAUUCCCGACGCGCAUCGUCACCUCGUCCUUCACCAGUCUCCGCUUAUUCCGCAGCUCCUGUUGUGAGUUACAAAUAUGAGCAACGACACCGGUAUCAAAUACCCAGGAGUUACUACGAGUACUGGUAAGGUACACAUCAAUUACAUGUAUAUCACAUAUACCUUUAGUGUUGCCGACCUUCUUGUCCGCUAAGUAUUUGGGGCAGUUCCGCUGCCAGUGACCCUUCCCUUCGCAAUAAAAGCACUCAGUCUCAGGCUUGGGUCCAUUCUUUGACUUCUUCCUGGCAACUGGCUUAUCGGGCGCGGCAACAUCUUUGCCGUCCUUCUUGAAGUUCUUCUUACCCUUGCCCUUCUUGAACUUAGUGGUUUUAUUGACCAUCAACACUUGAUGUUCCUUCUUGAUUUCUACCUCUGCUGACUUCAGCAUUGAAAAUACUUCAGGAAUAGUUUUCACCAUCCCCUGCAUAUUGUAGUUUAUCACAAAGCUCUUGUAGCUCGGUGGGAGCGACUGAAGGAUUCUGUCAAUGACCGCCUCGUUCGGGAGGUUAAUGUCCAGCUAGGACAUGCGGUUGUGCAACCCAGACAUUUUGAGUAUGUGCUCACUGACAGAACUAUUUUCCUCCAUCUUACAACUAUAGAACUUGUUGGAGACUUCAUAUCUCUCGACCCGAGCAUGAGCUUGGAAAACCAUUUUUAGCUCCUCGAACAUCUCAUAUGCUCCGUGUUGCUCAAAACGCUUUUGGAGCCCCGGUUCUAAGCUGUAAAGCAUGCCACACUGAACGAGGGAGUAAUCAUCAGCACGUGACUGCCAAGCGUUCAUAACGUCUUGGUUCUCUGGGAUGGGUGCUUCACCUAGCGGUCCUUCUAGGACAUAUGCUUUCUUGGCAGCUAUGAGGAUGAUCCUCAGGUUCCGGACCCAGUCCAUAUAGUUGCUGCCAUCAUCUUUCAACUUGGUUUUCUCUAGGAACGCGUUGAAGUUCAUGUUGACAUGAGCUAUGGCCAUUUGAUCUACAAGACAUUUUUGCAAAGAUUUUAGACUAAGUUCAUGAUAAUUAAGUUCAUCUAAUCAAAUUAUUUAAUGAACUCCCACUCAGAUUUGACAUCCCUCUAUUCAUCUAAGUGUUACAUGAUCCGAGUUGACUAGGUCGUGUCCGAUCAUCACGUGAGACGGACUAGUCAUCAUCGGUGAACAUCUCCAUGUUGAUCGUAUCUUCCAUACGACUCAUGUUCGACCUUUCGGUCUCUGUGUUCCGAGGCCAAGUCUGUACAUGCUAGGCUCGUCAAGUUAACCUAAGUGUUUUGCAUGUGUAAAACUGUCUUACACCCGUUGUAUGUGAACGUAGGAAUCUAUCACACCCGAUCAUCACGUGGUGCCUCGAAACGACGAACUUUAGCAACGGCGCACAGUUAGGGGGAACACUUUCUUGAAAUUAUUAUGAGGGAUCAUCUUAUUUACUACCGUCGUUCUAAGUAAACAAGAUGCAUAAACAUAAUAAACAUCACAUGCAAUUAAAUAGUAGUGACAUGAUAUGGCCAAUAUCAUAUAGCUCCUUUGAUCUCCAUCUUCGGGGCUCCAUGAUCAUCUUUGUCACCGGCAUGACACCAUGAUCUCCAUCAUCAUGAUCUCCAUCAUCGUGUCUCCAUGAAGUUGCUCGCCAACUAUUACUUCUACUACUAUGGCUAACGGUUUAGCAAUAAAGUAAAGUAAUUACAUGGCGUUAAAUCAUUGACACGCAUGUCAUACAAUAAUUAAGAUAACUCCUAUGGCUCCUGCCGGUUGUCAUACUCAUCAACAUGCAAGUCGUGAUUCCUAUUACAAGAACAUGAUCUCAUACAUCACAAUAUAUCAUUCAUCAUUCAUCACAACUUUUGGCCAUAUCACAUCACAAAGCAAUUGCCGCAAAAACAAGUUAGAAGUCCUCUAAUUGUUGUUGCAUCUUUUACGUGGCUGCAAUAGGGUUCUAGCAAGAACGUUUUCUUACCUACGAAAAACCACAACGUGAUUUGUAAACUUCUAUUUACCCUUCAUAAGGACCCUUUUCAUCAAAUCCGCUCCAACUAAAGUGGGAGAGACAGACACCCGCUAGCCACCUUAUGCAACUAGUGCAUGUCAGUCAGUGGAACCUGUCUCACGUAAGCGUACGUGUAAGGUCGGUCCGGGCCGCUUCAUCCCACAAUACCGCUAAAGCAAAAUAAGACUAGUAGUGGCAAGAAAGUUGACAACAUCUACGCCCACAACAGAUUUGUGUUCUACUCGUGCAAUAGAGAACUAUGUAUAGACCUAGCCCAUGAUGUCACUGUUGGGGAACGUUGCAUAAAAUAAAAAAUUUCUACGUUCACCAAGAUCAAUCUAUGCUUUCAUCUAGCAACGAGACAGAGGGGUGCAUCUACAUACCCUUGUAGAUCGCGAGCGGAAGCGUUCAAGAGAACGAGGUUGAGGGAGUCGUACUCGUCGUGAUCCAAAUCACCAGAGAUCCUAGCGUCGAACGGACGACACCUCCGCGUUCAACACACGUAUGGUCAGCGUGACGUCUCCUCCUUCUUGAUCCAGCAAGGGGGAAGGAGAGGUUGAUGAAGAUCGAGCAGCAUGACGGCAUGGUGGUGGAUGCAGCAGGGUUCCGGCAGGGCUUCGCCAAGCGUCUGCGGGAGGGAGAGGUGUAGCAAGGGGGAAGGGAGGCACCAAGUGCAAGGGUGCGGCUGCCCUCCCUCCCCACCUCUUUAUAUAGGGACCCCAGGGGGGCACCGGCCCUAGGAGAUGGGAUCUCCUAGGGGGGGCGGCGGCCAAGGGGGGAAACUUGCCCCCCAAGGCAAGUGGAGGCGCCCCCUCCCCUAGGGUUCCCAACCCUAGGCACAGUGGGGGCCGAGGGGGGUGCACUAGCCCACCAGGGGCUGGUUCCCCUCCCAGUUAAGCCCAUGGGGCCCUCCGGGAUAGGUGGGCCCACCCGGUGGACCCCCGGGACCCUUCCGGUGGUCCCGGUACAAUACCGGUGAACCCCGAAACUCGACUUCCCAUAUAUAAUUCUUUACCUCCAGACCAUUUCGGAACUCCUCGUGACGUCCGGGAUCUCAUCCGGGACUCCGAACAACUUUCGGUUUGCUGCAUACUCAUAUCUCUACAACCCUAGCGUCACCGAACCUUAAGUGUGUAGACCCUACGGGUUCGGGAGACAUGUAGACAUGACCGAGACGGCUCUCCGGUCAAUAACCAACAGCCGGAUCUGGAUACCCAUGUUGGCUCCCACAUGCUCCUCGACGAUCUCAUCGGAUGAACCACGAUGUCGAGGAUUCAAGCAACCCCGUAUACAAUUCCCUUUGUCAAUCGGUAUGUUACUUGCCCGAGAUUCGAUCGUCGGUAUCCCAAUACCUCGUUCAAUCUCGUUACCGGCAAGUCACUUACUCGUACCGUAAUGCAUGAUCCCGUGACCAGACACUUGGUCACUUUGAGCUCGUUAUGAUGAUGCAUUACCGAGUGGGCCCAAUGAUACCUCUCUGUAGUACAGAGUGACAAAUCCCAGUCUCGAUCCGUGUCAACCCAACAGACACUUUCGGAGAUACCCGCAGUAUACCUUUAUAGUCACCCAGUUACGUUGUGACGUUUGGUACACCCAAAGCACUCCUACGGGAUCCGGGAGUUACACGAUCUCAUGGUCUAAGGAAAAGAUACUUGACAUUGGAAAAGCUCUAGCAAAACGAACUACACGAUCUUGUGCUAUGCUUAGGAUUGGAUCUUGUCCAUCACAUCAUUCUCCUAAUGAUGUGAUCCUGUUAUCAAUGACAUCCAAUGUCCAUAGUCAGGAAACCAUGACUAUCUGUUGAUCAACGAGCUAGUCAACUAGAGGCUCACUAGGGACAUGUUGUGGUCUAUGUAUUCACACGUGUAUUACGAUUUCCGAAUAAUACAAUUAUAGCAUGAAUAAAAGACAAUUAUCAUGAACAAGGAAAUAUAAUAAUAAUCCUUUUAUUAUUGCCUCUAGGGCAUAUUUCCAACACCUCGGCCCAAUCUAACUGAUCGGGAGACGACGUGGUGAGUACCCCCUAGUCCAGGACACCGUCAGUAGCCCCUGAACCGGUCUUCAAGUUGGGGAUGCUCCUCGAUUCUUUCGAACUGUUCUUCAUCUUCGGUCGUCGGUCUUGAAAACUGGUUCAACAAAUCUUCUCAUCUUCGAUCUUGAGGAUCACGAAAUAAGUCCGAAGAGUUUACAUGUCGGGUAUCCGAGGAGCCCCUUUAAGUUUCCGGCCUUUAUCAAUGCCUUGUUAUUAUUAUGCCACACCUCGGGUUUGAAGUUAUUCCCGGGCGGUAGUGUCCUCUUGCAUCCGAGCUCCAACGCUGGAUUGCAUUCGAGGUAUCUUUUGCAGCCAAGCACCAUCGCCGGACUGCUUCCGAGCUCAAACACCGGAAUGUAUUCGAGCUUCAAUGCCGAACUGUGUCCAAGCUCCAACGCUGGACUGUAUCCGAGCUCCAAUGUCAGAAUAUAUCCGAGAUGUCAUAGAUCAUCUGGGUUCAAAAAGUUGAAGGAGUUUAGCCAAGCUUAAUGCCAGAAAUGCCCUCUACGGAGCCAGCCACUAGCGUCCGAGCUUUAUGCCAGACUGCUUCCGGGGUGUCUAUUAUAGUCGAGCAACAACGCCGAACUGUAUCCGAGGUGGUGCACCACCUCGGCCAUGGGCUGAUUUUAUGAAUUUAAUUCCGAAUUAUGCAAUGUAAUCUCUGCCGAGAUGUAUAGCCAGUAGCCCUCAAGGUGUGUGUUGGCCUAAUAUCCGGGAUGCACCUAAAGGAAAAAAUCAAACCGCUGACCCUAGUAGCCCGUGAGACUCAGGUCGGUUCAUAAAAUCAGCCUGAGGAUCAAUUCCCAGCUCGGCAGCAUACUUACGAAUAGAAACGCGGUGUGCAAAGUCCUCGAGACUCAUGUUGGGUACGGCCGACCAACCUGAGGAUAACAAUCUCCUCGAAAACUAUAUUGCACUUUAAAUUUUCUGCAUUGGAUUGUCAAUGCAGUAGCCCCCGAGACAUUGGUCGGGUGGCGACACCAGAUCAGGGGAUCGAUGUACCCCUUUAAUAUUUGUAAAUAAUAAGCACGAAGCCCAGUAGCCCCCGAGCAUUAAUGUGGGCACGGGUGGCCGAAUUAAGGAUCGAUAUCCAAAGUAAAAUCACAAAUUAUGUGUAAUGAUUCUAUGUAUCCAAGUACUUUACAUCAUCAAUGCUCGGAUCCGCAUUGUACAAAACUUUGUUGACCGGCCUUCGGCUUCAACCUCCUCGGCCAGUAGCCGGGGAGUGUUUGUCCCACUUUAUAAAGCCUUUAUGAGGGCAAAGAUUUAUGGCAAACAAGGCGAUCUGGCCAUAUGGUUUGAUAAACAAAGGUACGCAGAGAGACAUGUUAUAUUAUUGUUUAACAUAAGAAACAUCGUCCAAUGAAAAUUGUCCCGCUAUCGGUUCCUUUCUUUGGGUUGUCAUGCUAAGCAUGAUCAUGAAACCUCAGCUCAGAUCAAUGUGGGAGGAAAAUAAUGAGGAUUUAGUUCGGGGAAAGUUUCCAAACUAUGUGGUCUAAAUGAACCCAAAUUUUCAGUUCCGUUGCGACCGUUUAUAAUCUGAAAGUGGCCCAUCGUCAGCUUCUACCCCCUUGUAGAUGCUAUGCAGGGUGUUUCCGUAAUAACAAAACAACCCUUAGCCGACGUCUCGGUGCCCGAAGGUAGUUGUAUUGGCAGAAAUGAGGCAACCAGAUAUGCGGGCUUUAUAACUUUCACUUAGUCAUAGGAGCUUAAAGUUGGGAGGCCAGCAAGUAGCCCCCCGCUUAGUGUUCGGCGACAGCCGAGGUCAAGCCGUAAACACUUCGGCCAAUGUUAUGAAUGGCCCGUCAUUUAACAUAGUCAUCGGAUCGCUGACCAGUUUAUGCUUAUUGUGACAGUCAGUUUUCGGCUUUCUCUACCGAGGUGCUUAACCAUGCGAGCUGGAAGCACAAUUGCAGUGGUUCUCCUUUUGCACACCUAACCGAUCAAAGCAGAAUGUAGGAGGCAAGCAUAGGAGCCGGGCAACCCAACUAUCGACCGAAGACACAAUUUGAAACCGAUGCAUAUAUAGCAAUAUCCGAGAAUUUUUGCUGAAUCUCUAAAGGUGUCCGGCGUUGCACUGCAAGACUUACGCGGAAAACACACAAAUAGUUGAAAAGUGCCAUAGGAUUGAAAAACCAAAAAACGUCACUGAAAACUCGACAUCCAAACUAGAUUAAUUGUUUGGUGCCAGUUAGAAAAUUGGUCUUAGGGAAAAAAUUGUGCUUCUGUCGUGCUUUAACAUGACACAUCCUAUCUCAAGACUUCAAGCGGGUCAGCCUACGGCUUGAACCUCCUAUCCCGAAGGCGGAAUACUUUUCGCUAGGCCAGUUUUGCAAACUUUAGCGGCUUUGAGAGGGAAAUCCGGCUAGUGACCAUACACUCGCGUUGAAAAAAGGAGUGAUAGAGGAAAAAAAAACUUUGCAACGACUGGGAAGAAGAACACUUAUUAUAAAACAACUCACAUAAAUUUAAGAGCCCUCGAGUGACUUGGGUAAAAGAAUUUUAUGUAUAAUGAUUGUAUGUACCGAAGUACUUAUAUCAUAUAUGUGUUCACCCGAACUUUGAACGCGUCUUAACCGACCGUCGGCUUCUCCCUCUUCGGUCAAAGACCGAAAAGUGUUAUGUACUCCCCUUGUCGAGAAUAUCAACGAUGUUUCCGAUAAUCAAGCAAUCAGGCCAUAAGGCUGUAACAGACAAAGCGCGCUCAGUGAACUUAUGCUAUAUUACUGACAAAGUGUAAGAAGCAUCUUCGAAGAAAAUAGUACCCCCACCGAUACCUUUCUUCGUUUGCUCAUUAUUAUUAUGAGACUUGUGUAAUAGAUUUUUUGUACUCAUGAGUUCCGUUGUGUGCCGACCAUUGUUGAAAACAGUAGGAGUGCUAGCUUUAGGCUUCACCCAGUCUGAGGUCCGGCUCGGAUGAACCGAUCGUGACAAUCGCAGAGGUGCUCCCUUUACUCCCUAGCCGAACAAUCAGGAACAUAGGGGUAAGCACAGGAGCCAGGCAACCCAGCUUGCAAAUCGCUUAAGUCAACAUGGUGCAUAUUGUGGCGUAAUACACAAACAAGGAACGAAGCCGUACAAGUAUAAUCAUAUGCAAGACGAAAAGCUCCAUCAAGGGAGCCCCCAAAUAAACGGGGUAUUUGAAUAUGUGCGUCACAAAGAAAGUUUUGACAAGGAACUUUGUCACAAACAACUUUGUGCCAAAAAGUAUACUGCUUGUUCGAACCGAACAAAAUUUAAAACUGAGAGUUUUUGAGCAUCAAAGCAACUUAGCUGGUUAAUGUGCUCGGUGUUGAUGAUGUGAUUCGGGCUUGUGGGCGGAUGAAGACGCCCAUUGAUCUGCGGCAGAUUCGACAAGGUUCGCAGUCCUCGGCAUGGCUGAGGUCCUAGCCCCCAGGCCCGAGGUGUCCAAGCAAGGGGUUCGGGACUCCGGAGUAGUGACCGUGUAACGCAGUCAAAAUCGAUUACCUGCACACAUAAAAUAGUGCGGUCCAGGAAAUAAUAAUAUAUGUAUAUAUAAUCAUUGCUUAAUUGCUUUACGCAAAAAAUAAUUUAUUUAAAGAGAUGUGGCCUGGCGCUGAAGCCAAUGUCGAUGUAGGGCGUCAGCGUGAUGCAGUGAAGGAAUGACAAAAGCCUGAAUUUGCAGGGCGGUCCGGGCUCCGGAUACGGCGUUUGCCGAACUAUGUACGGAAACUGACCGAACCACCGCGCGACCAUUUUUAAUGGGGCCGCCAUUUGAUAGACCUGGGUACAGAUGAUGGAACAAACCAGAGUAAUAAUUACUUAAGAAAAAUAAACCCAACAAACAAAAAUGGUUAGGAUUAAUAGCACCUGGUGUGUUUGUUGUAGCAUUCCGAAGAAAAGCGACUCCCAAAAUUGCGAAUCGAUCCGCACACCCAUUGCCUGAUGGGUGAUAAAGCGGCGGCAUGGCGAAGUUGGCAAAGAUUGGCUUGCCGAGGCAAAAGCCCGUGGUCCAGCUAAUGUGAUGAAGCUGGUCGGCCGGUGACGCCGAAGUCUUCGAAAUAAGUUGAUGAAGGGAUGACGAAGCCCCAGUCCAGGCGAGGAGACGGAGCAGGUUGGUGAGGAGAUGUGUUAGCCGAGGUGUUGAAAUAGUUCGGCGUGAUGGACACCGGCUUGAUGAAGCAACGGUUCGGGCAUGCCGAUGCAGGUCGUAGAGUGUGACGUGGUCAUUGCUGGCUUGAUGAAGUGACCGUGCGGCGAUGCCGGUGUGCCCGCUCCGUGUAAUACGUGAGGCGGCGAUGUUGGUGACGAUUUAUCCUUCGUGAUGCCGAACUAUUGUUCGGCUGGCCGAGAUGAUGAUCCGAAGAAGUUAAGCUCGGCUCAACAAAGCGACGGCGUGUCUAGCGCAGAUCGGCCAUCGUAGAGUGAUGUUGUCGCGCCAGUUUGACACCGGCGCGAUGGUGAAGAUCGUAUUGUAAAAUACUUUUAAUAUUAAUGGGAUGUGUUUGAGAAUAAAACACAAUACCCCAUACAAAAACGUCCUUCAAAAAGGAUGUCCGAAAUCCCGUUCGUAAAGGAGAUGAACUUGGGUCGGAUUUGUUCUCGCACAGAAAACAGAUCCGAAAAGUGAUGCACUAACCGAAAGGUUCCCGGAGUUUGGACGGUCGGAUCGAGCUGAAUUUUUGGCAGGUGGUAGAUAUGGGAAUUCCGCAGCCGAUCAACGGUUGGAUCUUCCAAAGGACAUCCGAGCUAGAUGCUGGACACCCUGCUCUAAACUCAUCUGGAUUCUCGUCCAGAUUCAACAGGGCUCCGGUAUAUCGGGGAUUGCCGGAGAUUCCUCCAUCGGAACUCGACGAAAUUUUUGUAGGGUUGUUGUAGACUUAAUUCCGCAUAAUUCCACCAAAGCAAUUGUUUAGGUGACACUCGAGGAGGCGGUGGCGGCGGAUACGUUUGCUGUCCAGAAAAACAGCACGGUCGCCCGAGGGUAAUGUUGACGUUGAGCCCCCGAGCUCCAUGGGUGACUCCUCCAUGAUCUUGAUAGAGAUCGGAAUUGAUGUUGAUGAAGGCCCUCAUCCAAACAUGACGAUCGGAGGUAGGGCGCAGUCCUCGGUCAAGCCAAGGUGAUCAGUCGAGAUGGUGACAAAGAAACCAACGUCGUAGUUGACCUAUAGUCGAGCCAUUAAUCCUUUCGCCGAUCACACAGCGAAACUCUCAAUGAAAGCACCAAUGUCGGUGUCAAAACUGGCGGAUCUCGGGUAGGGGGUCCCAAGUUGUGCGUCUUAGGAUCAAUGGUAACAUGAACACGGGAUUUUACCCAGCUUCGGGCUCUUUUAAUGAGAUAAUACCAUACAUGCUGCUUGAUUGACUAUAAUGAGUAUAGGGGUUACAAGAGUUGAUCUACCCCGAGAUCAUAUGUUGUGGUCUAAACCCUAGAGGUAUGAUGAGUAAUGUCAUAAUCUAUCGACUAGCCUGGCCUCGGUUUGUAUAAUAUACCAGAGGCCUAGGAUAAUAAGGGUCCUAGCCGAAUACGCCGGUGGGGAGGAGUCCUUGUUUUGAUCACCAAGUCUUGUGGAAUCUUCCUUGUAUGCGGCAACUGUCCGAACUGGCCCAUGAGUAUACGGCCAUGGGGGUCCUCGGCCCAAUCUAACUGAUCGGGAGACGACGUGGUGGGUACCCCUAGUCUAGGACACCGUCAACCGCCCACUUCGUGCCUCGGGGAGCUGUGACGUAGAACCACCUCCACUGCCACAGAUCGGACACCUCCAGGAAGGAACCCUCUGGCCAUGGGGCAUCGGCGUUUCUGCUUAUUGCAGCGCCUCCGCACUCCGCGUGUCGCCCCUCGAUCACCUUCGGCUUUACAUUGAAGGUCUUGAGCCAUAAGUCGAAGUGUGGGGUGAUAUGGAGGAAGGCUUCACACACAAUGAUAAACGACGAGAUGUGAAGGAUGGAAUCUGGAGCUAGAUCGUGAAAAUCUAGCCCAUAAUAGAACAUGAGCCCUCUCACGAAGGGAUCAAGGGUAAAAUCUAAGACUCGGAGGAAGUGAGAAACGAAUACAACGCUCUCGUUGGGUUCGGGAGUGGGGAUGACCUGCCCUAGAGCAGGAAGCCUGUGCUUGACAUCGGCGGUCAGAUAUCUGGCCUCCCUGAGCUUCGCAAUGUCCUCCUCUGUAACAGAGGAGGCCAUCCACCGACUUUGAAGGUUGGAUCCGGACAUGAUUGGAGGUCUGAAGUGCCUAAGCUUGAGCUUCAAGUGUUGGAACUCGAGAUGCGGAAAGGCGGAAUCGUGUUAAGAAAGGGAUAGGCCUCAGCCCCUCUAUAAAGGGGGUGAAUAUCAAGCGUCCUCGGCGUGAAUGUUUGGGACUUGCCUAAAAUUGAGGAAUCAUACCAACAGGCGUAGUUGGGUUACCCACACACGUAUUGAUGAGAAUCCCGCGAUAAGAGGAACACGAUCUCUGCCUCGACAGGACGUGCCAAUAGAACCGCCUCGCAACACAUGUAGUGGCAGGCUGGGAGAAAUGGUUCAUAGUAACCGGGCCACGGCGUGAUGUCACGCUAGGAAAAGCUGUCAGCAGAUUGAAUUUAUGGAAUAUUAUGCUCUCUACGGUGGUAUGUGGAAUUUAUUUUGCAGAGCCGGACACGAUUCAUGUGUUCGAAGCUUAUCUUGGAGUAUUCGGAGAUGGAACCUGCCUUGCAAUGCCGAAGACAAUCUACGCGCCGGACUCAUCGUCAUUGAAGCCUGGUUCAGGGGCUACUGAGGGAGUCCUGGAUAAGGGGGUAUCCGGACGGCCGGACUAUAUACUUUGGCCGGACUGCUGGACUAUGAAGAUACAAGAUUCAAGACUUCAUCUCGUGUCUAGAUGGGACUCUCAUUUGCGUGGAAGGCAAGCUUGGCGAUUCGGAUACUAGAUCUCCUCCUUUUGUAACCGACUCUAUGUAACCCUAGCCUCCUCCGAUGUCUAUAUAAACCGGAGGGUUUAGUCGUAGGACGAGAACAAUCAUAAUCAUAGGCUAGCUCCUAGGGUUUAGCCUCUACGAUCUCGUGGUAGAUCAACUCUUGUAAUACUCAUAUCAUCAAGAUCAAUCAAGCAGGAAGUAGGGUAUUACCUCCAUCGAGAGGGCCCAAACCUGGGUAAAACAUCGUGUCCCCUGCCUCCUGUUACCAUUAGCCUUAGACGCACAGUUCGGGACCCCCUACCCGAGAUCCGCCGGUUUUGACACCGACAACGAGGUCACCUCCGAUUUAAAUUCCUUUUAUCCUUUGGCGGGUCUCACUCGUCAACCACUCAAUUCUCCGGACUCAAAUUAUCAGGAAACUUCACCUUCUUCCGGCGACUCAAUCCAGUCCAACUUGCCGGCUUUCAAGACCGCUCUGGGGUAAUGAUGAUUGACUUAUCCUGUAUUCAUUUCAAUUCUUUAUAUUUAUACUGAUCUUUUGAUCUUAUGUAGCAGAAAAGCAAAGCCUAGCAAGAAGGCAAAGAAGAACAAGCCGGCCGAAGAACCAAUCUUCAAAGAGUCAGAACUCCAGACGGCCGCUCCUGAGGCCUUUGUUCUUGAGCCGCCACCUGAACUGGCUCAUGAUACACCAACACCAACUGCUGACCCGCCUGCCGAGCAAACCGCCGAUGGCUCUGAAAAUCCUGAAGUCUCUAGCCCGGCCAAGACAGACGACCCCCAAGAUGCUGAUGUUGAAAUUACCAAGACUGGCUAUACUGAGCCGGGGAGACCUACUAUGUUGGCCAAGUGUUCUGCCAAGGAGGAGCACCUGGAACGCCGUAAGGUCGGAUUUGACAUUGCUGAUUAUACUCACAUGAGCAUUGGGGAAGUCUUUUCUAGCUAUCUUAGCCAAGUGCACAACAGCCGUGACCUCGAAGUUGAUAUGGUGAAGCAAAUGCACCAGAAAUUUGAGGUAUAAACUCUUCCCUUCAUUGAAUUAUCCUUACUAUGCCAGCCCCCAAGUCUAUUGCUUAUAAUGAAUAUGUUGUAGACUUAGAACAAACUUAUGAGCAUUAGUAGUAUAUUUUGACAAAAUUUUGGAAAAAAAUCGGCUUACUCUGUAGUCCCCAAGGGCCGGUUUAAUCAGCAUGAAUGAGCCGGUCCUUCAUGUGCUUUGUAUAGAAUAAAAUAUUUGUAAAACUUUAACAGCAAUAUGCAUGAGCCCCCAAGUGCCAAGUACUCUUGCUUGCAAGGUGCUUGGGACUUACUCUCAUGAACCGCCACCUAGAUAAAAUUCUUUGGUAGACAUUAGCCCCCAACUGCCAAGUGUUGUUGCUUGCAAAAGGCUUGGGACUUAAUAUUGUAUGCUAACCGUCAUGAUUUUGACCCAGUAUUUGUACAUGCCACCACCACUCAACUUCAGUCAGAAGUGUCUGACUUGAAGAACCGCCUGGAAGCACAGGAGACUAAAACCCAAAGAGCCAACUCUAAAUAUGAAUUUAGUGUAUCUGAACAAGAGAAACUGAAAAAAGACUUUGAAGUGGAGAAAAAGGCCUGGGUUGAAGAAAAGAUCACUUUGACCAAUCAAGCUGAUAAGGCAGAGGCGGCUCUUGAAGAGGCGACCGUCGAAUUAUCCGGCUUAAAACGCCAUGUAUCUCAGAUGGUCUCAACAAUCUUUGGUAAGUUGCCCUGCAAGUGUCAAAUAUUUGAAUCUUUCUAGUGAUCAUUAACUCACAUGACAUUGCUAUGCAGGCCCCAGGAGCUCAAAUCUCAAUCAAGACAUGCUAGUGAAGCUGAAGGCGGUUUAUACGCUCGUGGAACAACUUUAUACCGGAUCUCAGCGUGCCUUAGCCAAAGUUGCCUUGUCAAACGAAGUCCCCACACUCUUGGUGGAUGUGCUAAGGAAGCUUUCUGUGCUGCACCAGCAAUUUAAUGAGCUAAGGCGAUCAUCCGCGAGAGUCGGAGCCGUGGCUGCCUUAAGCCGGGCCAAAGCUUGGCUACUGGAAUUAGACCCAGCUGACAUCGCCAUUGGGUAUCCAAGCAUGAAGGAGGACGGCACUCCAUUUGAACAGGAGGACUUCGCCACUUGUGUGAAAGAAAUACGCCCUAUGGCCACCCUGAUUGCUGAUGAGGCGGAUCUCACCAGGUACCAGCCGGGUUAUGACGCGGAGAACCGGAGGAUACCAAUGCCGCAUUAUAAAGUGACCAGCCUGAUCCCACCAAUCCGUAAGCAUACCUUCGCCCCUGAAGUUGACCCGGUCGGACUAAUUGAUGAUGAAGCUGAAUUUGAAGCUUUGAAUGGCAUUGACCGGUCAUCAUCAACCUUCCAUGAUAGGGAAUAGGACGGAGGAGCAGAAAGGGUUGAUUCAGAAGCUUUAGGCCAACAAGAAAAUUGAUCCGCCGGGCGGCUCAUCUUUGUAACCCGCUGAAAAACAAUUUAAUCAUUUGGACUCGGGGAGUCAUGUAACAGGGUAGAAAUGACUUUGCUUUGCCGUGCCAUCGUGCAUGUUUUGGUGCUCAACAUUGUUAAGCCGCCAUCUUAUAUUCACCCCUUUUUAUGCUUAUCAUCUGUUUUCCUUAUGCUUAAGAAAGUCUUUGAACUGUCCUGCACACAGAAAUAGAUCACAAGAACCCUUGGUGGCUUACCGCAGGGCGGAUCAUAAUAUCUUAUAUAUAACCCCUAAUAUAAAAAGAGUCAGAGAUAAGCCUGUUGUGAAUUAUAGCUUUGAAACACAACUAUAAUAUCAUACCUGUGAUGUUGAAUUUGUAUUGUCGGUUUAUUUGACCUAAACAGUAAGGUGAUAACCCAAUCCUUAGAAGCCAACACUUCCAAAUGCAUGAUGAUUGUAAUACGCUGGCGACUUAUCGUCCAAAAACCAAGCCGGGUUAAAUUUAAACCACACUUAUACUUAGAUUUGAACAAAAAAGGUCUCAAGACAAAACAAAGGUUGCUUUCAAACAAAACUUGAGCCAAAUAGAAAGAAAAAAUCAAAGCUUAUGAUUCGAAUACGAUCAAUAAACCGUUCCAAAGGGAUUAAGCUAGUAUUCAAAUAUGAUCAUGUAGCCCCCAGUGGCUUUGGCGUUGCGCCGAUCAAGAGGGUACCGACAUAUAUGUUCUCUUUGGUCCGAAUGCGACCUAUGUUUGAACAGGAAGCCCCCAAAUGACCUUGAGAGUUUUUUAACGACUCCGAUUCGAAUACGAUCAAAGUCGGACCCAAAAGGGGUUAAGCUAUGAUUCGAAUAUGAUCAAGAAGCCCCCUAGUGAGUUUUGCAGUGUGCCGAUCAAGAGGGUACCGACGGCUAUGUUAUCUUUGGUUCGAAUACGACCUAUGUUUGAACAGGAAGCCCCCUAGUGAUCAUGAGUUUUAACAACUAAAUUUGAAUACGAUCAUGAACCAGACCAAGAGGGUUAAGCUAGAUUCAAAUAUGACCAGCCCCCAAUUGGUCAUUUGAAAUGAUGAUGAUGAAGACAUAUGAUCAUUAAGGAUGAAAAGGACAUAGGUCCUGCUUUAUUGCUUAUCAUAAUAUAUACAUCAUCAAAAUAUGUACAUCAUGAGAGACGGUGGCUCAAGUGUAGUAAGGCCGCAGAUGAGCGAUAUUCCACGGUCGGCGGGUCUCCUCCUCCAACUUACGUGAGUCUUUGUGCUUUCGAACAUCAAUAAGGUAGUAUGACCCGUUGUUCAAUUUCUUGCUGAGCACAAAGGGCCCUUCCCAAGGUGGGGAUAACUUGUGUGCAUCAGUUUGAUCCUGGAUGAGCCGGAGCACCAAGUCACCUUCCUGAAAGGUUCUGGACUUAACCCGGCGGCUGUGAUAACGGCGCAGGUCCUGUUGGUAAAUCGCCAAGCAGGCUGCUGCCAAAUCACGCUUUUCAUCUAACAGGUCAAGUGCAUCCUGACGCGCUUGUUCAUUAUCAGCCUCAACAUAAGCCGCCACGCGGGGCGAGUCAUGAUGGAUGUCACUAGGGAGAACUGCCUCGGCUCCGUAAACCAUGAAGAAAGGCGUAUAACCCGUAGACCUAUUGGGAGUGGUAUUGAUGCUCCAUAUCACAGAGGGUAACUCCUCGACCCAACAACCCGGCGUUCUUUGCAAAGUAACCAAAAGCCGGGGCUUGAUGCCUUUCAAGAUUUCCUGAUUGGCUCUUUCAGCUUGACCAUUGGAUUGGGGGUGAGCUACUGAUGAAACAUCAAACCGAAUAUGCUCACAUUGACAAAACUCCUACAUGGCGCCUUUGGACAGAUUAGUACCAUUGUCAGUUAUAAUGCUGUGUGGAAAGUCAAAACGAAAAAUCACCUUUUUCAUGAAUUGAACCGCCGUGGCUGCAUCACACUUACUAACUGGCUCUGCCUCAACCCACUUUGUGAAUUUGUCAACCGCCACCAAGAGGUGGGACUUUUUAAAAGGUCCAACCAUGUCGAGGCCCCAGACUGCAAACGGCCAAGUAAUUGGAAUCAUCCUCAAUUCUUGAGCCGGCACGUGCGCGCAUCUUGAGAAUUUUUUACAACCGUCACAUUUACUGACCAGAUCCUCCGCAUCAGCGUGAGCCGCCAGCCAAUAAAAUCCAUGACGAAAAGCUUGCCACAAGGGACUUUGAACCGGCAUGAUGGCCACAAUCUCCUUCAUGAAUCUCACGAAGAAUUUCUUGACCUUCCUCAGGAGAAACACAACACUGAAACGCCCCAAUGACACUGCGAUGAUGUAACUCGCCAUUGUCAAUUGUCAUUGACUUAGACCGCCAGGUUAUCUGCCUGGCCAAGGUUUCAUCCUCAGGCAACUCGCCCCGGGUCAUGUAAGUCCAAUCUGGGAUGACGUGAAUAGCCGCCACCAAUUGCGCUUCUGGGUCAGGAACAUCCAAGUCUUCCUCUGUAGGCAACUUGCCAGAAGGGUUAUGUAGAAUAUCCAAGAAAGUAUUAGGCGGCACCGACUUAUGAUGAGACCCCGGCCGGCUUAAAGCAUCAACCGCCUCAUUCUUUCUGCGAUCAAUGUGCUCCACUUGGUAACCCUUGAAGUGUCCAACAAUGGCAUCAACUUCAUGGCGAUAAGCCGCCAUGAGAGGAUCCUUGGAAUCCCACUUGCCUCAUACUUGUUGAGCCACCAAAUCUGAGUCGCCAAAGCACCUUACCAGGCUUAAGCUCGUCUCCUUAGCCAUCCGAAGACCAUGGAGCAAGGCCUCAUACUCAGCUGCAUUGUUAGUACAGGGAAAAGUUGGGGAAUGUACUAAUUUCAAAAAAAUUCCUACGCACACGCAAGAUCAUGGUGAUGCAUAGCAACGAGAGGGGAGAGUGUCAUCCACGUACCCUCGUAUACCGUAAGUGAAAGUGUUAUGACAACGCGGUUGAUGUAGUCGUAUGUCUUCACGAUCGACUGAUCCUAGUACCGAAAGUACGACACCUCUGCGAUCUGCACAUGUUCAGCUCGGUGACAUCCCACGAACUCACGAUCCAGUAGAGCUUCGAGGGAGAGUUCCGUCAGCACGACGACGUGAUGAUGGUGUUGAUGAAGCUACCGACACAGGGCUUCGCCUAAGCACCGCUAUGAUAUGACCGAGGUGGAUUAUGGUGGAGUGGGGCACCGCACACGGCUAAAGAUCAAUGAUCAACUUGUGUGUCUUGGGGUGCCCCCCCGCCCCCGUAUAUAAAGGAGCUAGGGGGGAGGCGGUGGCCAGGAGGAGGGCGCGUCAAGGGGGGAGUCCUACUCCCACUGGGAGUAGGACUCCUCCUUUCCUAGUAGGAGUAGGAGAAGGGGGAAGGAGGAGAGAGGGGGGAAGGAAAGGGGGGCGCCGCCCAUCUCCUUAUCCAAUUCGGACUAGAGGGGGAGGGGGCGCGCGACCCUGCCUUGGCUGCCCCUCCUCUUCUCCACUAAGGCCCAUAAGGCCCAUUAUACUCCCCGGGGGUUUCCGGUAACCCCCCUAUACUCCGGUAUAUGCCCGAACUUGCCCGGAACACUUAUGAAGUCCAAACAUAGUCAUCCAAUAUAUCGAUCUUUAUGUCUUGACCAUUUUGAGACUCCUCGUCGUGUCCAUGAUCAUAUCCGGGACUCCAAACUACCUUCGGUACAUCAAAACUCAUAAACUCAUAAUAUCGAUCGUCACCGAAUGUUAAGCGUGCGGACCCUACGUGUUUGAGAACUAUGUAGACAUGACCGAGACACGUCUCCGGUCAAUAACCAAUAGUGGAACCUAGAUGCUCAUAUUGACUCCUACAAAUUCUACGAAGAUCUUUAUCGGUCAAACCGCAUAACAACAUACGUUGUUCCCUUUGUCAUCGGUAUGUUACUUGCCCGAGAUUCGAUCGUCGGUAUCUCAAUACCUAGCUCAAUCUCGUUACCGGCAAGUCUCUCUACUCGUUCUGUAAUACAUCAUCCCGCAACUAACUCAUUAGUCACAUUGCUUGCAAGGCUUAUAGUGAUGUGCAUUACCGAGAGGGCCCAGAGAUACCUCUCUGACAAUCGGAGUGACAAAUCCUAAUCUCGAUCUAUGCCAACUCAACAAGUACCAUCGGAGACACCUGUAGAGCACCUUUAUAAUCACCAGUUAUGUUGUGACGUUUGGUAGCACACAAAGUGUUCUUCCGGUAAUCGGGAGUUGCAUAAUCUCAUAGUCAUAGGAACAUGUAUAAGUCAUGAAGAAAGCAAUAACAGUAAACUAAAACAAUCAAGUGCUAAGCUAACAGAAUGGGCCAAGUCAAUCACAUCAUUCUCCUAAUGAUGUGAUCCCAUUUAUCAAAUGACAACUCAUGUCUAUGGUUAGGAAAACUUAACCAUCUUUGAUCAAUGAGCUCGUCAAGUAGAGGCAUACUAGUGACACUAUAUUGUCUAUGUAUUCACACAUGCAUUAUGUUUCUGGUUAAUACAAUUCUAGCAUGCAUAAUAAACAUUUAUCAUGAAAUAAGGAAAUAAAUAAUAACUUUAUUAUUGCCUCUAGGGCAUAUUUCCUUCAGGAAACAUCAACCGUAGCACAUAACAAAAUUUGUCACCUCGAGGGGAAGCUAAAACAACUCCAGCCCCCGAGCCCUCCAAUUGCCUGGACCCAUCAAAGUGAAUAGUCCAAUAUGUGUUGUCCGGCUUCUCUUCAAGCAUCUGCAGCUCUGUCUAAUUGUUGAUGAAGUCCACCAGUGCUUGAGACUUGAUAGCAGUGCGUGGCACAUACUUUAUACCAUGAGGCCCAAGUUCAAUGGCCCACUUGGCGACCUGUCCUGUGGCUUCUCUAUUUUGAAUGAUAUCUACCAAAGGAGCAGAACUGACCACGGUGAUGGGAUGACCUAGUAAAUAUAGCUUAAGCUUCCGGCUUUCCAUGAACACCCCAUAAACGAGCUUCUGCCAAUGUGGAUACCUUUGCUUAGACUCAAUAAGCACCUCACUGAUGUAGUAAACCGUCCGUUGAACCGGAUGUUCCUUGCCCGCCUCCUUGCGCUCUACCACAAUGGCCACACUGACAGCACGUGUGUUAGCAGCCACAUAUAACAAUAAUGGCUCCUUAUCAAUUGGAGCAACAAGGACUGGUGGCUCAGCUAGCUGUCUCUUCAAAUCUUCAAAGUCAAUGUUAGCAGCAUCACUCCAGACAAAAUCGUCUGUCUUCUUCAUCAUCUGAUACAGUGGUAUGGCCUUCUCACCUAACCAGCUUAUGAACCGGCUUAAAGCAGCAAUACGACCCGCCAAAUGCUGAACAUCAUUGAUACACGCCGGCUUAGCCAAAGAGGUGAUUGCCUUGAUCUUCUCCGGGCUAGCCUCAAUGCCUCUGUUAGAAACCAAAAAACCCAAAAGCUUGCCUGCUGGCACACCAAAAACGCACUUGGUCGGGUUAAGCAUCAUCUUGUAGACCCAGAGAUUAUCAAAGGUUUCCUUCAGAUCAUCUAUCAAGGUCUCCUUCUCUCUGGAUUUUACCAUAAUGUCGUCCACAUAAGCAUGAACAUUGCGCCCAAUCUGAUUCUGAAGACAGUUUUGCACACAUCGCUGAUAAGUUGCCUGGUCACUCUUAAGCCCACUACUAGGAAAAGGCCUGCUAGUGGCGCACCUGUUUUGGCCAUUAAUGGCGCACUAUAGGCGCGCCACUAGCAUCACGCCACUAGUAAUUAAUACUAAUGGCGCACCCCUAGUGCGCCAUUAGUAUACCAGAUACUAAUGGAGGGAGUGCGCCAUUAGUAUAUCACACGGUGCGCCAUUAGUAUGCCUCCCAGGGGGGCCAUAUUUACCUUGUGCUCUGGCUUACUAAUGGCGCACUUGUAGAUGAUGCGCCACUAGUGUGCUUACUGCAGUGCGCCACUAAAAUGCAGAGUGGUCCGCCAGUAGUAUGAAUAUUAGGCAUUUUUUCUUUUCUAAUAUUUGCAUAGGUUACAAAACAUAUUACUGCACAGAAUAUAGACAGCACAACAUAUAAAUAGCAGAUUUAUCGAAUACAAUAGAAGAUUAGUCUCCGAAUACAAUUCGUCAUAUUAGUCUCCGAAUUUAAAAUACCGAACAAAGUUAGAACAUUACAAGUCUCGAGACCGCGACUAGCGAGUUUGUCUUCACAUUACAAGUCGAUAUCAAUCAUCUAAACUACCAUCACAUAGAAGAGAGUUGCGGUCAUCACGAUGAGCAUCAUCGCGAUGAAACUGGUCUUCAUCCGGUUUCUCCAACGCUCCCUUCUCUCUCCCGCUAGAUAGCCCACGUAUCUAGCUUACGCCUCCGCCCUAGUGGUGUACCCUUUGUAACUGUUACCGCUGAAACGGUGAACCUGUCUCCGACACUCCUCCCAGUCGUCGUAGACUCCGGGAACCUUACCCUUGUACACGACAUACGACGACAUCUCUAUAUAUGCACUAGCCAAACAAAAUGUUAGUAGCAAUUCACAGACAAUACAUAAGCAAUAUAUAAGUAUGCAACAAAAGGAUCGGAAGAGAAAAGCAACACAUUAAUAGCACGAUUCAUGGGCCUACUAAUAAAAAGUAUCGAUUACAUAUAAGUUGAAUGACUGUCCAAACCAAAGAUACAUACAAGUUCAUUAAAGUUUAAUAUUACAACAUGAGCCAAUGGACAUUUCAGAACUACAUAGCAUCCCUACUUUCGACUCGACUCAGGGACCGAAGCGUGGAUGAAGCCGCCGUAUUUCGUGAUGGUCAUGAAAUCGCGGGCGUUGUCAGCCUGCAUUUGUAGCGUUGUUUCUAUCUCACUAUUGGACGGUUGAUAUCUGAGGUAGAACUGCCCCGAGGUACGAAGGACAUCUUGAUGGAUGAUUUCCGCAAACUCCGACUGGAUGCGGAAGUAUUCUUAUCUGAUGUCCGCAUCCUGGAUUGCUGACAAGCGUGUGGCCCAAUCUUUGAGAUUAUUUGGUAGCAGAAGGUGAUUAUGGUCUCGUACGAUCGCCCGCAUGUGAUGGAGGGUGUAGUAGGCAUCCUUCUGACUGCCAGGCGGCUGCUUGACGCAGGGGAACGUCGUAUUGUGGGUGAACACGUGCUUGCCGUACCUACGAAUUGGCCUGCUGAAGGUGCCUUGAUGUCUACUACACAAUGUUCUUCUUGUAGACGUUGUUGGGCCUGCAAGUACACAGGUUUGUAGGACAGUGGCAAAUUUCCCUCAAGUGGAUGACCUAAGGUUUAUCAAUCUGUAGGAGGCGCAGGAUGAAGAUGGUCUCUCUCAAGCAACCCUGUAAUCAAAUAACAAAGAGUGUCGUGUGUCCCCAACACACCCAAUACAAUGGUAAAUUGUAUAGGUGCACUAGUUUGGCGAAGAGAUGGUGAUACAAGUGCAAUAUGGAUGGUAGAUAAAGGUAUUUGUAAUCUGAAAUUAUAAAAACAGCAAGGUAUCAAGCGAUAAAAGUGAGCGUAAACGGUAUUGCAAUGAUAGGAAACAAGGCCUAUGGUUCAUACUUUCACUAGUGCAAAUUCUCUCAACAAUAAUAACAUAGAUAGAUCAUAUAACAAUCCCUCAACAUGCAACAAAGAGUCACUCCAAAGACACUAAUAGCGGAGAACGAACGAAGAGAUUAUGGUAGGGUACGAAACCACCUCAAAGUUAUUCUUUUGGAUCAAUCUAUUCAAGAGUUCAUACUAGAAUAACACCUUAAGGCACAAAUCAACCAAAACCCUAAUGUCACCUAGAUACUCCAUUGUCACCUUAAGUAUCCGUGGGCAUGAUUAUACGAUAUGCAUACACAAUCUCAGAUUCAUCUAUUCAACCAACACAAAGUACUUCAAAGAGUGCCCCAAAAUUUCUACCGGAGAGUCAAGAACGUGUGCCAACCCCUAUGCAUAGGUUCAUGGGAGGAACCCGCAAGUUGGUCACCAAAACAUACAUCAAGAGGCACAUGAUAUCCCAUUGUCACCACAGAUAAGCACGACAAGACAUACAUCAAGAGUUCUCAUAAAAGACUCAAUCCGAUAAGAUAACUUCAAAGGGAAAACUCAAUUCAUCACAAGAGAGUAGAGGGGGAGAAACAUCAUAAGAUCCAACUACAAUAGCAAAGCUCGGGAUACAUCAAGAUCGUGCCAUAGAGGGAACACGAGAGAGAACACGAGAGAGAGAGAGAGAUCAAACACAUAGCUACUGGUACAUACCCUCAGCCUCGAGGGUGAACUACUCCCUCCUCGUCAUGGAGAGCGCCGAGAUGAUGAAGAUGGCCACCGGUGAUGGAUCCCCCCUCCGGCAGGGUGCCGGAAGGGCUCCCGAAAGGUUUUUGGUGGCUACAAAGGCUUGCGGCUGCGGAACUCCCAAUCUAUCUUCUUUAUUUGAUGGUUUUAGGGUACGUAGGCUUAUAUAGGCAAAAUAAGUCGGUCAGGAGGUGCUCGAGGGGCCCACGAGACAGGGGGCACGCCCUGUAGGGGGGCACGCCCCCCUAUCUCCUGGGCUCCUCGAGGAUCUUCUGAGUUGAUCUCCAAGCCUCCAGGAUGAUAUUCUUCGGAAGAAUCACGAUGCUGAAAGUUUCAUUCCGUUUGGACUCCGUUUAACAUUUUUUUUCUUCGAAAUAUUGAAACAGGCAAUAAAACAACAAUAUGGGUUGGGCCUCCGGUUAAUAGGUUAGUCCCAAAAAAUAAUAUAAAAGUGUAUAAUAAAACCCAUAAUCAUUCAAAACAGAUAAUAAUAUAACAUGAAUGCUUCAUAAAUUAUAGAUACGUUGGAGACGUAUCAGCAUCCCCAAGCUUAAUUCCUACUCGUCCUCGAGUAGGUAAAUGAUAAAAGAAAGAAUUUAUGAAGUGUAAAUGCUAGAGGUGCACAAGUUUGAUCAAUGAUAAUUUCAAUCACCUUUACUAGCAUCAUUAUAUGUCAUAACAGUAGUUCAUCUCAUAAAACUAUUCAUAAUCAAGUAGCAAGCUAUUCACAUGUUAAAGCAUAGACCAUAAACUUUCUUGAAAACUAGCAAACUUCAUUCUUAGUCAUCAAACAAUUGCAAUUCAUCUUACUUUCAGGAAGAGUCUAUGUCAGAGCUUUGGUUUAGCAAACUUCACAUACUCAACUAUCAUAUAGUCUUCUACAAUUGCUAACACUCACGCAAUACUUGUGGUUAUGAAGUUUUAAUCAGACACAAAGAAAGAUUGGGGCUUAUAAUGUUGCCUCCAAACGUAUUCAUCUUUGGGUGAUGUCAACAAUAAUAGUUCAUGCUAACGUACAUCCAAUUGGAUAUAUAUAUCAGGAUCACCCCACCACGAAGUGCUUGCCAAAGGAUAAAAUGAAAAAGGGAAAGGUGAAGAUCACCUUGACUCUUGCAUAAAGUAAAAGACAUAAAGUAAAAGAUAGGCCCUUCGCAGAGGGAAGCAGAGGUUGUCAUGCGCUUUUAGGGUUGGAUACACAAAAUCUUAAUGCGAAAGAAUGUCACUUUAUAUUGCCCCUUAUAUAUGGACCUUUAUUAUGCAGUCCAUCGCUUCUAUUGCUUCCAUAACAAGUUUGUACAAAGCUUAUUUUCUCCACACUAAUAAGUCAUGCAUAUUUAGAGAGCAAUUUUUAUUGCUUGCACCGAUGACAACUUACUUGAAGGAUCUUACUCAAUCCAUAGGUAGGUAUGGUGGACUCUCAUGGCAAAAACUGGGUUUAAGGAUAUUUGGAAGCACAAGUAAUAUCUCUACUUGGUGCUAGGAAUUUUGGCUAGCAUGACGGGGAAAGGCAAGCUCAACAUGUUUGAAUGAUCCAUGACAAUAUACUUUAACUGAGAUGCGAGAAAACAUAACCUAUUACGUUGUCUUCCUUGUCCAACAUCAACUCUUUAGCAUGUCAUACAUAAUGAGUGCUCACAAUUAUAAAAGAUGUCUAUGAUAGUAUAUUUAUAUGUGAAAUCUCUCUUCCUUAAAUAUUCUUUCAUGAAUUGUUCAAAUGACUAAUACAAUGCUUGCUAACCGUCAAUAAAUUUACAACCUCUACUUCUUAGAUGUGAAGUCAUUACUCCCCAUGAGAUAAGCAAAAGAGACAUAUAUAAUUUCAGAUUUAUGACAAUCAACUCAUUCAACCAUUUACUUAUAGGAUAUAAGUGAAGCACACAAGUAAUUAACAAACUACUCCAAAAAAAUAUAAGUGAAGAUCAAUGAGUAGCUAAAUAAUUAUGCAACUAUGUGAAGACUCUCUCUCAUUAAAGAAUUUCAGAUCUUGAUAUUGUAUUCAAGCAGAAACAAAAUAAAAUGACAUAGCAAGGAUAGCACAACUCAUGUGAAGAAGUAAAAACUUAGGUUCAACUGAUACUAACUCAUAGUUGUCAAAGAAAAAAGGUGGGAUGCCUACCGGGGCAUCCCCAAGCUUAGAUGCUUGAGACUUUUUGAAAUAUUAUCUUGGGGUGCCUUGGGCAUACCCAAGCUUGAGCUUUUAUGUCUCCUUAAUUCCUCUCAUAUCAUGGUUUCUCUUCUUUUUAUCAAAAACUUCAUUCACAACAAACUCAACAAGAACUCGUGAGAUUGGUUAGUAUAAACCAAUGCAAAACCUUAUCACUUUCUACUGUAAGAAAUUACUAAAAUUAUUAUUCAACAUUGCAUACUAAAUGCCUCUGCAUAUUUAAUACUCGUAUCCUAAAAUAGAAUCGUUAAACAAGCAAACAUACGCAAACAAUGCAAACAUGAUAGCAAUCUGCCAAAGCAGUACAAUCUGUAAAGAAUGCAAGAGUAUCAAUACUUCCCUGAUUCCAAAAAUUAUGAACUAAAAUUCCCACUGUAAUAAAUUUAUCAGAGCUUAAUAUGCAAAAAGAUUCAACAUUAUAUCAUUCUCUGACUUUUCUAGGGAAUUUUUGCAACAGCAGUAAACUUUCUGUUUUCAAACAGCAACAUGUAUACUAGCAAAAUAAACAUGUCAAAGGCUAUCCUUAACUUUUUUAUUGAAACUAAAGAUGCAAAACAUUAUUCUAACUAACAACAAGCAAACACUAACAAAAUAAAAUGACACUCCAAGCAAAACAUAUAUCAUGUGGUGAAUAAAAAUAUAGCUCCAAGUAAAGUUACCGAUGAACGAGGACGAAAGAGGGGAUGCCUUCCGGGACAUCCCCAAGCUAAGGCUCUUGGUUGUCCUUGAAUAUUAUCUUGGGGUGCCUUGGGAAUAACCAAGCUUAGGCUCUUUCCAAUCCUUAUUCCAUAGUCCAUCGAAUCUUUACCCAAAACUUGAAAACUUCAACCACACAAAACUCAAAAACAAAACUCGUAAGCUUCGUUAGUAUAAGAAAAUAAAACCACCACUUAGGUACUGUAAUGAACUCAUUCUAAAUUCAUAUUGGUGUAGUAUCUACUGUAUUAUAACUUCUCUAUGGUUCAUACCCUUCCGAUACUACUCAUAGAUUCAUCAAAAUAGACAAACAACACAUAGAAAACAGAAUCUGUCAAAAACAGAACAGUCUGUAGUCAUCUGUAUCAAACAUAUACUUCUGGAACCCCAAAAAUUAUGAAAUAAAUUGCUGGACCUGAGUAAUUUGUCUAUUAAUCAUCUGCAAAAAUAAUCAACCUAAAAGCACUAUCCAGUAAAAAAUGGCAACUAAACUCGUGAGCGCUAAAGUUUCUGUUUUUUACAGCAAGAUCAUAUAAACUUCACCCAAGUCUUCUCAAAGGUUCUACUUGGCACUUUAUUAAAACAAGAGCUAUAAAACAUGAUUACUACAGUAGCAUAAUCAUGUGGACACACAAAAACAGUAAGGAUAAAUAUUGGGUUGUCUUCCAACAAGCGUUUUUCUUUAAUGCCUUUCUAGCUAGGCAUGAUGAUGGCAAUGAUGCUCACAUAAAAGAUAAAAAUUGAAACAUAACGAAAGCAUCAUGAAGAAUAUGACUAGCACAUUUAAGUCUAACCCACUUCUUAUGCAUAGGGAUUUUGUGAUCAAACAACUUAGGGGAAUAAUAAUCAACAAGCAUAGGAAGAUAAAACAAGCAUAAGUUCAAAAAUUGAAGCACAUAGAGAGGAAACUUGACAUUAUUGCAACUCCUACAAGCAUAUAUUUCUCCAUCAUAAUAAUUUUCAGUAGCAUAAUGAAUGAAUUCAACAAUAUAACCAGCACAUAAAGUUCUUUUCAUGAUCUACAAGCAUAAAAAAUUUACUACUCUCCACAUAAGCAAAAUUCUUCUCAUUCGGAAUGGUGGGAGCAAACUCAACAAAAUAAUUAUCAUGUGAGGCAUAAUCCAAUUGAAAACUAAAAUCAUGAUGACAAGUUUCAUGGUUAUCAUUAUUCUUAAUAGCAUACAAGUCAUCACAAUAAUCAUUAUAAAUAGCAACUUUGUUCUCAUAAUCAAUUGGAACCUCUUCCGAAAUAGUGAAAUCAUCACUAAAUAAAAUUGACACUCUUCCAAAUCCACUUUCAUAUUCAUCACAAUAAAAUUCAAUAUCCUUCAAAAUAGUGGGAUCAAUACUACCUAAAGUUGAUACUCUUCCAAACCCACUUUCAUCAAUAUAAUCAUCAUAAAUAGGAGGCAUGCUUUCAUCAUAAAAAAUAUUCUCAUCAAAACUUGGAGGACAAAAAAUAUCAUAUUAAUCAAACAUAGCUUCCCCAAGCUUGUGGCUUUACAUAUCAUUAGCAUCAUGGAUAUUCAAGAAAUUCAUACUAACAACAUUGCAAUCAUGCUCAUCAUACAAAGAUCAAGUACAAAACAUUCUAAUGCAUUCUUCCUUAGCACUUGAGCACAAUUUUCCUUUCCAUCAUUCUCACAAAAGAUAUUAAAAAGACGAAGCAUAUGAGACAAACUCAACUCCUUUUUUGGGUAGUUUUCUUUUAUAAACUAAACUAGUGAUAAAAGAAAAAACAAAAAGAUUCGAUUGCAAGAUCUAAAGAUAUACCUUCAAGCACUCACCUCCCCGGAAACGGCGCCAGAAAAGAGUUUAGUUGACGGGGUGUGAGUGCCGCUUACCUAGCCUCCCCGGCAAUGGGGCCAGAAAAGAGCUUGAUGUCUACUACACAACCUUCUUCUUGUAGACGUUGUUGGGCCUGCAAAUGCACAGGUUUGUAGGACAGUAGCAAAUUUCCCUCAAGUGGAUGACCUAAGGUUUAUCAAUCCGUAGGAGGCGUAGGAUGAAGAUGGUGUCUCUCAAGCAACCCUGCAACCAAAUAACAAAGAAUCUCUUGUGUCACCAACACACCCAAUACAAUGGUAAAUUGUAUAGGUGCACUAGUUCGGCGAAGAGAUGGUGAUACAAGUGCAAUAUAGAUGAUAGAUAAAGGUAUUUGUAAUCUGAAAUUAUAAAAACAGCAAGGUAGCAAGCAAUAAAAAUGAGUGUAAACGGUAUUGCAAUGAUAGAAAACAAGGCCUAGGGUUCAUACUUUCACUAGUGCAAGUUCUCUCAACAAUAAUAACAUAGAUAGAUCAUAUAAAAAUCUCUCAACAUGCAACAAAGAGUCACUCCAAAGACACUAAUAGCGAAGAACGAACGAAGAGAUUAUGGUAGGGUACGAAAACACCUCAAAGUUAUUCUUUCGGAUCAAUCUAUUCAAGAGUUCGUACUAGAAUAACACCUUAAGACACAAAUCAACCAAAACCCUAAUGUCACUUAGAUACUCCAUUGUCACCUCAAGUAUCCGUGGGCAUGAUUAUACGACAUGCAUCACACAAUCUCAGAUUCAUCUAUUCAACCAACACAAAGUACUUCAAAAAGUGCCCCAAAGUUUCUAUCGAGGAGUCAAGAACGUGUGCCAACCCCUAUGCAUAGGUUCAUGGGCGGAACCCGCAAGUUGGUCACCAAAACAUACAUCAAGAGGCACAUGAUAUCCCAUUGUCACCACAAAUAAGCACGACAAGACAUACAUCAAGUGUUCUCAUAAAAGACCCAAUCCAAUAAGAUAACUUCAAAGGAAAAACUCAAUUCAUCACAAAAGAGUAGAUGGGGAGAAACAUCAUAAGAUCCAACUACAAUAGCAAAGCUCGGGAUACAUCAAGAUCGUGCCAUAGAGGGAACACGAGAGAGAACACGAGAGAAAGAGAGAUCAAACACAUAGCUACUGGUACAUACCCUCAACCUCGAGGGUGAACUACUCCCUCCUUGUCAUGGAGAGCGCCGGGAUGAUGAAGAUGGACACCGGUGAUGGAUCCCCCCUCCGGCAGGGUGCCGGGAAGGGCUCCCGAGAGGUUUUUGGUGGCUACAAAGGCUUGCGAUGGCGAAACUCCCGAUCUAUCUUCUUUAUUCGAUGGUUUUAGGGUACGUAGGCUUAUAUAGGCGAAAGAAGUCGGUCAGGAGGUGCUCGAGGGGCCCACGAGACAGGGGGCCGCGCCUUGUAAGGGGGGGCGCCCCCUAUCUCCUGGGCUCCUCGAGGAUCUUCUGACUUGAUCUCCAAGCCUCCAGGAUGGUUUUCUUUCAAAGAAUCACGAUGCCGAAGGUUUCAUUCCGUUUGGACUUCGUUUGAUAUUUCUUUUCUUCGAAAUACUGAAAUAGGCAAUAAAACAGCAAUAUGGGCUGGGCCUCCGGUUAAUAGGUUAGUCCAAAAAAAUAAUAUAAAAAUGUAUAAUAAAGCCCAUAAUCAGUCAAAACAGAUAAUAAUAUAGCAUAAAUGCUUCAUAAAUUAUAGAUACGUUGGAGACGUAUCAUGCCUCCAAAUCCGGCGUAGCCGGGGAGAACAUCAUCAAGAACUUUCUUGAUAUUUGUGUAGUCUUUCUUCGACUGACGGUCCGAGUCGAAAUACGUGGCCAUGGAAUAUUUCGGGCUUAAGAGGAUGAGUGUGCAAUGUGUGUCACUGCACAAAACACGGAAUGUUAGAAAAAAAGACGAUCGAAAUCUAAGAAAUCAUAUGUUACAGGGCGGUGAGGGGAUGACUUACUCGGGAAAAUAAGGCACGAGGAAGUUAUCCUUAUCUGGGUUUGCCAGAAUGACGCCUUCGAGGUGUGAACUCGCGACUUGCCAGUCCCCAGCGCUGCCCAAGAUCUUGGCACACAUGUAGAAGGGGUCGACUAUCACGAUGUUUGGGGUCUUGUCUCUAAUGAUCCGCAUCUCCAUACUCGGCGAAAAUAGCCGAACAAAGGUGUAGUGCAACGGAUGAAGGUUAAACAUAGCGAAGAUGUCAUCAAACCGCAGGACCACCGUACCCCCGAUGGCGCUAUCCACAAAGCCCUUGCCCUCUGGCACCUUGGCCACAAAAACUGGGUAUGCCACAUCAUUCUCGAAGAGACGCCGCUUCUCCAAAGAAAGAACACGGUCAUGCAGACUCCGCAUAGCACCGGUUGCAGCAUUGAGCAGAUUAGUCGGUAGCAUCGGCCUACCCGCCACAUGCACCCUCCUCGAGAUAUCCUUAGGUGAAGGUGACCCGUCCUGAGUACGGAUCGUACUCGGUGCCGGCUGGCUCGCACCAUCCUUGUUAUUCUUUCUUUUCCGUCCCUUCUUCUGCUGUAAUGGGGUCGAGUUCUGCUCAGAGAUCGCCUUCUUGAGUGUGUUGGGGCUGAUAAUAUUUUGCACCUCAGCUAUCUGAGGCUUGGUGAAGGCGGCAGCUGGAGGCAUCUCCUGAGAACUGAACCCCAUAUGACGCCUGUUGCAAUUGGGUUUCUUCGCGGUACCAGUUAGAUCACGGUCGUCUUUUGCAGGGUUGGGUUCUUGAGAAGGAGGCCCCAAGAAUUCGUCACCGUACCCAUGUUCGGCAAAGUACUUAUCGACGUUGGUAAAUGUACCGUGGUCGUCAUCGUCGUCCGGAUCCUGUGCCAUAUGCAUGUCCGGAUCCUGUGCCAUAUGCAUGUCCGGUAACGUUGCGCCGGUCUUGCCAUGCCUUGGCGCCGGCACGACUAGCAGUGUUGUCUGUGGGGUGGUGUCCCCCGCCACCAAACAAAUCUGGCUCUUCGGUCAAAGCAGGGGCCAGCUUAAGCAGGCGCUGAGGGUCAUCACAUCAUCUUCGUCGGCCCUAGCGGGUCGAAGCGGAGGUAACAAGUCGUUGCAGCCUGGCAGCACCCGAACUAGUUGAACCCUAUACACGGUGGGUGGCAUCGGAUUACCGUGGAACACGAGGUUGCCCGGUUGAACAAUUCUGCCCUUGGUGACAUCAAUCAACUCGCCGCCCACGAAGUGCAGCAGAGUGCAUGGAACAUCGGCGCCGGUGCCCUGCGAAAACAUGUAGGGCGUCAGGGGAUGCCCAGUCAAAAGCAAGGAGAUGAAGUCAUCGAUCGAGAGGCUUAGUUACUGUGAUGGCGUCGAGGUCGGCUAAUGUCGAGGCACCCCCAACGGCGGGCGUGCAAGUGACGGAGGGGCCGCUUGCUGCCGAGGUGCCAGCCGACGUAUUCUUCGCACACCCGGAUGCAUUAAGCUCCAAUGCCCGCGCCGGCACCGGAGACACCAAUACCGCCUCCGCCGGAGACACCAAUGGCGCCGCCUGCGCGUUGUGCGAGUUGCUGGCCGUGAAGCUGGGAACCGGGGGCGGCCCAUGUUGGCCGCCCGCAAUCCACGCCUGCAGCCCCUCAAUCAAGGUAGGCACAAUGGCGGUGAGCGUCGUUCCCAGUUGGUGUUGCACUUGCUCUUGGACCAUCUCCGGAAUCCGCGCCACUUGUGCCUUGAGUUCUUGAACCUCGCGCGGCUGGCUUUCCGAGCUGGUCUUUCUCUCCUUUCGCCCACGAGCGUUAUAGUAUGAUGACCAUUUCGUGGGCAAGCCUUUGCCGGUCACAUGACCAACUGACGACGGCUUACUAAACUUAUCCUUGUUUUUCAUUACGUUCAAUGCCCUAUUUAAAGUGCUACCCCAAGGGGAGCUUUGAGACGACCCCGCGCUACUGCUUUCAGUGUCCUGCAGAAGGAAUGUGAACCAUUUAGAAAUUUGGCUUCAUUAAUUAGAAUGCAAUCAUAUGGAGCUAAUUACGCGGGGGUGUAUUCCUUACCAGAACACGCUCAAGUGCCCUGGUCUUCGCAUCCGUGGUAAGCUCCUUUGUUACCGGGUCCACCUUGUACCGGGCCCUGACAUAGUUCCUGGUCUUGUUGUCACGGUAUUUCCCGAAGCGGGGUGGUAGGCCUUGCUCGGCAUGCUCCGCGUCCUCCUUGUCCCAUAUAGGUUCCGCCACUCUGUAACUGCCGGGACCGAGUUGGUGGACCCCUAAGUUCAAGUCCCACAUAUCUUUCCCCCACUAACUUGAUUCCAUGGUUGCGUUGCUCUCGCACUUGAUCUUGAACUCCUUGUAGUCAUCUUCGCUGAUCGAUGGAUUUUUUGCCUUGAUGUUCUCAUAACUAUCACCUUUGUCAAUCAUUCUCUUCGCCGCGCUUCUCCAAGUAGACAGGGCCGUGCUCAUCUUCGUGAGGGUGGCACUGUUCACUUUAUUCCCCGAGAGCCGUGUGUUUGCGACGUCACCGGGGAACUUGUAUUGUUCGUGAAGAGGAGGUUGCGCAAAUUCCCUCCGUCCUUAUGCCUUAGGUUCUCGGUGUUGAUCGAGACGGUGCUUCGGAGAAUGCACCCAAGCUGAACCGAGUACCCCUUGACUAAUUCUUUGGGCGCCGUUGGAUGCCCCUCGAAGGACACUUCAGUAAAUUCCUCCUUGACGGUGCCGAGCACAUUCGGGCGCCGGUCCUUUUGUUGCCUCUUCGGUUGGCUGCCAUCUGUGCGUGCGCUGCCAUCAUCAGUGGUGGCAUCCUCUGCAGCACCAUCAGUGGUGUCAUCCCCGACGCCACUAGGGGUUGUGUAGUCGGGAUCGGUAUCUUCUGUGGCAUCCUCAUAGCGGUGAGGUUCUUCCUCCAUCUCCCGGGACAGCUCCUAGAAUGCCUUGCCCGAACCGUCGACCUCAUCAUUGUGGGCCAUGUUUCGCUCUAAAUAGGAAAAAAAGUUUAGUCAAAAAGUUGGUUAUUGUCAAGGGCCUACAAAACUAAAUUUUGGAAAUCUACAGAAUGAACAAGCUAAGGGUUGCAAAUGCCCGCAAGGCUUCAAGGGUGACAACAUAAUGGCUCAGUGUUAUUUAAGGGUUGAUUUGUGAGGAAUUAUCAUUGUCUCAUCAUUUAGGGUUUGUCGACACCGAGGCAUCCUAAGAUAAUGCUGCUCAAGAUUCAAGGCCGGAAAGAGGGCAUGGUCCAGGUAUAUAUGUAUACAAUAUUUGUUGAUAAUAAGAAGUUGUUCAGGUGAUAAUGUGUGUACUGAUUUUGUGGUUGUGUUGCGGACGUAGGUGGUCAGAAUGAUCGAACCACAGAAUCACCCAUUGGAGUUAAGUGGCAAAGCAAAUAUUUUAAAAAGUAUGAGAAUAUGAUUUGCAUAACAAGUGACAGAAAUGUGUGGUUCGUAGGGCGGAGUCGCAUUACUUCAAUUGUUGGUUUUGGAGGGAAAAGCAUUGUUAAAUGGUCUAAGAGCCGGAAGAGCAACAAGAGGGCAAAAUGAGGAAGGAAUAAGAAGAGGAGGAAGAUUUGGUUCUCAAACAUUGUUGAGACAAUCUGUCCAAUCAAAAGCUCAAAAACUGAUGACACGAGCAGUGACAACAGAAACAUUGCUGGUGGUGAAACAAUGGUGGUCCUGCACGCCCAAGUAUGUAAAUAACAUUUGUCCAAUUAAUUACAGUGUUUUUAUUUCAUUGAUGGAACUAUGUGACAAUUCAAGGGUGUAGUAUGACAGCCUUUACAAGUUUAGGUGCAUGUGGGCAGAGCAGAGUAGGGAGAAAACGACUAGGGGAAUUCAAACCCCGGCCCAUGCAUUAGUCGCAAGUACCCCACAUGUCCUAUUUUUAGCAAAGUCAUGCUAAAAUUCAUGGAAAAUUCCAGCAUGACCUUUGCUGAAAAUAGGACAUAUGGAGUACCCGAAUUUGCCGGAACGGAAGUUAAUCGACAUUCUGGCAAACUCAAGGGCCUCUGCAACCCCACAACACCCCACAAUAUCAUCACGACACGAUGGUCGGAGACAAAACCAAAAAUGGCAUGCUAUGUAGCCUUAAUGCUGCAGAACAUAUGAAAUACAUGCCAACAAUAUAUAUGAUAUAAACUCCAAUAAUUUUUGAAUAAAAACAGUAGCUAAAAACAGUAGCAAGCAAGCAAUUCAUAAUAUUAUUGUGUAGUCUCAGAAUCUGGAGUAAUUGACAGAAUCUGGAGUAAUUGAUUGUUUCCAAAAUCUGGAGUAAUCUUCUCAAGUACAUGUUCAGUUGUGCUUGACUGGAAAUUUAGACAGGAAAAUUUUGAAUGAUUUAAUACUGACAACUCUACAUCUCUGUAAUUGUAUGACACUCAAUGUGGUGUUGUUAUGUGUGUUGGAGUAACAUCUCUGUAAUUGUAUGACACUGAAUGUGUAUUCAUCAAUAAACUAACAAUACUAAGUGUAAACUAAGGUUCAAUUUGUCAGGAAUGCAUGCUUAUUUAGAGUUUUAGGCCAAAGGCCGUCAAGCACAGAUCCAUUAAGGAGUUAAAGGAACCACCAGUGUGGUUGGAUUGCUAACUAGCAUCAGAGAAGACACACACAGGUGGGUACAAGGUAAUAAGAAUGCUGGAUCACUACUAGUCUACAACUGCUAGGAGGGGGGCAUUAUAGUAAAGAUCUGGUGGAACUGAAUAGUAGGAACUGCCUGUGCACGAUUGAAUAAUCCUGCCACGAAAAAGGGACUCAAAUAAGAGCCUACCAUGCCUUGCAUUCAUUUCCUACAACGAGAUAGCAUUUGAAUUUCCUUCUUUCUUAAUAAGAGUGGCUAACAGGAUGUUAUAUUCAUAAUAGUUUGUAGUAAGAAUGAAAUGCAGGAAUGCACAAUACAUCAGUUCCACCAAUAUUUCAUCUUGCAAUAGCCUAUAAUGUUAGAACAGUAGGUCCAAAGAGUCCAUGUUCUUGGUUCAUUUAUCUGACCGGGGUGUAAGACCAAUGCCCUGGGAGCAAGUCGCCAUGCCUGCCAAAUCUAAAUGCAUCUCAAUUCAACUAGAGUGGACAAACAAACAGUGAGAUGCUGGCAAUGCCAGGAGUGGGGCAUUGACUGCGAAUUUGGUGAAACAGAAAGAUCAGAACUGCCCUCCUAUGCAAUAUCCAACCAUCCUCUCACAAGAAAUGGUUUAGAAACAUUCAAAGGAAGCCUCACUUGCAGGACUACUUUCAGCAUAUCAAUCUCCAAGUUCAAAGACACAUGAACCUAAGCACAUACUAGAUCUCUGUUCCAAUUAUUCAACACAAGCCGUCGACGCGGACGCCUCUUACAUAUAGUCAAACAAAUGCAGGCAUAACUAGAACACCAGGCUGACAGUGGUGACGACCAACCAGUCAUCAGUCGGCAAGAGCAUCGCCAUGACCCCAUCAGGCACUAUAAUUCUAGAGUAUAUUACACCGCAAUUACAAAUAAAAAAAGCAUGGGGAUUACAACCCGGACUAACACUAAACUACAUCAGCACUAUAGGGCUAGUACAUACAAAUUCAGAGAGAUGAUAUAACACUGAUAAGAGCAGGGGAACUAAACACCUACAACAAUAUAAGAGGGAUUCAGGAACUACAAGAGCAAACAUGAGCAGGCAACUGAAGGAAGCCCGCGGUGCCCGUACAUGGCAGCAGAAGGAGGAGGAAGGCGACAAGGGGUAAAGGGGGCACCUGUUGCCGAGCAGCUGGUGCAGCUAGAUGAUUGACUGCUCCUCCUUGUCGGUGAAGUUGCCGCGCUUGAUGUCCGGUCGUAGGUAGUUGAUCCACCGGAGCCGACAGCUCUUGCCGCACCGCAGCAGGCCUGUGAAAACAACGCAGAAAACGGAGGUCAGGGACGGAUCUUGAGCGCCCUGAACGCCGAGGCGCAAGACGGGAGACGCCGGAGAUGCGUUUGUGAGACGGAGGGAGGGAGGGACUCGGGCGAAAUAGAAGGCGCUGACUGAGGCGUUGCGGCCUUGGGCGUACGGCGGCGAGUCGGAUCCUCUGUUGCCGGCGACGGGUUAGGGACGGUGGCGAGAAGGAGCAGGGUUCUAAAUCGAAGGGGAAAAGGGGGGCGAGGGAGGAGCUCACCACGGGGCUUGUGGACACCUCGGUUGCCGCGGGGAUGGACCGGAGCAGCGGUGGCAACGGCGAGAUGGGGUCGGUCGGAGGAAGAAGACAUGCUCCGGCGGGCCUCCUCCUCCUGGUGGACGCGGGCCUCCUCCUCCUAGUGCUCCGGCGGCGACUCCAGCGACGGAGCGGGCGCGGGGGUCGUCAGGUGCGGGGGAGGCGGCGGGGGCGGCGGCGGCGCAGUGAGAUGUGAUCGAUUGGGGAAGAAAGGGGAUUGGGGAUUUUAGUGGGAGGAGCAAUGGCGCAUCCCGUAGCGGUGCGCUAUUAGUAAUUUUUUUGAUAGCAAUGGCGUACCUCCUGGCGGUGCGUCAUUAGUAAUCUUUUUCUUGAUAGCAAUGACGCACCUCCUAGCGAUGCGCCAUUAGUAAAAAAAAAUUAGGAUUUUUUGUUGCCUAGCGGAGGGCCGGCAGCGGCGGCUUGAACCCUAGGUCUCGCUCGGGAGGAAGGGAGGAGGUGGGUGGUGUGCUCGGCCGAUUCCGUUCGGGGAAACCGAGCAAGAAGACANNNNNNNNNNNNNNNNNNNNNNNNNNNNNNNNNNNNNNNNNNNNNNNNNNNNNNNNNNNNNNNNNNNNNNNNNNNNNNNNNNNNNNNNNNNNNNNNNNNNNNNNNNNNNNNNNNNNNNNNNNNNNNNNNNNNNNNNNNNNNNNNNNNNNNNNNNNNNNNNNNNNNNNNNNNNNNNNNNNNNNNNNNNNNNNNNNNNNNNNNNNNNNNNNNNNNNNNNNNNNNNNNNNNNNNNNNNNNNNNNNNNNNNNNNNNNNNNNNNNNNNNNNNNNNNNNNNNNNNNNNNNNNNNNNNNNNNNNNNNNNNNNNNNNNNNNNNNNNNNNNNNNNNNNNNNNNNNNNNNNNNNNNNNNNNNNNNNNNNNNNNNNNNNNNNNNNNNNNNNNNNNNNNNNNNNNNNNNNNNNNNNNNNNNNNNNNNNNNNNNNNNNNNNNNNNNNNNNNNNNNNNNNNNNNNNNNNNNNNNNNNNNNNNNNNNNNNNNNNNNNNNNNNNNNNNNNNNNNNNNNNNNNNNNNNNNNNNNNNNNNNNNNNNNNNNNNNNNNNNNNNNNNNNNNNNNNNNNNNNNNNNNNNNNNNNNNNNNNNNNNNNNNAGGGGGAUCUGGCGCGGGGGGUGCGCCAUAAGUAAUUUUUUUUAUUUUUAGUUGCGUCUAAUAAUUUUUUAGAAAAUGACGAUCAAAUUUGAAAACAUUUAUGAAUGUGAAAAAAUAUGAUCAAAAAAUAUCAUCAAAUUUGUUAUUUGAAAAUAUCAUCAAAUUUGUUAUUUAAAAAUAUCAUCAAUAUUUUUUUUUGAAUUUUUAGUUGCAUUCAUUUGUGAAUUGGUAAAACAUUUAUGAACAUCAAAAAAUAUCAUCAAAUUUGAAAAAAUAUUCAUGAAUUUAAAAAAUGCCCAUGAAAUUUAAAAAUAUUCAUGAGUUCAAAAAAUAUUAACAAAUUCAAUAUUUUUUUGAGUUAGAAAUUCAAUACCAUAAUAAACAUAAAUAAAUAUUCAUGAGGUGUCAGGGCCCCGAUUCUAUGCCACACCGAUCUAGCAUGUAACACCUCAUAUCACUUUGCGGCCUCACGCACGUAUUUCCACGGGUGUCGCCUUACCAUGCCCGGGACCGUUUGCGCCUUUUCGCACACGUAUAUGAUAGUGUCACUAGCAUCCAUAUGACAAAGAACUCGGGCUGACAUGGCUAGUCGUGAACCCAAAGUGGCACUAACUUACAGGGACAUGCAUACAUGACCCAGCAACGAACGUGUCGGUCAUCAGCGAGUGAAUCCGGGCUGUAGCAACUGGGCUAGCAGGACUCCGGUAAACCGGGCUGUAGCAGGCUAACAUGACUCCGGUAGACACCGCGUGACAUUUCCCCGAAGGGACAGACACAGGAACGAAGAAGGACACAUGCCGGCCAACCUAAGUGUUCCGGAGCAGUAGCAAGCUAGCAGGGCUCAGUGGAAGCACUAGGAGACAUUUCCCGGUAAGAGAGGCUACUAAGGAUAAACAACUAGAUAGUCAGAUCCCACACAUAGCAAUACACAUUACACGUACGCAUAACAUGCAAGUAUGUGCUGUACAACAUGGCAUCACAGCAUAACUCAACAACUCAUAUAAAUAAGGCUCAAAGAGCCAUCAUAUCAUUUAUUGCAAACAGGGGUCACAAGUCCCAUCAUACAGAGCAUACAAGCAACAAGCGGAAGCAUUACAUGUCUGAGUACAGACAUCUCCAAAUGAAAAAGCCUGAAGAGCCUGACUAUCUACAACAUCCGAUCAAGAUCGUAGCUGAGGUACAAGCUACUUGUCGAAGUCCACGAGAACACUAGUAAGACCGAAGUCUCCGCUGCAAAAGCAUAAAUAAAGCAACAUGAGUACAAAGGUACUCAGCAAGACUUACAUCAGAUCCUAUCAUACAUGCAUUUGUAUCAAGAAGGUAAUGUGGGGUUUAGUUGCAGCAAGCCAGCUUUGACUCUAUGGUUAUCCUCUUCUACGACUACGAGAAACUCUUGGGGUGAGACAAUGUACACGAGUCCACUAAUCACCACACAAUACACUACUAUGGAUUCAUCCCCGUCUCCCUACGAGAAGGCCAUCCAUAGCACUCACACUUGUCUUGAGCAUUUUAGAGUAUCCACUUCAAGUUGUCUAUGUACCAUGUAAGCAUCCAAGAAGUCCAUAACCGCGGACCCGGCUAUUCGAAUAGAUCAUGUUAACCCUGCAGGGGUGUACUUCUUCACACACGCUCUCGCCACUUACCGCCAUGUACAUGUCAUGUAUCUCGGCAACCUUCAAGCGGAAGCCUGGCGAGGGUGUCGGCCACGACCUGACUAACCACACAAGACUCUAACCCAGGUUUAUCGCCUAUUUGGGUUCCAUCCGCAAGGAGAUCCGGCUGGGGUGUCGCUCACGGCCCCAAACGAUGUGUGCAGGGUUCCCGAGCCCACCAUCCGGGUGCCACUCGGUACACCAGGCCACGUGUGCCUAGUCUGUCCCAAGCCCACCCUGCCGGGUGCCACUUGGUAGAAAAAUAGCACUACCUACAAACACCAGAAACUAGUUGCGACUCCUGGACAGAGACCAAGUUGGUUAAUAAGUCGAGAGAGUCAAUUAAGGAUCCCAAUGUGUGGUAGUAUCGAGUCAUUGGACAACAUACAUAGAACUCAGUGCUUAAGGACGAUUCCAGUGAGACAACCCACCAUGUACUCCUACAUGGCCUCUCACCGCUACCUUUACCAAAUCAUGUUCACACACUUCACUCUCAGCAUCAGAACAUAUCGUAACACUCCAAUUCAUUCCCAAUUAAUCAGACCUGACACACUCUAAGCAAUAGCAGGCAUGGCAUGGUAGGAACACAACAAUGGCUUCAAUCAACUCCUACACAUGCUAGUGGGUUUCAACUAUUUAUUGUGGCAAUGACAGGUCAUGUAGAGGAAUGGGUUCAACUACCGCAGCACAAAGUAGCAGAUGAAACAUUGUUGUCCUAAUGCAAUAACUGAGAGCAGGAGCGAGAGAGUAGGAUUGUAUCGGAAUGAACAAGGGGGUUUGCUUGCCGGGCAGAUCAACAGAGGGGGCACUGCUCCUCAGACAGGUACUCUGGAGCACUCACCGGAGCAGGACCUAUCGAGAAGGAACAGUGUCGACAAUCAAUACACAAGCAUAUGCAACAAUAUGAUGCAUGAACAUGGCAUGUAGAUGUGAUGCUGUUUGAGCUAAUGCAGCUAGCAAUCAUUUGGUUGAAGUUCAUUUGAACCAAGAGUUCAAAUGCAACUCCAAAUUAACUCUUUAUAAAUGCCAUUCAUAUGUUUUCACCUAUACAGCAGGUUUGGGUAGGUUUGUCAUGCAUGAAACUAGUACAGAUGGAUAGAUUACAUUUUCCUGAUAAUUUUUCAUAUAUAAAUUAUUUCAAUCUGAGCUACGGUUGAAUUUCUAUGAAUUUUGAAGUUUAAAUUAUUUUUUGGAAUUUUCUGAGUUAUUUUAAAUCCAGAAAAUGGAUAACUGCGUCAGCAUGACGACAGCAUGACGUCAGCAGGUCAACCGGGGCUGACCAGGGUCAAACCUGACAUGUGGGGUCCACACGUCAGUGACACGGUUAAACAGGGGGGUUAGUUUAGCUUAAUUAAAGAUUAGGGGGCACUGGGCCCACAUGUCAGCGUCAGGGGUUAGGUUAGUUGGUGAUUAGCUUAAGCUAAUCACCUGACGGCGGGGUCCACCUGUCAGGCCGGCGAGGUCGUCGCCGGCGACCACGGGACAUGGCGGUGUCCGUGUUACAGGCCACGGGGACGACGUCUGAGAGCACCGGGGCGUAGCUCGGGCUCUCGCGCAUCUGGUGGGGAAGGUGGGAGGAGCUGGGGGCGGAGCUCGCCGGAGCGGAGCUCGGGGCGGCGGCCGGAGGACGGCUCGAGCGGGCGCGCGGCUAGGGCGCACGGGGAGGCCACCCGAGGGGCUCUGCGGCACCCUCGUGGCACCAGGAGCACGGUGACGCGCUCGGUUGCGGGCUGCGGUCACCAGGGCGACGGCGGCGACAUGGACGGUGGCGAAGAGCUACGGCCGUGAAGGAGGAUGGAGCUACGGAGCGCAAAAACGAGGGGAAGAAGAGGGGUUCAGUAGAGGAGCUCACGGCGAGUCCUUCGGUGACCUCAGCGCGCUCGGGGACGGCUCGAAGACGACGGCAUGUCGGUGGCGAUCUCCGGCGGCCGAUGAUGAAGACGACAGCGGUGACGGCUCCACAGGGCGCUCCGGCUUGCGUGGCUUGACGGAGAGGACGAGGACAACGGCGCGGAGCUCGGGGACGGCUCAAAUGCUCUCGAGGGGCGCGGUGGCUACGGCUACGGCGAGCGGUGGCGACGGUGGCGUUCGGCCGUGCGCGUGGGAGAGAGACCAGGGGAGGGGAAGGAAUGAGAGAGAGGGAGAGAGGUGCGGGGCGUCGUGGCGACGUCCAGGGAGGCCAGAGCGAUGAGGAGGGAAGCAGGAGGUGGUUGGGCGCGUGGCCGCGGCCGGCUGUGGCGCGGGCACGCAGCUGCUUGGGCGAGGGGGAGGAAGACGACAGAGGAGGAGGCCAGGUGGGCUGGGCUGGCCAACUGGGCCGGCCAGGCCGCACAGGAACGGGCUGCACAGGGAGGUAAGCGCCAGGUAAGUCUCUUCUCCCUUUUAUUUUUCUAUUUUCUGACAUUUGUUUUGAUUUAAUAAAAAUACCUAAAUCAUUUUAUUUACUUGUGCCAAUUUUUGUAGGAACUAGUGGUAUUGUUCCAGAGCUCCUCAACAAAUGGCAUAAUUUUUGGACAUAUAUUAUAUAUAUAACAAAUAUAUAUCCAAUGCAAAUAUUUAUGCAUUAAUUCCUAAUGCCCAAAAUAAAUACUUAUGGGCUCUUAAAAAUAUUGGUUUUAUUUUUAUCUCUGUCCAAUAUUUCCAGAGAGCAACAUGAGCAUUUUCUUGGACCCUUUUGGAGCAAUUUUUAUUUGGGUCAUUUCCAGAAAUGAUUCUGAGGGUUUCACAAAUCCCCAAUUCAUAAUUAAAUGAAAUUUAAACAUGAUGCACACAUGACUAGCUAGUCUAGUUCAUACCAGACUAGGGAUGUGACAACUCGCCCCCACUUGAAAAAAUCUCGUCCCGGGAUUCAGGGGUCGAUGGAAAGAAAGUGGGGUACUCCAGUCGAAGACGAUCUUCUCGCUCCCAAGUAGCUUCUCUCUCGGAAUGAUGAGACCACUGAACCUUGAGAAACUUGAUGUUCUGACGUCGAGUGACACGCUCUGCUUGAUCAAGAAUGCAAACUGGGUACUCUCGAUACGUGAGGUUAUCUUGGAGAUGAAGCGUUUCAUGGUCCACUCCGCGGAUAGGAUCCGAGAAGCAACGCCUGAGUUGAGAGACGUGGAAGACAUCAUGCACUCUGGAAAGAUGUGGGGGUAGUUCCAACUGGUAGGCAACCUCUCCUCGUUUAGCGAGAAUGCGAAAAGGACCAAUGUAACGAGGAGCCAACUUGCCCUUGAUACCGAAGCGAUGGGUACCCUUCAAGGGAGUAACCUGAAGAUAAGCCUUGUCGCCAACUUCAUAAGUCAUAUCCUUAUGAUGACGAUCAUACUGGCUCUUUUGACGAGACUGGGCUGUUUUAAAAUUCUCACGAAUGAUGCGAACUUGCUCUUUUGCCUCUUGGAUCAUGUCCGGUCCAAAGAAUUGUCUUUCACCGGUUUCUGACCAGUUCAAAGGUGUUCGACAUCUUCGUCCAUAGAGAACCUCAAAAGGAGCUUUCUUGAGACUGGAUUGAUAGCUAUUGUUAUAAGCAAACUCGGCAAAAGGAAGACAUUUCUCCCAGUCCAUACCGAAUGAGAUAACGCAAGCUCUAAGCAUGUCUUCGAGAAUUUGGUUGACCCUUUCCACCUGACCACUCGACUAAGGGUGGAAAGCGGUACUGAAGGAAAGAUGGGUUCCCAUGGCAGUCUGGAAACUCUCCCAGAAAUGAGAAGUGAAAAGACUACCACGGUCUGAAUUGAUCUCUAGUGGAACACCAUGAAGUGACACGAUUCGAGAAAUGUAUAAGUCAGCAAGCUGACUAGCAGUGAUACUCUCUCGAACAGGUAGGAAGUGCACCACUUUGGAGAGACGAUAAAUGACUACGAAGAUAGCAUUAUUCCCUCUCUUGGUCCUGGGAAAGCCGGUGAUGAAGUCCAUACCAACUUUAUCCCAUUUCCACUCAGGAAUGGCUAAAGGCUGAAGGGUGCCAGCAGGUCUCUGAUGCUCUGCCUUAACGCGACGACAAGCGUCACAGUUAGCAAUAAACUGAGCGAUUUCUCUCUUCAUCCUAGUCCACCAGAACCUCUGGCGUAGGUCCUGAUACAUCUUAGUACUACCGGGAUGAAUCGUGAGAGGAGAUUCAUGCGCCUCCUUAAGAAUCAAUUGUCGAAUAUGUUGCUUCUUGGGGACCACCAGGCGGUUCCCAAAGAAAACAACACCUCGAUCAUCAACAGAGAAACUACCAGCAACUCCCUUCUUAACGUUAUCCUUGAUUCGAGAAAUACACGUAUCAUAUUGCUGGCUAGUUAUGAUCUGAUCCUCAAGAGUAGGUUUCACCAUUAAGGUAGAAAGGAAUUCGUGAGGAGCAAUGUGAAGAUUAAGCUUACAGAAUUCCUCAUGGAGAAGUGGUUGGCCUUGCUGCAACAUGAGAUUGUUGCAAUAGGAUUUACGGCUUAGCGCAUCAGCCAUGACAUUAGCUUUGCCUGGGGUGUAGGUAAUCCCUAGAUCAUAAUCUGUGAUCAACUCCAACCAACGUCUUUGCCUAAGGUUCAAAUCUGGUUGGGUGAAGAUAUACUUGAGGCUCUGGUGAUCGGUGUAGAUCUCGCAACGUUUACCAAGAAGGUAAUGUCGCCAAGUCUUGAGUGCAUAGACUACGGCUGCAAGCUCUAGAUCAUGUGUAGGAUAAUUCUCCUCAUGUGGAUGCAACUGUCGAGAUGCAUAGGCAAUCACAUGACGAUCCUGCAUAAGAAUGCAACCUAGUCCCUGUCGUGAGGCGUCGCAGUAGAUAACAAAGUCUUUAGUGAAAUCCGGUGGCACAAGUAUGGGAGCAGAAGUCAGGCGCCUUUUCAGUUCCUGAAAACUGUACUCACACUGUGGGGACCACUCAAACUUUUUAUCUUUCUUGAGAAGUUCCGUGAGAGGUUUGGCUACUUUGGAGAAGUUUUCAACAAAGCGGCGACAAUAGCUGGCUAGACCAAGGAAACUCCUAACUUGUUUAACGGUUUCAGGUGGAGUCCAAUCGAGAACGGCCUUAACUCUCUCGGGAUUGACAGCAAUGCCCUUACAGAGAUUACGUGGCCUAGGUAGGUCACUUCUGGCAACCAAAAUUCGCACUUGGAGAACUUGGCAUAAAGGCGGUGCUCUCUGAGUUUUUCUAACACAAGUCUAAGAUGUUCGGCAUGCUCUUCCUUGUUCUUCGAGUAAAUAAGAAUAUCAUCGAGGUAAACCACGACGAACUUAUCUAAGUACACCAUGAAGAUCAAGUUCAUCAAGCGGGAGAAAGUGGCUGGGGCGUUGGUUAGGCCGAAGGACAUGACGGUGUACUCGUACUGGCCAUAACGAGUGACAAAGGCUGUCUUGGGGAUGUCCCCGUUUCUGAUCUUGAUUUGGUGGUAGCCUAACCUCAAAUCCAUCUUGGAGAAGACUGAGGAUCCAGCGAGCUGGUCAUACAAGUUGUUGAUCCUGGGGAGCGGAUACUUGUUCUUUAUCGUGACCAAAUUAACGGGACAAUAAUCUACAACCAUCCGAUCUGUACCAUCCUUCUUCUUGACAAAGAGGACGGGGCAAGCCCAGGGAGAAGAACUAGGACGGAUGAAACCCUUUUGCAAGGACUCAUCAAGUUGUUUCUUAAGCUCGGCUAGUUCUAAGGGUGCCAUCUUGUAAGGUCUCCUAGAGAUUGGAGCAGUUCCUGGGAUAAGAUCUAUGACGAACUCUACAUCUCUGUCAGGUGGAACACCUGGCAGUUCCUCUGGAAAGACAUCCGGAAAGUCACGGACUACCGGGAUAUCUUCAAGGUCUAGGAGAGGGCUGGCAUUAAGAGAAUAGAGCUGACGCUUUGCAACUCUAGUGGAGACAGUGACUAUCUUGCCAGAUGGGUGUGUAAGCUGAACAGAUCUUGUGUAACAAUCAAUCUUGGCAUGAUGAGCUGUCAUCCAGUCCAUACCCAAGAUGAUGUUAAUAUCUGAGGACUUGAGGGCUACAAGUGAUGCAAGAAAUACAAGUCUAUCAACAAGGAUUUCAUUACCAUAGCUGAUUCUGGUGGUUUGCCACCUAGACCCUGGGGUUUGGAUUUCAAGCGGAGUUGGCAUAUCACAGAAUGACAUGUCGUGCAAACGAGCAUAGCCUUCAGAAAUGAAGGAGUGAGAUGCUCCAGUAUCAAAUAGAACCGAUGCUGGAUGACAGUUGACAAGGAGUGUACCAAGAACGACAUCCGGAUCAUCAUGAGCGUCUUUAGCUGAGACGUGAUGCACACGUCCACGUUUAGUGUGAGCUGGCUUGGCACUGAUCGUCUUGCUUGAUGGCUUGACAUAGCCAACAGACUUCUCGGGCUGGGGUGGAGCAUAACUAGUCUGAGAGCAGUCACGUGCAUAGUGUCCUGGCUUCCCGCAUGUGAAGCAAGUCCCUGAGGUUGGACGUGGACCCGCACUAACAAGCGGUCUACCAGUAGGCCUGGGUGGAACAUACGACUGAGCUGGGGAAGGCACCACGUAAGUUGGCCUCGGUGAAUAUCCGGAAGGAAGAGCGGAGUUUGGAACCCAAAUCCGGCGCUUCUGAGAACCAGAACCGGAGGAAGAUCCCAAAUCACAGGUGUGCUUACGAGACUCCUCGUAAGUGAGCUGAGCUGUCUCUGCAUUAAUGGCCUUGUUCACAAGAGCUUGGAAUGUAUCACAAUGAUGCAGGUGGAGAUCACGACGCAACUUGGGGUUGAGACCCUUCCGGAACCUAGCCUGCUUCUUGGCGUCCGUGGACACUUCUUCGGUGGCAUAGCGGGCGAGGUUCUCAAACUCUCUACUGUAAGCAUCAACAGCCAUCUUACUCUGGGUGAAACUACAGAACUCUUCUCUCUUGCGAUCGAUGAGGGCCUCAGGAAUGUGAUGCUCGCAAAAAGCCUCAGUGAAAUCUCUCCAGGUAGGAAUCUGGCCAGCUGGAAGCAUAGCCUCAUAGUUCUGCCACCAAAGACUAGCAGGACCUUCCAGGUGGUAUGUGGCAUAGGUGACCUUGUCAUCUUCAGCUAUGUUCGCGGAACACAACUUAUGAGUGAUGCUACGGAGCCAGUCAUCUGCAUCGAGUGGCUCGAUGGAAUGAUGAAAGGUAGGUGGGUGCAAGCGGAUGAAGUCAUGAAUGGUUACAGACCCUUUGAACUGAUGGGCGGCGUUCUCCUCGAUACGUGCCAACAAGCGGUUAGACUCACGCUUGUUCCUCUCCAUUUCUAACAUGAACUCUGCCAACGAAGGCUGGUCGGGAGGAUCCUCGUCCCUACCAUCUCCGUGGUUCUGGCUACGAGCAACAGAACUUCGCUUAGCUGAUGACAUCUUGAGAAACGAAACCAAGGACGGAAUCAGCAUCAUCCACAUGCUAUAGAAUGUAGGACAAGGAAAUUAGUAUCUCUCGAACUCCUAGGGCAAUUCCGGCAGCAUAACGGCAGUAAAAUGCUCAAAAUGAGACAUCCUGCCAAAAAUGGGGUAGUAACAUACUCAUCAUCAUCACUCAAGGUUCUGAGAUAGUACUAAGCAGACUACACCGAAAGUACUUGAAACUGGGGUAUGACUCUGAUCAACCAAUCCUAUGGGACUACGGAGUAGUAACACGUGAUCCUGAUAGACGGAAGAGAAGCCUAGUUCCUUAACCCCGUUAGGAAAGAUAGUAUGACUCAGAUCAGAAGGCCAUGAGAUAAAAGGAGUAAAAAGAGCCUUAUGUUCCUUCCCACAAUCAAUUCCCUUACAUAACUAGAGAAUUUCUAGACUCAACUUCGACCAGUUUGGCUUGGUAAUCCUACAGGCAGUCAGGCUCUGAUACCAAAGCUGUCAGGACCCCGAUUCUAUGCCACACCGAUCUAGCAUGUAACACCUCAUAUCACUUUGCGGCCUCACGCACGGUAUUCCCACGGGUGUCGCCUUACCAUGCCCGAGAUCGUUUGCGCCUUUUGGCACACGUAUAUGAUAGUGUCGCUAGCAUCCAUAUGACAAAGAACCCGGGCUAACAUGGCUAGUCGUGAACCCAAAGUGGCACUAACUUACAGGGACAGGCAUACAUGACCCAGCAACGGACGUGUCGGUCAUCAGCGAGUGAAUCCGGGUUGUAGCAACUGGGCUAGCAGGACUCCGGUAAACUGGGCUGUAGCAGGCUAACAGGACUCCAGUAGACACCGCGUGACAUUUCCCUGAAGGGACAGACACAGGAACAAAGAAGGACACAUGCCGGCCAACCUAAGUGUUCCGGAGCAGUAGCAAGCUACCAGGGCUCAGUGGAAGCACUAGGAGACAUUUCCCGGUAAGAGAGGCUACUAAGGAUAAACAACUAGAUAGUCAGAUCCCACACAUAGCAAUACACAUUACACGUACGCAUAACAUGCAAGUAUGUGCUGUACAACAUGGCAUCACAGCAUAACUCAACAACUCAUAUAGAUAAGGCUCAAAGAGCCAUCAUAGCAUUUAUUGCAAACAGGGGUCACAAGACCCAUCAUACAGAGCAUACAAGCAACAAGCGGAAGCAUUACAUGUCUGAGUACAAACAUCUACAAAUGAAAAAGGCUGAAGAUCCUAACUAUCUACAACAUCCGAUCAAGAUCGUAGUUGAGGUACAAGCUACUCGUCGAAGUCCACGAGAACACUAGUAAGACCGAAGUCUCCGCUGCAAAAACAUAAAUAAAGCAACAUGAGUACAAAGGUACUCAGCAAGACUUACAUCAGAUCCUAUCAUACAUGCAUUUGUAUAAAGAAGGUAAUGUGGGGUUUAGUUGCAGCAAGCCAGCUUUGACUCUGUGGCUAUCCUGUUCUACGACUACGAGAAACUCUUGGGGUGAGACAACGUACACGAGUCCACUAAUCACCACACAAUACACUACUAUGGAUUCAUCCCCGUCUCCCUACGAGAAGGCCAUCCAUAGCACUCACACUUGUCUUGAGCAUUUUAGAGUAUCCACUUCAAGUUGUCUAUGUACCAUGUAAGCAUCCAAGAAGUCCAUAACCGCGGACCCAGCUAUUCGAAUAGAUCAUGUUAACCCUGCAGGGGUGUACUUCUUCACACACGCUCUCGCCACUUACCGCCAUGUACACGUCAUGUAUCUCGGCAACCUUCAAGCGGAAGCCUGGUGAGGGUGUCGGCCACGACCUGAAUAACCACACAAGACUCUAACCCAGGUUUAUCGCCUAUUCGGGUUCCAUCCGCAAGGAGAUCCGGCCGGGGUGUCGCUCACGGCCCCAAACGAUGUGUGCAGGGUUCCCGAGCCCACCAUCCGGGUGCCACUCGGUACACCAGGCCACGUGUGCCUAGUCUGUCCCAAGCCCACCCUGCCGGGUGCCACUUGGUAGAAAAAUAGCACUACCUACAAACACCAGAAACUAGUUGCGACUCCUGGACAGAGACCAAGUUGGUUAAUAAGUCGAGAGAGUCAAUUAAGGAUCCCAAUGUGUGGUAGUAUCGAGUCAUUGGACAACAUACAUAGAACUCAAUGCUUAAGGACGGUUCCAGUGAGACAACCCACCAUGUACUCCUACAUGGCCUCUCACCGCUACCUUUACCAAAUAAUGUUUACACACUUCACUCUCAGCAUCAGAACAUAUCGUAACACUCCAAUUCAUUCCCAAUUAAUCAGACCUGACACACUCUAAGCAAUAGCAGGCAUGGCAUGGUAGGAACACAACAAUGGCUUCAAUCAACUCCUACACAUGCUAGUGGGUUUCAACUAUUUACUGUGGCAAUGACAGGUCAUGCAGAGGAAUGGGUUCAACUACCGCAGCACAAAGUAGCAGAUGAAACAUUGUUGUCCUAAUGCAAUAACUGAGAGCAGGAGCGAGAGAGUAGGAUUUUAUCGGAAUGAACAAGGGGGUUUGCUUGCCGGGCAGAUCAACAGAGGGGGCACUGCUCCUCAGACAGGUACUCUGGAGCACUCACCGGAGCAGGACCUAUCGAGAAGGAACGGUGUCGACAAUCAAUACACAAGCAUAUGCAACAAUAUGAUGCAUGAACAUGGCAUGUAGAUGUGAUGCUGUUUGAGCUAAUGCAGCUAGCAAUCAUUUGGUUGAAGUUCAUUUGAACCAAGAGUUCAAAUGCAACUCCAAAUUAACUCUUUAUAAAUGCCAUUCAUAUGUUUUCACCUAUACAGCAGGUUUGGGUUGGUUUGUCAUGCAUGAAACUAGUACAGAUGGAUAGAUUACAUUUUCCUGAUAAUUUUUCAUAUAUAAAUUAUUUCAAUCUGAGCUAUGGUUGAAUUUCUAUGAAUUUUGAAGUUUAAAUCAUUUUUUGGAAUUUUCUGAGUUAUUUUAAAUCCAGAAAAUGGAUAACUGCGUCAGCAUGACGACAGCACGACGUCAGCAGGUCAACCGGGGCUGACCAGGGUCAAACCUGAUGUGUGGGGUCCACACGUCAGUGACACAGUUAAACAGGGGGGUUAGUUUAGCUUAAUUAAAGAUUAGGGGGCACUGGGGCCCACAUGUCAGCGUCAGGGGUUAGGUUAGUUGGUGAUUAGCUUAAGCUAAUCACCUGACGGCGGGGUCCACCUGUCAGGCCGGCGAGGUCGUCGCCGGCGACCACGGGACAUGGCGGUGUCCGUGUUACAGGCCACGAGGACGGCGUCUGAGAGCACUGGGGCGUAGCCCGGGCUCUCGCGCAUCUGGUGGGGAAGGUGGGAGGAGCUGGGGGGCGGAGCUCGCCGGAGCGGAGCUCGGGGCAGUGGCCGGAGCACGGCUCGAGCGGGCGCGCGGCUAGGGCGCACGGGGAGGCCACCCGAGGGGCUCUGCGGCACCCUCGUGGCACCAGGAGCACGGUGACGCGCUCGGUUGCCGGCUGCGGUCACCAGGGCGACGGCGGCGACAUGGACGGUGGCGAAGAGCUAUGGCCGUGAAGGGGGAUGGAGCUACGGAGCGCAAAAACGAGGGGGAGAAGAGGGGUUCAGUAGAGGAGCUCACGGCGAGUCCUUCGGUGACCUCAGCGUGCUCGGGGAUGGCUCGGAGACGACAGCAUGUCGGUGGCGAUCUCCGGCGGCCGAUGAUGAAGACGACAGCGGUGACGGCUCCACGGGGCGCUCCGGCUUGCGUGGCUUGACGGAGAGGACGAGGACGACGGCGCGGAGCUCGGGGACGGCUCAGAUGCUCUCGAGGGGCGCGGUGGCUACGGCUACGGCGAGCGGUGGCGACGGUGGCGUUCGGUCGUGCGCGUGGGAGAGAGACCCGGGGAGGGGGAGGAAUGAGAGAGAGGAAGAGAGGUGCGGGGCGUCGUGGCGACGUCCAGGGAGGCCAGAGCGAUGAGGAGGGAAGCAGGAGGUGGCCGGGCGCGUGGCCGCGGCCGGCUGUGGCGCGGGAACGCAGCUGCUUGGGCGAGGGGGAGGAAGACGACAGAGGAGGAGGCCAGGUGGGCUGGGCUGGCCAACUGGGCCGGCCAGGCCGCACAGGAACGGGCUGCACAGGGAGGUAAGCGCCAGGUAAGUCUCUUCUCCCUUUUAUUUUUCUAUUUUCUGACAUUUGUUUUGAUUUAAUAAAAAUACUAAAUCAUUUUAUUUACUUAUGCCAAUUUUUGUAGGAACUAGUGGUAUUAUUCCAGAGCUCCUCAACAAAUGGCAUAAUUUUUGGACAUAUAUUAUAUAUAUAACAAAUAUAUAUCCAAUGCAAAUAUUUAUGCAUUAAUUCCAAAUGCCCAAAAUAAAUACUUAUGGGCUCUUAAAAAUAUUGGUUUGAUUUUUAUCUCUGUCCAAUAUUUCCAGAGAGCAACAUGAGCAUUUUCUUGGACCCUUUUGGAGCAAUUUUUAUUUGGGUCAUUUCCAGAAAUGAUUCUGAGGGUUUCACAAAUCCUCAAUUCAGAACUAAAUGAAAUUUAAACAUGAUGCACACAUGACUAGCUAGUCUAGUUCAUACCAGACUAGGGAUGUGACAUGAGGACACUAGAACAGAAGAAAUAUCAUUUCAAUAUGUUGAAAUACAUUCGAGAAAUGAAGGCUACAAUUUAAAUACAAUCGAUCUUAGCUAGCUAUCUGUUCACAAUCUUCUUGCCCUUAUUUUUCGCAAAUGGAGUUGUUCUCUUGAACGGACGUCCUUUAGGUAGGGUGGUCCUGCUUCUUCUUGUGGUGUAUGCUGGUACUUCAUUGUCGUCGUCAUGUUCCAUCUUCGGGUCAUCGUAAUUGUCGAAGUCUUGCUCAUUGGCGACUCCAUCCAUUCCGAUGAUCUUCCUUUUGCCUCUCCUCAUGACAACACGACUGGGCUUUGGCGAGUCGGUAAUGAAGAAGCAUUGGUCCACUUGGGAAGCCAGUACCCAUGGCUCAUUUUUCGCGGUGACGUUUGCGCCCGCGGCCUUGGAUUUGGCUUUGGGUAUAACCAUGGUGGUGAAAUACCAGUCUUCUUUUAGGACGCUCUUGGCCCAUCUGACACGGAACAUCGGGACCUUCUCUCCAGCGUAGCUCAACUCCCAGAUCUCCUUGAUCCUUCUGUAGUAUCUGUCCUUGUCAUUACCAGUGUAGGAUUCCAUCGUUACCCCGGAGUUCUGAUAACCAUCGCUCUUCAUGUACUUUCCCUCGGUGUAGAAUGUGUAGCCGUUGAUAUCGUAUGCCUCAUACGUCAUUAGGUUGUGCUCGGCUCCCUGUGACAAGGCGAAUAUGAGUUGUUCUUCUGCGGAAGAAUCCUCAUGUAAAGGGUACGACAGAAGCUUCUGCUUGAACCAACGCGUGAAACAUGAGUUGUGCUCUUUGAUUAUAUCUCCGUUCGUCCUUUGUUGGCCUCGGUCAUUGUACGUCUUCUUAAUAAAGGUUUUGUGCUCUACCACCCAAGGAUCGACCAUGUCUAUGUGUUGUAGCGCGACUAGGUUUGCUCUUUCAAAGUCGGCGAGUCGACCCUCGAAGUCGACAUGCAUUUCACGACGACCCUCACGGUGACCCCAUCCGGCGAGCCUGCCGAGGUGCCUGUUGACGGGCAGACCAACGGGGUUCUGAUGCCUAGAUAAUUCGUGCAGUAGGAGAUGCACUCUUCGGUUAGAAAGCCCCUGGCUAUGCUUCCCUCUGGACGUGACAUGUUGCGAACGUAUCCUUUGAUGACACCAUUCAUCCUUUCGAACGGCAUCAUGUUGUGCAGGAACGUCGGCCCGAGUUGGAUGAUAUCCUCCACGAUAUGGACCAACAGAUGCACCAUAACAUCGAAGAAUGCGGGUGGGAAGUACAUCUGAAGCUCGCAUAGUAUCACCAUGAUCUCUUCCUGUAGCCUUCUGAGUUGCCUCACGCCAACCGACUUCCGAGAGAUGACGUCGAAAAAGUUGCAUAGGCCAAAUAGCAUUUCACGGACGUGCGCGUCCAUGAUCCCAUGGAUUGCAACUGGAAGUAUCUGCGUCAUCAGCACGUGACAGUCGUGAGACUUCAUCCCGUUGAACUUCUGCUUCGCUGAGUCUAGGUAUCUGCUUAUCUUCCCCGCGUAACCGUAAGGAAGUUUUACUCCUACGAGGCAGGUGAAAAACUGCUCCAUCUCCUCCUGACUUAGAGUGAAGCACGCGGGAGGGAAGUCAUUUCUGGUCUUCUUGGUCUUUUUGCCUUUGCGACGACUUUCUGUGUCCUGCUUCGCCUCAUCAUCAUCAUCAUUAGCGUGAAGCUCCUCUCUGAUGCCCAUUGAUUUCAAGUCUGCCCUUGCUUUCGGCCCAUCUUUGGUCCUCUCUGGCAUGUUGAGCAGGGUACCAAGCAGACUCUCGCACACGUUCUUCGUGAUAUGCAUGACAUCAAGGCUGUGAGGCACAUGGUGGAUCUUCUAGUACGGCAAGUCCCAAAAAACAGACCUCGUUUUACAUACCUUCAGCAGCAGCUCUGGCGCCUUUUGCUUCUUUCCCGGUAGUGGGCAAUCCUUCCAAGUUUUCAAUAGCUCGUCUAUUUCCUCGCCGCUCCUCGUAUGCGGGCAUCUUCGGGGUUCGGUUUCACCAUCGAACAGAUCCUUGCGUUUUCUCCAUGAGUCAUCAUUGGGAAACCACCUUCGAUGUCCCAUGAACAUGGUUUUCGAAGACUCAAGAUCUCUAUCUAGCUGGCGAUACGUUGUGUCAUCCAUGCACCUGAUGCAUCCAGAAAAUCCAUGGACCACCUGCCCCGCGACAUAUCUGUAACCGAGAUAGUCAUGCACCAUGGUGAGCAGUGCGACUCUCAUAGGAAAAUAUUCUUUCUCUGCGACGUCCCACGUAUUGGCUGGAGUUUUCCACAGCGUGUCUAGCUCCUCUUUCAGCAGCCCUAGAUAUAGAUUGAUGUCGUUCCCUAGUUGUUUCGGCCCUUCAAUUAGCAUACUCAUGUGAAUGUACUUCCUCUUCAUGCACAACCAGGGGGGAAGGUUGUACAUCCACACAAACACAGGCCAGGUGCUAUGUGUGCUUCUCUGGCUGCCAAGCGGAUUGACUCCAUCGGUGCUCGCGCCUAGCAUAAUGUUCCUUGGAUUGUCCCCAUAUUCUGGGUAUUCGAAGUUCAAUGCUUGCCACUGGCUCGCAUCCUUAGGGUGACUCAGCAUCUUGUCUUUUUAUUUAUCUCCGGAUCAUUUCUGUCAUCUUCUUGCUUCUUCUCCUUCAUAUCCGCAUGCCAACGCAGGAUCUUUGCUACCUUAGGGUCCGCGAAAUACAGCUGCAGACGAGGAGUGAUCGGAAAGUACCACACCACUUUUCGAGGAGCUUUCUUCCUCUUCUUGUAUCGAGUGACGCCGCACACCGGACAUAUGGUAGACUCCGCAUGCUCGUCCCGAUAAAUGAUGCAAUUGUUCAUGCACACAUGGUAUUUCAUGUGCAGUAAAUCUAGAAGACACACAAUUUUCUUCGCCUCCUCAAAACUGGUCGGGCACUUGUUCCCCUUGGGAAGACGUUCGUGCCAGAAUGACAUGUUCUCGUCAAAGCAUGCGUCAGUCAUUUUGUGUUUUACCUUCAUCUCUAGAGCUAUGAGCGUUACUUUCAGGCGGGUAUCCUCGGGCCUGCAUCCUUCAUACAAUGGAGUAACCGCAUCUAUCUCCAGUUGAUCCAGCUUGGCUUUCUCUCGGGCGGCAGCUCUUGUGUUAUCCGUCUGCUUGAGAAGCAGCUCUUGAAUAUGAGGGUCCUACACCCAGCCCAUCGAUGGUCCAUUGUCGUCUGCUCCGGCAUCUUCAUGUUCAUGAUCAUGCUCUUCGUCUGCUCCGACAUCUUCCUCAUCAUCAUGUCCGGCAUCUUCUACAUGAUCAUGCCCUUCUGGAGAUUCUUCGUCUUCUCGCCCGCCCUUGCCACGGUUGUCUUGCUGCCCUUCCUCAUUUCUUGCCCGGCCCCCAUGGACGACUUCAUAAUCAUCUUCAUCACCUUGCCACCGAUAACCAUCCAUGAAACCACGCAAGAGCAGGUGGUCCCGCACCUGUACAGAAUCCGGGUCCAUAAGGCUCCUCAACUUGCAUCUUCAACACGGACAUCUUAUCUCCGUCUUGUUCUUUUGAAGCAUCUCGGCCUUCGCGGAGCUCAAAAACCUAUUCACGAUGCCUUCGGUCAUCGUGCGGACCAUGGUCGCCUGCGGGGUAGAGCAAAACGAUAUUUUAGAACCAAGAAAAAAUUUGGCAUGACUUUGCCUAAAAAUAGGACAAAAAAGAAUUUAUAGUGCCAAAUUCUCGCCGAAACGGAAAUGAAUCAACAUUCCGGCAAAAUAUUGGCAAGUAUCGCAUUUCAAAUACCAGUACCUGCAAACAUAAACAUAUAUGCAACACCACAAACAUAUGCAAGACCACAAACAUACGUAUAUCUAGCUAGGCCAUAAAACGUGCAUGUGCACGUUGUUGGAGGGAGAAAAAAGUAGAUCUACAAUAUAAAGAAAGCUUUCCCCUUACUUACCUAUCAAAAAAGGUAAUUUAACCACUUAAUUUGGGUGAAUCUAUGGUGCAAAUGAGGUGAGGAGGAGGAGGCAGCCGAGACAAGCUUGGAGGAGGAGGUGGAGAGAAUGAAGUGGGGAAAGUGAGUGUGGUAGGUGGCUGUCCAAAAUAUCUAGCUGGUCCCAGGUUAUAAUGGCGCACCACUGUAAGUGCAUCUAGUGCCAACCCUAGUUGGUUUUGGAGUAUUGACUACAAACCUGGUUGAGGGACUAAUGUGUUUGUGAGAAUUGCAGGAUAACACAGGUAAUAGUCCCUCAUUGAUUCGGUUUACCUACCGGAGAUGACCCCUAAAAAUGUGUGAAGACAUUGAAGACAAUGGUGGUCUGUGAAGCUAUUCAUGUUGAAGACUAUGACAUGACAAGACAUCAAGUGAAGACUAUGGAGCGCGAAGACUUAGUUGUUUUGUUGUUUCCUUUUAUUCUUUGUUGAGUCAUAGGAACCACCACGCUGUUAAGUGGGGUCCAAGUGAACAAAGUCAGAGUGACUGAAGUGAUGCUCAACCAAAUCCUAUGUCUUAUAGCGAAGACAAUGAGUGCAAAUCUUAUCCAGAGUCGGAUAAGUCAGCUUUACUUGUAGCCCAAGUCAAGCUACCGCGUGUGUUUGAAAUCUGACCGUUGAGACACGUUUCAAUUCCUUAGUGACCCAGGGUCAUUUUGGACAAAUCAGGUCAGGUUGCCCAGUGGCUAUAAAUAGCCCACCCCCUACACCAUAAAUUGGCGGCUGCUCAGAGUUAGUAUACGGCUUUUGUCAUUUGAGAGCAACCCACCUCCGAAGCUUUUGAGAGUGAAUCCUUGCGAGGACAAAGCCGAAACCACCCAGAGCCCAAAGAGUGUUUGGCAUCACUGAAGUCUUUCUGUCCGCGUGAUCUGAAGACUUAUUUCACUUUAGGACUAUGAAUCCUGCAGCCGGUUAGGCGUCACGUUCUGAGCAUCCAAGAGUCAUUGUGGAUUGCCGGUGAACGAAGUCUGUGAAGGUUUGGGAGUCUACCUUGAAUACUUACCAGAGUGAUUGGGCGGGGACUGAGAGUCCUUAACUCAAGGGGAAUAAGGUGAAGACGCAGUCUUCUGAGUUAAAUCUCAGCCUUCCUAACCAAACGUACAGUUGUCACAGCAACUGGAACUGGUCGAACAAACCCAUGUCCUCCUGAAGCCAUUGGUUCUAUCUCUCACUUCUCUUUACUUAAAGUUUGUCUUCGUGAAGUCAUUGCCUGCUUGCAUUAUCUGUUUGACUUCACUGUGUGACUGCUUGUCCUGAUUGGCUUCAUACUAUCUUCCAUCCUGAUCUUUACUACCUAGCUGCUAAUAGUCUUCGUGCUUUCACUUCAUUGAAUACUUGACUAUGGCUUGUCUAGUGUAGUCUACCUUCCGCUGCAUACGAAUAGUGUCGUUUCUAUUAUUUGUCUUCGAAACUCCCAAGUUUUGAAGACUUUCAUAAAAAUCACCUAUUCACCCCCUCUAGUCGAUAACUAGCCCUUUUAAUUGGUAUCAGAGCAAGAUACUCCCUUUGUUCUGUGUGAUUCGGUUUAACCACCUGGAGUUUUAGCUAUGUCGACUGCAGGGAUAAUCAAAGUCUACGCUGCGUGCCCCAUCUUUGAUGGCACUGAAUAUCCCUACUGGAAGAGUAGGAUGCGCAUGCUUCUUGAAGCCAUUGAUGUCGAUCUGUGGUAUAUCGUCAAGAAUGGCGUUCCCAAAACUGGUGAAGGUGUCACCCCUGUUGAUGUCAAGAAGUUCAUUCAACUGGACUCUACAGCCAAGAACAUCAUCUGUGGUCAUCUGACCAAAGGGCAGUAUGGCCACGUGAGCGCUCUGGAAACAUCAAAGCUAGUCUGGAACUGGCUCUCCAAAGUCAAUGAAGGCGUCUCAACUCAGUGAGAUCAACGAAUCAGUACUCUCCGAAACCUCUUCAACCGCUUCAAGAGACAAGACAAUGAGAAUGUCCAGCUCACAUUUGAUCGCCUCACUGAUAUCACAAAUGAGCUCCAAGCACUCGGUGCAACUGAUAUUACGAAGCAUGAAAUAGUGAAGACACUACUGAGAUCUCUUGACAGCUCAUUUGACACCUUAGCCCUGAUGAUACAAGAACAUCCUGACUUCAAGACACUCAAUCCGUCAGACAUACUUGAGAGGCUCAACACACAUGAGUACCAGCUAUCUGAGAAACGAGAUAUCCAUGGCCCCAACUAUGGCUGAACUCGCGCUUUGAAGGCAAAGGCUGCCACUUCCUCAUCUGAAGAAGAAUUUGACUGCAGUUCUGGUGAUCCUGAAGACAUUGGAAAGGAGCUUGCUAUGCUUGUGAAGAAGUUCCAUAAAUUCACUAAGAAGAAAAGCUUCAGAAAAUCUUCACGAUCCAGCUCAAGGAAUGAUGAAGCUUCCACCCAUGACAGCAAGAAAAGAACCUGUCACAAGUGCAAGAAACCUGGUCACUACAUCUUUGAAUGUCCACAGUGGGACAAUGAGAAGAAGAAGAAGAGCAAAGAAUAUGAUUCUGAUGAUAAGAAGAAGAAGAAAUCCUCAAAGUCUUAUUCCAAAUCUUCUUCCAAGUCUUCAUCACACAAGAAGAGCUCAUUAGGUAAGGCACAUGCUUUUCUUGGCAAGGAGAUGGAUUCAGAGGAGGAGUCUGCUUCUGAGGAGGCGGUGGUGGAGUUUGAGGAGGAGUCUGACUCUGGUGUCGCAAGUCUGGAUCUAGCUACAACUUACGUCGCCAAGUCCAUCUUCAACACUGAAGACAAUGGCUCCGUCACCAACGCUGAUGACGAGAACGACCUGGAUCCCACCUACUACUUCAUGGCACGUGGUGCCAAGGUAAACUCACGCGAUGCUUACUUUCAAACAUCAAGUGAAGAUGACUCUAAUGGUGAAUCCAAACCUAGCUACAAAAAACUUGCUAAAAUUGCAACUGAACAACAAAAAGCUAUGGAAUAUAUUCAAAAAUUGUUAGACAAAAGCGAUGACCUGUUGGAUGCGGAAAUGACUAAGACUCAGUCCUUAAUUGAAGACAUAAAAAAUCUUCUUGUUAAGUACCAGGAACUUGAAGGUUGACAUGAAACGCUCUCAACCUCUCAUGAUAAGCUCUCCUAUGAUUAUCUUCAAAGGAAGCAGGAGCUUAAGAAAUUGAGAUCGGAUCAUGAAGAUCUUCAAAAUGAAAACGAGUCACUCCACGCUCAACAGAUUAGUCCCGCCCAGGAAGGUUUUGAACCACCAUGUUUAAAAUGCAUUGAGCGUGAUAACGCUGCCUCUGUUGCUAAAUGUUCUACUGCUACUGCUGUUGAAUUAUCUUCAACCGCUGAUGUGGUAACUAACCCCUCUGUUGAGGAUACCACUACUAUUGCUGAUGAGAAUGCCAGGUUGAAGACAUUGCUUGAGACAGGGAUGUACAAAAGUCUUAAAGGGCAUCAGACAUUAUGUGAUGUCCUCAAAAAGCAGAUUCUGAACCGAAACCCUAGAAAAGAGGGUGUUGGGUUCGAGAGAAAAAUCAAUGUUGAUGGGUCGUACUGGAAGCCUGAGCAGUACCCCAAAACCACCUGGGUUGCUGCAAAGGAACCUUCAGUAGAUCCAUCCACCCUAUCUAGUUUCACUUGUGCUAACCCUAUUAUUAUUGAUGAAUCCUUUGAUGCAAACUAUAAAUUGUUUAAGAAUCAGAAUGGCGAAGUGUUUGCCAGGUAUAUUGGUACUAACUGCAGGAAUGGGCCACCUAUGAAGAAGUUAUGGGUACCCAAAAGUUGUCUUGUGAAUCUUCCCAUGAAUGUCAUCAUGACACCACCUGUGAAGAAGACAAACCCCAUACCAAAGGCUUCAUAUGGUCCAAAAGCUUCAUACAGACCAGGGACUCAUCUGAGUCACCCUAACAUCAAUGUUUUGCAGGGAAAUCAUACUCAGACCCAUGAAUAUGAGCGUGUUUCAUCAAACCGCUAUGUUCAUAGAACUAAGAACUUUUAUGCUUAUUCAUAUGAGUAUUAUUCACCCCCUGCAAGGCUAUUUACUAGGGCUCCGAAGCCUAAGUUCUCAGAUGCUACACUUAGACUCAUAGCUUCUAAGCCACCCUUGAAAAUGUGGGUGGUUAAGAAAACCUAACUCUCUUUUGCAGGAAAAGGUCUCCAGCCGAAAAUCAAAGGCGUCCAAAACUUAUGCUGGAGAUCUUAAAAAUCUUGUAGGGCGCAAGAUAAAAAGCCCGAAUGGUCUUACUAUGUAUUUCGCUCCGGAUUUCCUUGACACUCAUCCAAUUUAUCCUAACCAAGACCUAAAUUUUCAUGUUCCACUUGUUUGUCAAAUGUUUCUGCUUCAAAACUCGCUUGGUGAAGCCUAUCCCCCAAACUGCACUAUAGGCUACGACACCUCGUGCUUCAGAAUGGAUCAUGGACAGUGGAUGCACUAAUCACAUGACUGGCGAUCGAAGUCUUCUGAUGGAUUCAACGCUACGUCCAUCAGACAAGAGUCACAUCACAUUUGCUGACACUGGUAAAAGCAAGGUAUUGGGUCUAGGUAGAGUUGCAAUAUCAAGGGAUCAGCACAUGGAUAAAUUGAUGCUUGUUGAAUCCCUUGGUUUCAACUUAAUGUCUGUCUCAAUGCUUUGUGACUUAAACAUGAUUGUGCUAUUUGGAAAAUAUCGCUGCCUUGUACUGAUGGAAUCUAACAAGUCUCUAGUCUUUGAAGGGUAUCGAAAAGAUGAUCUGUAUAUGGUAGAUUUCUCAGCAGGACCACAGAUGGCCGUAUGUCUUCUAGCUCAGAAUGCUGGCUUUGGCAUCGAAGGCUAGUGCAUGCUAGCAUGAGGAACUUGCACACUCUCGCUAAGAAGAAGCAUGUCGUGGGCAUCGAAGGUGUCAAGUUCAAGAAGGACCAUCUGUGUGGUGCCUGCAAAGCUGGAAAGAUGACAAGAGCCAAGCAUCCCUCGAAGACAAUCAUGAUUACAUCUCAACCCUUCGAGCUGCUGCACAUGGACUUAUUUGGCCCUACUCACUACUCUACUCUCGAUGCUACUGCUUGCCUCUAUGGCUUCGUCAUUGUUGAUGAUUACUCUCGAUAUACUUGGGUGCAUAUAAUUCUCUACAAGGCUGAAGUGCAGGAUGUCUUCAGACGCUUUGCCAACCGUGCCAUGACGAACUAUGGCGUCAAGAUCAAGCACAUCAGAAGCGAUAAUGACACUGAGUUCAAGAACACUGGUCUCGGUCUCUACCUGGAUACCAUGGGUAUCACUCAUGAGUUCUCUACUCCUUACACACCUCAACAGAAUGGCAUCACGGAGCGCAAGAACAGAACUCUUAUUGAGAUGGCCCGAACGAUGCUUGAUGAGUACAAGACUCCACGGAAGUUCUGGCCUGAAGCCAUUGACACUGCAUGCCACGUCAUCAACCAUGUUUAUCUUCACAAGCUUCUGAAGAAAACCUCCUAUGAGCUCCUAACUGGUAAGAAGCCAAACGUAAGUUACCUCAGAGUAUUUGGUGCUAAGUGCUGGAUCAAGGAUCCACAUCACACUUCAAAAUUUGCACCGAAAGCACAUGAAGGUUUUAUGCUUGGUUAUGGAAAGGAUUCGCGCUCCUACAGAGUCUUCAACCUCUUUCACUAUAAAGUGGUUGAAACUAUGGAUGUGCGGUCGAUGAGACUAACGGCUCGCAAAGAGAGCACCUGCCAAAUGUGCUAGAUAAAUUACCCCCUAGCGAGUCAAUCAAGCAAAUGGGAACUAGAGAUAUCAUACCCUCUGAGAAUCAGACUGAAGAAGAACUGGUCGUUUCUGCAUCUACUCAACCUGAAGACAAUGCUCAACCUAAAGAUAAUCCCCCAAAUGAUGACAUUGAUCAGAAUGAGAAAAAUCUUCGUCCUGUUCAUCCUCGUGUUGCAAAUGAAGUACAGAUUGAGAAGAUAAUCGACAGCCUAAAUGCACCUGGUCCACUCACUCGUUCAAGAGCUACACAAAGAGCAACACAAAUAACCAAUUUCUGUGGGCAUUUUGCAUUCAUCUCAAUCUCAGAACCCAAGAAAGUCGCUCAAGCCUUCAUGGAACCUGAAUGGAUUCAAGCUAUGCAAGAAGAGCUUCAAUAGUUUGAGCUGAAUAAUGUGUGGGAACUGGUCAAGCAUCCUGAUCCUCGGAAGCACAAUAUCAUUGGCACCAAAUGGAUAUAUCGCAACAAGCAAGAUGAGCAUGGUCAAGUGGUCAGAAACAAAGCUCGUCUCGUUGCACAAGGUUACACUCAAGUGGAAGGAAUUGACUUCGAUGAAACAUUUGCUCCGGUGGCAAGGCUUGAAGCCAUUCGCAUACUGCUUGCCUGUGCAAAUCAUCAUAACAUCCUUCUGUAUCAAAUGGAUGUGAAGAGUGCUUUUCUCAAUGGAAAGAUAGAAGAAGAAGUAUAUGUUGCAAAACUUCCUGGCUUUGAAGAUCCAAAACAUCCUGAUAUGGUAUACAAGCUCAACAAGGCACUGUAUGGCCUCAAACAAGCCCCUCGUGCUUGGUAUGAUACGCUCAAAGACUUCCUGAAGAGCAAAGGCUUCAAACCUGGUUCACUAGAUCCUACUCUCUUCACGAAGACAUAUGAUGGUGAACUGUUUGUGUGCCAAAUCUAUGUGGAUGACAUUAUCUUCGGCUGCACCAACAAGAAAUACAGUGAUGAGUUUGGUCACAUGAUACAAGAGCAAUAUCAGAUGUCCAUGAUGGGCGAGCUGAAGUUCUUUUUGGGUCUCCAAAUCCAUCAACAACGCAACGGCAUCUUCAUCUCUCAAGAAAAAUAUCUCAAAGAUUGCCUGAAGAAGUUUGGAAUGCAAGACUGCAAAGGAUACACGACGCCAAUGCCAACCAAAAGUCAUCUGAGUCCCGACGCCAAUGGUAAAGAGUUUGAUCAAAAGGUAUAUUGCUCCAUGAUUGGUUCUUUGCUUUAUUUAUGUGCAUCUAGGCCAGAUAUAAUGCUUAGUGUUUGCAUGUGUGCCCGAUUCCAAGCGGCACCAAAGGAAUCGCAUCACUUAGUUGUGAAGCGAAUUCUUCGAUAUUUGGCUUACACCCCAACACUAGGAUUAUGAUAUCCAAAGGGCUCAGAGUUUGAUCUAGUUGGAUUCUCAGAUGCUGAUUAUGCUGGUGACAAGGUUGAUCGCAAGUCCACAUCAGGCACAUGUCACUUUCUGGGAUGAUCACUUGUCUGUUGGUCUUCAAAGAAGCAGAACUGUGUAUCUCUCUCCACUGCUGAAUCCGAAUACAUUGCUACUGGAUCCUGCUGUGCUCAGCUUCUUUGGAUGAAGCAAACUCUCAAGGACUAUGGUAUUCACCUGAAGAAUGUGCCACUCUACUGCGACAAUGAGAGUGCCAUCAAGAUUGCCAACAACCCAGUUCAACACUCGAAGACAAACCACAUUGAGAUUCGUCAUCACUUUCUCAGAGAUCAUGUUAUGAAGAAAGAUAUUGAUAUCAUUCAUGUCAACACUGAAGAGCAAUUGGCCGAUAUCUUCACAAAGCCCUUGGAUGAGAAAAGGUUUUCGAAGUUGCGGUGUGAGCUAAAUAUCUUGGAAUCCUCAAAUGUCCUGUGAACUGGACACACAUCCUAACACUUAUGCAUUUUGAUGACUUAGAUGUGCAACACACAAAGUAACGUAUAUCUUCAACCAAUGAAGACAUACACUCUAAGUGUGAAUACAUUAAUGCGGAAUUUGACUUCAGAGCGCCACGAUAAUUGUGCGCCGUGUCUGGGUCUAAUACUUCCUAUACGGUGGGUAACGCCACCACCAAACUUUUGUUUGAAGUGUUACCCUUGGCGUUAUGUUUGCAAAGUCUUCGAAAUUGAUUUAUCUUCAUUUGGUAGUAUACUUAUGUUCUGUCCUCUACAUCCUUCACUUAUAGCUAUGAUUUUGUGCUGAAUCUUUUGAUCUAAGUGAAUGUGAUCGGACCCUAACCUAUCUAUGCUUCUACCUCAACUCUAUCUGUCCAAAUCAUAUGCAUUCUAUUGAAAAUUGUCGAUUGUCUUCACUGAGACCUUGUCAGCUGAAGCCAAUUUGACAAACAUUUAUAUCUAUUUUUAAUGCUAUAUCUUUAUUCCCUGAAAUUCGAAGAAUUCGGAAUGACCACCCCGACAAUCCAGCCGUGCGUGGGAACAUGGAACAACUACCACGGUGUUGCAUGCUUGCCACGUGUCCUUCAAAUGUGAAUCGCCAGGGGCACCUGCAUAAUUACGUUGUGCCGUCCCUUUCCCUAUAAAUACGCAUCCCAUCACAGUCAAAAAUAUUCCUUCUUCCACCUCGCCACCUCUUGCAAACCCUAGCGCCACCGCUAGCUCUCGACGACGCCGGCAACGAAGCGCUUAGCUGUCGCGACUUCUUCGACGCCGUCCUCACGCCGGCCGCGGACCUCAUCUUCUCCGCCGCCGUCGUAGGUGUCUUCCGUCGCCAAGUUAGGGCACGGGAGAUUGAACUGCUCGGCCUCCAACUUCGCUCCGUCUAGCAGUUCUUCUUGUGGUAAUUAAAACUCACUUUUUACCGUAUUUUCGAUCUGGUAGAUUGAUCCUUCUCUACCAAAAGCAGUUUCUAGAUCUCCAAAGUUGAAUCUAUCUCUUUCUGCAUCUCAUACUAUGCCUAGUCUGUUCACUUAUGCUACUCUACAAGUUAGAUUCCUCACUUGUACCUAUUCUUGGAUUCGUACAAAUUUGGAACCGACUCACAACAAAUAAGUGAAUGUCUUCGCGUUAUGAGGUCAAUGUCUUCAAACUGAUUUAUCUUCAAAAUCUUCUGAGAAUGCAUAUGACCUCUUCCCCUUCCCUCGCACCUCUAAUGCUAUCACAGGUACAUGUCUGUGGGAGAAUCCCUUGGUUCUCAUAGUCUGCAUUCAUUUGCAGAGUUCUUACAGAGUCACAUAAAUUCUCCCGAAGCCAGUUCUUGUCUGACCAGCCGUAGGAAGCCUUUGCAAGUUCUGAAGCCUUUCAGGUUAAGCUUCAUGGCUACUGAGAAAUCAGCCAGAAAGGGUGGCAGACAACACCGUGGGAAUACCUCCAAGGAUUUGCCGUCAGAUCUGCAUGAGCUGUACAAAACUGACCUUGAAGAAACCUAUAGUGAACGCAAGAAUCGAAUCCAAUGGAUUCGAAGAUAUUGGGCUGAAUAAUGGUUCAAAUACAGAUUUUUCACGCUUGAGUAUGCCGAGAAGAAUGCUAUCAAGCCUCCCUGGGGAGAUAUCUUGUACAAAAACCUUCAACCCCAGUCCUGUUCUGAAGCCAUUCAACAAGGAUUCUAUCCUUGUAUGGUACGCGGCCCAGAACCAGAGAAUGCUGACCCCUCUUCUCUGCUGUGGUGUCGUGAUGAAAAUCUGUUCAAACGCAACUUCCAGUUUGCUAAGGAUUCUGCCGUGAAGAACAAGAAGGCCUUUGGACUUGACUUCAAUCCUGGCCCUUCUGCUCCUCGGAAAGAUGGCACCUGUGAAGCCAAUGAAAACAGAAUCGGCCGCUUCUACAACUUCGAAGGCCUCCUCUCGCACAUUGUCGUUCAAGGUGCAAACGUGGAUCAUUCUGGUGAUGAUGCUGACACUGAUGAUGCACCAGCUCCACCUCCUCAGCCACAGAAGCAAAAGAAAGCUAAGGCUUCAAAACCAACUGCUGCACCAAAAGCUUCUCGAGUGAAGCCAUUGGCAACUGCCCCUCCUGCUCCAAGUAACAACUCUGAAGAUCUCUCUCGCAUCUCCAAGAAGCACGAGAAUCCUCAGAAGAAAACUGUUUAGAGACCUAGUCAAGCAUUGACACCAGCUGCCGUUCUAAGGAACGAAUCUGAAGCCAUUGAUUUGUCUUCAGAUGAUGAGUUGAGUAACGAUGCUCUAGAGCAGCUGAUCAAGAGCAAGCAAGAGGCGGAGAUCUUUAAUGAUCUGCCCCUCUUCGACGUAAACAUUCUGGAUAACUUCAUUGAUGAGUGGUUUGACAACCCCAAUCUCAGCUUUGACAAUCUUCAGCUCCCGAUUGGCAUCAGCGUCUCCUUUCAAGGCACCAUUGCUCCUGAGCUGGCUCUGGCUCAACGCAUUGUUGAACUGAAGAACAAAAUUGAUUUUGAGAAAGAAUAGUUCAAGAAGCAUGUGGCCAAACUUAGUGUGGCUGAUGUUCAGAAAUUCAAGCUGAUGCUGAAUGACCUCAAGGAGGCAUUUCGCAAGAAGCGCGAAGAAGCCAAAGGUUCAAGAGAGCGCAUGAAGAAUCCUGCUGCCAAAUGUGUUCAAGCUUACAAUGAAGCUGAGAAGCGCAAGGCACUUGGGCGUCCAGGCAUUGACCCCAAGAUGGCUGCCAAGAAGAAGAACUCUAUUGUGGCCCCAACUGAAGCUCCAAGGCGGGAAGAACGUCGCAUUGUCUUCCCUGCUAGCAUGACAGGCUCGAAGCCUAAGGUCCCCACAGCAACUUCAGAACAGAAGAAAACCAAGGCAACUGAAGCCGAAGCCAGAAAGCGAAAAAUCAAGAACACCACUGAUGAUGCACCACCCCCCAAGAAGAGGAAGACCAAGAAGAGAGAUCGGGCUGCUCCCAAAGAGCCCCUUGUUGUCGAUCCCAUUGCUUUUGCUCAUCCUGCAUCUGAAAAUCAAGAGCGUCAGUUGAUAGUUCAUGAGUAUGCUUCCACAGAGGCUCCUGAAGCUCAAGAAGUUCCAGUCAUUGACCCCAUCGCGACUGAAGACAUUGGUUCUCAAGACAAUGUAGAAGAUGAUGAAGUCGUUCCUCAAAUUUAGCGCCCAACGGUAUCAUCGCCUGUUCUCACAAACAACGAGCUCAUCAGUAUUGGUCGUCCUUUGACGCCAAUCUCUCAAGAUGCCUCAUGUGCUGAUCGCCCCAACCAGCAACUCCAAGUCAUGAUUCACCGAGUACACCCCUUCCUACACCAGCGCAAGUCACCAGCCCAAUGGUGAAUCAUGAUAAUUACAUGGAGAGCACACCCUCACCAAAGGCGUCGCCCGUGUUCAACGGCUUCCAAUGGUGAAUCAUGAUAAUUACAUGGAGACCACACCCUCACCAAAGGCGUCGCCCGUGUUCAAUGACUUCGCAAAGGCCUAAGGCCAUCUGUCUCCAUGACAACCAUCACAGAAGAAGACUCAAACCAGUCCAGCUCAGUGGCACGUCAAGUGUUCCCUGAAGAUAAUCCUUCUGUGACGGUUCCUGUGUCAGAAGCUAAUGCUUCUGAAGAGAUUCCGGCUGUAGCAGCCGAUUAAAGACAAGAAGAAGAACGUGUUGCUACACCCCCACCAACUAAGAAGAAGUUAUUCUCGAGGAGAAUGUGUCCGUGUCCGACCCUCCAGCUACUCAAGUGGAGGUUGAAAAUAUUGAGGCUGCCACCAACAACACCACUGAAGCCAAUGACAUUGUCAUGGCUGAAGAUAAUGUGGCACCUACAGUCAACACUGUGCAUGAAGUCAAUGAUGCACCUACCACCAAUGUGCAGCCUGACGCCAUUGCAAAUGCCUCUGCUCCUGUCCCGCCUCCAAGGCCUCAUACCAUUGAGCAAGCAUUCUAUCAAGCGAGCUGGUCAUAGUGAGAUGGCCAAUUCUGGUUCCUCCGCCUGCUCCCGGACCUCAAUUUGAUUAUCAUGUGGAGCACAGGCCUUAGGUUCAGAAGCCAAAUCCCAAAUUGCCACGGUUUCCAUGUAUUGCAUCUGCACCAGGCUCAUUCAAUGUCAAUGGCUUCAUUGCACACAACAUCUUCUUUGAUAAAGCCAAGAACCCAUAUUCCAAGCCAAGAAUAUCAUCUGAUCAGUUCUGGAGCUAUCAGCAACACAACUAUUACUCAUGCGUUCUAUACAACCAAGGGCGCAUAUUUCCUCAUAUGCGUAUGGAUUCCGAAGCCAUUGCUGGCCUGCCCUGCUUAGAAGAAGCACUUGACUGUUUCUGAGAUGCAGGCCUGCUACAGUUUGUCACUGAUAAGGAGCAUUGGAAUGAAGAGCUUCUGCUCCAGUUUUAUGCAACUCUCCACAUCUGCGGCUACAACAGGGAUCCGACGACAUGGGUCCUUGAGUGGAUGACAGGCAAUGUACAUCAUGAAGCCAAAGCUUUUGAUCUCAUUGAGCUUACCGGCCUGUCCGCUCCAGGUGAACUCUAUGAACCUGGUUGUCAGCUUCACCGUAGUGCAUUGGAGAGCAUCUUUCAGAAGCCAAAGCCCAACAUGAGCCAAAUGCUGAGCAUGAUGAAGCCACUGCCACAGGAUGCCGAAUAUCCCAAGGAAUUCUUUGUUGAAGACCUAGAGUAUCUGCCCCGCACCAUCUAUCACAUCAUUAGGCAAACUCUAUGGCCCAUCAAAGGGCAUUCCUCCUCAGUAAAGCUUGAAGGUGCAAUGAAGACAUUGGUCUUCUAUAUUCUCAAAGGCAAAAGCUUCAAUGCUCAGGAUUUCUUCAUUCGUCAGUUUGUUGCAUCUGGCUCUGACAUCUUUGGUCUGAAAUUUUAUGCUCCUUAGGUUAUGUGUUUAAUCAAGCUUCACUCCGCUGUUAACUAUCAGCCCUCUGCAUGCAACUAUCUUAUGUUCCUGCUAGAGGUUGAUCUGUCAGUCGAAGCCAUCUACCCAGAGCCUGCCAAGGAGGCAAUAUAUCUUCACAAUGCCGAUCAUCAGAGUUUCUCUCAGCAUGUUGAAGGUGUUCAGGUUGCUUCUCGUGUCUAUCCGUUGGCUGGCAACACUCGCCGUGCAUGUACUGAAGCCACAGAAAGCACCAUUGCUCCAAGGACUCGAAAGCAAUCUCGUGUGCUCAAUGACCGAGAGCUUCUCGUGGCCUUGCAUCAGAAACACGACAAGCAGCACUACUGGCUGAAACGUCAAAUGCAAAGCCUCUUGGUGGAUGUCAAUCGCAUUCGCAACCUUGCCACCAAGAACGCCUUUGUUACUCAUGAAACCUGUCGGAGGACUUGGAAGGGUUUGACAUUGCUCAGUGCUGAAGCUGAUCUUCAAGACAAUGGCUUCACCAAGAGAUUCAAGUUUGACUCCACUCCUCCUAGGAAUGUUGUCUUGUGUCGCACCCCAUCUCUUGAAGAUUCAGAGUACUCCUCCUCCGCUGCAACCUGAUACGUCCAUUUUGCAUCAUGCUUUUAUAUCAAUAUUUAUUGCAUUAUGGGAUGUUAUUACACAUUAUAUAUCAAUACUCAUGGCUAUUCUCUCUUAUUUUAUAAGGUUUACCAUGAAGAGGGGGAAUGCCGACAGCUGGAAUUCUGGCUGGAAAAGGAGGAAACAUUGGAAACCUAUUCUGCACUACUCCAAAAGAUCUGAAACUCCACGAAACUUAUUUUUGGAAUUAAUAAGAAUUAUUGAGCGGAAGAAACACCUCAGGGGGCCCACACCCUGGCCAAGAGGGUGAGGGCGCACCCACCCCUACUGGGCGCGCCCCCUGUCUCCUGGGCCCCCUAGUGGCCCUCCGGUGUCCAUCUUCUGCUAUAUGAAGGCUUUUACCCUAGAAAAAAAAUCGUGGGCAAGCUUACGUGAUGAAACUCUGCCGCCACGAGGCGGAACCUUGGCGGAACCAAUCUAGAGCUCCGGCAGGGCUGUUCUGCCGGGGACACUUCCCUCCGGGAGGGGGAAAUCAUCACCAUCGUCAUCACCAACGAUCCUCCCAUCGGGAGAGGGUCAAUCUCCAUCAAUAUCUUCACCAGCACCAUCUCCUCUCAAAACCCUAGUUCAUCUCUUGUAUCCAAUCUUGUAUUCAAACCACAAAUUGGUACCUGUGGGUUGCUAGUAGUGUUGAUUACUCCUUGUAGUUGAUGCUAAUUGGUUUACUUGGUGGAAGAUCAUAUGUUCAGAUCCUUAAUGCAUAUUAUUACUCCUCUGAUUAUGAACAUGAAUAUGCUUUGUGAGUAGUUACGUUUGUUCCUAAGGACAUGGGUGAAGUCUUGCUAUUAGUAGUCAUGUGAAUUUGGUAUUCGUUCGAUAUUUUGAUGAGAUGUAUGUUGUCUUUCCUCUAGUGGUGUUAUGUGAACAUCGACUACAUGACACUUCAGCAUUAUUUGGGCCUAGAGGAAGGCAUUGGGAAGUAAUAAGUAGAUGAUGGGUUGCUAGAGUGACAGAAGCUUAAACCCUAGUUUAUGCGUUGCUUCGUUAGGGCCUGAUUUGGAUCCAUAUGUUUAAUGUUGUGGUUAGGUUUACCUUAAUACUUCUUUUGUAGUUGCGGAUGCUUGCAAUAGGGGUUAAUCAUAAGUGGGAUGCUUGUCCAAGUAAGGGAAGUACCCAAGCACCGGUCCACCCACAUAUCAAAUUAUCAAAGUACCGAACGCGAAUCAUAUGAGUGUGAUGAAAACUAGCUUGACGAUAAUUCCCAUGUGUCCUCGGGAGCUCUUUUCUCAUUAUAAGAAAUUGUCCAGACUUAUCCUUUUCUACAAAAAGGAUUGGGCCACCUUGCUGCAUUUUAUUUACUUUCAUUGCUUGUUACUUGUUACAAUUUAUCUUAUCACAAAACUAUCUGUUACCUACAAUUUCAGUGCUUGCAGAGAAAACCUUACUGAAAACCGCUUAUCAUUUCCUUCUGCUCCUCGUUGGGUUUGACACUCUUACUUAUCGAAAGGACUACGAUAGAUCCCCUACACUUGUGGGUCAUCAAGACUCUUUUCUGGCGCCAUUGCCGGGGAGUGUAGCGCUUUUGGUGAGUGGAACUUGGUAAGGAAACAUUUAUAUAGUGUGCCGAAAUUUUCUGUUACUUGUCACUAUGGAAACUAAUCCUUUGAGGGGCUUGUUUGGGGUAUCUUCACCCCGACCAGUAGAGCAAAGAAUUUCUCCUCAACCUACUGAACCUAUUGAAAAUAUUUACUUUUAGAUUCCUUCGGGUAUGAUAGAAAAACUGCUAGCUAAUCCCUUUGCAGGAGACGGAACAUUGCAUCCCCAUUUACACCUUAUCUUUGUGGAUGAAGUUUGUGGAUUAUUUAAGCUUACACGUAUUCCCGAUGAUGUUGUCAAAAGGAAGGUCUUCCCUUUAUCUUUGAAGGGAGAUGCAUUGACAUGGUAUAGGCUAUGUGAUAAUACGGGAUCUUGGAAUUAUAAACGAUUGAAGUUGGAAUUUCACCAGAAGUUCUAUCCUAUGCUUCUUGUUCAUCGUGAUCAUAAUUACAUAUAUAAUUUCUGGCCUCGUGAAGGAGAAAACAUCGCUCAAGCUUGGGGGAAGGCUUAAGUCAAUGUUAUAUUCAUGCCCCAAUCAUGAGCUCUCCAGAGAAAUGAUUAUUCAAAAAUUUUAUGCUCGUCUUUCUCUCAAUGAUCGCAACAUGCUCAAUACUUCCUGUGCUGGUUCUUAUAUGCUGAAGACUAUUGAAUUCAAAUGGGACUUAUUGGAAAUAAUUAAAUGCAACUCUGAAGAUUGGGGUUCCGACGAUGGUAAGGAGUCGGGUAUGACACCUAAGUUUGAUUGUGUUAAAUAUUUUAUGGAUACCAAUGCUUUUCGUGGAUUUAGCGCUAAAUAUGGACUUGACUCUGAGAUAGUAGCUUCUUUCUGUGAAUCUUUUGCUACUCACGUUGAUCUCCCUAAGGAGAAGUGGUUUAAAUAUAAUCCUCCCAUUGAAGUAAACGCAGUUGCACCUACUACAGUUGAAGAAAAGACUGUUACUUAUAGUGAUCCUAUUGUUCCUACUACUUAUGUUGAGAAACCUCCUUUUUCUGUUAGGAUAAAGGACCAUGCUAAAACUUCGACUGUUGUUCGUAAGAGUAAUAUUAGGACUUAUACACCUCCUGAGCAAAUCAAAGUUGAACCUAGUAUUGCUAUGGUUAAAGAUCUCUCGGAUGAUGAUUUAGAUGGGCAUGUUAUUUACUUCUGUGAACAGGCUGCUAAUAUUGCUAGACCAGAUGCUAAGAUACAUAGACCUGUUGUAGGCAUGCCUGUUAUUUCUGUUAAAAUAGGAGAUCAUUGUUAUCAUGGCUUAUGUGAUAUGGGUGCUAGUGCUAGUGCAAUACCCUAUGAUUUAUAUAAAGAAAUUAUGCAUGACAUUGCACCUGUUGAGUUGGAAGGUAUUGAUGUCACUAUCAAGCUUGCUAAUAGAGAUACUAUUUCACCAGUUGGGAUUGUUAGAGAUAUUGAAGUCUUGUGUGGGAAGGUUAAAUACCCUGCUGAUUUUCUUGUUCUUAGUUCCCCACAAGAUGACUUUUGUCCCAUUAUAUUUGGUAGACCCUUCUUGAAAACUGUUAAUGCGAAGAUUGAUUGUGAAAAGGAUGUUGUUACAAUUGGCUUGGGGGAUAUGAAACAUGAGUUUAAUUUUUCUAAAUUUCGUAGACAACCCCGUGUUAAAGAACUACCUAGUAAGGAUGAGAUUAUUGGUCUUGCUUCUAUUGUCGUGCCUCCUACUGAUCCGUUAGAACAAUAUUUGCUUGACCAUGAAAAUGAUAUGUUUAUGAAGGAAAGAAGGAAAUAGAUGAAGUGUUCCUUAAACAGGAACCUAUGCUGAAACAUAACCUUCCCGUUGAGAUUCUAGGGGAUCCCCCUCCACCCAAGGGUGAUCCCGUGUUUGAACUCAAACCAUUACCUGAUAAUCUUAAGUAUGCUUAUCUUGAUGAAAAGAAAAUAUAUCCUGUUAUUAUUAGUGCUAACCUUUCAGAGCAGGAAGAGGAAAGAUUAUUGAAAACUCUGAAGAAGCACCAUGCUGCUAUUGGAUAUACUCUGGAUGAUCUUAAGGGCAUUAGUCCCACGCUAUGCCAACAUAAAAUUAAUUUGGAGGAUGGUGCCAAACCAGUUAGAGAUCCUCAACGACGACUGAAUACCAAGAUGAAAGAAGUGGUAAGAAAGGAGAUACUAAAGCUCCUUGAGGUAGGUAUAAUUUAUCCCGUUGCUGAUAGUGAUUGGGUAAGCCCUGUCCAUUGUGUUCCCAAAAAGGGAGGUAUUACUGUCGUUCCUAAUGAUAAAGAUGAAUUGAUCCCGCAAAGAAUUAUUACAGGUUAUAGGAUGGUAAUUGAUUUCCGUAAAUUAAAUAAAGCUACUAAGAAAGAUCAUUACCCUUUACCUUUUAUUGAUCAAAUGCUAGAAAGACUAUCCAAACACACACAUUUAUGCUUUCUAGAUAGUUAUUCUGGUUUCUCUCAAAUACCUGUGUCAGCGAAGGAUCAAUCAAAAACUACUUUUACUUGCCCUUUCGGUACUUUUUCUUAUAGACGUAUGCCUUUUGGUUUAUGUAAUGCACCUGCUACCUUUCAAAGAUGUAUGAUGGCUAUAUUCUCUGACUUUUGUGAAAAUAUUUGUGAGGUAUUCAUGGAUGAUUUCUCUGUUUAUGGAUCCUCUUUUGAUGAUUGCUUGAGCAACCUUGAUCGAGUUUUGCAGAGAUGCGAAGACACUAGUCUCGUCUUGAAUUGGGAAAAGUGCCACUUUAUGGUUAAUGAAGGCAUUGUCUUGGGGCACAAAAUCUCCGAGUGAGGUAUUGAAGUUGAUAAAGCUAAAGUUGAUGCUAUUGAAAAGAUGCCAUGCCCCAAGGACAUAAAAGGUAUAAGAAGUUUCCUUGGUCAUGCCGGUUUUUAUAGGAGGUUCAUUAAGGACUUUUCUAAAAUCUCUAGGCCUCUGACUAAUUUAUUGCAAAAAUAUAUUCCUUUUGUCCUUGAUGAUGAUUGUGUAGAAGCAUUUGAAAUACUUAAGAAAGCUUUGAUCACUGCACCUAUUGUUCAGCUACCUGAUUGGAAUUUACCUUUUGAAAUUAUGUGUGAUGCUAGUGAUUAUGUUGUAGAUGUUGUUCUAGGGCAAAGAGUUGAUAAGAAAUUGAAUGUUAUCCAGUAUGCUAGUAAGACUCUUGAUACUUCCCAGAGAAAUUAUGCUACUACUGAAAAAGAAUUCUUAGCGUUGUGUUUGCAUGUGAUAAGUUUAGACCUUAUAUUGUUGAUUCCAAAGUUACUAUUCACACUGAUCAUACUGCUAUUAAAUAUCUUAUGGAAAAGAAAGAUGCUAAGCCUAGACUCAUUAGAUGGGUUCUCUUGCUCCAAGAAUUUGAUUUGCAUAUUAUUGAUAGAAAGGGAGCUGAGAACCCCGUUGCAGACAACUUGUCUAGGUUAGAGAAUAUUCUUGAUGACCCACUGCCUAUUGAUGAUAGCUUUCCUGAUGAACAAUUAACGGUCAUUAAUGCUUCUCAUACUGCUCCUUGGUAUACUAAUUAUGCUAAUUACAUUGUUGUUAAACUUAUACCACCUAGUUUCACAUACCAACAAAAGAAAAAAUUCUUUUAUGAUUUAAGACAUUACUUCUGGGAUGACCCACACCUUUAUAAAGAAGGAGUAGAUGGUGUUAUUAGACGUUGUGUACCUGAGCAUGAACAGGAACAGAUCCUACGCAAGUGUCACUCCGAAUCAUAUGGAGGACACCACGCUGGAGAUAGAACUGCACAUAAGGUAUUGCAAUCCGGUUUUUAUUGGCCUACUCUCUUCAAAGAUGCUCGUAAGUUUGUCUUGUCUUGUGAUGAAUUUCAAAGAAUUGGUAACAUUAGUAGACGUCAAGAAAUGCCUAUGAAUUAUUCUCUUGUUAUUGAACCGUUUGAUGUUUGGGGCUUUGAUUAUAUGGGACCUUUUCCUGCCUCUAAUGGUUAUACACAUAUUUUAGUUGUUGUUGAUUACGUUACUAAGUGGGUAGAAGCUAUUCCAACUAGUAGUGCUGAUCAUAACACUUCUAUUAAAAUGCUUAAAGAAGUUAUUUUUCCAAGGUUUGGAGUCCCUAGAUAUCUUAUGACUGAUGGUGGUUCACAUUUUAUUCAUGGUGCUUUCCGUAAGAUGCUUGCUAAGUAUGAUCUUUAUCAUAGAAUCGCAUCUCCUUAUCAUCCGCAGUCUAGUGGUCAUGUAGAGUUGAGCAAUAGAGAGCUCAAAUUAAUUUUGCAAAAGACUAUCAAUAGAUCUAGAAAGAAUUGGUCCAAGAAACUUGAUGAUGCAUUAUGGGCCUAUAUAACUGCAUACAAAAAUCCUAUGGGUAUGUCUCCAUAUAAGAUGGUUUAUGGAAAAGCUUGUCAUUUAACUCUAGAACUUGAACAUAAAGCAUAUUGGGCUAUCAAAGAGCUCAACUAUGACUUCAAACUUGCUGGUGAGAAGAGGUUGUUUGAUAUUAGCUCACUUGAUGAAUGGAGAACCCAAGCCUAUGAGAAUGCCAAGCUAUUCAAAGAAAAAGUCAAACGCUAGCAUGGCAAGAGAAUACAAAAGCGUGAGUUUAACAUAGGUGAUUAUGUGUUAUUAUUCAACUCUCGUUUAAGAUUUUUUGCAGGAAAACUUCUCUCUAAAUGGGAAGGUCCUUACAUUAUCGAGGAGGUCUAUCAUUCUGAUGCCAUAAAAAUCAACAACUUCGAAGGCACAAGUCCGAGGGUGGUGAACGGUCAAAGAAUUAAACAUUAUAUCUCAGGUAAUCCUAUCAAUGUUCAAACUAAUAUUAUUGAAACCGUAACCCCGGAGGAAUACAUAAGGGACACUUUCCAGAAUGUUCCAGACUCCGAAAAGGAAUAGGUAUGUGGUACGGUAAGCAAACCGACUCCAAAACAAUUCUAAUGGCAAUUUUCAUCAGUUUUGGAAUAUUUAAGAAUUUUAGGAAGAAAGAAGUAGUCCGGGAAGGACACGAGGCCUCCACGAGGGUGGAGGGCGCGCCCACCCUUACUGGGUGCGCCCCCUAUCUCGUGGCCACCUCGUGUGCCUCCCGGACUCCGUUUUCUUGCACGUUACAUAUUUUGGUCGGUAAAAACUCAUUAUAUAAACUCCUAAAGGUUUUGACCACCGUAUCACACAAAUAUCCUUUGUUUUCAUUUCGAGUUGUUCCUGUUACAGUUUAAGAGCAAGAUGCCUUCUCAAGAGUCAGUCAGGGAGAGUCGGGUGUCUCACCCGACACCAGGUCCAGGAGCAAAUAGCGAUGCUUAUCACUUUGGACCAUCAACGGAGGAUGAGAUGGAGAAAGAUCAAGAAGUCACCUCUCUUCUCCGAGCAGAAUUCAUGAUGGGUGAACUACAUAGCUCGGCUAUUCCAAAUUCGGUCAUCCCUUCCAACUUUAGAUUUCUUUCUUAUGAAAAUAUGAAAAAGAGCGUCACUUGUUCUCCAGAAGCUAUGCAACAUCCUUGGGUAAAGGGAGCUUUAGCCGUUACGGGCAAGCUCCGCAAAGAAAUUAUGGACCUCAAACAACAAGUCAAUAAGCUCGAGGAGGAGAAUCGUAUCCUGAGGGUCAUCAUUGCCAAGAAGAUCAUAACACCAACCGUGAAGAAGGAGACAUAAUCACAUGGGUAUGGGCACUCCCGUGGGUAGCUGCCAAGCUUGGGGGAGGUGCCCCGGUAUCGUAUCACCAUCACACUCUUACCUUUACCGUUUUAUUUAGUUCAGUCCUUUUAGUAGUAUCUUGAUCUAGUAGAUUGAAGUUUUGAUAUCAAGUAGUUUUGAGUUUGCUUUGUGAUCUCUUUAUGUAAUCGAGUCCGUGAGCUACCUAUAAUAAAGAUUAGUGUUGAGUCAAGGGCUUUGCUAUCUUGCUAUGAUCUUGAGAAAGUAGAAAGAAUAAAAGAGUUCAUAUUGAUCUUAUAGUUAGUGAUGACUUCAUACAUAGAAAGUAUGAGGCAUAAAAGUUGUUGAGAGUUGAUAAAUGUAGUUUUGGUUAUCGUUGCAAUUAAUAGGAAGUAAUAAGGAAAGAGAGGUUUCACAUACAAAUAUAUUAUCUAGGACAUCUUUUAUGAUUGUGAAGCACUCAUUAAGUAUGACAUGCUAAAAGAGUUGAUGUUGGACAAGGAAGACAACAUAAUGGUUUAUGUUUUCUCACAUCUCAGUUAAAGUAUAUUGUCAUUGACCUUCCAAACAUGUUGAGCUUGCCUUUCCCCCUCAUGCUAGCCAAAUUCCUUGCACCAAGUAGAGACACUACUUGUGCUUCCAAAUAUCCUUAAACCCAGUUUUGCCAUGAGAGUCCACCAUAUCUACCUAUGGAUUGAGUAAGAUCCUUCAAGUAAGUUGUCAUCGGUGCAUGCAAUAAAAAUUGCUUUCUAAAAUAUGCAUGACUUAUUAGUGCGGAGAAAAUAAGCUUUAUACGAUCUUGUUAUGGAAGCAAUAAAAGCGACGGACUGCAUAAUAAAGGUCCAUAUAUAAGUGGCAAUAUAAAGUGACGUUCUUUCGUACUAAGAUUUUGUGUAUCCAACCCUAAAAGCGCAUGACAACCUCUGCUUCCCUCUGUGAAGGGCCUAUCUUUUACUUUAUGUUUUUACUUUAUGCUUGAGUCAAGGUGAUCUUCACCUUUCCCUUUUUCAUUUUAUCCUUUGGCAAGCUCCUCGUGUUUGAAAUAUCAUGAUAUAUAUAUCCAAUUGGGUGUAAGUUAGCAUGGACUAUUAUUGUUGACAUCACCUAAAGGUGAAUACAUUGGGAGGCAACACAAUAAGCCCCUAUCUUUCUCAGUGUCCGGCUGAAACUCCAUAACCACAAGUAUUGCGUGAGUGUUAGCAAUUGUAGAAGGCUACAUGAUAGUUGAGUAUGUGGACUUGCUGAAAAGCUCUAUUCUUGACUCUUUUUGAUGUUAUGAUAAAUUGCAAUUGCUUCAAUGACCGAGAUUAUAGUUUGUUAGCUUUCAAUGAAGUUUCUGAACCAUACUUGACAUUGUGAAUUGAUUGUUACUUGAGCAUAAGAAUUCAUAUGAUAAAAUCUAUAUAUGUUGCUGUUAUAAGAAUGAUCAUGAUGCCCUCAUGUCCGUAUUUUAUUUUUGUAGACACCUCUAUCUCUAAACAUGUGGACACAUAUUUCGAUUUCGGCUUCCGCUUGAGGACAAGCGAGGUCUAAGCUUGGGGGAGUUGAUACGUCCGUUUUGCAUCAUGCUUUUAUAUCAAUAUUUAUUGCACUAUGGGAUGUUAUUACACAUUAUAUAUCAAUACUCAUGGCUAUUCUCUCUUAUUUUAUAAGGUUUACCAUGAAGAGGGGGAAUGCCGGCAGCUGGAUUCUGGCUGGAAAAGGAGCAAACAUUGGAAACCUAUUCUGCACUGCUCCAAAAGACCUGAAACUACACGAAACUUAUUUUUGGAAUUAAUAAGAAUUAUUAAGUGGAAGAAACACCUCAGGGGGCCCACACCCUGGCCAGGAGGGUGGGGGGCGCCCACCCCUACUGGGCGCGCCCCCUCUCUCCUGGGCCCCCUGGUGGCCCUACGGUGUCUAUCUUCUGCUAUAUGAAUGCUUUUUUACCCUGGAAAAAAUCGUGGGCAAGCUUACGGGACGAAACUCCGCCGCCACGAGGCGGAACCUUGGCGGAACCAAUCUAAAGCUCCGGCAGGGCUGUUCUGCCGGGGACACUUCCCUCCGGGAGGGGAAAAUCAUCACCAUCGUCAUCACCAAUGAUCCUCCCAUCGGGAGAGGGUCAAUUUCCAUCAACAUCUUCACCAGCACCAUCUCCUCUCAAAACCCUAGUUCAUCUCUUGUAUCCAAUCUUGUAUUCAAACCACAAAUUGGUACCUGUGGGUUGCUAGUAGUGUUGAUUACUCCUUGUAGUUGAUGCUAAUUGGUUUACUUGGUAGAAGAUCAUAUGUUCAGAUCCUUAAUGCAUAUUAUUACUCCUAUGAUUAUGAACAUGAAUAUGCUUUGUGAGUAGUUACGUUUGUUCCUAAGGACAUGGUUGAAGUCUUGCUAUUAUUAGUCAUGUGAAUUUGGUAUGUGUUCGAUAUUUUGAUGAGAUGUAUGUUGUCUUUCCUCUAGUGGUGUUAUGUGAAUGUCGACUACAUGACACUUCACCAGUAUUUGGGCCUAGAGGAAGGCAUUGGGAAGUAAUAAGUAGAUGAUGGGUUGCUAGAGUGACAGAAGCUUAAACCCUAGUUUAUGCGUUGCUUUGUUAGGGGCUGAUUUGGAUCCAUAUGUUUAAUGUUGUGGUUAGGUUUAUCUUAAUACUUCUUUUUAGUUGUGGAUGCUUGCAAUAGGUGUUAAUCAUAAGUGGGAUGCUUGUCCAAGUAAGGGAAGUACCCAAGCACCGGUCCACCCACAUAUCAAAUUAUCAAAGUAACGAACGCGAAUCAUAUGAGCGUGAUGGAAACUAGCUUGACGAUAAUUCCCAUGUGUCCUCGGGAGCUCUUUUCUCAUUAUAAGAAAUUGUCCAGGCUUAUCCUUUGCUACAAAAAGGAUUGGGCCACCUUGCUGCACUUUAUUUACUUUCAUUGCUUGUUACUCGUUACAAUUUAUCUUAUCACAAAACUAUCUGUUACCUACAAUUUUAGUGCUUGCAGAGAAAACCUUACUGAAAACCGCUUAUCAUUUCCUUCUGCUCCUCGUUGGGUUCGACACUCUUACUUAUAGAAAGGACUACGAUAGAUCUCCUACACUUGUGGGUCAUCACAACCGUAAAUGACAGAGUUCUUGAUGACGCCGAUGAUGCUACUUCACCACCUCCAACCUCAGCGCGUAUCAACACUGCACCAAAUUCUUCUGCACCACCAAACCUCAACAACGACCCUGCUGCUUCACCUACUCCUCAUGGGAACGAGUAGCGACUAUGUCUUCAAACCUUUUUGGUCCUUACUGACAAAAGGGGGAGAAGCAUAUGUUGAUAGUCUUCAAGCGGGUCCAUAUGGGUGGUUGCUAUACUUUUGCCUAGUGUUUACAACUCUCAUUUUUGAUACAUUUGGUUCUUUGAGUUGUAACACUUAAACUUGAUGGUCGUCUGCUACUUUCUCUGCUAUUCUGUGAUGCGAUGAUAAAUUCUGCAUGAAGUCAUUUCGCAGACGUCCAUCUUUCAUUAUGCAUGUCAUUAUUCUUGUAUAUCUGUUCAUGCAUGAUGUAUUGUCUUCAUAUGUGAGGAGGAUCUCCACAAGUACAACCUGGCAUGUGCAUUUGCAUUCCAACGCAAAACAUUUAUAUGCACAUCUUCAGGGGGAGCCCUUUUGCCACUUAUGAAGACAAUGUCAUAAUCCUUUGCAAUUUCACAUACUUUUAUCCCCGUUGAAAACUUCAACCAGUUUGUCAUCAAUCACCAAAAAGGGGGAGAUUGUAAGUGCAUCUAGUGCCACCCCUAGUUGGUUUUGGAGUAUUGACGACAAACCUGGUUGAGGGACUAAUGUGUUUGUGAGAAUUGCAGGAUAACACAGGUAAUAGUCCCUCAUUGAUUCGAUUUACCUACCGGAGAUGACCCCUAAAAAUGUGUGAAGACAUUGAAGACAAUGGUGGUCUGUGAAGCUAUUCACGUUGAAGACUAUGACAUGAGAAGACAUCGAGUGAAGACUAUGGAGCGCGAAGACUUAGUUGUUUUGUUGUUUCCUUUUCUUCUUUGUUGAUUCAUAGGAACCACCGCACUGUUAAGUGGGGUCCAAGUGAACAAAGUCAGAGUGACUGAAGUGAUGCUCAACCAAAUCCUAUGUCUUCGAGCAAAGACAAUGAGUGCAAAUCUUAUCCAGAGUCGGAUAAGUCAGCUUUACUUGUAGCCCAAGUCAAGCCGCCGCGUGUGUUUGAAAUCUGACCGUUGAGACACGUGUCAGUUCCUUAGUGACCAAGGGUCAUUUCGGACAAAUCAGGUCGGGUUGCCCAGUGGCUAUAAAUAGCCCACCCCCUACACCAUAAAUUGGCGGCUGCUUAGAGUUAGUAUACGGCUUUUGUCAUUUGAGAGCAACCCACCUCCGAAGCUUUUGAGAGAGAAUCCUUGCAAGGACAAAGCCCAAACCACCCAGAGCCCAAAGAGUGUUUGUGUCAGGACCCCGACUCGAUGCCACAUAGGUCUAGCAUGUAACACCUCAUAUCACUUUGCGGCCUCACGCACAGUAUUCCCACGGGUGUCGCCUUACCUUUGCCCGGGACCGUUUGCGCCUUUUGGCACACGUAUAUGAUAGUGUCGCUAGUACCCAUAUGAUAAGGAGCCCGGGCUGACAUGGCUAGUCGUAAACCCAAAGUGGCACAGACUUACAGGGACAGGCAUCCAUGACCCAGCAACGAACGUGUCGGUCAUCAGCAAGUGGGUCCGGGCUGUAGCACUGGGCUAGCAGGACUCCGGUAAACCGGGCUGUAGCGGGCUAACAGGACUCCGGUACUCAAUGCGUGACAUUUCCCCGAAGGGACAGACACAGGAACGAAGAAGGACACAUGCCGGCCAGCCUAAGUGUUCCAGAGCAGUAGCAAGCUACCAUGGCUCAGUGGUAACACUAGGAGACAUUUCCCGGUAAGAGAGGCUACUAAGGAUAAACAACUAGAUAGUCAGAUCCCACACAUACCAAGCAUUUCCAUCAUACACACAAUAUGCUCGAUAUGUGCAAAUACAACAAGGCAUCACAACAUGACUCUACGACACAAGUACUUUAUUUAAGGCUCAGAGAGCCAUACAAAACAUACACAUAGGUACGGGUCACACGACCCAGCAUUCAAGUCAUACAGUCAUACAAACUAGCAGCGGAAGUAACUUGUCUGAGUACAGACAACUAGUAAAAUAAAAGAGGCUUGGAAAGCCUAGCUAUACUACGUGGUCCUUCACAAGCUCAGGAUCACCACCUGGUCCUUAGCCUACUCGUUGAUGUCAACGUCUACGAAGAACCCAUCAGAAGGGGUUGCAGCGUCUUCUGUAAAAAUGUAAAGUAUAGCAACAUGAGUACAAAGGUACUCAGCAAGACUUACAUCAGAUCCUACAUACAUGCACAUUAUCAAGAAGGGUUGGUGGAGUUAUUGCAGCAAGCCAGCUUUGACUCUUGGCUAGGCUAUCCUACGAGACUCCAACUUGAAAUGGUUUUGCGCACACGAGUCCACUACUCCCCACUUCAAUACACUACCGAGGAUCCACCUCCGUCUUCCUACAGAAGAGCCAUCCUCGGCACUCACACUUAUCUUGAGGCUUUUAGUAGUUUCCAUUUACUUGUCUAUGAACUGUAUAGGCAACCAAGUAGUCCUUUACCGCGGACGCAGCUAUUCGAAUAGAUCACGAUAACCUUGCAGGGGUGUACUUCUUCAUACACGCUCUCACCACUUACCGUCGUUUACACGACAUGUACUCGGCAACCUUCAAGCGGAAGCCCAACGUGGGUGUCGGCCACGACCUACCUAAUCACCUAAGUCUCUAGUCCAGGUUUAUCGCCUAUUCGGGUUCCAUCCAUGAGGAGAUCCGGCCGAGGUUUCGCUCACAACCCCAAACGAUGUGAACAGGGUUCCCGAGAUACCUAACGGGUAUUUGGUACACCGUGCCACGUACCUACCGCAUCACAGCCCACCCCUACGGUCAGCGCUGUCCACGGCCUCCAGUAGGCUACAAACACCAGAAACUACUUGCAACUCCUGGACAGAGAACUAGGGUGAAUAAGAAGUCGAGAGGGUCCAUUGGUUUCGGGCCCAAUGCAUGGUAGUAGCUGAAUCUUAAAUCACACAUACAGAUCUCAGUGCUUAAGGUCGGCUUCAAUGAAACAACCCACCAUGUACUCCUACAUGGCCUCUCAUCGAUACCUUUACCAAAUCAUGUUCACCACACCACUUUCAUUACCGACAUAAUCAUUUCACUCUAGUCCAUCACCCAGAUGAACCAGACCUGACACGACUCUAAGCAUAGCAGGCAUAGCAAGGUAGGAACAACACAUACAUAUGGCUCAAACAACUCCUACACAUGCUAGUGGGUUUCAUCUAGUUACCGUGGCAAUGACAGGUCAUGCAGAGGAAAUGGGUUCAACUACCGUAACACACAGCAGUUUGAAACGCGUUGUCUUAAUGCAGUAAAAGAGAGCAGGAGCGAGAACAUGGGAUUGUAUCGAUAUGAACAAAUGGUUGGUUGCUUGCCUGAUGGUUCGAUGCACUGAUACGGUUCUUCGUUAGGGUAAUCACGGUACUCCUCGGAGGCAGAACCUGCCGCAAAGAACACCGAUACACAACUAUCACCAAACAAUGUGCAACAAUAUGAUGCAUGCAUGAAACAUGGCAAUAUGAGUGUGUUGGGCUAAUGCAACUAAGAUCAGAAGGGUUUGAACCAAUUUGAAUCAAAGAUUCAAAUUUCAAACUCAUACAUGGCCCUUUAAAGUGUUUUUCCUUGUUCUGCAUUAAACAUCAAGUUAACUUGUUUAAUCAUGCCUGAAAAUAGUACAGAUGGAUAGAUUGGAUUUUUCUGAUCAUUUUUCAUAUAUAACUUGUCUGAUUUGGAGUUACAGAUUAAAAGUUAUGAAUUUUUGAAGUUUAAACUAUAUUCUGGAAUUUCCUGUAUUAGAUUAAAUCCAGAAAUUAAUUUAUUGCGUCAGCCUGACGUCAGUGUGACAUCAGCAUGUCAACGGGACACGUCCGGGUCAAACCUGACAGUGGGUCCCGCGUGUCAGUGUGAUUAAUUAAACUAAAAUUAAUUUAAACUAAUCCUAAUUAAUUAACAGGGCUGGGCCCCACCUGUCAUUGACUCAGGAGAGUCAACCAGGGCCCACCCGUGGUCAAACCCGGGUCGGCUGCACCGGCGUUUAGCCGCCGGCGAGCCCGACGCGGCGGCGGAAGUGGUUUUGGCCAUUUCGGCCACCAAAUGGGUCGCGGAGACCACCGGAGUGGAGCUGAGGACGAGCCGCAGCUCUUGGUGGAGUCCGUUGGGGUCGGGGUGGCCGGAGUUGGCGCCGGCGACGACUUUGGCGGCCACCGGAGUUCGGCCGAAGUCGAACUUGACGCAAGAGGGGUCGGUGAGGUGCGGGGAGUAGCUAGUUAGGUGCUACGUGACGCGGUGAGCAUGAUGGACACCGUGGAGUGGCCGGAGGAUGACCGGGAGCACGUCGGCGACGAGAUCCACGGAGGUGAGUGCGGUUGAGCUCCGGGAGGUCGCUACACGGCUCAGGAGCAAGAAAAGAAGGGAGGGGAAGAUGGCUAAGCUCACGGGGAGUUCGACGAAGCCCUUGGUGCGGCCGGGGACGGACCGGAGCGACGACGGCGUUGAAGGGGAUCUUCGGCGACGGCGGUUCGGUCGAGGUCGAUGUGGUGGGCUCGGGCCUUGCGAGCGCUCGGGGCUCGGCUUGCUCGAAGGAGAGGAGGGUAGCGGAGCUCCUGGACACGGCGACACGGCGUGGGGUUGACAGAGGGCGUGGCUACAACGAGGGGGUGGCGGCGAUGGCGUCGGCCAUGGCGGGGGAGCGCGAGAGAGAGGGGUUGGGGGAGAAUGGAGGUGUCCUGCAGGUUCACGGUGCUGCGUGGAGCUCAUCCAUCCGGCCCCGAGGUGAGGAGGUGGAGCAGGGCGGCAGCCAGCUGCGUGGCGCGCGCUGCGGUCGCCGUCGGGCACCUGCCUGCCUGCCUGGCCGGCAAGCAGCUCGCUGGAGCGGUGCUGGGCUGGGCCGGCAGGUGGGCCGGGUGCUGGGCGCCAGGUAAGGGUUUUUUAUAUUUUUCCUGUUUUCUGUUUUUUAAUACUUCUGCAACUUUGUUGAAUUAAUAAAAAUACUUAGACAACUCCUAAAAUCACCAAACUACUCCUGGUCCAUAGUUGGAUUAUUUCCAACAUGAAACAUUUUAGUUUGGAGAUAUUUGAGCAUUUAGAUAUUUUAUAUAAUUUUAAAUGCCCAAAUUCAAAUAUUUAUGAUUUAAUUCAAAAACCCUAAGAUGGCCUAGGAAAAUGUGCAUCACUUCUGGCAAAGGUUCUGAACCAAGACAAAAAUGAUGGGCAUUUUAGAAGGGCAUUUCAGGUUCAUUGAAAAAGUUUUUAGUAAACCCUAGUUGGUUUCAGAGGGGGCUGGGGGUUCUGUCAUCCCCAUUUCAGGUUUCUGAUGAAAGAGUAAACAUGAUGCAACACUCUAAUGCAUGAACUAGCUAGGGUGUGACAACUCACCCCCACUCAAAAGAAUCUCGUCCCGAGAUUUGGGUUCUUCCGGAAAGAGGGCGGGAUACUCGGGUCGAAGACGAUCCUCCCUUUCCCAAGUUGCUUCAUCCUCAGAAUGGUGCGACCAUUGAACUUUGAGAAACUUGAUAUCAUGACGUCGAGUGGUACGCUCGGCCUGAUCGAGGAUACGAAUGGGGUACUCUCGAUACGUGAGAUUAUCUUGGAGAUCAAGCGUUUCGUGGUCCACUCCACGGGUAGGAUCCGAGAAGCAACGCCUGAGUUGAGAAACGUGGAAGACAUCGUGGACUCUGGAGAGGUGCGGAGGUAGUUCCAACUGGUAGGCAACUUCUCCUCGUUUAGCGAGGAUACGAAAAGGUCCAAUGUAACGAGGAGCCAAUUUGCCUUUGAUACCGAAACGAUGGGUUACCUUUAGAGGAGUAACCUGAAGGUAAGCCUUCUCGUCAACCUCGAAAGUCAUGGCCUUAUGUUUUCGGUCAUAUUGACUCUUCUGACGAGAUUGGGCUGUUUUCAACUUUUCACGAAUGAUGCGAACUUGCUCUUCUGCUUCCUGAAUCAUAUCCGGGCCAAAGAAUUGUCUUUCCCCGGUUUCUGACCAGUUAAGGGGUGUUCGACACCGUCAUCCAUAGAGAACUUCAAAAGGGGCUUUACCCAAGCUAGAUUGAUAGCUGUUGUUGUAAGCGAAUUCGGCAAAUGGAAGGCACUUCUCCCAAUCCAUUCCGAAUGAGAUAACAGAGGCUCGAAGCAUGUCUUCUAGAAUCUGGUUGACGCGUUCUACCUGACCACUCGAUUGAGGGUGAAAAGCGGUGCUAAAGGAAAGGCGGGUUCCCAUAGCAUUUUGGAAACUUUCCCAAAAUCGAGAGGUGAAAAGACUUCCUCGGUCCGAGUUAAUUUCCAAAGGAACACCAUGGAGAGACACGAUUCGGGAGAUGUAUAAGUCUGCCAACUGACUAGCGGUUAUACUCUCACGAACAGGUAAGAAAUGGGCUACCUUGGAGAGACGAUCGACCACGACGAAGAUAGCAUUAUUCCCUUUCUUGGUCCUGGGAAAACCGGUAAUGAAAUCCAUACCAAUUUUAUCCCAUUUCCAUUCAGGAAUGGCUAGGGGUUGAAGGGUGCCAGCAGGCCGUUGAUGCUCUGCUUUUACACGACGACAGACGUUGCAAUUAGCAAUAUACUGAGCAAUUUCUCUCUUCAUCCUAGUCCACCAGAACCUCUGGCGUAGGUCCUGAUACAUCUUGGUACUACCGGGAUGAAUGGAGAGAGGAGAUUCAUGAGCUUCCUUAAGGAUCAAUCGUCUCAGGUUUCGCACCUUGGGAACCACUAGUCGAUUCCCGAAGUAUACGACCCCUUGAUCAUCAAUGGAGAAACAAUUCGCAACUCCUUGAUGUUUCUCUUGAUGCGGGAAAUUCCCGGAUCUACCUUCUGUGCUUUGAUGAUCUGAUCCGUAAGGGUAGGUUUUGCCACCAAGGUGGAAAGAAAACCUUGAGGAACAAUGUGAAGGUUAAGCUUCCGAAAUUCCUCAUGGAGAAGCGGUUGACUUUGUUGUAACAUCAGGUUGUUACAAUAAGAUUUACGACUUAGCGCAUCAGCCAUGACGUUGGCUUUCCCUGGGGUGUAAGUUAUUCCUAAGUCAAAAUCUGUGAUCAACUCAACCCAACGUCUUUGCCUGAGAUUCAAAUCUGGUUGGGUGAAGAUAUACUUCAAACUUUGGUGAUCAGUGAAUAUUUCGCAACGAUUACCAAGGAGGUAAUGUCGCCAGGUUUUAAGUGCAUAGACUACUGCUGCAAGCUCUAGAUCAUGAGUAGGAUAAUUCUCCUCAUGUGGGUGCAAUUGCCGGGAAGCGUAAGCAAUUACGUGUCGAUCUUGCAUGAGAAUGCAACCUAGUCCUUGUCGCGAGGCGUCGCAGUAGAUAACAAAGUCCUUAGAGAAGUCUGGCGGUAUCAGUACGGGAGCAGAAGUCAGGCGUCUUUUCAGUUCCUGAAAGCUGUGCUCACAUUGUGGAGUCCAUUCGAACUUUUUAUCUUUCUUGAGGAGUUCGGUUAGAGGUUUAGCAACUUUGGAGAAGUUCUCGACAAAGCGACGGCAAUAGCUCGCUAAGCCCAGAAAACUCCGAACUUGCUUGACCGACUCAGGUGGAGUCCAAUUAAGGACGGCUUGAACUCGCUCAGGGUUAACAGCAAUACCUUUACCAGAUAUUACAUGACCCAGAUAGGUCACUUCUGACAACCAAAAUUCACAUUUAGAGAAUUUGGCAUAAAGACGAUGCUCUCGAAGUUUCUUCAGCACUAGCCUUAGAUGUUCGGCAUGUUCUUCCUCAUUCUUGGAGUAGAUGAGUAUAUCAUCGAGAUAAACCACGACGAAUUUAUCCAAAUACUCCAUGAAGAUUGAGUUCAUUAACCGAGAAAAGGUGGCUGGAGCGUUGGUUAAACCGAAGGACAUGACGGUGUACUCGUAUUGGCCAUAACGAGUAACAAAGGCCGUUUUAGGAAUGUCCCCGUUCCUGAUUUUGAUUUGAUGGUAGCCCAACCUCAAAUCCAUUUUGGAGAAGAUUGAGGAUCCAGCGAGCUGAUCAUACAGGUCGUUGAUCCUGGGGAGCGGAUAUUUGUUCUUGAUUGUGACCAAAUUGACAGGUCGAUAAUCUACAACCAUCCGGUCCGUACCAUCCUUCUUCUUGACGAAGAGGAUGGGGCAAGCCCACGGAGAUGAACUAGGUCGGAUGAAACCCUUUAUCAAGGACUCAUCGAGUUGUUUCUUAAGCUCGGCUAGUUCUAGUGGUGCCAUCUUAUAGGGUCUUCUAGCAAUCGGGACGGUUCCUGGAAUGAGGUCUAUUACGAACUCCACAUCCCUGUCAGGUGGAACACCUGGCAAUUCCUCUGGGAAGACAUCCGGGAAGUCACGGACUACCGGAACGUCCUCAAGGUCUGGCAAAGGGCUGGCGUUAAGAGAAUAUAACUGUCGCUUGGCUAUUCGGGUCAAGACAUUGACUAUCUUCCCCGAAGGAUGGGUGAGUUGAACAGUCCUAGAGAAGCAAUCGAUUUUGGCAUGAUGGGCUGACAUCCAGUCCAUACCCAAGAUGAUAUUAAUAUCUGAAGAUUUAAGAGCUAUCAAAGAUGCAAGGAAAACAAGUCUGUCGACUUGGAUUUCAUUUCCAUGACUUACCCUAGAGGUUUGCCAUUUGGAUCCCGGAGUUUGAAUUACCAUAGAGGAUGGCAUGUCACAGAAUGCGGUGUUAUGCAAGCGAGCAUAGUUCUCGGAUAUGAAUGAAUGAGAUGCUCCUGUAUCGAAAAGAACAGAUGCCGGGUGGCAAUUAACAAGGAGCGUACCGAGAACGACGUUGGGAUCCUCUUGAGCUUCUUCGGCAGAGAUACAGUUGACAUGGUCACGUGUAACGGUGGCCGGCUUGGCGUGGAACACUUUCCCUGUCGGCUUGCCACGGCCAACAGCUUUAGCAGAUUGGUUGGGGUUGGUCUGGGGACACUCGCGCAUAUAGUGGCCAGAUUCCCCACACUUAAAGCAAGUCACGGAACUGGUACGUGGAGGAGCAUUGUUGGUUGGACCACCAUAGGGCUUGGCUGGUGCAGACUAUUGAACGGGGCGAGGCGCCUGGAAGAAUGGCCUCGGUGUGAACCUGGGUGGCAGGGCAGUGUUGGGCACCCACACGCGGCGCUUCUGAGGGCCAGCACCGGAUGAGGAACCCACGUCACGGCCAUGCUUGUGUGUUGCGUCAUAAUCAGACUGACCAGUCUCAGCACUGAUGGCCUUGUUAACAAGCUUCUGAAAAGAUGUGCACUCAUGCAGACGGAGGUCGCGGCGAAGCUCAGGACUAAGUCCCUUACGGAACCUUGCUUGCUUCUUGGCAUCAGUAGAAACUUCCUCAGUGGCAUAUCGUGCGAGGUUACCGAACUCCCUACUGUAAGCAUCCACAGAGAGUCGGCCUUGAGUGAAACUGCAAAAUUCCUCACGUUUACGGUCCAUGAGACCCUCCGGAAUGUGAUGUUCACGGAAAGCCUCGCUGAAUUCAGCCCAAGUAGUGACAUGGCCCGCUGGGCGCAUAGCUCCAUAAUUCUCCCACCAUAGACUGGCGGGGCCUUCAAGAUGAUAUGCAGCAAAGGUGACCUUGUCAGCCUCAGCUACCAGCGCGGAACGCAGUUUGUGAGAGAUACUGCGAAGCCAGUCAUCAGCGUCGAGAGGCUCGACGGAGUGGUGGAACGUGGGUGGAUGUAACUUGAUGAAAUCACUGAGUGACACCACGUUAGUCCUCUGAUGGUGUGUUGUGUUCUGUUCAAUACGCUCCAACAAACGGUUGGUCUCCCGCUUGUUUCUUUCGGCUUCCAUCAUAACCUCGGCUAGGGAAGGAGGAUGAGGCAGAUUUGCAUUCCUGACUUCACUGCCUUCGGCCUGCUCUUGAGGAGCAGGGUUAUUGCGUGUGUUGACCAUCCUAGGUAAACAAGACAAUGAUUUAGUCAGAAUGAUAAGAUUCCGCCAUAGGAUACAGAAUGUAAGGAAUAACUCGGAAUGCAAGAUGAUCAUCCGUAUGACAUGGUAGAUACAAAAACUGCUUCUUUUAUUCCAUCGUCAUACACACCAUACAAGGUUUAGUACAAGACCAAACAAGGUACUAUUACGGUGAAAAGAGGAUUACAUCUCAUCGGAGGCAUCCCAAGCUCCUGUACAUUAUUUUUCUACACCUCCGGAAGGCGGUACAAACUAGGUCAUAUCCCAUGAGUCACGCAGGAUGAUAGACGACACAGCUAGUACGAACUAGUGAUUCUACCACUAACUCAGACCGAUCCGUAGUAGUCCUCGUAGAAAUCACCUCCAUAGCCUGGAAGCUCAACAUGAUCAUCCGGAAACAGACGAUCUCGCGGAGCUUGUGGACCAUAGGGGCUAGGAUGAGGUCUUGGACCAACAGACGGUGGCCUGCGGGGACCACGAGGUGGGGUGAUGCCUCCUACAUCACGCCAACCCAUCACGUCUGGCAGAGCAGAUCUCACAGGAUAGAGAUCGCGCAUAUCCGAAUAUCCAGCUUGCACCGCCGGUGUAAACCGAGUCAACGUGGCCCAAUGGUCAGCACGGGUAUUGAAGAGCUCUAGCCUCAAGGCCCGAUUUUCACGGUCCUUAUCCUCGAGCAUCUCAGCAGUGGUGCGAGUCCGUGAAUCCUCCUGAGUGGGGUCAGCAUAGAUAGCCUGGAGAUACCCUUGUGCUCCCGGAAGUGAUCCUGGCAUAUACCGGAAAUCAGAGUCCCGAAAUAGGCCAGACCUGACUCGCAUGAUGGUCAUCAUAGAGUAGGCGGCAUCCUGCACGGCCAUCUCAAUAGUAACCCCUAGUCCAUAGGAGCAGUGAAGGGGCUCGGUGGAUCCAGGAUAAGAUGGAAAUAUCCUGACAGUGCAGAGAUACUGGCUUUGAUUAAAGUCCCGAAAUUGCUCUUCGACCGUGUACUCAGGAUACCAACGGUAUCCAGCCUCAGUCAUUACCCUGACCAACAUGGCGGUAUGGCCGGGUACAUCUAGGCAUCGAGUCAGGCGAACCACUUGAUUGAGGUCGCGAGUGGCCAUCUGAAAGCACAACCAUAAUGCAAAGGCAUUAGAAUUCCUAGCAAAAUUUUGACAGCAUAACGGCUGUAAAUGCUCAAGAAGGAUUUUGAGACAUUUGACAAAGGAUUUCAUACACACUCAACAUCAUCAUAUCAAAGUUCUGAGUCCAUCCUAACAACAUAAUGUGGUAGUAGAACUGAACUAGGCUUGUAUCCAUCAAACCUAUAAGGUACUACUGACUAGUAACACGUGAUCCUGAUAGAGAGAAUAGAUCCUAAUUCCUUAACCCCCGGUGGAAGAAUAGACUGACUCAGAUCAGAAUGUCAUAAGAUAAAGGAGUAAAAAGAGCCUUACGUUCCAACCCACAAACAAUUCCCCUACAUAUAACUAAAGAAUUUCUAGACUCAACAUCGACCAGUUUGGCUUGGAGAACCUACAGGUAGUCCGGCUCUGAUGCCAACGCUGUCAGGACCCCGACUCGAUGCCACAUAGGUCUAGCAUGUAACACCUCAUAUCACUUUGCGGCCUCACGCAUGGUAUUCCCACGGGUGUCGCCUUACCUUUGCCCGGGACCGUUUGCGCCUUUUGGCACACGUAUAUGAUAGUGUCGCUAGUACCCAUAUGAUAAGGAGCCCGGGCUGACAUGGCUAGUCGUAAACCCAAAGUGGCACAGACUUACAGGGACAGGCAUCCAUGACCCAGCAACGAACGUGUCGGUCAUCAGCAAGUGGGUCCGGGCUGUAGCACUGGGCUAGCAGGACUCCGGUAAACCGGGCUGUAGCGGGCUAACAGGACUCCGGUACUCAAUGCGUGACAUUUCCCCGAAGGGACAGACACAAGAACGAAGAAGGACACAUGCCGGCCAGCCUAAGUGUUCCAGAGCAGUAGCAAGCUACCAUGGCUCAGUGGUAACACUAGGAGACAUUUCCCGGUAAGAGAGGCUACUAAGGAUAAACAACUAGAUAGUCAGAUCCCACACAUACCAAGCAUUUCAAUCAUACACACAAUAUGCUCGAUAUGUGCAAAUACAACAAGGCAUCACAACAUGACUCUACGACACAAGUACUUUAUUUAAGGCUCAGAGAGCCAUACAAAACAUACACAUAGGUACGGGUCACACGACCCAGCAUUCAAGUCAUACAGUCAUACAAACCAGCAGCGGAAGUAACUUGUCUGAGUACAGACAACUAGUAAAAUAAAAGAGGCUUGGAAAGCCUAGCUAUACUACGUCGUCCUUCACAAGCUCAGGAUCACCACCUGGUCCUUAGCCUACUCGUUGAUGUCAACGUCUACGAAGAACCCAUCAGAAGGGGUUGCAGCGUCUUCUGUAAAAAUGUAAAUUAUAGCAACAUGAGUACAAAGGUACUCAGCAAGACUUACAUUAGAUCCUACAUACAUGCACAUUAUCAAGAAGGGUUGGUGGAGUUAUUGCAGCAAGCCAGCUUUGACUCUUGGCUAGGCUAUCCUACGAGACUCCAACUUGAAAUGGUUUUGCGCACACGAGUCCACUACUCCCCACUUCAAUACACUACCGAGGAUCCACCUCCGUCUUCCUACGGAAGAGCCAUCCUCGGCACUCACACUUAUCUUGAGGCUUUUAGUAGUUUCCAUUUACUUGUCGAUGAACUGUAUAGGCAACCAAGUAGUCCUUUACCGCGGACGCGGCUAUUCGAAUAGAUCAUGAUAACCCUGCAGGGGUGUACUUCUUCAUACACGCUCUCACCACUUACCGUCGUUUACACGACAUGUACUCGGCAACCUUCAAGCGGAAGCCCAACGUGGGUGUCGGCCACGACCUACCUAAUCACCUAAGUCUCUAGUCCAGGUUUAUCGCCUAUUCGGGUUCCAUCCAUGAGGAGAUCCGGCCGAGGUUUCGCUCACAGCCCCAAACGAUGUGAACAGGGUUCCCGAGAUACCUAACGGGUAUUCGGUACACCGUGCCACAUACCUACCGCAUCACAGCCCACCCCUACGGUCAGCGCUGUCCACGGCCUCCAGUAGGCUACAAACACCAGAAACUACUUGCAACUCCUGGACAGAGAACUAGGGUGAAUAAGAAGCCGAGAGGGUCCAUUGGUUUCGGGCCCAAUGCAUGGUAGUAGCUGAAUCUUAAAUCACACAUACAGAUCUCAGUGCUUAAGUUCGGCUUCAAUGAAACAACCCACCAUGUACUCCUACAUGGCCUCUCAUCGAUACCUUUACCAAAUCAUGUUCACCACACCACUUUCAUUACCGACAUAAUCAUUUCACUCUAGUCCAUCACCCAGAUGAACCAGACCUGACACGACUCUAAGCAUAGCAGGCAUAGCAAGGUAGGAACAACACAUACAUAUGGCUCAAACAACUCCUACACAUGCUAGUGGGUUUCAUCUAGUUACUGUGGCAAUGACAGGUCAUGCAGAGGAAAUGGGUUCAACUACCGUAACACACAGCAGUUUGAAACGCGUUGUCUUAAUGCAGUAAAAGAGAGCAGGAGCGAGAACAUGGGAUUGUAUCGAUAUGAUCAAAUGGUUGGUUGCUUGCCUGAUGGUUCGAUGCACUGAUACGGUUCUUCGUUAGGGUAAUCACGGUACUCCUCGGAGGUAGAACCUGCCGCAAAGAACACCGAUACACAACUAUCACCAAACAAUGUGCAACAAUAUGAUGCAUGCAUGAAACAUGGCAAUAUGAGUGUGUUGGGCUAAUGCAACUAAGAUCAGAAGGGUUUGAACCAAUUUGAAUCAAAGAUUCAAAUUUCAAACUCAUACAUGGCCCUUUAAAGUGUUUUUCCUUGUUCUGCAUUAAACAUCAAGUUAACUUGUUUAAUCAUGCAUGAAAAUAGUACAUAUGGAUUAAAAUAAUACAGAUGGAUUAAAGUGUUUUUCCUUUAGAUUGGAUUUUUCUGAUCAUUUUUCAUAUAUAACUUGUCUGAUUUGGAGUUACAGAUUAAAAGUUAUGAAUUUUUGAAGUUUAAACUAUAUUCUGGAAUUUCCUGUAUUAGAUUAAAUCCAGAAAUUAAUUUAUUGCGUCAGCCUGACAUUAGUGUGACAUCAGCAGGUCAACGGGACACGUCCGGGUCAAACUUGACAGUGGGUCCCGCGUGUCAGUGUGAUUAAUUAAACUAAAAUUAAUUUAAACUAAUCCUAAUUAGUUAACAGGGCUGGGCCCCACCUGUCAUUGACUCAGGAGAGUCAACCAGGGCCCACCCGUGGUCAAACCCGGGUCGGCUGCACCGGCGUUUAGCCGCCGGCGAGCUCGACGCGGCGGCGGAAGUGGUUUUGGCCGUUUCGGCCACCAAAUGGGUCGCGGAGACCACCGGAGUGGAGCUGAGGACGAGCCGCAGCUCUUGGUGGAGUCCGUUGGGGUCGGGGUGGCCGGAGUUGGCGCCGGCGACGACUUUGGCGGCCACCGGAAUUCGGCCGAAGUCGAACUUGACGCAAGAGGGGUCGGUGAGGUGCGGGGAGUAGCUAGUUAGGUGCUAUGUGACGCGGUGAGCAUGAUGGACACCGUGGAGUGGCCGGAGGAUGACCGGGAGCACGUCGGCGACGAGAUCCACGGCGGUGAGUGCGGUUGAGCUCCGGGAGGUCGCUACACGGCUCGGGAGCAAGAAAAGAAGGGAGGGGAAGAUGGCUAAGCUCACGGGGAGUUCGACGAAGCCCUUGGUGCGGCCGGGGACGGACCGGAGCGACAACGGCGUUGAAGGGGAUCUCCGGCGACGGGGGUUCGGUCGAGGUCGAUGCGGUGGGCUCGGGCCUUGCGAGCGCUCGGGGCUCGGCUUGCUCGAAGGAGAGGAGGGUAGCGAAGCUCCUGGACACGGCGGCACGGCGUGGGGUUGACGGAGGGCGUGGCUACGACGAGGGGGUGGCGGCGAUGGCGUCGGCCAUGGCGGGGGAGCGCGAGAGAGAGGGGUUGGGGGAGAAUGGAGGUGUCCUGCGGGUUCACGGCGCUGCGUGGAGCUCAUCCAUCCGGCCCCGAGGCGAGGAGGUGGAGCAGGGCGGCAGCCAGCUGCGUGGCGCGCGCUGCGGUCGCCGUCGGGCACCUGCCUGCCUGCCUGGCCGGCAAGCAGCUCGCUGGAGCGGCGCUGGGCUGGGCCGGCAGGUGGGCCGGGUGCUGGGCGCCAGGUAAGGGUUUUUUAUAUUUUUCCUGUUUUCUUUUUUUUAAUACUUCUGCAACUUUGUUGAAUUAAUAAAAAUACUUAGACAACUCCUAGAAUCACCAAACUACUCCUGGUCCAUAGUUGGAUUAUUUCCAACAUGAAACAUUUUAGUUUGGAGAUAUUUGAGCAUUUAGAUAUUUUAUAUAAUUUUAAAUGCCCAAAUUCAAAUAUUUAUGAUUUAAUUCAAAAACCCUAAAAUGGCCUAGGAAAAUGUGCAUCACUUCUGGCAGAGGUUCUGAACCAAGACAAAAAUGAUGGGCAUUUUAGAAGGGCAUUUCAGGUUCAUUGAAAAAGUUUUUAGUAAACCCUAGUUGGUUUCAGAGGGGGCUGGGGGUUCUGUCAUCCCCAUUUCAGGUUUCUGAUGAAAGAGUAAACAUGAUGCAACACUCUAAUGCAUGAACUAGCUAGGGUGUGACAGUUUGGCAUCACUGAAGUCUUUCUAUCCGCGUGAUCUGAAGACUUAUUUCACUUGAGGACUGUGAAUCCUCCAGCCGGUUAGGCGUCGCGUUCUAAGCAUCCAAGAGUCAUUGUGGAUUGCCGGUGAACGAAGUCUGUGAAGGUUUGAGAGUCUACCUUGAAGACUUACUAGAGUGAUUGGGCGGGGACUGAGAGUCCUUAGCUCAAGGGGAAUAAGGUGAAGACGCAGUCUUCUGAGUUAAAUCUCAGCCUCCCUAACCAGAUGUACAGUUGUCACAGCAACUAGAACUGGUCGAACAAACCCCCGUCCUCCUGAAGCCAUUGGUUCUAUCUCUCACUUCUCUUUACUUACAGUUUGUCUUCCCGAAGUCAUUGACUGCUUGCAUUUUCUGUUUGACUUCACUAUGUGACUGCUUGUCCUGAUUGGCUUCAUACUAUCUUCCAUCCUGAUCUUUACAACCUAGCUGCUAAUAGUCUUCGUGCUUUCACUUCAUUGAAUACUUGACUAUGACUUGUCUAGUGUAGUCUACCUUCUGCUGCAUACAAAUAGUGUCGUUGCUAUUGUUUGUCUUUGAAACACCCAAGUUUUGAAGACUUCCAUAAAAAUCGCCUAUUCACCCCCCUCUAGUUGAUAACUAGCCCUUUCAAUCGCCUACAAAUGCGCCAUUAGUAAACCCUGGUUACUAAUGGCGCACUAGUUAGGUGGUGCGCCAUUACUAGUUUUGCAAAAAAAUAAAAAAAUAAAUGUUAGUAGUGGCGCAUCGUGUGUGUGGUGCGCCAUUACUAGUUUGAACUAGUAAUGGCGCACUAUACACUGGUGCACCAUUACUAGUUAUGAAAAAAAGUAAAAAAAAUUGUUAGUAGUGGCGCACGGGGUGAGUGGUGCACCAUUACUAGUUAAAACUAGUAAUGACGCACUAUGCCCUGGUGCGCCAUUACUAGUUUUGGAAAAAAAGUUUGUUAGUAGUGGCGCACCGUGGGUGUGGUGCGCCAUUAGUGUCCAUCACAGUAAUGACGCACCAACACAUGGUGCGCCAUUAAUGUUCAUAUUAUCUAUAGCCCUUUUUCUAGUAGUGGCCCGAAAGGCAUAGACACAUAGCAGAAGGCUCCAAACUGAGUAAUAAAAGUCGUCUUCUCCUGGUCCUUAACUGCCAUCUUGAUAUGAUGAUAACCAGAAUAAGCAUCCAAAAAGCUCAAAUGCUCACAACCCGCCGUAACAUCAAUGAUUUGAUCAAUACGAGGGAGAGCAAAGGGAUCAACCGGACAAGCCUUGUUUAUGUCCGUGUAAUCCACACAUACGCCAUAUGUCGUUCUUCUUAAGCACAAGCACCAGGUUAGCUAACCACUCUGGAUGAAAAACUUCAACAAUGAACCCGACCGCCAAGAGCCGGGCCACUUCCUCACCAAUGGCCUUACGCCUCUCCUCAUUGAACCGCCGAAGAAACUGCUUGAUCGGCUUAAAUUUUGGAUCAAUAUUGAGAGUGUGCUCAGCGAUUUUUCUUGGUACACCCGGCAUGUCAGAAGGUUUCCAUGCAAAGAUGUCCCAGUUCUCACGGAUGAACUCGAUGAGCGCGCUUUCCUAUUUGGGAUCUAGGUUAGCGCUGAUACUGAACUGCUUAGAUGAGUCGCCAGGAACAAAAUCAACCAACUUGGUAUCGUCUGCUGAUUUAAACUUCAUCACUGGCUCAUGCUCGGUGGUUGGCUUCUUCAAAGACGUCAUGUCCGCCGGGUCAACAUUGUCCUUGUAGAACUUCAACUCCUCUGUUGCACAAACAGAUUCGGUGUAAGCCGCAUCGCCUUCCUGACAUUCCAGGGCUAUCUUCCGACUCCCAUGCACUGUGAUGGUUCCGUUGUGACCCGGCAUCUUGAGAUGCAGAUAAACACAGCACGGUCGUGCCAUGAACUUCGCAUAAGCCGUCCGUCCAAAUAGGGCGUGAUACGGGCUCUUGAUAUUGACCACCUCAAAAGUUAACUUUUCAGCCCUAGAAUCAUGCUCAUCUCCAAAGGCUACUUCCAGCUCAGUCUUACCCACUGGGUAUGCCGACUUACCAGGCACCACUCCAUGGGAAACAAUGUUGGACGUCUUAAAAUUUUUAUCAGUCAACCCCAUGCGACGGAAAGUCUCAUAUUGAUGCUGCUGCCUCCAUCCAUGAGCACCUUAAUGAUUUUAUAUCCACCAACUUGAGGUGCCACCACCAAGGGCAAGUGACCCGGAUUGUCAACCCGGGGAGGGUGAUCUUCCCUACUCCAUAGAAUAGGCUGCUCAGACCAUCUCAAAUAACAAGGAACUACCGGCUCAACAUCUUUCACAACCCUCUUAUGAAGCUUCUGGUCCCGUUUGCACAAACUGGUGGUAAACACAUGAUACUGCCCACUAUUCAGCUACUUUGGAUUACUCUGAUUUCCAGAUUGCUGCUGCUGACCUCCCUGGCUAGAUUGCUGAUUAUAACCACCUUGGUUACCUUGAGAGCCUUGAAAAUGGGAAUUUGAACCACCGCCCGGGCCAUGAAAACCGCCGCCACCUGAGCCGCCGCCCGGGCCAUGAUUGCUAUCAAACAUGUUAGAGUUCUUAAAAGCCUUCAUGAUCAUACAAUCCUUCCACAUGUGAGUGGCCGGUUUCUGGUGAGUAUCGUGCCUUGGACAGGGCUCAUUUAGCAACUGCUCAAGAGUAGGACUUGAGCCGCCGGACCGAGGAGGUGGUCUCCCCUUACGUCAUUGGUUGUUGACCUGCGCAUUGGUGUUAGCCACAAACUCCGAGCUACCAUCAGCCUUACGUUUAUUAUUGCCUCCUUGAUUUGUCGGGUUAUGAUAAGGACCCUUGGCGUUGCCGUUCUUCUUUCCCUUCCAUGUCUUUUCAUCGUCAGACUCGGGAUCCUUAGUACUAUUAGAGUCGGCGUAUUUGACCAGAGCCGCCAUUAGCUGGCCCAUGUCAUUACAAUCGUGCUUGAGCCGCCCCAGUUUCAUUUUCAAAGGCGUAAAACGGCAAUUUUUCUCCAACAUUAAGACUGCAGAGCCGACAUCCAUCUUACCAGACGAAUGUAUUAUGGCCUUGACCCGGUGCACCCAAUGGGUUGUGGACUCGCCCUCCUCUUGCUUGCAAUUAGUCAAAUCCACAAUUGACAUGGGCUGCUUGCAUGUAUCUUUGAAGUUCUGAAUAAACUGGGCAUUUAACUCUGCCCAUGAACCGAUGGAAUUAGGUGGCAGCCCCUUCAACCAAUUGUGGGCCGUUCCAUCCAACAUCAUGGUGAAGUACUUGGCCAUUGCAGCAUCACUGACUUCCAAUAGCUCCAUGGCCAUAUCAUAGCUUUCAAUCCAUGCCCCAGGCUGUAAGUCGGCCGUGUAAUUAGGCACCUUUUGAGGCCCUUUGAAAUCCUUGGGCAAACGCUCAUUACGCAGAGCUGGCACCAGACAAGGGACACCCACAGUCCUAGUGGUCACGCCUGCCUCAAUAGAAGUAGUCGGGUAAACCGGAAACGAUUGGUAAGACACCCGCUGAGCCGCCUGCUCAGCCGCCUGCCGAGCUGCCCGCUCAGCCACUUGACAUACCAUGUCCUGAUCAACCAAAUUAGGAACCCCAUCACGCGUCGGGUCAUGCCCGCCCGGCUGGUCACGACGUCGGACGUUGCUUGAAACGGCCGCCGAAUCCAUGUGCCUACUAUAACUCGGGCUCCGGCUUGGGCGAGGGGUCGAAUGAAUCCUAUCUCGGCUAUAAGAGUACGCCUCCUGCUGCGCCAAAGCCGUCUGAAGAAGCUCCCUGACCCUUCGUGUUUCAACCGCCGUCGGAGAGUCGCCAUCCACCGGGAGAGCCGCCAAUCGCACCACCGCAGCGAUCAUGUUCUUCAGAGGGUUAGAAUAAUGACCCGGUGGUAUUGGUACAUAGUGAGGUGGAGUAGUAUUCGGACCGGGGGGGUCCGUCACACUUGGCUAAACCGGCAUCCCAGCCCCGGGCGUUGCAACCCGGUUAACCUCCGGCGGGUUACUGGGCCCUGCACCGAGUGUACGGAAGAGGUUUCGAGGAUCAUAAACCGGAGGCAGACGGGAUUGAGUCUUCUGGUACCUUCUCCUCAUGACCUCAUUUGACGCAUUUUGAUCCAUCGUGAGCUGGAAAGCCUGCGACUGAAUUCGCUGAGCUUGCACAUCCAGAGCCGCCCGCUCUGCGGUCAUCCUGACGUCUUCCGCCGCCAUGUCUUCCUUAACUUGCACUAUAUCCUGCUUUAACUACGCCACUCCCGCAUCAUGUUGAGUUUGAUCCGCCGGGUUGACCACGGCGGUUAAUAGAGUUGUCAUCUUAUUCAUUAAACCCAUCAGAACCUGAGCCGGCGGGCGCACAGGGCCUCCUGCCCCGGCUGCCGCUGGCCCGGAGGUUAUCGCUGUCGCAGCCAUAGAGUUUUGAACGGGUUGCGCGCCAGCCAUGAAGAUCCCAACUCUGCUCGGCGGCUCAAAGAGUUCCGAAAUACUGCUGCCAUCGAAACAGCCCCCAAGCCCGCCGUCUUGCAGUUGAUACAACAAAUCCGUCUCACCCGUGGAUGACUCACCAUCAGAGUAGAUGGCCGUCUCACCUCCAGACACAGAUCCUUCAGAGGGUUCCCCUCCAUGGAUGCAUCCCACGAAGGCACGCUUCACGGCAGGCUGACCCGGGCGGGUCUCGCACGCUGAGCCGUCUCGACGAUGUCGGUGCAGAUGUCCGGCUCAGGGCCCGGCUCGUCGAUCUUGCUGAUGAAGACGUCGAUUGCGCCGAAGGGGACCCGGUACCCGUACUCAAUUGAGCCGGCAUCGGGGCCCCAGCCUGCGUCGUCGAUGUAGAGCUUGCCGUGACGACUCUUAGUCAUCCGGGCCACCGCGUAUCCCUUGAGCCCUUCGAAGCCGCCUUUCAAGAACUGUCGUGGAAUUGUCACGUCAGAUGUCCUAGUGAAAGGACUUACUCGUGGAGCCAUCGCAACUAGGAAGCUUAAAGGGGGUAAUCGGGACAAAGGACACGGGGUUUAUACUGGUUCGGCCCCUUACGGUGAAGGUAAAAGCCUACGAUCCAGUUUUGAGUGGGAUUGCUUAUGUCUCGAUUACCAGGGAGCGAAUCCGCUUGACCCAGUUCUCGAUCUGAUGUCACUUGCCCUGAACCGCCACCGGGUUGUCCCUUUAUAUACAGAGGUCGACGCCCAGCGGCUCUCAGAGUCCCGGCCGGCUCAUAAACAGUGUCCGGCUCAGUCUCUCUCUAUCCCUGCCUUACAAUACAAGUUACAUACAUAUGUCGGUUUAUCUUUACGGACCUUAAAUUGCCUUUGGGCUUUGGGCCCUUUAAUUGAACCGCCAUCUUCAAGUGCCGUCUUGGGCUUCAUGUCUAGAGUCGUCAUAGGUAUAAUCCGGUCCCUCCUGGUUGGGUCAUACCUAAUAGUUAUAUCCCCAAUACUCACCCUACUCCGAAACCUCAUCGAUGUCUCCCUCGCCAGCAACUACUUCUCCGCAAAGUGCUCUGUGUAUAUUUAGUGCAUUUCGCAAAGUUUGCUCGAACUAAUGUUCAGAUUCAUCCAUAGUUUAUAGAGUAGUAGUACGUGCGUACUGGUGAUCAGUCGACGACCAUGCAUGUGUGUCUGUGUGAGAUGUGCUUAAUCAUGCAGGGUAUCAUCUGCGUCCUCCGCACUGCCAAUCUGCUCCUCGUCAGCCUCGAGUGCUGUAGUGUGCUCGUAGCCACCGCCAGCGGGGUGGACGGCGUGUUCAACGUCGAGGACUACGGUGCUCUCGGCGACGGGACCACGGACGACACCAAGGUACGCACGCGCCCGCUCUCCGUCGAUAAUACUGGCGUAUACCAGAUGGCCGGAUGUGUGUUGACUAUGUGUACCGUGUGCGAAGGCCUUCGUGGACGCAUGGGCGGCGGCGUGCGACGCCACUGGCUCGUCGUCGACGCUGCUCGUGCCGGCGGCAAAGUCAUUCCUCGUCGGCCUCACCAGGUUUAGUGGGCCAUGCGCCUCCACUAGAAUCACCGUCCAGGCACACACCGCUCGUCCGUCCUUUCUGAUCUGGGCCCGACUAAGUCUUUUUACUGGAGUCGGGAGCUACCGGUGGAUAAUCUGCCGUUCAGUUGCUUUCUCUGAGAUUCGUGCCAGGUUUUUGUGUAUAAAGUAAAAAUAAUUUAUUAUGCAAUACAAACAGUAGACAAAGGAAUACAUCUGUGCAUGUUAGAUGUGUGGCAGCUUUAGAUGUGACUUAGUGGGUGACUGCUUAAAAGAACGGCGCAUGAGUUCUCUCCCCCAAACAAAGUAGUUGCAUUUUAUUUGCAGGUCAUAUUUCGAAUGGUUAGCAGCUUAUGAACCAAAUUUCCAUUAAUGAAUUUUUUUGUACAUUUGAAUUCAAGGUGAUAAGACCUUUAAAACAAGACCGGUCUUGGAUACAAUUUGGCUAGAUUGAAUUUUUACUGUUUCAAUUAAUUUCACAUUACAAAAAAUACGAUUUUACUCAUUUCAAUAAACAGAGUUUACUCAUUCUGAAAAAGUUAUUUCACUAAUUUGAAAUACGGAUUUCACUCAUUUACAAAUUGAUUUUAUUAUUUCAAAAUAAUAUUUCAUUUAUUUCAAAAAACUGAUUUCACUCAGUUGAAAAAACUCAUUUCACUCAUUUCAGAGAACACAUUAGAUUCACUCAUUUGAAGUACUAUAUUCCACUCGUUUUAAAAACUUAUUUCACACAUCACAAAAAAAAUUAUUUUCAAACUUUGUUUCACUCGUUUCAAGAAACUAAUUUCACUUAUUUCAGAAAACACAUUACAUUCAGACAAUUGAAAUACUAUAUUUCACUUGUUUCAAAAGGUGAUUUUGCUCGUUACAAAAGAUAGAUUCCGCUCAUUUCACUAGUUUCAGAAAACACAUUACACUCACAAUAUACAUAAAUAAAUCAGGAUUUGUCACAGAAAAAAAUAUUUCAAUUAAAAAAGUAUUUAACUCAUAUAAAAAAUAUCAUUCAAACACAUAUUUAUGUGCAAUAAUUAAAAUCUAUGAAAUUAGUGAAAUUAUAUUUUUGAACUAAGUGGGAUCUAUGAAAAUAGCUACUUUUUGAAAUGUGUGAAACAUGUUAUUUUUAAAUCUGACUGACAUAAGCAGUUUCACACAGAGUGAAAUAACAUGUUUCAUAUGUUCCAUAUAUAGAGUGAAAUGAGUUUCGAACACUGAAAUAAGCAGUUUCACACAGAAUAUAUAGAGUGAAAAUAAGUUAACUGGGAUGUUGAAAAUUAAAUGUAUUUGAAAUGUAUCCAGAAUUGAUCUUGUUCUAAAGGUCUUGACACCCGGAGGUCAAAUAUAUAAAAUAUUUCACAUAUGUAAUUUUGGUUUAAAAAAAAUUAACAGUUGAAAAUGUCAAAUGAAAUUUAAAAGGGUACCUUUGUUAUGGGAGCCAGAGGAGGAGAGUAUGUCUGAACCAUGCAUGCAUCAUACUGACACAAAGUGCUGACAAGAAUUGACAAGACAUUUCAUACAUGAUAAUGUUCAACAGAAUACAGAGGAAUACUAGUAUGUAUGUAGACAGUAUGCACCAAUCUUCAAAAAAAUAAGGGUGGAUUUAGCACCGGUAAAAAAGGUUUGCGGAUCUGGGCCGUGUUUCGGCUUCAUCUGACGGUCUGGAAAACUUGCUUUGGUUGUCGCAGGCCAUGGGCACGAUUGCGGCGCCGCCGGCGGGCGCAUGGAGCGAGAAGAAGAACUAUUGGCUGAUGUUCUACCAGAUCAACGGGCUCACGGUUACCGGCAACAGCACCGGGCCACCGGCUUGCUCGACGGCAGAGGCGAGACGUGGUGGAGCGAUAAAUGCAAACACGGUGAUGAUGUGAGCCCAAGUCAACUCUCAGGCCUUGUUCGGUUACACCACUCCAUAAGAGGAUUGGAGGGAAUUUGAGGAGGUUUUGACUUGUAGGGGACUAAAUCCACUUCAAGCCCUGCCAAACCCCCUUCAAAUCCCCCUCAACCGAACACAACCUUAAGGAAUUUCUGCAAUUCCUCCUUGCAUUUGGCAAGUGCCUUUUGAUUUAUCAAUCUUCUUCGGAGAAGUCGAUAUUUUCUUUCAGGAUUAUGUAACCUCCUCCUCGACGCCGCCGGCGACCCUGCUGCGCCUGCACCUCCACCGCUGAGCCGCAGCAGCCGGUGCCGCCUAGUGCUCCACGACGUCAGCUGCCGCGCGAGCCCCGGCGAGCUGCUCGCCAUCAUCGGCCCCAUUGCUAGCAAGUCCAUGCCGCUCGAGAUCCUCUCCGGCCGCCUUGAGACCAGCUCCUCCCCUCCUACUGACCUUCGCGCCAAUGGCUCGCCUGUGGACGCCACGGGCUGCGGCCGUGCGCCGCCUCUGCGGCUACGCCACCCAGCACGACGUCGUCUUCCCGCUGCUCACAGUGCGCGAGACGCUCCACUUCAGCGCGCGCCUCCGCCUCGGCCCGGACGCAUAGGACCCCGCCGCGGUUGACGCGCUCGUUGACGACCUUGCGCUCGCUCGCGUCGCCGAUGCCAGGGUCAAGGACCUCUCCGGCGGAGAGCGCCGACGCGUGUCCAUCGGCGUCGAGGCCGUGCGCGACCCCGCCGUGCUGGUGCUCGACGAGCCCACGUCGGGCCUCGACAGCGCGUCUGCGCUCCAGAUCGUGGGCGCGCUCCGGGCCAAGGCCGAGUUGCGCGGGCGCACAGUAGUGCUCAUCAUCCACCAGCCCGGUGCGCGCAUCGUCAAUAUGUUCGACGCCGUGCUCCUACUCGCCGCCAACUCCGUGCUCCACCACGGCUCCGUCGAUGUGCUCCACUCGCUGCUCGCUGGCGUCGGCCUUGGCUCCAUCUUCUACGACCUCGGCGACGACAAGGCGACGGAGCGGGUGGGACAGGUGCACAGCGCGUGCGAUGGGGGUGUGGGUGGCGACCGACGAGGAGGUGCUCCGGCGGGAGUGGAUCGGGGAGGAGUGUCGGUGGGAAGCAACAGUUUUAUCACUGGCAAUUUUGCAAAAAAAACCCUGCUUCCCUGCGUAUUCAAGCGGCUUAGAGGACCUGGCAGUCAAAGCAUGCGUGGCGAGCAUUGACGCGGGCAGAUCAGCGUAUACGUACAUAAAAUCGUAUAUAUGGACGGAAGUGAACCCUUAGAGCAAGUAUUUGAAUGGUAUUUAAGAUAUUUUGAAGUAUACUGACUGAAGUGUCAGCCGGCUGAAGUUUUGGGACGUACGAUAAAUUUUUGGGCGCUUAUAGGCGCCGGCGCACCGGCCGAAACUUUCGGCCGGUCCAGCCCAGGCCAUCGGAUGUGAGCCAGGCGGCCGUUGGAUCCAGGCAAAAAAAAAAAUAGAUCACCCCCAGCUUCUUCUUCCUCGCGCAGGCGGCCUGGAUCCGCAUCUCCCGCUCGGGGAGCACGACGCCGCGCCUCUGUCCCCUCCGGUGGUCGUCCCCGUCGUCAGUCCCCACCCUCGCCGGUCAUCCUCGUCACCCACCGGACCCCGCCCUCGCCGGCCGUCCUCGUCAAUGGUCCCCCACCCUCCCGGCCUCGUUCUCGCCUCGACCAAUGCACCAGCUCCACCUACGAUUGCAGCUCUUGACGAUGAAGGUUGUAGCUCCGCCGCCCUCGCCAUUGAUGCUCGCUGCAGGAAAAAUACGUCGACGGCGGCCGUGAGUCAAUCAACACCAUUUGAAUGGAUGUAGCAAAAAAUUUCACCGGUGGUAGCAAAAUCAAACUAUGGGUGCAGCAAAAACGACGUCGCCACCUUCGCGAGGUCGCAGCUCCGCCUUACAUGGAUGUAGCAAAAACCUCCAACGGUAGUAGCAAAACCCUGCUACCGUUGCAGCAAAAAAAUCAUUGUCGUCCUUGCGAGGUCGCAGCUCUGCCUGAUGGAUGUAGCAAAAAGCUUUGCCGGUAGUAGCAAAAUCCAACAACGAUUGCAUCUUUCCCUUGUUGUGCAGUGCCAUUGAAGCUUUCUAUGUCUAUGGUUGAAGCUUUUUUCAACGGCUGUUGAAGCUUUUCUAGGUGACGGUUGCAACACUUGUAUACGCGGGAGGAUCCGGGCAUGGCUGCAGGCAGCCAUGGCGGUCGGUGAGGGAGCGCUUGGCCGCCGGCGAUGGAGCUUGUGGUGGCCCAAACACAGCCCGGAAGGAGGGGGGAGGGGAUGCGCGCGCGUGAAUACUGUAGGUAGGGGGUGGACGUGUCGUGCGCGUGGGGAAAUCGCCGGCCGUGCAGUGGACGGCGGCCUCGCCGGGGAGAUUGGGCUGCCGCAGGUAGAGGGUCGAUGCGGGGGUAGACGGCGGCCUUGCCGGUGAGACUGGGCUGCGGCGGGGUAGGGACGCGAUGCGGGGGUGGACGGCGGCCUCGCCUGCGAGAUUGGGCUGCAGCAGAUGGGGUGCGGAUGUAGGUCUCAUCGACACAGGAGCACGAGGUAGCGGGCGACCGGUCGAAGCUUCGGCCGGCGCACCAUCUCCAAACGUUUCCCUAAAUUUUUCUCUAUCAGCUUUCAUUGCCAGCUGACUGCCCUGCGCCCUGCGAUGUUGAUCGAGGAGAGAGUUUUUUUAGAUGUAGUACUAGGAGAGAGUGGUUCCGAACAAGCUAGCAGAGCCCGCCCCGUGACCCUCGUGUCGCCCUCUGGCGACUCAGGGGCGAAACCCUACCGCCGCCACCUUAGUACUCUUGUACUCCAACCCGUCUCGCCGCCGCCAGAGGCGCCCGCCCGCGAAGCUCGGCUAGGAUCCAGGGACGGCGGCGGCGGGGCGCAUCUCAGACUGACGCGACAUGGCAUCGUUCGCUGCUCGGAGGCGUGGUGUGGUGUUGUCCAUGGUGUGGCAGGCGGAUGAGCCGUGGAUCAACGUCGAUGCGCGGAGGGAAUGCGGUGCGCGACUGCGCGUUCCCGAUGCGUGGUGACGACGCUCCUGGCUUCGCGCAAGAGCGAGGGCAGCCGCGCGUGGUGCUGUUCCGGCUGCAGCGAAGGAAAGGUUGGCCUGUGGUGGUUGAUCCCAAAUUUGAGGCCUUUCCUUUGCUCGAUGGAGACGAGGCACCUUCAGGCUGCUAGGAGAGCAAGCGGCCAGUUGGUUGGCUGGAUUGGGAAUCAACUUCAUUGUCCGGCCGAUCGCUGGAGUUCCCUUGCGCCGGCUAGCCAAUUAGCAUGGGUGUUGAUUGGCGGCGGCGCUGCAUAUCGGAUCUGGCACGAGGCUUCGGGUGAUUCCCCCCGUGUGGUGGCCGGCCGGCGGCGCUGCAGGUGAUCCAGAUCUGAUCGGCCUGAUGGUGAUGACUGCAUAUACUGCAGCGACUUCCUACGGUUCCACGAUGGCGUGGUCAUCGAAAGGACUUCAGGAGGGUUCAUCUCUCCUUAUCCAGUUGAUGACUUCAGCGGUGAGAUACAAAUUAUGGACGACGGCUUGACGCAGAGGGAUGGUGAUGCAGUGGCGGCAGUUGCCUCGCAUGUAGCUGCUGGGAUCGUGGAAAAGUGGUGGCGACCACACAUGCAUGACUUCGAUGGUGGUGCUAGAAGCACCCGGUCUUGAGCUCCAGGGCGAAAGCCUAGGUCAGACCCGAGUGGCUAUACCUGGCAUUGACGAUGUUUUUUCACGUCGUGACCUUGUUGAAGGCAUUGCUUGGAUAUGCUCAGACUGAUUUUUCAGGGUGAAAACCUAGAUUCUGGCCUUCGGUUGGAUCCGGUGACGGCGACGCUUGAGUGUCGCUCCCUUUUUGAAGGCGUUGCUGUUGAAGAACCUCGUCGUCCAUGUGGUGUCAUGAAAUGAUUGGUGUGGAUAUGGUUGUUGUUGUAGUUUGUCGAUCGCAGAUCUGAUCGCCUUGGGCUUUUCUUUUUUCCACGCCUACGCAUGGCUUUGGUCAUAUAUGACUUUGCUAAUUGUAAGUGUGUUUUUCUCGUGUGUGUGUGUGUGAGUUGGUGUCGGCUGUGUGCAUCCUAACUAUGCAGAGGCCGGGUGUGUGCUCAUUGUGUUUUGUAUCUUCUUGAUGCUUCAUUUUAAGCUAAUAAAAUCCACCCUUUGUCGAAAAAAAAGAGAGAGUGGUUCCGUGGGCCAGAAGUACAAGAAGACCCCCAGUUUGGUGAGCCGCUAGAUACAUGGAUCAUUACAAAGGCUAUUUUUUUUCUAGAUAAAGAUGGACUAACAAAAGAAAACAAGAUAAAAAUGAACCGGACCGAACACCUCUCUCCCUAGUUGCCUGGGAUCUCUAGCCCUCGCCGAAGAUCUCGACCUACAAAGGAUCCAUGUUGCAUCAGACUGUAAGGUUGUAGUGGAUGACAUCAAGCACAGGGCGUCGGCUAGCUACGGUGAUAUCUUACAUGAAAUCAUAGACCACUGUAACUCUUUUGCUUUUUGUAGUUUUGGUCAUGAGUUUAGGAGCUCGAUUUCGGAGCUCAUAAUCUAGCGAAGCAUGUCAUACGGUUAGUGUGGGCCGCCAUGUUUGGUUGGGCAACCCCCGUGAUCUCUCUUUUAUACCUAUAAACAUUGGUCCGAGUUAAUAAAGCUUCGCGAGAUUGUCUAAGAAAAAGUAGUUGCUUGUAUCCCAUGAACUUCGUUUCUAUUUCUAAAAAAAAAAGAACUUUGUUUCUGAUUAAUAAAGCGGGAUGUAUUUAGACUGAAACAAACUAGUUGCCUGAGGAACCUUUGAUGCACUAGUUACCUCGCACGAGUUAUUUCUCGCACGUGGUGUGGCGACAUUGGGCCGGUCUAGUAGUGUAGCUGCCUUGUGAGGUUUUUCCUGUUGUUUUCUUUGUUGUUUCUGUUUAGGAUUUAAUUAAUUCUGUUAAUCCCUACUUUUUCUAAAAGAGACGGUUGCGUGUCCUUUCGAAGACACCCGUUCAAGGUUAUAUAUAUGUGUAACCCAUCAUAAAUGAAGACAAGGAUUCACUUUUACGUCUCUUUCGUCUUUCGUUUUACUCUCUAACACGUUAUCAGCCUCGACGCGGAAGACCAAGGCCGGCGAUGUCCCGAAGGGUCUCCAGCGGAGCGAUUUUCACGACGGGCUCCCCCGCGAGAAACACCGAACCGGUGGUAGUCCACACCUCUGCAAAGUGGCACGGCGGCACAUGGUCGCGCGGCCUCAACCUCACGCACCAGCCCGAGGCGUUCACCAGGCAGGCGCGGCGAGGCUCUCGAUCUGGGAUGAAACGAGGAGCCAGGCCUCCAAGAACAACAAAAAUAAAAAAGAACAGGGAAGUUGGCAUCCAUUGAUCGAAGAUUGAAUGACUCAAUCAAGAUCGGAUAAGUGAGGAGGCCAAUUCCAGUGCCCGACGCCCGCGGCCAACUCUAGUGCCCGGCUCGCUUCCAAGGCUACAGGAACAACGCGCGUGGCGGCCAACUCCAGUGCCCGACGCCCGCGGUGGCUCCCGACUCCGGCGACUCCGCGCCGCGCCCCGCCCCGCGCAGCCCGGCCUCCGCGUCGUGCCCCUGCGCUCCUCCCGUGGCUGCGCAGCGCCCGGCUGCCUCCCGGCAGCCCGCGCCCCGCGCUCGUCCGCCAGGCCGCCGCGCCGUGCCCGUGGCCGGCCUGCCCACCCACGCCCGGCAGCGCUCCCGCGCUCUGCCCAGCGGCUGUGGCCGGCGAGCCCGAGGGGCGAGGACAGUUGCAGUAACCGCACGGGAGAAGACAGGCAAACCUUAUCCUUUCACCAUUUUGCACUAUGAUCCCUGUAUUGCAGGAGUUAGCAAAAUAGGCUAAAACAGUGGUCACGUCCGAUUUUUGCAACAAUACAAUUCCAUUUCUGGAAUUUUUGAGAAUCGGUUCGGAUAACUGUAUACUAUUUACUACUCCCUCCGUUCGGAAUUACUUGUCGUAGAAAUGGAUAUAUCUAGAUGUAUUUUAGUUCUAGAUACAUCCAUUUCCGAGACAAGUAAUUCCGAACGGAGGGAGUAGUAUUUACCUGUUUUUGACCAUGUUGUUUAUAAAUAAUUAUUUUUCUGUUGAGUAUUGUUCUCCAGAAUAAAAUUAUGGUAUAAAUAAUUUUCAUGCUCACAUAUGUUGAGAUUAUUUAUAACUAUUAUUUGCAAUUGAGAUUUUCUUUUAUCUCUUGCAAAGAUAAAUCCAGUACCUCUACAGUACUGAUUUGCGAUUGAGAAUUUUCUUCUCUCGCAAAACAAUCUCAUUGUGAUUGAGAUUAAUUUUCUCUCGCAAAAUAUUAAUUCACUUUGCUGAAUUAUCUUGCAACUUGAUACAACAUCAUCUCAUUUAAUUUGAGGUCUAUACAAUUCAAGUUCUCACUUGAACAUCAAGUUUACAACAUCAUUACUAUUCAUUACAAUAGUAGUGUAUUUCCGUUGAGUACGAUGUAUUCCGGGAUGUAUGUAUCUCCAUGUUCGCUACAUGUCGAGAUUAAUAUGUUUAUUUACAAUUGAGAUUUUCAAUUUGUUACAAAUACAUAUACAAAAUUGAUGGUGUCACCCUUAGCAAUUUGAUAUUCACACUGAUGAUUUCGAGCCACCUUCUUGACAUCUAUUAAUUUUGCAACAAUAAGAUGUAUUUAUAUUACGCAAUCUGUAAUAUAAAUAAAUUACCGAUUUUUCACCGGGAAUGAUAUGUUUUAUGUGUUUACCACAUUGACGUUCUUCAUGAACAUGUCACAGCGGUCGAGGUUGAUUUUUCCCGCACAACAAACUUGUAAAAUUUUGACAAUAACAUCUCCCUCAUUAUAUUAGGAAAACACAAGGUGAUGAGUUGGAUCUACUGCCCAUGUGUAGACUAUCUCUAUUACUAUGAGAUCUGUAUGGUCUUCAAUGUGUUUAUGUUCCCACAAUUGAGGUUGAGCAUUUUUAAGUUAUACACUUGAGUCAAAAUUUUGCACUCUUAUUACAAAACCAUGAUGGUUUUUAGUUUACUUAUUGUAAAUAAAUUAUCUCUGGCUUGCCCUUAUAAGUAAUCGAUGCCUAACAAUUUGAGGCACUUGCCCUCAAUGGCCACAACUUACUUAAGCGGGUCAUGGACAUCAAAAUCAGUCUUGCAUCCCAUGGGAUAGCGCGUGCAAUCCAAGCCACGCCACCGGGAUGUUGAGGACCUCAAGGGUAAUGAUUUGAAACUCACUUCAAACCCUCAACCUGACACCAUCAAGCUGUCACGAGACCCUAUGAGCAUGGAGAUCAUGAUGAUUGAAUAUGCAUCAACCGACAUGUUUGGAGACUAUACAUUUAGUCCCUUAGUCUCCUUAGUGAUCUAUUUAUUUAUGUCCAUUUAUGAUGUUCUAAUAAGAACAUGAUUAUUGUUGUCAUCAUAUAUUGUAUAUCACAAUAUAUUGUAUCAGCACUUUGAUACAAAUACAUUUGUAUGUAUUCUAUAUAUCUGAUAGUGAUUUUCAUAUUGAGAAUCUUCAUGUCUAUAUAUAGAUUUCUGCGGGAGUCAACCGGACUAAAAUGAUAUGUGUCUUGUGGACAUAUGCACCACAAACUCUAUACUAAGGGAAGUCCAAUGUUUCCACUCUCAUUGAGAGAAAGGAGAUAUUUUAAAAUCGCUAGACGCGAUGAGGUAUUUGUUGGCUCAACUCGGGUCAUAUUUACCAUCCCUGUGGGUACUCGAGUAACAUCGGGAUGCUUUAUUGCUUCCCAGGUUUAACUCGUACCCUACUAAAUUAUGGAGGUAUCCGUCAAAAUAGUUUCCAUAGCGAAACUUAUGAUGACAACAAAGAGAAAUAACUUCUCUUUACCACAUGCAACGGAUAUGACAAGCACAUUCUCUGUGUAUCAUCUGGAUUGUACUACACAUAUGACACAACCCAUAGCACAUGUUGCGUACGAGAUAGUUUUUCAGAGCGUCUUGUACAUGACAAACUUGACAUACUUGCCUCGAUCAUCGAGACAUUGGGUUGAAACCAGAACUAUCAUCAAUUCCAAUAGUUUAUGGUUAUUAUGAUGCCAAAUUCUAACAACAUUUGGAUUUUAUGUGCACUACAAGUGACACAGGAAAGCUAAUUUUAAGGCUCGCAGACCUUAAAGUCUACGCUGAACCACUCAAACUCCUUGAAUGCAUCAAGUUGAGGUAAGUGGCUCUUCCCAUCAAUUGACUAGACUAUUCAGGUAUCCCAUGGUUCUAAAAGACAUAUCUAAAUGAUGGUCUUAAGUGUGUGUUUUAUUCACAUGAAACCAUCGGUUCAUUAUCCUGAUAUCGAUUUCAAGCAAAUUGAAUGGAUAACAUUGCAGAAUUAUCCUUGAGUGCCUUCUCUAUGGCCCUUGGAUUGAAGCUUAGCAAUUUGUCCUAAUGUCUAGACUCAAAAUGGUUUGGUAGAAUCUCAUCCAAAGAGUUAAGCUCAUUGCAUUAUCUUUACUUUGGAAUUGCAACUUACCGACUUUACAUUGAAGUCAUGCAGUUUUACACGCUCAUGACAGAACUACAUAAUAUUAUCCCCCUCUAUCUUUGAUAUGUGGAUAUCUAUCAAGUAUUUCCUAUCUGCGGUAAUUCGGUUGGAUACCGAUAUCACCACCCGGCAUACAUCAUUGGCUCCUCAACAUAUAGUUGGGAUCUAUGUGAGGAAUAACUGUAUUUGCGUUGAUACCUCAAGCCCCUCGCAUGGGGAGUUAUUUAAGGCCAGUGUGCUGAUUCAAUGAGGAACAUUUCCAGGCAUUAGGGGGAGACUUCAAGUACCAUAAAGAAUGCCAGGAAAUUAGUGGAAUGUUCAACACAUUUCUGCCUCAAAUCCACGUACUCAAAGAUCUGAACCAUGCGUUCAGAAGAUUUGCAACACAUCGCAAAUAACCUGCCAGAUUCAUUUACUGACUAUAAAGGUGUCAUACAAUCCUAAAAUCUUGCAAAAGUAUGCCUGAAAGAGUGGAGGUACCAGCACACUCCUCGUUCAAAGCAACAGGGGGAGAUGUAUGGCAGAAAUACAUCAGGAUUCAGCUUCUCGCAAGCAAGGAUAUCAAGGCCUGUAAAUCAGUAAAUGCAAGUCAAUUUCACAUUGACAGACACCUAAUGGGUAGUAUACACCCAGUGGCGGGAAACCUCCACCAAUCCAGGUCAUAGUGCACACAAUGACCAGGAUAUCAGAAUACCCGACUCAAUCGCAUUGGGAAAUCGCGAGAAGUCACUACGGGUAACGAUAUUUUCAUCAACUAUAUAUUGAUAUAUAGAUUAUGGAGAAUCAUAUAACCGGAAGUAAACAAUUGCCGACAUACAUUUCUCAACUAGAUUGCAAAACCUUACAAAUGAUUCAGAUCCAAAGACCAUGGCCAUGGCAAAGUGUGAUCAACACUCGGACUGAACUCAAGCAAAGGGUAUAAUCUAGGUAGAAAUGAUCUUGCUCAAUAAUGAGAAGGUAUUCAUAAGCAAUAACUACACCAGUUUUCUUCUGGAAACAGAAUUGAGAACAACGAGGUGGUGAAACAAAGAGCAAGUAUUGUAGCAGAAGGGUUCACGCAGAUACCCAACUAUUCUCCAGAGGUGGAAUCUCAUUUCGAUAACUUAUAUCAUUGGCGGUUCAAAAUCAUCUAUCUCUGCAGUUGAUAGAUGUAGUGAUCACAUAUCCAUGUGGAUCACUAGAUUCCGACAUAUAUGAUUGAUUUUCGAUGAAAUCUCAAUUCUGAAUCGAAAUACAAAAUGCAACAUACAUUGUGUAAAAUCGGUAAGCCACCAUACGGCUUAUUGUUGUCGGUGCAUAUGGUACAACCGACGUAGUGAGAUCCUUAUACACAAGGAUUACUUCUACAAUGAUGAUUAUCCAUGUGUUGUGUGUCUGCAAUGACAACACAUGUAAUCAUCUAAGUGACGGACUUUAAAAUGGAGGAUUUGGGUAAACCAAAAUACCGCUCGUUACUAUAACUUGAGCACCUUCAUUCAUGCAUUAUGGUAUACUAUGUUGUCUAUAUCCAAAAUAUAUUGGAGAAAUUCAUUGUGGACAAAUCUUAUCUACCCAUAACUCUCAUGGUAGUUCAUUCUCUAGACGUAGAGAAAGAUCUAUUAGACCAAGAGAUGAUGGAAAUGGGAUAUUGGGACUCAACGUUCCAUAAUGCCAUUGGAUCCACCAAACACAAUUGGUUGGUACUCAAGAAUAUCUUUCGAUAUCUCCAAGGCAUCUUGUCCUGGUUUUUUAGUUUCGGAGAAAUCUGAACACCAAUAUCAUUGGUUACAUGGAUCAGAUCCCCACUAUCAGAUCAUAGACAAGUUUAGUGUUCCUACUAGGUGUGGUAGCCCUCUCAUGAAGAGUCUUCAAAUCAUACCUCAUGGCUACAUUCACCAACCAUUAUCUCAACGAUAAUGUUUCUUGUGUUGCUCGGAUGCAAAUAGGUUACAUAAUAAGCAAUAUCACUAUAUUGCAUAUAUUGCAAGUCAAAUCAUGCGACUGAUUUGUUCAGCGGGUCUCUACCAAUUUCUAUGUUUUGGUAUGUGACGGCUUCAAUUUUUUUGCAAGAAUCAGGGGGAGUAUCUUCCUGAAUUGUUCCUGUUCAAUGCAUCAUAUUAUACUCUUUUUCCCUUCAUGAGUUUACUUUACAGGUUCUCAUAAAGGUUUUUAAUGAGGUAAUAUCAACAUGAGAUCAUAUGUCAUACUUUCUGUUUUCCACACCGGGGUUUUUAGGAAAGUAUAUACGACAUAUUUAUUGUCCUCUAAACUGUAUGGAUUUUCUUGUAUUGAGUUAAAAGAGACAAUAACCAUUAUAUGUUGCAUCAUUUUCUCCUUAUUUUUCCACUGGGUUUGAAGGAGUUUUAGCAACAUAUGGAACACAUAUCUCCUCAUAUUUUCCCAUAGGGUUUUUGGAGAAGCUUCUAAAGAUGAUGAUACUUACACUAACAAGCAUGGAUUAGAGGGAGUGUUAGGAUUUAACUAAUCCUGUUAAUCCCUACUUUUCCUAAAGGAGGCGGUUGCCUCGUGUCCCUUCGGAGACACCCCUUCGGGGGUUAUAUAUAUGUGUAACCCAUCAUCAAUGAAGACAAGGAUUCACUUUUACAUCUCUUUCUUUUGUCUUUCGUAUUACUCUCUAACAGUUUCUUCACUGUUUUGCAUCCAUUCUCUUUGAGUUUUCUCUGGACUUAUUUGUUUUUUUACUCCCUUCGUUCACUUUUGUAAAACGUUUUAGACAUUUAAGACAACACCUAAAACAGUUCAGUUUCAGCUCUCUUAAAUGACUUACAAAAGUGAACAGAGGGAGUAUUUUUUUCUACGGUUUCCUUUGUUUCCUUCUUUAGUUUUUUUUGCGAGGUAAUACAUUUCUCAUUCAUAAAAUAAAGAUCCGGUUACAAGACACGUAAUCACCGACAUUAUAGUACUUAAAGGAUAGGAUAAUCCUACAGAAAAAACCAGCGCCUGUUCCUCUCCUUCGGCAUCACCGAAGCGACCACCAAGAGAGAGAAGACAAAUCACCUCUUCACCCGAGCUCGACGCGACUCCAUCGCUGAUCUGCAACUUUAUGAACCUUCAAAGUAGUUUGCCAAAAGCAAAACCAUUGCCGUUGAAAGAAUCAGACCGGGGCAACGUGUCCCCGGGCAUGCGAUCGAACUCCAGACCUAACAUCCCCGUACGACUACAACGUCGGAGGAGAAAACCAGAGUUGUUAACCUCCAACCACACACCCAACACAUGAUGCACCAUCUUCCAGCUGUCAACUGCGCAGGCCGCCGUCUGCGCGUACUCCCGAAUGACAAAACCUCCCUGCUCCACCAUGACGUCGGAGACAACACCACAGCAACGGGGACAGAGCAGAAGGAGAGACACACCUGAUGGAGUCGCCACCACCGCCUCGUCGACACCAUCCAUGAACCCUAACUUCGCCGAUCUGAAGGAUCGGCAAACACACGAUGCCAUCAACUUCGAGACGUCGCCAUGAAGGACACCGUCAGUGUGGGAGUGGAGCUGAGGCAGAUUUAUUUGUCCGGACGCCGCACCCACCACCCCAACGACGCACCACGACAUACAAAACCAAAACCUAACUACAGAGAGGAGGAACGGGGUCCCCCCUCCCUCCCACCGUCGGAGCAGCAGACGAAGGGAGAGGGGACCAACGAUCUCGCCGGUGAAGAUCGGUGGUAGGCUGGUCGCCUGCCUGGUCGCCGCUCCUGGCGGCUAGGUCAGGGAAAAUGAUUUUCCUUCUUCAGUUUCUUUCAGGGGGGUUUUCAACACAUGUCUAAUUUUGUUCCAUACACAUACUACUUUUUUAUACAUUAGGAACAUUUCUUAUAAAUGUUUAUCUUUCCAAAUACAAGAUUAACACUUUUUCAAAUAUAUGUUUUGAUUUCUAUUUUUUCAAUACAUUUUGUACAUUUUUGGUAUACACGUGAAAUAUUUCUUUGAUACAUAUUGAACAUUGUUCAGAUACAACAUUUACAUUUUUUUCAAAUACAUGUUUAAAAAAAUCCAAUAUGUGCGAUACAUAUUGAACUUUUUUUAAUGGAAUGAAACAUCUUCUUCUAAUUGCGCAAACCUUUUUUACAUUGUAUUAAUAUUAUAUUAAAAUAUCAUGAUCAUACUGUUUGAAACGCGUGAAGAUUUCUGUAAAGUCUCACGUACAUUUUUUAAUUGUAUGAAAUAUUUUUUGUAAUGUGCAGACACCUUCCAUUGUAUAAUUUCUUUAAUGUCACAAACAUUUUUUAGAAAUCAGUGAACAUUUUUAAUGUACAUUUUUUUAUGCCAUCCACAUAUUUAAAGUAGAGCGAACAUCUUUUUAAAAUUNNNNNNNNNNCAGAUGUGUGUGUGUAUAUAUAUAUAUAUAUACAUACAUAAAUUUUAUCUACAAGCAGUGAUAGUUACCACCACCUUCUUUGGCCUCCACGUGUUCCUCUUCCCCUCCCUCAAACGUGGAAUCAAGUCAGCCGGGUAAAUGGAUACUGUUAACGGGUGCCCAUGCAAUUAGUAGGCAGAAACUAAUUCGGUUUUUAUAAUAAAAUAAUCCGGCAAGUUGGUGACAGGCUGUUGCAACCACCUCCUUAAUCCAUGCGUGUGUACAACAAUUUUUCCAUCGGAUAAGCAUACGAACGUGAUAUUAUUGCACUGUAGAUGGUAAUUUUUUAUCCAGAUUACAUACUUAGUUUUUUAAGUAUUUUUUAUUGGAAAUAGGUAGUAUGGGAAUAUAUAACUCUUUUUGGAUUCUUCUAAUAUAGUACGAAAUGUAUUGCCCAUUUUAAAACCGCAUAGAGUAUACUCAUGUAUACCUGUAGGCUGUAGUAUGGAGUUUUUUUUUGAGGAUCUGUAGUAUGGAGUAUGAACAUGUAAUGAUUGUAGUAUGGAAUAUGCACUACUAAUCUAAAAUUGGAGUACGAAGUAUAACCAUUUGAUUAUUGGAGUAUGGAGUAUUAACACCAAGCUGGAGUAUGGAGUAUUAAAACCCUUUUACGUGUAUGUGUCCCAAAAAAGUAGUAUCUCGUGUGUAUGUUCGUUUUAGAAUUAUGGUGCGUACUGAAGGAAAUAUGCCCUAGAGGCAAUAAUAAAGUUAUUAUUUAUUUCCUUAUAAUCAUGAUAAAUGUUUAUUAUUCAUGCUAGAAUUGUAUUUACCGGAAACAUAAUACAUGUGUGAAUACAUAGACAAACAAAGUGUCACUAGUAUGCCUCUACUUGACUAGCUCGUUAAUCAAAGAUGGUUAUGUUUCCUAACCAUGAACAAUGAGUUGUUAUUUGAUUAACGAGGUCACAUCAUUAGCAGAAUGAUCUGAUUGACAUGACCCAUUCCAUUAGCUUAGCACCCGAUCGUUUAGUAUGUUGCUAUUGCUUUCUUCAUGACUUAUACAUGUUCCUAUGACUAUGAGAUUAUGCAACCCCCGUUUACCGGAGGAACACUUUGGGUACUACCAAACGUCACAACGUAACUGGGUGAUUAUAAAGGAGUACUACAGGUGUCUCCAAUGGUCGAUGUUGGGUUGGCGUAUUUCGAGAUUAGGAUUUGUCACUCCGAUUGUCGGAGAGGUAUCUCUGGGCCCUCUCGGUAAUACACAUCACAUAAGCCUUGCAAGCAUUACAACUAAUAUGUUAGUUGUGAGAUGAUGUAUUACGGAACGAGUAAAGAGACUUGCCAGUAACGAGAUUGAACUAGGUAUUGGAUACCGACGAUCGAAUCUCGGGCAAGUAACAUACCGAUGACAAAGGGAACAACGUAUGUUGUUAUGCGGUCUGACCGAUAAAGAUCUUCGUAGAAUAUGUAGGAGCCAAUAUGGGCAUCCAGGUCCCGCUAUUGGUUAUUGACCAGAGACGUGUCUCGGUCAUGUCUACAUUGUUCUCAAACCCAUAGGGUCCGCACGCUUAAGGUUACGAUGACAGUUAUAUUAUGAGUUUAUGUAUUUUGAUGUACCGAAGGUUGUUCGGAGUCCCGGAUGUGAUCACGGACAUGACGAGGAGUCUCGAAAUGGUCGAGACGUAAAGAUUGAUAUAUUGGAAGCCUAUAUUUGGAUAUCGGAAGUGUUCCGGGUGAAAUCGGGAUUUUACCGGAAUACCGGGAGGGUUACCGGAACCCCCCGGGAGCUAUUUGGGCCAUAGUGGGCCUUAGUGGAAAAGAGAAGGGGCUGCCCUAGUUGGGCUGCGCCCCCCUUCCCCUAGUCCUAUUAGGACUAGGAGAGGUGGCCGGCCCCCUCCUCCUCUUUUCCCCUCCGAGGAAUCCUAGUUGGACUAGGAUUGGAGGGGGAAUCCUACUCCCAGAGGGAGUAGGACUCUCCUGCGCCUCCCCCCCCUUGGCCGGCCAGCCUCCCCUCCCCUCCUCCUUUAUAUACGGAGGCAGGGGCACCUCUAAACACAAAAGUUGACACAAGUUGAUCCACGUGAUCUAUUCCUUAGCCGUGUGCGGUGCCCCCUGCCACCAUAUUCCUCGAUAAUACUGUAGCGGAGUUUAGGCGAAGCCCUGCUGCUGUAGUUCAUCAAGAUCGUCACCACGCCAUCGUGCUGACGAAACUCUUCCCCGACACUUUGCUGGAUCGGAGUCCGGGGAUCGUCAUCGAGCUGAACGUGUGCUCGAACUCGGAGGUGCCGUAGUUUCGGUACUUGAUCGGUUGGAUCGUGAAGACGUACGACUACUUCCUCUACGUGGUGUCAUCGCUUCCGCAGUCGGUCUGCGUUGGGUACGUAGACAAUACUCUCCCCUCGUUGCUAUGCAUCACGUGAUCCUGUGUGUGCGUAGGAAAUUUUUUGAAAUUACUACGAAACCCAACACGUACAACAUACUAUACUAUAGUAUGGAGUAUAUUUACAAAUUUUCACAUAGAAGUUUUUCUUCACAAAGAGUAUGGGUGUAUGUAUGUAUAUAUAUAUAUAUAUAUAUAUAUAUAUAUAUAUAUAUAUAUUUCAAAAAAAGAGUAUGUAGUAUAUCUUUUUCAUGUAGAUAUAGUUUUUUUAGUAUGUAGUAUGUAGUAUGUUGUAGGUAGUAGUAUAGAGUAUAUGUGCAUAUAAAAAGGUUGUAUGUCCUGGCAAAAAAAGAAGAAGAAGAAGAAGUAUGUAUGGAGUAUACAUAUAGGAGUACCGUGAACGUGAUUUACAAUAGUGUAUCUACAUAGACAUCUAGCUAAUGCAUCCGAUCAGAUCAGUAUGAAGUAGUACACGGCACCUAACGGCAUGCAUGUACAUGAUGCAGACGUGAUGCCAUGCAUGGAUCAUCGGAAGAUCUCAAUGGGAGGUUCCCAUGAUCUCCGCCACCGUACAUCAUUAGCGGCGCCGUCAUCGUGCGCUGUAUGUUGCCCUUACACCGCUGAACUUGUGGACAUGCGGCCAUUCGUCGUCGUUGCCGUCGCAACUAAGUAGGGCUGCAUCUGCGCGUCUGCAGCAGCCGUACGUUGUUCUCGUCGCAGCUGACAUGCCGAUAGUCGCCUGUUAGUUUCUGCGCCUCCUAGGUAUUGACACCGUCGGCAAACACUCGAAUGUAGGAGCAGCAUCAAUCCAUGCGUGCCCAAGACAAGACUCAGUGGAAAAAGGGAAUAAAAAUCAGUAUCAUGUAUACAUACGAUUGCUUUUCGAUCCAAUUUCAUACUUGAAACACGUCAUUACAGUUGGCAGGGAUGGGGAAGGACAUGGCCGGAGGCCGGCGCUGGAGAACAUUGGAGCCAUGUCCCGCCUGAUGAUUAAACAAAAGCAUAAUAGGAAAUGAAUCAGCUUCUCACGUAUAUGCAUGUACUUCAGCAGAACAAUGAUUACGUACCUUUUUCCUUUAGCCAUUUUGUUGAAUAUCCGCUGGACAUAGAGAUCUAGUUGGAGAGAGAGAUGAGGUUAUUUUGAUGGCAUGCCUCCAGAUCCAAUCUUAAAUAUAUACAGACGACCAAAACGAGCGGCUAGGCCAAGAAAAUCGGGGGCUCAGCAAACUAAUUAAGCGGGUCCAAAUAAAUCCACCUUGCCCUAGCCGCCCGAUUUUCUUAGUUAGUUUUGGCCCUAGGCCAUGACCCGCUUAAUUAGUUUGCUGAGCCCCCGAUUUUCUUGGCCUAGCCGCUCGUUUUGGCCGUCUGUAUAUAUUUAAGAUUGGAUCUGGAGGCAUGCAAUCAAAAUAACCUCAUCUCUCUCUCCAACUAGAUCUCUACGUCCAGCGGAUAUUCAACAAAACGGCUAAAGGAAAAAGGUACGUAAUCAUUGUUCUGCUGAAGUACAUGCAUAUACGUGAGAAGCUGAUUCAUUUCCUAUUAUGCUUUUGUUUAAUCAUCAGGCGGGACAUGGCUCCAAUGUUCUCCAGCGCCGGCCUCCGGCCAUGUCCUUCCCCAUCCCUGCCAACUGUAAUGACGUGUUUCAAGUAUGAAAUUGGAUCGAAAAGCAAUCGUAUGUAUACAUGAUACUGAUUUUUAUUCCCUUUUUCCACUGAGUCCUGUCUUGGGCACGCAUGGAUUGAUGCUGCUCCUGCAUUCGAGUGUUUGCCGACGGUGUCAAUACCUAGGAGGCGCAGAAACUAACAGGCGACUAUCGGCAUGUCAGCUGCGACGAGAACAACGUACGGCUGCUGCAGACGCGCAGAUGCAGCCCUACUUAGUUGCGACGGCAACGACGACGAAUGGCCGCAUGUCCACAAGUUCAGCGGUGUAAGGGCAACAUACGGCGCACGAUGACGGCGCCGCUAAUGAUGUACGGUGGCGGAGAUCAUGGGAACCUCCCAUUGAGAUCUUCCGAUGAUCCAUGCAUGGCAUCACGUCUGCAUCAUGUACAUGCAUGCCGUUAGGUGCCGUGUACUACUUCAUACUGAUCUGAUCGGAUGCAUUAGCUAGAUGUCUAUGUAGAUACACUGUUGUAAAUCACAUUCACGGUACUCCUAUAUGUAUACUCCAUACAUACUUCUUCUUCUUCUUCUUUUUUUGCCAGGACAUACACCCUUUUUAUAUGCACAUAUACUCUAUACUACUACCUACAACAUACUACAUACUAAAAAAACUAUAUCUACAUGAAAAAGAUAUACUACAUACUCUUUUUUUGAAAAGAAUAUAUACAUAUAUAUAUAUAUAUAUAUAUAUAUAUAGGGAACGGCUUUCCUAUCUACACUAGCACCAGAGUGUGCUAUCGGAACCUUAGGUUUGCAUCAAGAUUCGAACUUCUGUAUGGAUAAGGUUUCUAAUUCUUGCAUUAUUGGAGAUCAUAUUCACAGAAGAGGAAAACAUGUGGGGCUCUUUCUAGGGCUGUGGAUGGAAAUGGCAAGCUAGAUUCUGAAAAGGCGAGCGCUAUUCGUGGAAUGGGGGCAGCUCCUUUACAUCACCUGUCAGCUAGCAUGUUCUAUUUCGAGAAGGCUAUUGUGUGGUUUUGUUUUGUUGCUAGCUUGGAAAGGUUCCAUACAUCUAUACGUUUUAGUAGGUUUCAGUCUGAAAGGUUUCAUUCAAUCUGUGUCUAGGUUCGGCACCUUUUGCUUCUCCUACUUUAAAGUACUCCAUUUGUUCCUACAUGCAUGCAUAGGUUGUGCAUGACUCUGACCAAACACAACGUGGUACUAACACACCGUACUCAGCUAGCACAUGCAAACUAACUAAUCUGAGAUUAAUCAAGAUUAUGCUAUAACCGGCUAGGCAAACGGCGAUGCCUCGGAGAUACCCGGUUGUGGACGCCGACGAGCGCUCAGUAUCAAUACUGUUUGAUGACGUGCUGGAAGUGUUCUAUCAUCCAGGGAUGAUGUGAGUGUCGGUUUUCUAUGCUUUCAUUUCCGAGUCGUUUUUCAUUUUUGUGAUGAUUUUGAUGACUGUCCAACCCCUAAACAGUGAGUUAGAGAAUGACCCUUCAUCAUGUGUGAUACAAACUCAAACUGGGGCGAUUGCGGGCCAACUCAGGUUUAAUCAUUUCACGUGCACUAGCAAUUAAUUCAUCAUUUCGGGUGCUUAUUACUCACACCCGCCAAACACAAAAAUGUUUCAGGUCCGUUAUUGGAGCUCUCAGUUUUUCGUUAAUGCCAUUGAACAAACUAGUACACUAUCUAUUAUUGCUUUUGUUAACUUCUUCCCUUUCUUAGCUCGUUUUCAUUUUUGCAAGUGCCCUUUCUCUACUCGUUGACUCUGACUCUCUGAGCUUGUAUGCACUGACGUCUACCGAGUCUCCGUUCUUUGCCACUUCUGUGCGACAGUACAUGGACCUAAACAUUACCAGCGUACUAAGAGCAUCUCCAGCCGCGCCCCCAACAGGCCCGCCCAAGGCCGUUUUUUAGCGCCGGUGCCGAAAAAUCGGCCCAGUCGCACCCCCAUGAGCCUGUUUUUUGCCGGAUUAGGCCGAAAUUGGCGCCNNNNNNNNNNNNNNNNNNNNNNNNNNNNNNNNNNNNNNNNNNNNNNNNNNNNNNNNNNNNNNNNNNNNNNNNNNNNNNNNNNNNNNNNNNNNNNNNNNNNNNNNNNNNNNNNNNNNNNNNNNNNNNNNNNNNNNNNNNNNNNNNNNNNNNNNNNNNNNNNNNNNNNNNNNNNNNNNNNNNNNNNNNNNNNNNNNNNNNNNNNNNNNNNNNNNNNNNNNNNNNNNNNNNNNNNNNNNNNNNNNNNNNNNNNNNNNNNNNNNNNNNNNNNNNNNNNNNNNNNNNNNNNNNNNNNNNNNNNNNNNNNNNNNNNNNNNNNNNNNNNNNNNNNNNNNNNNNNNNNNNNNNNNNNNNNNNNNNNNNNNNNNNNNNNNNNNNNNNNNNNNNNNNNNNNNNNNNNNNNNNNNNNNNNNNNNNNNNNNNNNNNNNNNNNNNNNNNNNNNNNNNNNNNNNNNNNNNNNNNNNNNNNNNNNNNNNNNNNNNNNNNNNNNNNNNNNNNNNNNNNNNNNNNNNNNNNNNNNNNNNNNNNNNNNNNNNNNNNNNNNNNNNNNNNNNNNNNNNNNNNNNNNNNNNNNNNNNNNNNNNNNNNNNNNNNNNNNNNNNNNNNNNNNNNNNNNNNNNNNNNNNNNNNNNNNNNNNNNNNNNNNNNNNNNNNNNNNNNNNNNNNNNNNNNNNNNNNNNNNNNNNNNNNNNNNNNNNNNNNNNNNNNNNNNNNNNNNNNNNNNNNNNNNNNNNNNNNNNNNNNNNNNNNNNNNNNNNNNNNNNNNNNNNNNNNNNNNNNNNNNNNNNNNNNNNNNNNNNNNNNNNCACCGCAGUUCCUCCCCUCUCUCCGCUGUUCGAGCCCCUCUCCCCCCCCCGGCAACCAUGAGCGCGAGGUACCCCAGCGACGCGGCGGCGGCCAAGGGUUUCGACCGCCUCUCGCUGAAUGAGUGGGAGGCAAACCUCCUCCACGAGUCCAAAUACCCCGCGCCGCCCGACGUACGCCUUCCGUCGUGGUGGAGGCUCAGCGUCGGCAGGGUCCCUGUCCCCCCUCUGCCCGUCCCCGAGACGCCCUAUUUCCACGCCGAGUUCGAGCGUGCGCGGGCGUCCCUGACGGCCGCGGAGCGGGCGCUCCCGGAGUACGCCGCCGACAACCACGCGACGUGGGCGGCGUACUUCGAACGCCGGCAGGAGGAGCGGCUCGUCUCCACGAACAACGCGCCGAUGCCGCGCGGCCGCAACAACAGCGAGGGCCGCCGCCUGUGGUGGGGCGUCCCUGGCCACACGCUCAGCGGCGUCCUCGCGCACGUCGAGGGCGGCAAUGACCCGCCGCUCGAGUGAAGCAGCGCGUCGGGGCGAGGGGUCGAGCAGUGGCCAUGUCAAGGAGGAGAAGCAUCGGCCGUAGUUUAGGUUUUUUUUCGUCCCUUUUAUUCGUGUAAAAAACGGCUAAAUUUCGCCGAAAUUUGGCCGUGUUUGUUCAAAUUUGGCCGUGUUUGUUAAAAUUUGGACGAACUGUGGGGGCGUCUGGGGGCGACCUAGGGGCGGCGGCUGGGAACGUGCUCGCCCCCACGCCGAAAAAAUGCCGGCUCGCCCCCAAGCAGCGCUUUUUCGUGCCCUUGGGGGGCCGAACGACUGGAGAUGCUCUAAGUUCAACUAGUGCCUAUAGGUUGUACAUCAACGCUAGCAUAUACUGACAUGUUAGGUUCUAGCUGAUCUAUUCCAUGAAAUCAGGGCACGCUUGAAGACUUUCUUGUUACAAGUGUUCUCCAAUAUGUGUCGCACUAAACAUUGGUUCGGUUCCAUCUAGGCAAAUCUCACCGCAAAUGUGGCUGAUGGACUUAACAAGGAGGCACAUGAAACACUAAUAUAGUGCAUGUCAGAUCCAGACGACGCAAGAAAGACAGGGAAGAAAACGAGCAUGCGAUAAUGGAGACGGUGGUUUUGUGUUGCGAGCAAGAUGCAAAUUUUCUACUCUUUCUUUCUCGUUUUAUUCACUGUAAUUCUAUAAUUUACAUCUAAAUUAUUCAACUAUCUCCAUGAAUAGAUUAGCCUUACAAGAUACACAUGCAAGCCAGUGAUAGCGCUAUGGUCCACUAUUCAUGCACAACCGUGUGUACUAAAAAGAAAACAAGAGAACCAGUGCACUGCUUUUGCCACAAAUGUUUUUUUAUCGAACUGCUCCAGCCUAGCAAGUCUAAUCAUCACACCACUGAUAUAUAUCACCACAUCAAGAUACUUCAAUUUAUUCAAAACUAGCCCGAAAAUGGAGUUGUUUACAGGGCCACAGAUGUACUAGAAAGGUGUGAUGUGCUACGCAGCACUGCCAAGACAAGGACAGCCAUAUACGAACAAGACGCUGCAGGACCAUUAUUUCAUAUUGGCUAAAGGCGCACUGUCAUCUUUAGAGUUCCAGUCUGCUACUUGUAAGAUUACCAUUUUGGUACGCUGGCACUACUUUCUACUUUUACUCGUCAUAACCUGCAAUUGAAGGACCACGUCACACUGUCCAUUGAGCAAACACAUGUGUGUCUUAAUGUUUAACUAGCCAAUUUUAUUAAACUCUCAUCCAAUAAAAAAGUAUUGCAUGUUCAUGGCGCUUCUACAUGAGAGACAAGCAUGUAAAAUAUAGUUAAAGCAACUCCAACACGCUGACUCAUUUCGUCCGUGUGUGUCCAUUUGGAUCAAAAUGGACAUAAAAGUCAGCCCAACACGUCGACCCAAACGGGAGCGCGUCCGUUUUUUGUUCGCCUGCCGACACAUUUCCGACCCAAAUUUGGGCAUCAUUUGCGUUGGCGCGGACACGAAGAGGGUUGUCCGGUUAAUUAACGAAAAACCGGGUUGAAUCUGUCAUAACAGCCCACACAUGGCAACACCGGACGACCUGGCCACCUACACAAAGAUACAACUAUGCUGCAUAGAAGAAACACAAAGUCAAGGUCGUCACUCCUCAACCGAGCCAACAACUCCGACUUUCACCAACGAAGUCCUUGUUGCCGCAAACGCCGGAACCCAUGCUAGCCCAUGCCAACAGUCGGCCACCGAUACAGGUGCCAGACAACUCCGACUAAGAAGACCACCAAAACACAAGAGAGAUGGGCGGAGUUGGCGCCAACUAACACCUGCUCGAAGACCACCAGCCACUUGUCAUCAUCACCGCCUAGGCACCUCCCGGGUAGCUCCGACUCCACGACGGAUCGGAGAGACCCAGAAGAGACCUGUCAAGCACGCCGGGUAAGAACCGACAACCAAAGCACUGCGCGACCCUACACCGCUAGCCAUCAUCAUCAUUGCCAAACUGGACACCGCAUUGCCACACUGCCGGCCGGGCACCUACCUACCACAGUGUUGUGAGCGUCUAGCACAUGGAAAGCACGAACGGGAACCAAUGCUCUUCGAGGCAUGCCCCAAAGAGGGAAGCGUCAAUGCCGACGCGUCGCCCGACCCGUCUGGACCUUAGGCUUUCAACCGAAGAGCUGGAUCUGAGGAUGUGCAAGGGAGUGCACUCCACGGCGAUGCCUCCAGGGAGGUAACACGACGCCCACGAACACUGACGCCAUCGGCCGGCCAAAGCCGCUCGGAGCACCGCCGAACAUUACAACUCCACGCAUCGCAACUCCACUAGCCUGCACACCACCACCAACCCCACCACGCCAGCAGCACCAGAGGACCACCACAAACCACCUAAUCGCUGACCAAAGCCAGCAGGCCAGAUCCGGCGAGCCCGACCGGAUCCGACGGUCACUCGCACCUGCCCCGCAACGGACCAGCCGCUGGCGCGCCGAUGCGCCGCUGGGCGUGCAACACCCACCAGGAAGCCAGGUGGCCUACCCCUUGCCACAACCGAGCGUGGCCGGAGAGGCCGGAUGAUGCAGCCGGGGCGCGCCGCCGAGCCGGGCCAGGGGAGUCCCCUGCCAUCGGGGAGUAGGACGAGGACCGGAGCCUCCCUCACCAGAUGCAUGCACGGGAAUGCGAGAAACUCCCUGCCGCCGUCCGCCGCGCCGGCUUAGCCCGGCGGCCUCCUCCAGUGGCGGCGAGGGGGGAGGAGAUGGAUGGAGCGGCGGCGGCAGUGGCGGGCUAGGUUUUCGCUCGAGCCACCGCGGGAGCGAUGAAGCGGGCAUGGGGUUAUGUUUCCUGUUUUUUCCAUUCCACAUUAUCAAGUUUGUAGGUGUGAGAUUGUUUGAUGUAUGUUCUUAUCAGACAUUCGUCGGAUAAUAAUUAAUAAAUAUGGUUGUAUGCAUCUACCGAUGCAAAGGCCACAGUUUCAACCUCCUUUCUCGAAAAAAAGAAAAAGAAAAAAAAUGACACACUGGGAAAUGGAAACGCAUCUUGCCGUCUUUCAUUGCUCUAUCAAAGGACUAUAGAUUCUCAAACUUCCUCGUGCCGUUCACCUCUCCCUGUUCAGCUGCGGGACCUUCUCGGUCAUAGUCGUUUUGACUAUAGUUGCUCGGGCCCACUCAUAUACCGCUUCGAAAGGUGGAAAGGAGAGCUGCCCGUAUACACCAGCCAACUUUUGAUCCCAGGAUUCCAGGAAGUUUGGCCUUUGACUCUGUUUGGAUUCAGGGGUUAGAGUUAGUUUGGUAGUUUGGACUCAACUAAUCUCAAAAUAUCCAAAUAGAAGAGUUAGUUUGGGUUAGAUGCAUCUAACCCAUUCAAAAAAUCUAACUCAUUCAAGAGAUGCUUAUUUGGGUUAGUUCUUUUCGGGACCAUAAGAAAACACAUUUUUCUCUCGCUCUCCCCGUAUCAGAUCCCUCCUCACUUUCUUGAAGCUUCUCAUUCUCUCCCUCUCUCCCUCUCGCACUGCCUGUGAAGGUGCCUAGCCGUAUCCGCACUCUAUCUAACCCUGCCAUCCAAACACUUUUUUGGCUAGAGUUAGUUUAGGGUUAGUUCAGGGUUAGAAUCUAACUCUAACCUCUAACUGAGUUAGAGUAUCCAAACAGGGCCUUUGAUGCACAUGCGUAAAGCGUCUGGCAUUUUUAGUAAGGAAAUGAGUUUGAAAACUAACGAGAGUUAUUAGUGAGAUUGUAACACUCCAUCUAGUUGUUCCCUUCACAGGCAUUAAAGUGGAGGGUUUGGAGCUGGCUGCAGGUGCCUCCCGAUGCACCAGGCCAAGUAAAUAUUAUCUUUGUUGUGCACCUUGAUGGCUUACUCUCUUUCUACACGUCUAGAUAUAAGCUUCCUUUUAAACACAUGCAGGAAUGGCGAUGAUAGCCAACGGCGGCAUAUGGACCCUAACUGCAUGUACAUCUGUUUCUACUUCGUGGUUAGUUAUAGAGAAAUGUGGAGAUAAUGCGUGCUUAGCUACAAAGAAACGUUUUUUUUUUAUAAAGGGCGUUUUUUAUUUACUCAUAAUAUAGCAUUGAGUGAUACAAACACAAUGAGCACACACCCGGCCACUGCAUAACUAGGAUGCACACAGCCAAUACUACGCACACACAUAAGAAUCACGUUGGUAAAGAGCAAAGUCAUAUAAGACCGAAGCCUUGCCUAGGUGAAGAAAGAAAAAGAAAAAUCCUAAAGUGAUCAAAACAGCGAUCAACGAUAUAAAACAACGACCACAACACCAUCCUUUUCUUUGACAACAUAAGGACUACAAGAAGGGCUCUCCAAAAGCAACGCCUUCAAGAAGGAAAAGACACAUAAGCGUCGUCGUCACCGGAUCCAUCACCAAAGGCCAGAUCAUUGGUUUUCACCCUGAUGAUCAAGUCCGAGCAAACUCCAAGCAAUGCCUUCAACAAGGUAACGAUGCAAAAACACCGUCAUUGCCAGGUAUAACCAACUAAGGUCAGACUUAGGGUUUUCACCCUGGAUCUCGAGACCGGGUGCUCGAGAAGCACCACCAAACUGAAGUCAUCUUAAAUUAUCUCCUCCACAUUCCACAAUUCCAGCAGCACAACAAUAAGCAUACUUAGACGAGGGAGGAUGGUCACAUGCACCGCCCAAAUCCUGAGGUUGAGACGAUCUGGCGCACCUGCCCUGUCCUCACAAGUGACAACUGAUGACCGAUCUGCAUGAGACAACAUCACCACAUGCCGCCACUCCCAUCAUCGUCGCAUGUGGAAGCAGAUUACUCCUGCGUGGAGGACAUGGCCGUGGUUAUGCAUCGCUGUUAGCGAUGCAGAUCGCGAAUCUUGCUGGAUUUGAAGGUCCGAGCCCUUCCGGCGACCAUUGUCCAGCAGGUGUCGCGUCCAUGGUGGCAAUGACAGCUAGCCAAGCCCAACUGAUAAUGCCCAGCAGCACGGGCUAGAUCAGGUGCGAUCACCCCGACAUCUGCUACAUAGGCAUCGCCACAUCCCCGUCACGGCGCGGGCGAUGGCCGCAGCAACUGCUGCAUCGCUACCAAACCCCGACACCGAAGGGAGCCUCUNNNNNNNNNNNNNNNNNNNNNNNNNNNNNNNNNNNNNNNNNNNNNNNNNNNNNNNNNNNNNNNNNNNNNNNNNNNNNNNNNNNNNNNNNNNNNNNNNNNNACUCUUUGCUGACACAAGUUUUAAUAAAGCAGUAGACAAACGUGUUCUUAAGUCUAGUAGAAGACCUAAAAGAAGUAUCAGAAAUAACCAGUGCUAUUGGUAACGACGGAAUUAUGUGUGAUGUUGGCCUAUAUCAUAAAAUUGUGAUGAUAGUAACAAAAAAAGUGUCUAGUUUUCAAACCUUACACCUUGUGUACCAAACAGGAAUGAGUGUGUAAAUUCUGUAAAUAUUGUUGAUAGCAAACCCUUAUUCGUAAAUGUUUUAAAACAUGCUAUGCUCAUCCAUACGGCAACCUUUUAAAACUCGUGCUUCACUACCAUAGUACACAUGCCAAGUUUUCUUUCUUCUUCCUGACACAGAAACCUUGCAUAGUACUCACCUUGCUACACAAAUCGGCCGGUGCAUUGGGCUUCUCAACUAUUCGUUUUACUCUUAACGGCCAUAAUGUUGACGUUCCCAUGCUAUGUGCCCAUUUGGACGGGUUCCAAGCAGCCCAACAAUAAUAAAAUGAGUGAGGGUGUCGGACAGGGGGUGCAAAACUAAUUAAAAAAGGAAGGCGAAAAAAAUAAUGAACCUUUCACAAGCUGAGCACCAUGCGCAUAUAGGAACCUUUCAUGGGCUUGGAACUGUUUCACGUGGGCCGAUGACUGGCAUGUCGCAGGGUUGGCAGGCUAUGGGCUGGGCCUAGUGCAUAGGCACAUGCGCUCGUGGUCCAAAACCAUCUAUAAGAGGAAAUAAGAUUCACCCAACUGAAAUGUGAGAAAUUCAAAGAUGGCAAAGUUUUGGACCAGAUCCCAAGCUCAACAUGUGGCUAUGAUUGCUACCUCCACAAGAUUGUUGCAUAGGUUUGCUUUUCCCUAUAUAUAUAUAUAUAUAUAUAUAUAUAUAUAUAUAUAUACAUACACCCAUACUCUUUGUGAAGAAAAACUUCUAUGUGAAAAUUUGUAAAUAUACUCCAUACUAUAGUAUAGUAUGUUGUACGCACCAUAAUUCUAAAACGAACAUACACACGAGAUACUACUUUUUUGGGACACAUACACGUAAAAGGGUUUUAAUACUCCAUACUCCAGCUUGGUGUUAAUACUCCAUACUCCAAUAAUCAAAUGGUUAUACUUCGUACUCCAAUUUUAGGUUAGUAGUGCAUAUUCCAUACUACAAUCAUUACAUGUUCAUACUCCAUACUACAGAUCCUCAAAAAAAAAACUCCAUACUACAGCCUACAGGUAUACAUGAGUAUACUCUAUGCGGUUUUAAAAUGGGCAAUAUAUUUCGUACUAUAUUAGAAGAAUCCAAAAAGAGUUAUACAUUCCCAUACUACCUAUUUCCAAUAAAAAAUACUUAAAAAACUAAGUAUGUAAUCUGGAUAAAAAAUUACCAUCUACAGUGCAAUAAUAUCACGUUCGUAUGCUUAUCCGAUGGAAAAAUUGUUGUACACACGCAUGGAUUAAGGAGGUGGUUGCAACAGCCUGUCACCAACUUGCCGGAUUAUUUUAUUAUAAAAACCGAAUUAGUUUCUGCCUACUAAUUGCAUGGGCACCCGUUAACAGUAUCCAUUUACCCGGCUGACUUGAUUCCACGUUUGAGGGAGGGGAAGAGGAACACGUGGAGGCCAAAGAAGGUGGUGGUAACUAUCACUGCUUGUAGAUAAAAUUUAUGUAUGUAUAUAUAUAUAUAUAUACACACACACAUCUGGGCUAUUCUGUUACGCGUAACAGAAUAUUAUUCUGUUACCCUUUUUGAACUGACGGUUUCAGGUGGUUGUAGUGAUGUUUUCGAAACGGUUGAACUGAUGCUUUCAGUUUUGUUUAACACAUCGUCUUCUUUAGUUCAAAAUUUUUUUGUAAUUUUUUUGUCGGAACGGGGCGUGUAAUAUAUCGUUGGAAAGCUCUUGACAAUCAUAUUUCAAGUAUGUUUAACGUCUUUGCAAAAUCAUUAUGGUUUAAGAGUAGUUUUGAAAAAACCGUUUUUUCAAAACCGAAAACCUAAAUCGUAUUUUGGACUCAAUUUUCAAAUGGUUUGUCGGAAUUGAGCAAAUAAGAUGGCGUUGGAAAGCUGGUGAAAAUCCGCAUCUUCUAUAUAUGUAUUGUUUUUUCUAAUUCUAUAUGAUUUAAGAGUAAUUUUAAAAACAAUGAAAUUCUGUGCGAAACGUACUUUCGUGUUUUUUUUGCAAACGGUUCGUCGGAUUGACGCAAAUGAUACGGCAUUGGAAAGCUAUGGACAAUGUGCAACUUUUUUGUAUAUAAAUGUUUUUCUAAUUCCUUAUGGUUUAAAAAUGAAUUCGAAUACGGUCAAAUUUGAUUUUGAACACAAUUUUUUUUAAAGUUUGUCGAAAUAUGUCAAAUAAUAUACCGUUGGAUAGCUAUCAAAAAUGCGAAACUUAGUCAUGUUGAACGUUUUCUCUACUUCGCAAUCGUUUAAGAGUUAUUUUGAAUACGGCAUGACGGAUCACGCUGUUUUCUCGUCUGAAAAACAGAGUAGUCGUACUGAUAUAUGUGUACGUUUGUACUGAGUUAUUUUUUGUAGAGUAAUUUUGAAUGGUUCCAAAAAAAGGUACUUGUACUGAUGCUUGCAUGGGUUUGUACUAAGCGUGUUUUCACUAAUUAGACUUUGCUCUGUUUUGCUCAUAAGUUUUAAUGGUUUAUUGUAUCGUUGCCCCUGUACUUGCAUGGUUUAUAUCAUCGAACUGAAUGAUAUUUUUUUCAAAAAGAAAAUGUUUUUUUUAUUUUUUUUAACUAAACUUUUUUUACGAUGAUGUUUUGAACUUCUCUUAUUUUACGACUUGUACUUUUCUCAUUUGAAUUGCAUGGGGUUUCUUUUUGCUUGAACUUUUACAAGUUGAAUUUCUGUCAUUUCUUUUGUUCCGAACGGACCACCAUUUUUAACUUGUACUGAUCAAUAUUUUUAAUUCAACCAUUUUUCUUUCUAGAAUGGACGAAUGUAUGUUCGAGAAAAAGAGUACUUGAACGGAUGUAUGUAUGGUUUUGUACUGAGCGUGUUUUCACAUCCUGAGCAUGUUUUGUGACAAUAUUCUAGACUUCUCUCAUUUUGAACUCAGCUCAUUUGCGACCGGCCACAAAACAAGAAGUUGUACUGUUGAGCACAGCCGGAGGUGCACUACGGCGGGUGCGUGGCCGGGGGGUGGUGCGCGGUGGCGGGCGCCAUGGUCGGGAGGUGGUGCGCGACGGCGGGCGCCAUGGUCGGGAUCGACGACGGUACUGGUUGCGCCGGCCCGGUGGCGCGACGGUGGUGGGUGGGGAUGGGGGUCGCCGAAGAUGGGGGUUGUCGGGGCUGGGGCCGCUAGGGAUGGGNNNNNNNNNNNNNNNNNNNNNNNNNNNNNNNNNNNNNNNNNNNNNNNNNNNNNNNNNNNNNNNNNNNNNNNNNNNNNNNNNNNNNNNNNNNNNNNNNNNNNNNNNNNNNNNNNNNNNNNNNNNNNNNNNNNNNNNNNNNNNNNNNNNNNNNNNNNNNNNNNNNNNNNNNNNNNNNNNNNNNNNNNNNNNNNNNNNNNNNNNNNNNNNNNNNNNNNNNNNNNNNNNNNNNNNNNNNNNNNNNNNNNNNNNNNNNNNNNNNNNNNNNNNNNNNGGGGUGGGGGUCACCGGAGCUGGGGCUCGCCGGGGGAGGAGGCCGGACGGCAGAGCGGUGGUGAGGAGGCCGACCAAUGGCACGGUGGGGAGGAGGCCGCUCAGAGGCGUGCUGGGAGGAGGCCGGUCGGAGGCGCGCUGGGAGGAGGCCGACCGGAGGCGCGCUGGGAGGAGGCCGACCGGCGGCGCGGUGGGGAGGAGGUCAGGCGGCGGUGGGAAUGGGGAGGAGGUGGUAAGAAGGAUCUGCGGGGGGAUUAGGGUAGUUUUCUUCUUUUGGGCCGGCCGCGCCUUAUAGGGACCGAGGGUAAUAGAAUAAUAUUUUGUUACCGGUAACAAAAUAGUCCAGCCCUAUAUACCCUAUAUAUAUAUAUAUAUAAAGUCUAUUUAAUACCCUGGGUGAGGAAUAAGUAAUUCUUCACCCUGGUCAGUCGACCACUGUUUGGUUCAACCUAGCACAAACCGAUGUAAAAUUAUAGCCAAAAUUUGAUUGUGCCAUCAUAAUUUUGCGUUGACGCUGGAAGGUCACGGGGAUUAGGAGCUAGCCCACCCCCCAUACAUUUUUUUCAAUUAAUUAAGAUGGGAGCGGUUUCGUCUGACCGCCGACAAGCGAGCGGUGAUUGGCGGAGGGCUCGACGGCGAGGUGGUCCGCAGAGAAUUCUCAUUGGAUGAUUCCCUCGCUCCCCUGUCCAUCACUCCCAUCUCCCCCUUUCCUCUUGUGCGACUGGGAGGCCGACAGCGGCGGCGGGGACAGAGCAUACAACGAUUCUGCGCCGGCAACCAAUCCCAAAUCACCCAGCCAGAUUUACUAUGUCCUCGACAGCCGGGUAAGGCACAGGUUCUCCACUUUUCUCACGCUCCCUCCCUCUUCAUCUCUCUGUUUCCCGUCCGUCCCCUGCUCACCCUGCUAGAUCUGAAUGAUUGCCUUGCAGGGAUGAAGGUCAUGCUCGCGGCUCGCCGCCGUAUGUCCAGAAUCAAUGCCACGUCCGCCUACAAUUCCAUCCAGGCUCGCUAAUCUGCAUCCAUGUUUCUUUUCUGAUCUCUUCCCAAUCUGACCUGUUCACAUAAUUUUAUACGGCCAUAUUUUAGAUAGGCUCUUGAUGAGUGCACCAUGUAUCCAUGGUUGCAAAAUGAUUCCUGAGAUUUCCUUGGUAAAAUAUCUGGAAUAUUUUAGUUGUACAUAAAUUUGUUGUGCCAUCAUAACCAUUUGUUUAUUCACUAGUAUAAAAAUACCAAAGUGAAUUCUCUAUACAUACAUACAAGAAGCACCUCUUUAAUUAGUAAUUUGCUGGUAGAAUCAUCGAUCUGUUAUUAUUUGACAUAAGAAAGCUAUUACAAAUGCUAUAGGCAAUUGCAUGGAAAUUGAUCUGAGAAAUUGUUGUCGAGAUAGGUAAUCAAAUACUUGAGAACAGUUGCUCUUUAAGAUUUCCUGAGCUUUACUCUGGGUGCUCAAGUGAAGCAAUUACUUCUCACUGGAGGGUUUGUUUCUUUACUGGACUGGUCAUGUUGUUCCUAUUUUCUCUUUUAUUCAGAUAUACCUUGGAUUUCUAAAUAAGAAAGAGGUAUGCUGAACAAGAUUCAGGUCGUGCUAAGACAUCAACAAUCUAUGCCAACAAGCCUCCACUAUCUAUUGCAGAAAUGAAGAACCGUAUGUGUUGAUUGCUUAUCCUGAAUAUGAUUUGGGGUGAAUAAGGCCCGACUAGCUUCUAAAUCUGCUGAACUGUACUGAUCAUGGUGUCAUGGUGUGAAACUAAUUUUUCUUUUGCUCUUCUAAAGGCCAUCUCACCUUCGCAAUGAUUCAUAUUUUGCCAAAGGAGAUGGCUCAGUUGGAAAUUAUGUUCUGCUUCUUGAUUCUUAUGCUAAUUCUCUGUCUGUUUGUAGGAUUGCUGGUGAUGUUCAGAAUAAUAAGGGAAGUGCCUUAAACCUGAAUAUCAAAUGAAAAGUUGAGCUGCACGUUGGGGUCUGUAUCCUUGCCGUGGUGGCUUGUUAUUGAUACAGUCUUUUAUAUUUGAAUGCCCGCUACUCUCGCACAUAUACAUAUCUUUCAUUAUAGAUGCAAAUUUGGAGCCACUUAAAUUUGCUUGCCUGUCGUUUUACUUAGCAAUCUGCAAGAAAAAGAAAGGCACCAUAGAUUGUUUGGCAAUAAUGAUCGACAUAAAUUAGCAGUCUAUAUAUUUAUUAAAUUCUGAAUUACUUGUCCUCGUGUCUUUAGUGAUAUGGUUGCUUUGCCUUACAAUCAAAUUUUCAAUUAGUAAUGGUGAGUACAGUAGACUGUUUAAGCAACUAAGCAACUCAAGUCCCAUGGUGAUUACAAAUCAUGAGUGGCUGCUGCACUAGUCUCGUAUGUUGGUGUGAAUAGCCAUAUUUGAAUGGAUAGCUCUACAAGAUAGGAAAAUAGUUUAGUGUGCAUUGAAACAAUAGUUACAGAGUUUUGCCUUUUUGUUUUGUUUCUGUGUACUUUUGAUUCAUACCUGCAACAUCGUAUUAUUGGUUCGUGUGAUUCUGAUGAAUUUGGUACAUGCAAAAUCCCUCUGCGAUAUCUUUGAUUUCGACAUUGUUACUAGUUUAGGGUAUUGAAAUCCUGUUAAUCCUAAAGUGUUAUAUGUGCUUGUGUGUUGGUGUCCUCUACAUGUUUGUUCUUAUACUUACGAGAACUGAAAAUAUUCUGUUUUUCAGGUAUCCGUUCAAGUGGUUGAUGGCUAAUGUAUGAUGGAUAAAGAGUAGCGUCUUGGUAUUUAUGGUAUGUACAUGUAGUUUUAAAUUGAAAUUUCAAAACAUCUUUUACAAAUAACCAGCAGCAAAAUCCAGGUUGUGAGAAGAAAAGUGAACCUCAAUGCCACCGUACAAUUAAUAGGAUACUAUGUUGCUUCCAGCCCGUGGAUAAGAAUGUUUUAGUCGCUGGGGUCCUAGAGAGAUUGGUGAACAGAUGAAGCUGAUGGGAGAUCUCUGGUCACCUGCAAGUUAAGCUAAUUUAAGAUCAAGUUCGACAAUUACUUAGUUUCAAGUUCAGCAGUACCGCAGUAGUUAGUAUUCAAGUUCAGCAGCAAUUUUGUAAUAGUGAUUUCUGAAAUUUUCAUGUUGCUGGUUAGUUACUGCUAAGUGGCAUUCAAUUGUAUCAGGACGAAUUUUAUUUGUAAUCUCUAGGCUGGAAUUUUUUUUAGUGAGAUAUUUCCUGAAACCACUACAUGGAAUAUAUUUAUGACACCACAUUGUUACUCCGUGGUUACCAAGAAUGCCUUGUGUACAGAAUACAUUAAUUGGACGAGACUUGCCUGCUCCCCCCGCCGUGUGCCCAUCCGUGCUUCCGCGUACGUGGCUUGUUUUGAUUGGAACAAAAUAAGGCCCGGCCCCACCCCCUUAAAAUCAGGGGGGAGAUGAUUAGAUUAGAAAAAGAAAAUAAAAAAAGACAGUCGUAGGAUGAAAUGGGAGCACGAAUGGAUGCAUGGGAAGGGAGUAGGCAAGCCGGAUCCGAAUUAAUGGCCUAUGUUUCUUAUGUUUACAAAAAAUGCCUCGUGCAGAAUUGACAUAGUGCUAGUGCUUGCCUAUGUUAGUUAGGAGUAACAUAUUUCCGUGCUACAGCCGGUGUACUCAGUCCAAUAGAAAUAGUAGUAGAUCAAGACGUAAAAUACCUGGAAUAUAGGAAUGCAGCCUUAUAUCUAAACAAAUCAGGAACACGUCACUAGCAAGAUGGGCCAGAUUACUUCCUCGACUCAAAACUCUUUUCAUAAUCUUAGGGCAACAUCAUUGGCUUUUCUAUACUGGCACAUCGAUGCACUGCAUAGGUUGCACACAUACAUGACUGACGUAAAUUACCAGCAUGCAUGAGGUAAUAUUACGGUGCUUCUUUUGCUUUACGGGAUAGAGACGGGUUCCUUCUUCAAACAGUAAUUUUACCCCACAUGUUUUUGUUUCUUAUGUUUUGAAUUGCGGACGUGGGAGAUAGGCUGGGGUGAGGAAUAAGUAUUCCUCACCCAGGAUGACAAAUAGCGCGACCCUAUAUAUAUAUAUAUAUAUAUAUAUAUAUAUACACACACACACACACACUAGCAAAAGGGCCCGUGCGUUGCAACGGGGUAACAAAAAUAUGCAUUGACCACAUAUUAUGAUGAGUAUUGCUAAAAAACUCAGUACAAUGAGUGAGUUGUAAAAAAAAACUCAGUACAAUGAGUGUUGAGUGCAUGAAGAUUUUGACUAUCUCAAGUCUAGACUUGUGUAGACAUGGUUGUAAUCUCAAGGAAUUGAUAGACUCUGCUUGACCUAUGUUUAUGAAUCAUGCACAUUGCCUUUAUCCAUCCAAUACAUGUUUGUUUCAUGACCUAAAAUGGUGAAAUCAAACCAGACAGAACUGUACAUGGUUACGAAUUAAAUCAUAGUCUGCUCAAGCAACCUAAACUCAGCCUUGACUCAGUGGAGUGGUGAGAUGCUAGGACACGGGGAUACAACAUUAUUGGAGGGGCACCGAGGACAAUGGCCUGCUUUUACGCCAGACUUCGAGUCCUCCUCAUGAGACGAGUGUGAGAGACAUGCUUCUCCCUGCCAGCACGACACAUCACCUACCUAUAAUUCCACCCUUGUUUUAUUUUUGAUCUUUUAACCUAUAAAUUCCCUACCUUCCACUAACUUGCAUAUUUUAUAACGUUUUCUUAUUUUAUUUUAUGCAUUUUGAUUUCAUCAUGCCAUUUAUAAUGUUUCACACCAAAUUAAAAACUAUGAAUCUUUUUAGAAAAUCAUUUGAUCUUUCCUUCCAUUUUAUACAAUUGCUUUUCCAAAUUCCUUUUUGAGCUUUUCAAAAAAUCAAAUGCCUUUUUAUACUUCAAGUUUUGUCCCCAAACUUUCCGAAUCACCAUUUUAUUACUUUACCAUGGUCCACCAAAAUUUUCAACAUACUUGUACACUUCUAAAACCUUGUCAUAGUUCUAACCUAUUUGAAUAAAUUCAAAUGUGUUUUAAUUUAAACCUUGUAUUGCCCACUUCUAAUUUUCUUGGAAUAAGCACAUUUUUGCGAGUCCAGGAAAAAUAGCACCUUGCCAAAACCCCAUUCCUAAUCCUCUCUCCUUUUUACUCUUUAUCUAUUUAUAUUUAAUAAACAGAGAAAAUGUUAAAAUUAGGGGAGAGAGAGAGAGAGGGAAACAGCAGCGCAGUAUCUAAACCGGCCGCCCAUUCGGCCUUAGGUCCAGCUCAGCCACACCUUAACGUAACUUAGCAAUCCAAUUUGUUCUGUUACUCAAAAAAAAAGCAAUCCAUUCUGUUCUAAAAAAAGCAAUCCAAUCGAUUCCUUGGAUAGCCUCGAUUCCUUUCUCCCACCUCACGCCGUCAAGGGAGGCGCCCCCACGCGCACACCCGAUCCCUGGCACUGGCCGGUUCCGCCCCACCCCGGCGAGGUUGCACCGCCGCCGGCCUCGCUCUUCCUCGCCUCACCUUAGUGCUCCUCCUCUCCUGGUUCAUCGCGGCACCAUGGCCGAGCCGCUCGCCUCCGUCCCCAUGACACGCAUGGCCACCACCUCCGCGGCUGUACCCUGCACCGCGCCACCGCAGCCUCGUCUAACCUCAUGUCGCCGCACCACCCCUCCUUUCUCACUUCUCUCCCUCACCUCCCUGUCCCCUUUCUCACUUCUCUCCCUCACCUCCCUGUCCCCUUUCUCACUUCUCUCCCUCACCUCCUUGUCCCCUUUCUGCCCAUGGAUCCGUCUGGGAAGCCGCGCUCCAGCCUUCCUCGUCGUCAUCGGUGACCCCCGCCUUGCCACCACUAGUAGAAAAAGGACCUAAUAUGUGAAACAUUAGUACCGGUUGGCAUAUGAGCCGGCACUAAUGCUCCCAUUAGUGCCAGUUCAAAUGACUUGACGGGAGGUGACCUUUAGUACCGGUUCUUUGGGAAUCGUUAGUACCGGUUUGUGCCACGAACCGGUACUAAAGAUGCUGGUGCCCAGCCAGCACCUUUAGUACCGGUUCGUGGAACGAACCGGUACUAAAUAGGUUGUGGCAGACGCUAUUUUUAGUCCCACCUCGCUCCCCUAACAAGAAUUUGACCACCUUAAGUAUGUUACUUCUCAAACCAUCCCAAGCAUUUGGUCUUCAUUGAACUCUAUGUGUAGGAUCUGUGGCUGCAAUAGGAGUCUUCGCGAGUUCUUAAAUCGGUGGUAGAUUCCUAUUGAUCAUCAAAGAUCGUUGAUGAUCAAUGUAUUUUUUAUAUGUACUUCUGUGUAGCAGUAGCGCGCGUUUUGGCUGAAAGGCGGUACUGAUCAAUGUAUUUUUUCUGCGUUUAGAUGCACAAUUUAAAGAAGAAGAAGAAGAAGAAGAGGAGGAGGAGGAGGAGGAGGAGGAAGAAGAAGAAGAAGAAGAAGAAGAAGAGGAGGAGGAGGAGGAGGAAGAAGAAGAAGAAGAAGAAGCAGAAGAAGNNNNNNNNNNNNNNNNNNNNNNNNNNNNNNNNNNNNNNNNNNNNNNNNNNNNNNNNNNNNNNNNNNNNNNNNNNNNNNNNNNNNNNNNNNNNNNNNNNNNNNNNNNNNNNNNNNNNNNNNNNNNNNNNNNNNNNNNNNNNNNNNNNNNNNNNNNNNNNNNNNNNNNNNNNNNNNNNNNNNNNNNNNNNNNNNNNNNNNNNNNNNNNNNNNNNNNNNNNNNNNNNNNNNNNNNNNNNNNNNNNNNNNNNNNNNNNNNNNNNNNNNNNNNNNNNNNNNNNNNNNNNNNNNNNNNNNNNNNNNNNNNNNNNNNNNNNNNNNNNNNNNNNNNNNNNNNNNNNNNNNNNNNNNNNNNNNNNNNNNNNNNNNNNNNNNNNNNNNNNNNNNNNNNNNNNNNNNNNNNNNNNNNNNNNNNNNNNNNNNNNNNNNNNNNNNNNNNNNNNNNNNNNNNNNNNNNNNNNNNNNNNNNNNNNNNNNNNNNNNNNNNNNNNNNNNNNNNNNNNNNNNNNNNNNNNNNNNNNNNNNNNNNNNNNNNNNNNNNNNNNNNNNNNNNNNNNNNNNNNNNNNNNNNNNNNNNNNNNNNNNNNNNNNNNNNNNNNNNNNNNNNNNNNNNNNNNNNNNNNNNNNNNNNNNNNNNNNNNNNNNNNNNNNNNNNNNNNNNNNNNNNNNNNNNNNNNNNNNNNNNNNNNNNNNNNNNNNNNNNNNNNNNNNNNNNNNNNNNNNNNNNNNNNNNNNNNNNNNNNNNNNNNNNNNNNNNNNNNNNNNNNNNNNNNNNNNNNNNNNNNNNNNNNNNNNNNNNNNNNNNNNNNNNNNNNNNNNNNNNNNNNNNNNNNNNNNNNNNNNNNNNNNNNNNNNNNNNNNNNNNNNNNNNNNNNNNNNNNNNNNNNNNNNNNNNNNNNNNNNNNNNNNNNNNNNNNNNNNNNNNNNNNNNNNNNNNNNNNNNNNNNNNNNNNNNNNNNNNNNNNNNNNNNNNNNNNNNNNNNNNNNNNNNNNNNNNNNNNNNNNNNNNNNNNNNNNNNNNNNNNNNNNNNNNNNNNNNNNNNNNNNNNNNNNNNNNNNNNNNNNNNNNNNNNNNNNNNNNNNNNNNNNNNNNNNNNNNNNNNNNNNNNNNNNNNNNNNNNNNNNNNNNNNNNNNNNNNNNNNNNNNNNNNNNNNNNNNNNNNNNNNNNNNNNNNNNNNNNNNNNNNNNNNNNNNNNNNNNNNNNNNNNNNNNNNNNNNNNNNNNNNNNNNNNNNNNNNNNNNNNNNNNNNNNNNNNNNNNNNNNNNNNNNNNNNNNNNNNNNNNNNNNNNNNNNNNNNNNNNNNNNNNNNNNNNNNNNNNNNNNNNNNNNNNNNNNNNNNNNNNNNNNNNNNNNNNNNNNNNNNNNNNNNNNNNNNNNNNNNNNNNNNNNNNNNNNNNNNNNNNNNNNNNNNNNNNNNNNNNNNNNNNNNNNNNNNNNNNNNNNNNNNNNNNNNNNNNNNNNNNNNNNNNNNNNNNNNNNNNNNNNNNNNNNNNNNNNNNNNNNNNNNNNNNNNNNNNNNNNNNNNNNNNNNNNNNNNNNNNNNNNNNNNNNNNNNNNNNNNNNNNNNNNNNNNNNNNNNNNNNNNNNNNNNNNNNNNNNNNNNNNNNNNNNNNNNNNNNNNNNNNNNNNNNNNNNNNNNNNNNNNNNNNNNNNNNNNNNNNNNNNNNNNNNNNNNNNNNNNNNNNNNNNNNNNNNNNNNNNNNNNNNNNNNNNNNNNNNNNNNNNNNNNNNNNNNNNNNNNNNNNNNNNNNNNNNNNNNNNNNNNNNNNNNNNNNNNNNNNNNNNNNNNNNNNNNNNNNNNNNNNNNNNNNNNNNNNNNNNNNNNNNNNNNNNNNNNNNNNNNNNNNNNNNNNNNNNNNNNNNNNNNNNNNNNNNNNNNNNNNNNNNNNNNNNNNNNNNNNNNNNNNNNNNNNNNNNNNNNNNNNNNNNNNNNNNNNNNNNNNNNNNNNNNNNNNNNNNNNNNNNNNNNNNNNNNNNNNNNNNNNNNNNNNNNNNNNNNNNNNNNNNNNNNNNNNNNNNNNNNNNNNNNNNNNNNNNNNNNNNNNNNNNNNNNNNNNNNNNNNNNNNNNNNNNNNNNNNNNNNNNNNNNNNNNNNNNNNNNNNNNNNNNNNNNNNNNNNNNNNNNNNNNNNNNNNNNNNNNNNNNNNNNNNNNNNNNNNNNNNNNNNNNNNNNNNNNNNNNNNNNNNNNNNNNNNNNNNNNNNNNNNNNNNNNNNNNNNNNNNNNNNNNNNNNNNNNNNNNNNNNNNNNNNNNNNNNNNNNNNNNNNNNNNNNNNNNNNNNNNNNNNNNNNNNNNNNNNNNNNNNNNNNNNNNNNNNNNNNNNNNNNNNNNNNNNNNNNNNNNNNNNNNNNNNNNNNNNNNNNNNNNNNNNNNNNNNNNNNNNNNNNNNNNNNNNNNNNNNNNNNNNNNNNNNNNNNNNNNNNNNNNNNNNNNNNNNNNNNNNNNNNNNNNNNNNNNNNNNNNNNNNNNNNNNNNNNNNNNNNNNNNNNNNNNNNNNNNNNNNNNNNNNNNNNNNNNNNNNNNNNNNNNNNNNNNNNNNNNNNNNNNNNNNNNNNNNNNNNNNNNNNNNNNNNNNNNNNNNNNNNNNNNNNNNNNNNNNNNNNNNNNNNNNNNNNNNNNNNNNNNNNNNNNNNNNNNNNNNNNNNNNNNNNNNNNNNNNNNNNNNNNNNNNNNNNNNNNNNNNNNNNNNNNNNNNNNNNNNNNNNNNNNNNNNNNNNNNNNNNNNNNNNNNNNNNNNNNNNNNNNNNNNNNNNNNNNNNNNNNNNNNNNNNNNNNNNNNNNNNNNNNNNNNNNNNNNNNNNNNNNNNNNNNNNNNNNNNNNNNNNNNNNNNNNNNNNNNNNNNNNNNNNNNNNNNNNNNNNNNNNNNNNNNNNNNNNNNNNNNNNNNNNNNNNNNNNNNNNNNNNNNNNNNNNNNNNNNNNNNNNNNNNNNNNNNNNNNNNNNNNNNNNNNNNNNNNNNNNNNNNNNNNNNNNNNNNNNNNNNNNNNNNNNNNNNNNNNNNNNNNNNNNNNNNNNNNNNNNNNNNNNNNNNNNNNNNNNNNNNNNNNNNNNNNNNNNNNNNNNNNNNNNNNNNNNNNNNNNNNNNNNNNNNNNNNNNNNNNNNNNNNNNNNNNNNNNNNNNNNNNNNNNNNNNNNNNNNNNNNNNNNNNNNNNNNNNNNNNNNNNNNNNNNNNNNNNNNNNNNNNNNNNNNNNNNNNNNNNNNNNNNNNNNNNNNNNNNNNNNNNNNNNNNNNNNNNNNNNNNNNNNNNNNNNNNNNNNNNNNNNNNNNNNNNNNNNNNNNNNNNNNNNNNNNNNNNNNNNNNNNNNNNNNNNNNNNNNNNNNNNNNNNNNNNNNNNNNNNNNNNNNNNNNNNNNNNNNNNNNNNNNNNNNNNNNNNNNNNNNNNNNNNNNNNNNNNNNNNNNNNNNNNNNNNNNNNNNNNNNNNNNNNNNNNNNNNNNNNNNNNNNNNNNNNNNNNNNNNNNNNNNNNNNNNNNNNNNNNNNNNNNNNNNNNNNNNNNNNNNNNNNNNNNNNNNNNNNNNNNNNNNNNNNNNNNNNNNNNNNNNNNNNNNNNNNNNNNNNNNNNNNNNNNNNNNNNNNNNNNNNNNNNNNNNNNNNNNNNNNNNNNNNNNNNNNNNNNNNNNNNNNNNNNNNNNNNNNNNNNNNNNNNNNNNNNNNNNNNNNNNNNNNNNNNNNNNNNNNNNNNNNNNNNNNNNNNNNNNNNNNNNNNNNNNNNNNNNNNNNNNNNNNNNNNNNNNNNNNNNNNNNNNNNNNNNNNNNNNNNNNNNNNNNNNNNNNNNNNNNNNNNNNNNNNNNNNNNNNNNNNNNNNNNNNNNNNNNNNNNNNNNNNNNNNNNNNNNNNNNNNNNNNNNNNNNNNNNNNNNNNNNNNNNNNNNNNNNNNNNNNNNNNNNNNNNNNNNNNNNNNNNNNNNNNNNNNNNNNNNNNNNNNNNNNNNNNNNNNNNNNNNNNNNNNNNNNNNNNNNNNNNNNNNNNNNNNNNNNNNNNNNNNNNNNNNNNNNNNNNNNNNNNNNNNNNNNNNNNNNNNNNNNNNNNNNNNNNNNNNNNNNNNNNNNNNNNNNNNNNNNNNNNNNNNNNNNNNNNNNNNNNNNNNNNNNNNNNNNNNNNNNNNNNNNNAAAAGAAGAAGAAGAGGAGGAGUAAGAAGAAGAAGAAGAGUAGGAGAAGGAGGAAGAAGAAGAGGAAGAGGAGGAAGAAGAAGAAGGAGAAGAAGAAGAGGAGGAGGAGGAGAAGGAGGAGGAGGAGGAGGAGGAGGAAGAAGAAGAAGAAGAAGAAGAAGAAGAAGAAGAAGAAGAAGAAGAAGAAGAAGAAGAAGAAGAAGAAGAAGAAGAAGAAGAAGAAGAAGAAGAGGAGAAGGAAGAAGAAGAAGAAGAAGAAGAAGAAGAAGAGGAAGAAGAAGAGUGAAAGAUCGUGGAUGUCGCCUAGGGGGGUGAAUAGGCGCUUUAAAAUAAUUACGGAUGAGGCUUGAACAAAUGCGGAAUAAACCUAGCGGUUAAUUUGUCAAGCACAAAACCUACAACAACUAGGCUCACCUAUGUACACCAAUAACUUAUGCUAAGCAAGAAAAACUACUUAGGUGAUAGCAAGAUAUAUGACAAGAAACAAUAUGGCUAUCACAAAGUAAAGUGCAUAAGUAAAGGGCUCGGGUAAGAGAUAACCGAGGCACGCGGAGACGAUGAUGUAUCCCGAAGUUCACACCCUUGCGGAUGCUAAUCUCCGUUUGGAGCGGCGUGGAGGCACAAUGCUCCCCAAGAAGCCACUAGGGCCACCGUAAUCUCCUCACGCCCUCGCACAAUGCAAGAUGUUGUGAUUCCACUAAGGGACACUUGAGGGCGGUCACCGAACCCGUACAAAUGGCAACCCUUGGGGGCGGUCACCGAACCCGUACACUUUGGUAACCCUUGGGGGCGGUCACCGGUACCCGUCAAAUUGCUCGUGGCGACCUCCACAACCUAAUUGGAGACCCCAAUGCUUGCCCGGAGCUUUACGCCACAAUGAUUGAGCUCCGAACACCACCAACCGUCUAGGGCGCCCAAGCACCCAAGAGGAACAAGCUCAAGGGUACCAAGCACCCAAGAGUAAUAAGCUUCUCAACUUGUAACUUCCAUGUAUCACCGUGGAGAACUCAAACCGAUGCACCAAAUGCAAUGGCAAGGGCACACGGAGUGCUCAAGUCCUUCUCUCUCAAAUCCCACCAAAGCAACUAAUGUUAGGGAGGAAAAUGAGAGGAAGAACAAGAAGGAGAACACCAAGAACUCCAAGAACUAGAUCCAAGGGGUUCCCCUCACAUAGAGGAGAAAGUGAUUGGUGGAAAUGUGGAUCUAGAUCUCCUCUCUCUUUUGCCUUAAAAACUAGCAAGAAUCCAUGGAGGGAUUGAGAGUUAGCAAGCUCGAAGAAGGUCAACAAAGGGGGAAGAACGCGAGCUCAAAAGAUAAGGUUCAAUGGGGAAGAAAACCCCCUUUUAUAGGUGGGGAAAAAUCCAACCGUUAUGUGCUCAGGUCGUGCACAAGCGGUACUACCGCUUGGAGGAGCGGUACUACCGCUUAGCACGGUCAAAACAGCCCAAACGAGAGAGAAAACACGAGAUUUUGGUCCGGGGUGGUACUACCGCUUAGGAGCCACGGUAGUACUGCUCUGGAGUGGUACUACCGCUCAGGAACCGCGGUACUACCGCUCUGGAGCGGUAGUAAAAAAUUACAUCCGCUCUAGUCGCGGUAGUACCGCUGCAUCCUUUUCAGAACACCAAAACUACCACAACUUUUGCAUUCGGACUCCGAAUUCGACGAAACCAAGUUUAUUGGAAAGCUAGAGACAAAGGCUAACACAAUCUUGAUAGAAAUACCAAUAAUAAGCAAAUGAGAAAAGGCCCAAAAGAAAAUGGUGAGAACCCUUCCUCGGAAAAGACCGGUAAAACCUCCAAUACCGAAAACAUCAUAGAAGACGCAUGCAAACUCCGUUUUCGAUGAACUCAAGCUUGUCAUCAAGAUGACCAUAAGCUCUAAGACUCACAAAGAGAACCAAACAAGAACCAAGAAACAUGAUGCAAGGAUGCAAUGGUUUGAGCUCUCGACGAACGAUACGAUCAAGCUACUCACUUGAGAGCCCCCCUUGAUAGUACGGCUAUCGAUCCUAUAACCCGGUCUCCCAACUACCACCAUGAGACCAGUAAAAUAGAAAACCUAUCAAGGGCAAAUCUUUGCCUUGCACAUGAUCCACUUGAGCUAGAUGAUGACGAUCUUGUCCUCCGCAAGAUGGACCACCUUUCUUGAUUGCGUUGGGUCGAUGGAGACUAGAUGAUUGCUCCCCCAUACUCCACUAUGGCUGAGCCACUCUUCGGCACAUCUUCACAAGUCCAUUGACACCACAAUGGAUGGAAAGCUUCAAGCACUUGAUCUCUUCGUGAUGCUACACUUGAACUUGCACAUGAUAAUCUUGAUGACGAUCACUACAUGAUGUCAUCCUUUCCAUGGGUUGUAUGAUAUCUUCCUCUUGACGCAAGCCCAUGGACAUGUACCUAACCCCACAUAGAACUCUCACAUAGACCAUGGGUUAGUACACAAAGUGCAAUGGACAAUGCUUACCAUACCAUGGGAUCACUUGAUCCCUCUCGGUACAUCUUUUACGCUUUGUGAGUUGAUCAACUUGAUUCACUCUUGACUUAGUCUUGAUCAACCUUGAAUCUUUCCAAAUCUCUUAGUUUGGAUGAUGUCUUGAAGGUAAACAUGAAUGAUCACACAAUCUUCUUCUUCAAGACAUGCUUGCAAUAAGCUCAACACUCACAUGACCAAUCUUUGGAUAAUUCCUUAAUAGCACCUUGGUCAACACAUAAACUCCUUGAAACCAACACAUGGACUUCAAGAAAUCCCUAUGGACAAAUCCUUCAAAUAUAACUCAAUGCAACCAUUAGUCCAUAGAGAAUGUCAUCAAUUACCAAAACCACACAUGGGGGCACCGCAUGUCCUUUCAAUCUCCCCCAUUUUGGUAAUUGAUGACAAUCACUUUCAAGAGAGUUUAUAUAAAGAAUUAUGCAUCACCAUGCAAUGCAACAACCAAUAAUGCAUGCGUAUGAGAUGCAAAUGCUUAGGAACAAAACCAAAGCAAGGAGAAAACUCUGAAGACUUCUCCACAAAACUCUCUGAAACUUCUCCCCCAUUGGCAUCGAUUGCCAAAAUGAGUGAAAAGCUAAGAAGACCAAUAUAAAAGGUGUUCCUCCAAAAGUUGUGUAUUUCUCAACAAGAGAGUGGAAUGCCAUACACAUAUCCAACUGUCAGUACUUGGAGGAAGACAAACUAUAUUGAGGCCCAAAGAUUGCAACAGAAAGAUAUGCCACAAAGACAUAACAAAGAGAGACACAAGCAAUCAAAAGAUACCAAUUGAAGCAAGCAAUCAAAGGAUAUCAAUUGAAACAACUAGACCAAAGAUCCUACGAGCCACAUGAAUAAAGGAUAUUAUGAUAUGGGCAAAGGAGCGUUCUAAAGAAACUAGAGAAGCUCCCCGUGAUUUGUGCACACAUAAGAAUAUUUGUAUUUGGAUACAAAGUGCACAAAAUAGGACCAUAGCUCCCCCAAAAUCAAUAAAAACUUACAACAAGUGCAAGUGAGCAUAUAGGAAACAAAUCCUAGUACUUGCAACAAACACAUGGUUGAGCAACAAGUAAAAGAGGCAACUUAAGAAUGGGCUCAAACCAAAAUGAUGUGUGUGAGUCAAGGCAAUGCACUUGAGAAGACUAAUGUACGGAUGAGCAUUAAGCAUCAAUAAAGUCUUGAAAGAAAGAGGCACACGGUGCAAGGCCUAUCAUUCCCACACACAACUAGCAAAUGGGUUCACAAGCUUACUAAUAAGCAUAUAAAGAACAUAUACUUGUGACAACCCGUGGUGAAGAUAGAAGAUGAAAGCCUCAUCAAGACGAGGGAUACCAAUUAAGAUGGCUAAAGCCUCGUAAAGAUAAGCAUGAGGAAAAUAAUAUUCACCACACAAGAGUGCAUCAAGAUGCAACGAUAGAAGAUGCGCACUCAAGGCAAAAGCUUUCAUGGAGCCACCAAAUAAAAAAACAAAAAAAAGACAAGGUGGACGUGAAAGAAAGGAUAUCAUCUAGAGAUGUAAUUUCUCUCAAGUGUAUAAGGGUCUAGGUAGACGAAAUCAUGACGAUAUAUAUCUACAAAGAAGGAUGUACACCUGAAAUAGUUACAACACGAAGGAACAAGAUAUCCAAAAGGAAGUCAUACAUAUACCAAUAAGAUAUUUACUUGGAAGCAUAGCACAUAGCUAGAUAUGGUCUUAUUGGAUAUAGAUGAAUUCCUACCACACAACUAUCAAAUACAUCACAACUAGCAACAUGAGAUCAUCGUUGAGAUGCUUUGAGAAAGGAAACAAGAAUCACAAGAUAUGAAAUGAAUAUCAUGCCAAGAUGCAACCUACACAAGGUUGAAUGCAAGAGAGGAAAUCAUGAAUAGAUACUUGUUACCGAGACAUCAUUGGAAGGAUGUAGUAGAUACUAAUUGAAGGUAGAUAGUAGUUUAUUGAUCAUCCUAGCUUGACUCCAAUGAGCACAUGGUGACGACACCUUCCUUGUGAGUGAGCCGAGCAUCCAAUGCAUCUCCAAAUGUUCCUAGAAGAACAACACAAACUAAACGGUACCCAAACUCAUCGGGACCAAAUAGUUAGAAACACCAAUACAUAGGACAAACUCCACAUAAAUAUGUGCAUAUAGAUAUGAAAAUGAAUUUCAUGCACAUCUCAUCCAAAUUGAGACUAGGUGGAGUUUCCCCUAUAUAUUGAGUUAAAGAAAGAAAGCAAGCAAAAUAAAAUACAUGAAGUAAACAUGCAUGCUCAAGACUUUCAAAACCCGAAACCAAAAGACAAAGAAAUGCCAAGUGAAAAGGAUACCAAAUGGAGAAAUCAUCACUUGGAAGAUAUCAUUAAAGAUACAUCAAGGAAUGAGAUAUCCAUUGAUACACACUAAACUAAAGAUGUCAAACUCCCAAAGAGAGGAUGGUUCCAAACAAACCAAGCUCUCAACAAAGUUUCAUGAUGGCACAAAGUACCAAAAAGAAAUGGCUUGCCUUCCACCAAAACACACUUGAUAAGGAUCACAAGAAGAGUGUUCUAAAGAAAAUAGGAUAGCUCCUCCACGAGUUGUGCAUUAUAUAGGAUUUGCAUUUGAAUACAAAAUGCACAAGGUGGGAUCACCACUUUCACUAUAUCUAAAAAACACUAGACAGGAACAAGAAAUAAACAAGAUCCACAAGUGGUAGGGAAGACAAUGGGAGUUGACAAAAACCUUGGCAAGAGAAAAGGCAAAUAAAGACAAACCAAAGUAAAGAUGAUCAACAAAUUCUACCACACAUAAGUGACUACCAAUUGUCAAAGACAAGAAGUAUUUCAAAAUAAAUCCCGGUGGUAGAUAACAAGGACAUCCAACAUCAUCUUCACAACAAACACAAGCAAAUUGCCACUUGUAGAGCUAACAUGUCACCUAGGAACAAUAUAAUUUACAAUAUCAAUUCUAGGAGACACUAUCUCAAAUGUACACAUUUUCUAGGCUUGUAAUAUGCACAUAGCAUAUUACUCCCCCAUAAUGUGAUACCAAUAAGAACCUAACAAGAGGCAAUAAGAGGAUCCAACACGAGAUAAUCAAUGGAAUUAUUAGAAUUUGAAUUUCUCAUGAGAGAUAUAUCACCUAGCGACUAGAUAAUCUUGUAAUAUCAAUACUAGAUGGUAUUCCUCAUGUACACACAUUUAUAGGAUUGUGAGGUGCACAAAGCACAUCACUCCCCCAAAAUGGGAUGUUCCAUUAACCUCUCUCACAAGCCAACUAGGAUACACACAAGAAGCAAAAAGGCUCAACGCACGACACCCACGUACAUGAUGUGCAAACCAACACACACAUACUUGAUUGCUCAAGAUAAGCAAGUUGGAAGCACAACGUAUACAAACAUAUGCAAGGAACAAAACCAAAACAUCCAUGGGGGAAAGUAACUUCCAAUGUAAACAAUUUAAGUACAAGUUACCGCAAUGAGGCACAUUGGAUAUAAGAUAGAAACUUGAUAAUCCAAUUGACUUGGCUUGAGACAAUAAGAAUGAUGAAGUCCCCUUAAUUCUUCAUAAUGUAGCCAAGUCUCCAAUGCCCUCCAACAACACCUAUUGAUCAAGUUUGAGCUUGUUGGUCCCCAACCAAGUUGGGUCCUAAGAGGUUAGUCACAAUAGGCUUGGCAACCCAAAUGAUUCUUUUCUUGACACCACUUUGAGUACCAACAAACUUGGCAAACACAUUGCCAACCUUAUCCUUCCCAAGAGAAUAGAUAUCAUCAAUAAUAAUUGGGUUGGAUAAGUUACCACUAGUGCUUGAAGAAGCGAGGUGACCUUUCUCACGACAUAAGUAGCAACGUCUACUCUUCAUUUUCUUCUCACUUGAUUUCUCAACAAGAGAGGCAUUAACUUGAGUCUUCUUGGGAAGUGGCCUUUCUUUAACUUGAGGUUGAGCAUGAGAUUGAACUUGUGGCCUCUUCCCUUGUUGCUUGUUACCAAUGGCAUUCUUAUUCAAUGGGCAAUAUCUAACAUGAUGCCCUUCAAUUUUGCACUUGAAGCAAAUAAUCUUGGCCAAAUUCUUGACUUGUUUUUGGCCCUUCUUCUUGUUGCUCUUGGACUUCUUCUUAUUCUUAUUGGCGUUGAAUCCAAGUCCACCUUUGUCAUUGGGGGAUUUUUGCACACUCAAGAUAUUGUUGAGUGUGGAUUUCCCUUCAUGACUCUUUUCCAAGUCUUUCUUCAAAGAAGUGACUUGGGCCUUGAGCUCUUUGAUUUCCUCUACAUGGUUAGUCUCAACACAAGUACUAGAGGAAGUAUAAGCUUCAUCAUUAGAGCAACAAGGCAAGGAAAGCAAUUCAUCACAAUAUGUACCAACAUUGUGAGUAGAUGAAUUACAAGGACUAGCACAUGGCAAUAUAAUAUUUUGACUAGAAGUGGUGCUAGUAACAACAUGAGGCUCACUAGAUGUUACCUUAGCAAUCAUGGACUCAUGAGCUAUCUUUAGCACAUUAUGGGAUACUAGAAGAUCAUCAUGAGAGCUUGAGAGCUUUUCAUGGCUUUCUUCCAAUUUCCCAUAAUUGCUAGAUAGCAACUCAAGUUGAGCCCGUAGCUCAACAUUCUCCUUUAAAAUGGAUGCUUCACAAGUAAUAGAGUUAGUAGCACAAUCAUCAUCAUUAACAACAAUAGGAGGGGGCAACUUAGCAAGCUCUUUUAAAUAAGAAGCUUCAAGUUGAGCAUGAGACUCGGUGAGUUUGAUGAGCUCACCCUUGAUGACCCUUGAGCCAUUUUCGAGGUGCUCAAAGUCCUCAAGGAGUCUAGCAUGAGCAACUUCAAGCUUAGAAUUUUUAGUUUUGAAAUCAUUGGCCACCUCAAGAGUUCUAUCAUGAGAUUCCCUCACUCUAGAUAAUUCUAGAGCAAAAGUCUCCUCAAGAGAUUUGGAGGUGGUUUGUUCAUGUUCAAGAGCUUGAGAUAGCUCCGCGAUCUCAUUUGCGUAAUCACGCCCAUGAGCUUCCAUUUUCUCAAUGGUGACCUCAUGCUCCUCUAGAUGAGAUUCCAACUCCUCAAUGUAUUUCUUGCCAUCAAUGGCAAUGGACAUUAUUUCCAUGAAGUUGGAAUGAGCAAUUUUAUUUUUAUGAAGAGCUUUAAAAAUCAUUUCCCCCUUAGUUUUUAAGGAGGCAACAUUAUCAUUCUCUUCAUCAUUAUCCUCAUCAUCAUUAGCAUCAACAUCAUCAUCAAGAGACAUAUUGGGGUACAAAGUAGGAGAUACCUUUGACGCCUUAGCCAUAAGGCAAAAAGAAAUAGAUGAUGGUGUAGGAUCCCUUGAGGCACCAUUAAACACCACAUCUUGUUCCAUGGAGUGUUGGGUUUCCUCUACAUUGUUAGUACAACAAUUCAAGGAAAUAGAUGCAUUUUUAUCAUGGCAACAAGACAUAGCAAGCAUAUCAUCAUGAGAUUUAGUCAAGCAAUUUCUACAUGAUAUGCAAGGACUAUCAACACAAGCAUGUGAAACAUUUGGAGUGCUCGAAGUGUUAAAUCCCAAAGAAGGAGCAUUGAAAUAAUAUAGUGAUGAAGGAUCAUCCACAAUAAGCAUACUAUCAUCAUUGCAAUGACCAACACUACUCACCAUAUCAUUACCUUGUGGCAAACCACAUGUAGGUGAAGUAGAAGAAGUUGAGAAGACUAUACGACCGGAGGUGGAGGGAGAACAAUCAUCCCCACAAAUCUUGGACACACCAUAUUUAUCUUGAAGCUUCGACCACAACUCAUGAGCAUCUCGGAACGGCAUGAGUUGAAAUAUAACUACAUUGCUCAAAGCAUCGAAAAGCACAUUAGAAGCUUGAGCAUUGAGAUAAGAGUUUUUCUCAUCCUCUAAAGAUAAUCUUUGGGGAUCCUUUGGAGGAGAAAAACCCAUAUCUACAAUUCGCUCUAAAUUUGGGUCCAUGACCCUAAAGAGAUUAAGCAUGCGAAUUACCAAACAUCAAAAUUUGUGCCAUCGAAACUAAGAGUGUCAGAGAAUCCUAAUCCCCUAGUAGACAUCUUUACUCUCUGGGCGGUUAAGCCCAACAAAGAGAGACGAGGCUCUGAUACCAAUUGAAAGAUCGUGGAUGUCGCCUAGAGGGGGGGGGGUGAAUAGGCGCUUUAAAAUAAUUACGGUUGAGGCUUGAACAAAUGCGGAAUAAACCUAGCGGUUAAUUUGUCAAGCACAAAACCUACAACAACUAGGCUCACCUAUGUACACCAACAACUUAUGCUAAGCAAGAAAAACUACUUAGGUGAUAGCAAGAUAUAUGACAAGAAACAAUAUGGCUAUCACAAAGUAAAGUGCAUAAGUAAAGGGCUCGGGUAAGAGAUAACGGAGGCACGCGGAGACGAUGAUGUAUCCCGAAGUUCACACCCUUGCAGAUGCUAAUCUCCGUUUGGAGCGGUGUGGAGGCACAAUGCUCCCCAAGAAGCCACUAGGGCCACCGUAAUCUCCUCACGCCCUCGCACAAUGCAAGAUGUUGUGAUUCCACUAAGGGACCCUUGAGGGCGGUCACCGAACCCGUACAAAUGACAACCCUUGGGGGCGGUCACCGAACCCGUACACUUUGGCAACCCUUGGGGGCGGUCACCGGUACCCAUCAAAUUGCUCGGGGCGACCUCCACAACCUAAUUGGAGACCCCGACGCUUGCUCGGAGCUUUACACCACAAUGAUUGAGCUCCGAACACCACCAACCGUCUAGGGCGCCCAAGCACCCAAGAGGAACAAGCUCAAGGGUACCAAGCACCCAAGAGUAAUAAGCUUCUCAACUUGUAACUUCCACGUAUCACCAUGGAGAACUCAAACCGAUGCACCAAAUGCAAUGGCAAGGGCACACGGAGUGCCCAAGUCCUUCUCUCUCAAAUCCCACCGAAGCAACUAAUGCUAGGGAGAAAAAUGAGAGGAAGAACAAGAAGGAGAACACCAAGAACUCCAAGAACUAGAUCCAGGGGGUUCCCCUCAUAUAGAGGAGAAAGUGAUUGGUGGAAAUGUGGAUCUAGAUCUCCUCUCUCUUUUCCCUCAAAAACUAGCAAGAAUCCAUGGAGGGAUUGAGAGUUAGCAAGCUCGAAGAAGGUCAACAAUGGGGGAAGAACACGAGCUCAAAAGAUAAGGUUCAAUGGGGAAAAAGACCCCCUUUUAUAGGUGGGGAAAAAUCCAACCGUUAUGUGCUCAGGUCGUGCACAAGCGGUACUACCGCUUGGAGGAGCGGUACUACCGAUUAGCACGGUCAAAACAGCCCAAACAAGAGAGAAAACACGAGAUUUUGGUCCAGGGCGGUACUACCGCUUAGGAGCCACUGUAGUACUGCUCUGGAGCGGUACUACCGCUCAGGAACCGCAGUACUACCGCUCUGAAGCGGUAGUAAAAAAUUACAUCCGCUCUAGUCGCGGUAGUACCACUGCAGCCUUUUCAGGACACCAAAACUACCACAACUUUUGCAUUCGGACUCCGAAUUUGACGAAACCAAGUUUGUUGGAAAUCUAGAGACAAGGGCUAACACAAUCUUGAUAGAAAUACCAAUAAUAAGCAAAUGAGAAAAGGCCCAAAAGAAAAUGGUGAGAACCCUUCCUCGGAAAAGACCGGUAAAGCCUCCAACACCGAAAACAUCAUAGAAGACGCAUGCAAACUCCGUUUUCGAUGAACUCAAGCUUAUCAUCAAGAUGACCAUAAGCUCUAAGACUCACAAAGAGAACCAAACAAGAACCAAGAAACAUGAUGCAAGGAUGCAAUGGUUUGAGCUCUCAGCGAACGAUACGAUCAAGCUACUCAGUUGAGAGCCCCCCUUGAUAGUACGGCUAUCGAUCCUAUAACCCGGUCUACCAACUACCACCAUGAGACCAGUAAAAUAGAAAACCUAUCAAGGGCAAACCUUUGCCUUGCACAUGAUCCACUUGAGCUAGAUGAUGACGAUCUUGUCCUCCGCAAGAUGGACCACCUUUCUUGAUUGCGUUGGGUCGAUGGAGACUAGAUGAUUGCUCCCCCAUACUCCACUAUGGGUGAGCCACUAUUCGGCACAUCUUCACAAGUCCAUUGACACCACAAUGGAUGGCAAGCUUCAAGCACUUGAUCUCUUCCUGAUGGUACACUUGAACCUGCACAUGAUAAUCUUGAUGACGAUCACUACUUGAUGUCAUCCUUUUCAUGGGUUGUAUGAUAUCUUCCUCUUGACGCAAGCCCAUGGACAUGUACCUAACCCCACACAGAACUCUCACAUCGACCAUGGGUUAGUAAACAAAGUGCAAUGGACAAUGCUUACCAUACCAUGGGAUCACUUGAUCCCUCUCGGUACAUCUUUUACGCUUUGUGAGUUGAUCAACUUGAUUCACUCUUGACUUAGUCUUGAUCAACCUUUAAUCUUUCCAAAUCUCUUAGUUUGGAUGAUGUGUUGAAGGUAAACAUGAAUGAUCACACAAUCUUCUUCUUCAAGACAUGCUUGCAAUAAGCUCAACACUCACAUGACCAAUCUUUGGAUAAUUCCUUAAUAGCACCUUGGUCAACACAUAAACUCCUUGAAACCAACACAUGGACUUCAAGAAAUCCCUAUGGACAAAUCCUUCAAAUAUAACUCAAUGCAACCAUUAGUCCAUAGAGAAUGUCAUCAAUUACCAAAACCACACAUGGGGGCACCGCAUGUCCUUUCAAAGAGGAGGAAGAAGAGGAAGAGGAAGAAGAUGAAGAAGAAAAAGAAGAAGAAGGAGGAGGAGGAGGAGGAGGAAGAGAAGGAGAAGGAGAAGGAGAAGGANNNNNNNNNNNNNNNNNNNNNNNNNNNNNNNNNNNNNNNNNNNNNNNNNNNNNNNNNNNNNNNNNNNNNNNNNNNNNNNNNNNNNNNNNNNNNNNNNNNNNNNNNNNNNNNNNNNNNNNNNNNNNNNNNNNNNNNNNNNNNNNNNNNNNNNNNNNNNNNNNNNNNNNNNNNNNNNNNNNNNNNNNNNNNNNNNNNNNNNNNNNNNNNNNNNNNNNNNNNNNNNNNNNNNNNNNNNNNNNNNNNNNNNNNNNNNNNNNNNNNNNNNNNNNNNNNNNNNNNNNNNNNNNNNNNNNNNNNNNNNNNNNNNNNNNNNNNNNNNNNNNNNNNNNNNNNNNNNNNNNNNNNNNNNNNNNNNNGAAGAGGAAGAGGAAGAGGAAGAGGAAGAGAAGGAGAAGAGUUGAAUUAAUUGAAUUAGUAAGUGAUUAAUGUUUCGCCUAAUAUGAACAUAGGAAAUGUCGUCUGACGACGAAAAAAAUUUCAUUAUGAUGGUUAUACUUUCAACGUCAAAGUAUACAAUGCACACACGUACACCUAUUUUAAAUGCAAAACUUGGCAAGCACUAUGCAAGGGUUAUGCAUUUGAGCCUGGUAUGGUUAUCACCUUUGAUAUUCGUCCGGAAGAUGAUAUUGAAGGUAAUAGAGACAUAUGGGUCGAUGUGCAGACGCCUCCAGUUCUACCAUUAUGUGAGUUCUUCUCAACUAUAUUUUUGUCUUUGAUAUUGCUUAUUCAUAAAUAACUGACAACUAAUUUCUAUUGACAGCUUAUCUCCAUUCAACCAAAUAUGUCUGGCGCUUGGUAGACAGGACCUACUACUGUCCUGGAGCUGAACUAAACUGCGAGAAGAUAAGUCAUUAUGUUUCAUGGCUUGAGGAUCCUCAUACUGUCAAGACGAAUUUUCUUCCUGCACUUAGAAAUGUUAGUACUCAAAACGUGCGAUCAAUAGUGAUGGUAUUGAACUACGGUCACAUCUAUUUAGGAAUGAUGGUAAGAUAUUUACUAUUUGUCUUCAGUGCAUAUUUUGCAUACAUAAUUUUUUUGCUAAACUUUCAUUGCUAAGUAUAUUGAUUAAGUACUAUACAAUGUUCUUCAACAGGGACUCCCGAUGACAGUUGUGCCUCAGGGGAUCAAGACUAAAGGUCAGAUGUCAAUUGUUAGCUUACGGCCAAGAUAUCCUGCAUUGCGCAUGAAUGCAUUUAGGAUUUCUAGAAGCGAUGAAUGCUUAAUAGUGAAAGAUUGGAGGAAAAUUAUUAAUGAUCGCAGAGAAGUACUAGGGGGCAGCAAUGAGAAGCGCAGCCCACGAUUAGGAGACAGGUUCAUCGGCAUGCUCCAAUAUGAUCAAUCAGGAGAGCUAUACAUGUUCUAUGCUAUUUUACCAAAGAGAGAGUAGCUAGCAGGAGUGAUUUAGCUAGUUCUUCAUGCUGCUCUUAAUUAGUACUUGUCCUUUCAUGUCCGUGUUCUUCGUUCUGAACUUAAGUGAUUUGCUUUUGUGGUGUUAUAUAUGAACGCUUAUAAUAUCAUGACAAUCAUGUUGAACUCGAUCGAUAAUAUUUUUGCUUCUGGUACAAGUGAAUGUUUCUUCUUUAAGCUAGUAGUGCUGGUGGUGAUCAGAUAGCUAGUUAAUUAUUAUAUCAUUUAAUGAAAGAAACCGCAGAUUAGUUUUAGGUGGAUGGAUCCUACCUAAGUGAUCAAGUAUAUGCCAUAUCCGUAUAUAUUAUAGUUGAUCAAGUAUAAUAUGGAUAUGGAUAUGGCAUAUACUCUAGUAGAGAUAUCCAAUAAUGCAUCCAAUCGAAACUAAUCAGCGGUACUUUCACCUAAUGAUUUAACAACUCAUUAUAAUGUAAAGCAAUCACUAAAUUAAAUUGAAAACACAAAAUUAAAGAAAAAUUAAAAAACACCUAAACAUUUAAUACUGGUUGGUGUUACCAACCGGUACUAAUGCCCUCCAUGCAAACGGGCCUGGCUCGUGCCACGUGGUGGCACUUUAGCGCCGGUUCAUGACGAACCGGUACUAAAGGGAGGGGACCUUUAGUCCCCACUCUUUAGUGCCGGUUGGCCAACCGGCACUAAAGCCCGUUACGAACCGGCACUAAAUGCCGGUUCUGCACUAGUGCACCCAUCUCCGGAUCAGCCUCCCCAGCCUCCGUCGUGCACGUAUUCGGCCCCUGCAAGCUUCAACCGCCGCCGACGUUCUGCAUCAAGCAGCCCCAAAACGAGAGCAACGCAGGGUUCUUUUUAUAAAAACGAAACGUUUUCUCAGAAAUAUCCACUUAAAAAAGUACUGCGGGUUCAACUACCAAAAAACACAAGGGCUUUUUUGUAAAAGAUGCGCGACGGUGAACCCGACAGACUCAAUCCGUGCUUUAUUAUUAGGGAGAGAUAAUGAUAUUUCAAAAUAUAAAGAAAAGUUUGAAAGAAACAAAGAUCUAAAGGAAGCGAACAAAGCAGCGUCACACGCAGCUACGUUUCUUAGGCCGGCCCAUUUACUGCGAUGUUGUAGGCAGGCUUGAGUUAAACUUGCAGUAAGCGAGACACAAAUCACUUUCAACUGAACAUGAGGGUGUUGGGCAACGAAGCAAUGCGGCAUUCAGAGAUACAAUUGAUGUUUGCAUGUUACUAGAUAUGGGCUAUACUGGUCGGUUUUGGACUUUCGAGAAGGUCACCGGAGGCACAUACACACGUUGCAGAUUGGACAGGGCAUUGGUCAACACGGAUUGGAUGGCGAGGUUUCCCUUAGCAGCUGUUACACAUGAAAUAGCAGCUACUUCAGACCACUCGGCCCUGCUGGUCGACUUGGGACGACAGAAGAAGCAACAUGCAAAACCUGAGUUCAGAUAUGAGAUUAUGUGGGAAACACAUGAGGGACUCCAUGACGCCCUAGUGAAUGGGUGGGAUGGGGAAGCGCCAUUUUUGACAGUCGAGGACAUGCGCCACAAGCUCAGAAACUUGGCUACAGGACUAAGCAGAUGGAGUAACAACACCUUUGGUAAUGUGAAGAAGGAGAUUAAACUUCUAAAAACAAAGCUUGAUGAGCUGCGUGGUGACCCGCUUAGAACCAGACCCUCACAUGUGGAGCUCAAGAUCAAUGAGCGUUUAAUUGAGAUGUACCACAUGGAGGAAAUAAUGUGGUGCCAACGAGAAAGGAUCCAGUGGUUGUCAGCGGGCGAUAAGAAUACCUGAUUCUUUCAUCUUCAUGCUAGCUUGCGGCGGAAAAAUAAUAUGAUUAAGGUACUGCAAAAUUCCUUGGGAGCAAUUGUUGUUGACCCGGAUGAGUUGAGGGCAAUGGCGAAUAGUUUUUAUCAAACUUUGUAUUCGUCGGAGGGAGUUGAGAAUAUGGAAGCAGUGCUAGAUCAUGUGCCCAGGAAGGUAACAGAGGAAAUGAAUGAGCUCCUUAAUGCUAAUUACACAUCUGAGGAGGUUAAAGUAGCUUUAUUCCAAAUGUUCCCAACGAAAGCUCCUGGCCCAGACGGAUUCCUGCUCAUUUUUAUCAACGCAACUGGGAUAUUUGCGGUGAAGAUGUAACAAGAAUUGUAUUAAGGAUAGUAUGUGGUGAGGAAAGCCCAGAAGGCAUUAAUGACACAGUUUUGGUUCUAAUCCCAAAGGUAAUGAGUCCUUCUCAGUUGUCUCAAUUCAGACUCAUAAGUCUUUGUAACGUGCUCUACAAAAUUGCAUCCAAGGUAGUGGCCAACAGACUCAAGAUUAUUUUGCCUGAUAUUAUAUCUGAGGAACAGUCUGCUUUCGUGCCUAGAAGGCUUAUCACAGAUAACAUCAUAUGUGCUUAUGAGUGUUUGCAUUUUAUGAAGAGAACACGGUCAAGAUCAAAUAGCUUCUGUGCUUUGAAACUGGACAUGAUGAAAGCCUAUGACAGAUUGGAGUGGCCUUAUUUGAAAGGCAUCGUGGCCAAAUUGGGUUUCUCUUAACAGUGGAUUGACACAGUAAUGGGCAUGGUUUCAUCAGUGUCUUUUUCUGUCCUCUUCAACGGGGAGAAACUUGAAUCCUUUAAACCAACAAGGGGUAUCCGACAGGGAGAUCCAAUCUCCCCAUACUUAUUCCUAAUUGCAGCAGAGGGCCUUCCGUGCCUCCUGAAAUCCAGUUCUCGGUCAUCAAUUGCAGGUAUUAAGGUGGCUCCAACGGCUCCCACCAUUAACCACCUUUUAUUUGCAGAUGACAGCCUGCUGCUUUUUAAGGCUAAUGUGGAGGGGUCAGAUGAAGUGUCAAACCUGCCUAAUACUUAUUGUGGAGCAUUGGGACAGAGGAUAAAUCAUGAGAAGUCUUCCAUCUUGUUUAGCAAGGGUUGUCCAGAUUCCAUCAAGGAAGAGGUGAAGAAUUCUUUACACGUUCAAAAUGAAUCGUUGAAUGAGCGUUACCUGGGUAUGCCAACUGAUGUAGGCCAGUCGAAGAAUGGUACUUUCAAAUACUUGCGAGACCGGGUAUGGGAAAAGAUCAAAGGAUGGAUGGAGAAAUUACUCUCAGCAGUGGGGAAGGAAGUUUUAAUUAAGUCGGUUGCACAAGCGAUUCCUGUUUUUUCAAUGUCCUGUUUUCGUUUGCCAAGGGGUUUAUGUGAGAGCAUCACAUCCAUAAUCCGCCAAUUCUGGUGGGGAAGCAAACAUGGUAAGAGGAAACCUAGUUGGGUUGCUUGAGAUAUGAUGACCAGGCCUAAGCAUCUGGGUGGUCUCGGUUUCCGUGAUUUGGAGAUUUUCAAUUUAUCACUCCUGGCGAGACAAGCAUGGAGGCUUAUGACAGAUGAGGCCUCGCUUAGCGCAAAGGUGUUAAAAGCUGUAUAUUUCCCUCGGUGCUCUCUCUUGGAAGCUAAGUUGGGUUCCCAUCCCUCCCAAAUAUGGCGUGCGGUGUUGGAUGAAAGGGACAUUGUAGCACAAGGAGUGAUCCGAAGAAUUGGUAAUGGGGCUUCGACACAUAUAUGGCAGCACAAUUGGAUUCCUCGAGAUAACUUCAAAAGGCCGAUUACAUCACUUAUCCCUAAUCCGCGAGUAAUGGUGUCGGACCUGAUUGAUGCUAUGUCGGCUCAAUGGAAGGAAGACUUGAUACGAUCUGUUUUCAGUCCUUUUGACGCAGAAGAGAUCCUCAAGUACCGUUGUGUACGAGGAAUAUCACGGACUUUUGGGCAUGGCAUGAAGAGAAACGGGGUCUUUUCACAGUAUGUUCUGCCUAUCAUAUGAUACUGAGAACAAAGCUUAGUAGGGAAGGUUGGCUACAUGAGGAAGAAGGUACGUCAAAUACCCAAGAGAGUAAGCAGUGGAGUGCAAUAUGGCAUAUACAAGUACCUUCGAAGUUGAGAAUGUUUGUUUGGCGACUAGCCAGGUAGUCGAUGCCCACAAGUGAGGUCCUUAACCACCGCCAUAUGGCUGAUGAAGAUACAUGUCACUUAUGCGGAGCCACAGAUACAUGGAGACACGCGCGGCUCAAUUGCUCAAUGUCGAGAAGUAUCUAGGCCUUAGCUCCUGUUGAGUUCGCUGGGCUUUUUGCUCUACAUGAAGUGUUGGAGGCUGAAGAGUUUAAUCGCCUGGUAGUGACAGCAUGGGCGAUUUGGAGUGCCAGGAGAAAGGCGAUCUACGAAGACAUUUUCCAGUCUCCCUACGCUACAAACGGCUUCAUACUGAGUUAUAUAGCAGAAUUACAACAGAUCAACAGGAGGGAUCAAGGCCAAUUACUAUUUCUGCGCCAAGACCAACUCGAUGGUUGCCUCCGGUCCAGGGGUGUGUCAAAGUGAACGUGGAUGCAACGGUCUCGAGAGGAGGAAGGUAUGGCGCGGUUGGUGCUAUCUGUAGAGACCAAACCGGCCCGUUUCUUGGAGCUUCGGCCAUAGUGUACCGGCAUAUCAAUAAUCCUCAAACACUUGAAACCUUGGCCAUUAGGGAAGCUCUAGCGCUGGUGAAUGAUUUGUAUGUUCAAAACAUUCAAGUGGCUUGGUGGAAGACGUAAAGAGCGGGACUUCGGCUGAAUAUGGUGCGGUGAUACAUGAAAUAAUCGAACAUUCUUCUGGUUUUCAACUCUGUAAGAUAGUUCAUGAAUUUAGGAGCUCAAAUUUUGAGGCUCACAACUUAGCGAAGCAUGCUUCAUCUUUCGGGGGUGGCCGUCAUGUUUGGUUAGGUCAUCCUGAAGUUCUUUCUUUCGUCCCUGUAAACAUUGUGACGGGUUAAUAAAAAACUUCGCGAGGUUGUCUCAAAAAAAAAAAACUGAACACCUCUUUGUCCCCCAAAACUGUGGUUAGUGGCGCAGAGUUUGCUGAGAAAAAUGAAUGCACUAGUUGCCUGAGGAACUCUGAGGGUCGUGCAUUAAUCUCUGAGUGUCCGUGCUGAAAGUGCAUCUAUCCUCAUGGCGACAUUCCUUCGGCUGAACUAGGUAACCUUCCCUCACAGUUAUGGCGAGGCGAGUCAUUGUAGGGGGAGAGAUGUUCUCGCCCAGGGCCUUAUUUGUAGGAUUAGCAGUGUUGCUACUAGCUUAAUUUGGAAUAUGGAUCGGUUACCAAGGGAGGUGACACAUGUGACGUGAUUCUUGUUUAUCCAAUGAGCCACAUCAGCUUGUUAGUGAGUUGGUAAAUCAUACUUCGUCCUCGUGGAACAUAAAGUAUAUCCAACGGAAGGAAGGAGAGAUAAACCAGCUGGUCCAUCAGUCAGUGGCAAAGCUUGAGCUGAGCAACAGCUGACCCAAGACACAUGCCUCAGCGCCCAGAACAAAGAAGACAGUGCUGCAUUAGCCAUUUCAGGGGCCUCAACUUUGCGAAUGCAACGGCUGGACCUGUUUGGAGUGCAAAGCUAAGCCGAUCCAUUCAUGCAUUGAUGCAUGCAUGGGGGUUCAAUCAUAAUCAUCAUUGGGCCAAGUGCAAACCCAAGUAACAAGCAAAAUAUAUAGCUGGAAAAUGUACUACAAAAUAAACCAAGAAAACAAAACUAUACGGCCUUGUACAAUGCUAGAUGCUUAGAGAGGUGCUUAUAAAAAUAAACCAGAUUUUUCUGAAGCACCAGUGCCUAUUUCUACAGGAGAGGCGUCUAGUUAAGCGUCUACCCCGUACAAAUAAGCACCGGUGCUUAAGGAAAGCCAGGUUUACUCCUAAGCACCUUGAAUUGUACAAGGCCUACCAAAGCCCAAAGCGAAGGCAAACAACAACAGAAACGAUACUAGAAACAUUAAAAAAAACAGAACAAAGCUGACAAUGACCAGAUGAAAAAUCUUAACAUCAGAGACAGGAAUGCAAGGAUUUCCAUCAAGCCAAUAUAUACAGAUCUGGAAGAUGAAACUGAGGGCCUGUUCGGCUCUCUACCGACUCCGCAGAAUUACAGGAUCUGCGGAGUGCCUACUUUCCAAUUCCGCUGUUUUAGCCCGCAGCUCCGCCAGCUCUGCGGAGCUGACUCCGGAGCGGAGAGAAUCCAAACACCCCCUGAAAAUAAGCAUAUCAAACCAAGGUCUACUGGUAAUUUGUGUAAGAUGGCAAAAAUGAAGCCUGUGUGCCUUGGGCUGUUCAUAUAUGUAACAUUCACUGAUGGCACAAGGGAAAUAGAAACCAAGUGCCAGACACGGGCCCACGAUCAGGAUAUUAAUUGGGUCAAGGUGUAAAUGAAGUUUCGCAAAGAGACAUAGUGGAAAAAAACACAAACAGAUAAGAAAGCAGAAAGAAAAUCAAGAAACAUAGACAAGACAUUUGGUCAUUAAAUGCGGAUGUCGCCUUUACUACAGAAGAACCAACCUGCAUCUGAGAAUGGCAAAUGGAAUGUUUGGCGGUGAGCACAUGCAAAAGAGUUCGAUUCCAUUGAAAAUACCAACAAGGUUGUAUCACAAUAUGACCCUCAGAGUUCAGUUUCAUCACAGGCUAAUGCAGUGGGCUUCAAAGCUGGCACUGGGGCAUGCCUUGGUUCAACAGUAAGAAGAAGAAGAUGAUGAUGAUGAUGAAGAAGAAGACCUUUUGCCAUGGCCCAGAGUCAGUGUCAACGGUUGACCCAAGACACAUACAUGCCUCAGCGCCCAGAACAGAGAAGACAGUGCUGCAUUAACCAUUUUCAGGGGCUUCAACUUUGCGAGUGCAACAGCUGGCCCUGUUUAGAGCUCAAAUCUAAGGCGAUCCAUCCAUGCAUGCAUGAGGGCUCCAUCGUAAUCAUCAUUGGGCCAAGGGCAAAUCCAAGUAACACGCAAAAUAUAUAGCAGUAAAAAUGUACCACCAAAUAAACCAAGAAAACAAAAUUAUAUCAAGAUCGAUCAGAUCAAAUAGCCAAAGCAAAGGCAAGCAAACACAAUAAGGGCAUGAAUACAGGUAGAAUUGCUGUCAGUGCACGGAUGCGCGCGUGUGCACACACACCAUGCUCAGAGAGAUAAGAGAGAGAGAGGCAGGGGGAGGAGGGACCAUGUAAUGUGCCAUCUCUAUAGAAGGCAUUACUAAUUGGUGUAUACAAACAGUAUCAGGACUUCAUGGACAAUUUUGAAGCACAAAUCAUAACCAAAAUACUAGCUUAAAACCACUAAUAAACAUUACAGACAGAAACCAAAUGCAAGCUGGUAAAGGGCUACCGCUUCGAGAUCGGAACUCAAAUGCAAGCUGAUUUACUACAGUGAUCAGUCAUGAUAAAUCAUGAAACAGCAAAGAUUUUCCUCCGCUGAGGUGAAAAGCAAAACAACAAACUCAGACAUGGCACAGGGAUGUGAGUGAUUUUGUGUCAUUGAUUGUGGAUCAAUGAUCCAUCAAGCACAUACCUUUACUCAGAACACUAUAGCCUAAACGUUGGCCAAGAUACCAAGAUAGUGAAGCAAGAGAAGCUAAGCAUGCAUGCCCCAGUGGAUACCUCACGCCCUCACGCCAUGUCUGACACAUUGUGAGGUCCAUUACACCAUUGGGCAUCCACAUGACAGUGUCACACCAUGACAGCACAAUGUGCACCCUGGCUGUUUGGCAAUGAGCACAUGCAAAAGAGGUCGAUUCCAACGAAAAUACCAAAGAGGUUGUAUUACAAUAUGACCCUCAGAUUUCAGCAUCACAGGCUAAUGAAGCGGGCUUCAAAGCUGGCACUGGGGCGUGCCUUGGUGCACCGGUGUAGUACGUGAGGUGCCAGAGAUGUCAACAACUGCAGCGGCAGCAGCAGGAAAAGAAGAAGAAGAAGAGAUAGACCUGCCAUAUGGGCAGCCCCAUCUGUCAGUGGCGGAGCUUGCAUCCGAUCCCCAAACACACACCUCGGCGCCAAGAUCAGAGAAGAGAGCGCUGCAUUAGCCAUUUCAGGAGUUUCAACAAUUGUGACCCUGUUUGGAGCCCAAACCUAUGCCGGUCGAUCCAUCCAUCCAUGCAUGGGGGUUCCAUCGUAAUCAUCAUUGGUCCUAGAGCAAACCCAAGUAACAAGCAAAAAUAUAGUACAGUAGAAAUGCACCGAACAAACUAAGAAAGCAAAUCUAUGCCGAGAUUGAUCAGAUCAAAUAGCCUAAUAAAGCAAAUCAAAGCAAAACGAAAAGAUAGUAGAAACACAAUAAACAAAUUAACAGGACAAAUCUGAACGUGAUCCGAUGAAACAAGCAAAUUCAAAAAAUUGAAGAAGCCAAAUGGCAAUAAUGCAAAAUCUAAACAUAAGAGACAGCAAUGCAAAUGAAAGGGUUCGCAUCAAGAAAAUAUAGAUAGUUCUGGAGGAUGAAACUGAAUAAAUAUAUCAAGCAAAAGUUCAUCAGUAAUUUGUGAUACAAAAAUGAAGCUUGUGCCUUCAGGUGUUCAUAUAUGUAGCAUUCAUUGAUGGCACAAGAGAUGAUCUUCAAUUCACCCAUAAGGGCAUGAACAAAGGUAGAAUUACUGUCAAUGCACGCAUGCACACACACACACACACUCAGAGAGAGAGAGAGAGAGAGAGAGAGAGAGAGGAGUCAUGUGCCAUCUCUACAUAUUAGUUUUCAUCAUUAGGCAACACAUGCUUCUAACCAGUAACCACCAUCCCAAAAAACUCAAACAGAAAUUCUAGUGCGACACAAGUUCACAAUUAGGAUUUUAUUAAAUGGGGUAAGAUGCUAUAUGAGGUUAAACUGGUAAGAAAAGUAACAGAAAGAAAAACAGCAAAGAAAUAAAAGACGUUUGUUAAAUCACUAUUUCUGUAGCAAAAGCAUGCCAUAUUUCCUACAAAAGAGCCAACCUGCAUUCGAAAAUGGCAAAUGAACAGUUUUUGGUAUGAUAAAUUACACAAAAUAAGGUAAAAGAAACGAAAACAAGAAUAUAAAUGUACAAAAAAAUUAACCUGAGAGUGGACUGGUAAAAUCUCUUAAGAGUGUGAUCCUAUGCCAUCAUGUCUAACGACGAGGGAUGGGUGUGGCUGAUUCAGUGCGAUCAGUUAAUUACCUUACCAAAACACUAGCCCAGAUCUUGGCAAAGACAGGCAGGAGCACAUGCAUGGCCCAAAGCACUGCUCCACACAUUGUGAGGUGGUGUUCAACCAUCACGCACUACACAACAGUAUAACACCAUAUGCAAGCAUGGCUGUUUUAUAGUGAGUCCACACAAAAGAGUUCAAUUCAGAUGAAAAUACAGAGAAUUUGUAUUACAACAUGGCCCUCAGAUUUCAGGUUCAUCAUAGGCUAAUGCAGUGGGCUUCAAAGCUGGCAUUGGGCAUGUCUGGGUGGAUCAAUAGAGACCAGGCGAUGGUGGUAGUGGUGACGACGAUGACGUCAGCGGCAGCUGUCUCACCACGGUGACACGUGCGCUGGGAUGAAGAGAAGGAAGAAGGAAGGCCGCCCAUUAGUCAGCGGCGGAGCUUGAGCAAAAGCAACAGCUAACCCAAGCACCACAUGUCUCAGCGUCCAGAACAGAGAAGACUAGCGCUUUAUUAGCCAUCUCAGGGGCUUCAACCUUGUGAAUGCAACAGCUGAUCACAUUUCGAACUCGAACCUGAGCCGAUCCAUCUAUCUACAUAUCCAUCCCCAUAUGGGCCUUUCACCCUAAUCAUCAUCCAACCAAGAUCUAUCAGAACAUAGCAUCAAACAACCGGAAAGCAGGAGAAAAUGAAGAGUAAAAUAGAUGUAGGAGAUGGGGCAUGUAGUGGAGAACUUCAAUCUUCAGACUGCAAGCUGUCGUCAUUGGGCCAACCGGCCAACGGAGAAUCCAAGUAACAAGCGAAACUAGUACAGUAAAAUGCACCAAACAGACUAAGAAAGCAAAUCUAUAACAAGAUCAAUCAGAUCAAACAGCCAAAGUACAGCCAAGCAACAAACAAAAAUAUACUAGGAACAUAAUAAAAAAAAUAACAGAACAAACAUGACAGUGACCAGAUGGAGCAAGCAAAUUCAGAAAAAUGAACAAGCCAAAUGAAAGACUUCCAUCAAGCCAAUUUAUACAUAUCCAAAAUAAAAAUAAAAAUAUCAAACUGAAGUUUGCGAUUAAUUUGUGAUAUCUUUAGGUUUUCAUAUCUGUAGCAUUCAUUGAUGGCACGAGAGACAAUCUUAAAUUCAUCCACAAGAGCAUGAACAAAGGUAGUAGAUCUGUUGUGAAGGCACAAGUUCAAAAUUAGGAUCUUAAAUGGGGUCAGAUGUAACAUGAGGUUAAACUGGUAAGAAAACAGGAAAGAGAAACAGCAAACAUAUAAAAUACGUUUGGUCACUAAAUCUGUAGCAAAGCAUGUCAUAUUUGCUACAAAAGGGCCUGAAACAAAAUAGAGUAGAAGAAACAAAAUCAAAAAUAUAAAUGUACAAAUAUGAUCGUCGGAUGGACUGACACAUCUGUCAGAGUGUGAUCCUAAACAUAUUUAACAUAUGAGGGAUGAGUGUUGGUAAUUCAGCGCCAUCAACUAAUUAUUUUACGAAAACACUAGCCUAGAUCUUGGCGAAGACAGGCAGACAGCGCAUGCACGGCCAGAAGGAGUGCUCCACACAUUGUAAGAUGGCAUUCCAUUUCACCAUUGCACUACAAGACAGUAUAACACCAUGUGUAGAAGCUAUCUGUUUUACAGUGAGCCCGCGGGAAAGAGUUCAAUUCAGAUGAAAAUACCAAGAAUCUGUAUCACAAAUGUCCCUCAGAUUUCAGUUUAAUCGUAGGCUAAUGCAGUGGGCGUCAAAGCUGGCACUGGGGCGUGUCUGGGUGAACCGAAAGAGAAGCAGGGCCAUGAAGAAGACGACGAUGAGGCAGAGGAGGAGAGGUAGACCUCAACAAGGGCCGGCCCAUAGGUCAGUGGCAGAGCUUCAGCGGAAGCAACAGGCAGCGGAAGCACUAGCCAUUUCAGGGGCUUCAACCUCGCGAAAGCAAUGGCUGAUCCACAUCCCCGCAUUGGUGUUCCAACCUAAUCAUCAUUGGGCCAAUCAAAGGGAAAAUCCGUACAGCAAGCGAAAAAUAUAGUACACUACAAAUCACUGAGCAACCUACGGAAGGAAAUCUAUACCUAGAUCGAUCAGAACAAAGCAUCAAACCACCGGAAAGCCGGAGGAAUCUAAGGGGGAAAUAGCCGUGGGAGACGGGGCAUGCCGUGGAAAACAUCCCACUGGAGCGGAGAAAAAUGUACCAAAUAAACCAAGAAAACAAAUUUAUACCAAGAUUGAUCAGAUCAAAUAGCCAACGCAGAGGCAAGCAACAAACAGAAAGACACUAGAACCAUAAUAAACAAAUUAACACGACAAACCUGAUCAUUGUCAGAUGAAACAAGCAAAUUCAAAAAACUGAAUAAGCCAAAUGACAAUACGGCAAAAUCUAAGCAUAGGAGACAGGAACGCAGAAGAAGGGUUUCCAUCAAGCUAGUAUUGAUAGAUCUGGAAGAUGAAACUAAAAAUAAAUAAAUCAAACAAAAGUUGACCGGUAAUUUGUGUAAGAUGUCAAAAAUGAAGCAUGUGCCUUCAGUUCUUCAUAUAUGUAGCAUCUAUUAAUGGCAGCACAAGAGGUGAUCUUAAAUUCAGCCACAAGGGCAUGAACAAAGGUAAAUCUGCUGCCAACACACGUGCAGACAGACAGACAGACAGAGAGAGAGAGAGAGAGAGGGAGAGAGAGAGAUCAUGUCAUGCGCCAUAUCAACAUAUUAGUUUUCAUCAUUGGGCAAUACACGCUAGAAAGCUCUAGUUCUAACCAGCAUCGAAAAGACCAAAACAAAACCAACACGAAAUAGUCAAAAUAGAAAUUUUAGCACAAAGCCAAGUUCACAAUUAGGAUCAGAAAUAGCGUAAGAUGGAACAUGAGGUUAAACUGGUAAGAAAACAGAAAGAAAAGCAGCAAACAUAUAAAAGACGUUUGGUCACUAAAUCUGUAGCAAAGCAUGUCAUAUUUGCUACAAAGGAGCCAACCUGCAUUCAAGGACUACAAAUGAUGACACAUGACACAAAAUAGAGUAAAAGAAACGAAAUAAAAAAUAUAUAGAUGUACGAAAAUGAUCCUCAGAUAGCAAGUAACAUCUGUCAGAGCAUGGUCCUAUGCAUCAUAUCUAACACAUGAGGGGUUAGUUGGUGAUUCAGUGCCAUCAAUUAAUUAUCUAACCAGAAGAUUAGCCUAGAUCUCGACGAAGACAGGCAGGCAGCGCAUGCAUGGCCGGAAGGAGUGUUUCACACAUGUGGCAUGACAUUCCGUUCCACUAAUUCACACUACACGAGUGUUACAGUGCGACCAUGCAAAAGAGUUCGGUUCAGCUGAAAAUACCAAGAAUUCUGUAUCACAACAUGGCCCUCAGAUUUCAGGUUCAUCAUAGGCUAAUGCAUCAGGCUCCAAAGCUGGCACUGGACGUGUCUGGGUGAACCAGAAGAGGCGAGCCCAUGGCAUGGUCCUAUGUUAUGUGCCAUCUCUACAUAUUAGUUUUCAUCAUUGGGCAAUACUUCUAACCACCAUCCAAAAGACUAAUCUUGGUGUAUAGAACCGGUAGAGAAUUCUGAAGCACAAAUCAUAACCAAAAUAGUACUAAUUUAUUUAAAACCACUAAUAAACAUUACAGAGUGAAACCAACAAUGCUUUGGCCACUUCAAAACCUUCACCCUUGUAAAGGGCUACCACUUCAAGAUUGGAACUCAAAUGCAAGCUGAUUUACAACAGUGAUCACUCGUGAUAAAUCAUGAAACACCAAAGAUUUUCCUCUGCUGAGGUGAAAAGCAAAACAAGCUAAGAAGGUACUACAAAGUAAUGAAAAAUCAACAGAGAAAACUUAAUCAUAAUCAGAUGAAACCACAGCAAAUGCACAAAAAUGAUGAAACAAAGCAAAAAUGAUGCAAAAACUGAACAUAAGAGAGAAGACGGAUCUGGAAAGAUGAAACUGAAAGUAAAUAUAUCCAUGCAAAAUUUUCCAGUAAUUAGUAAGGUAUGAAAAAGAAACAUCAUGCCCUCAGGUGCCAUAGAUGUAGCAUUCAUUGGUGGCACAAGAUAUGAUCUCCCUUACGUCCAUAAGGCAUGUGAAAGAUUAAACUGGUAUGAACUGCUGCUGCUGCUGCAUCCGCCAUUACGCAUCCAUGCAGAGAGAGAGAGAGAGAGGAGAUCUCUACAUUUUCUGUUUUCAUCGUUGAGCAAUCCGUUAUGUCCAUUAUAGAAGCCAACACUUCUAUUAUUCAAUCCAGCAUCCAGAACAAAAUUAAUGAUCACGAUUCUGUCAAAAUAGAAAUUAAGUGCAAGCCACGUCCCACGAUCGGGAUAUUAAUUGGCUCAAGGUGUAAAUGAGGUUUCACAAAGAGACAUAGUAAAACCACAAACAGAUAAGAAAGCAAAAAGAAAAUCAAGAAAUGUAGACAAGACAUUUGGUCAUUAAAUGCAGAAGUCGCGUUUACUACAGAAGAACCAACCUGCAUCUGAGAAUGGCAAAUGGAAAGUUUGGCAGUGAGCACAUGCAAAAGAGUUCGAUUCCAUGGAAAAUACCAACAAGGUUGUCUUACAAUAUGACCCUCAGAUUUCAGUUUCAUCACAGGCUAAUGCAGCCGGCUUCAAAGCUGGCACUGGGGCAUGCCUUGGUUCACCGGUAAGAAGAAGAAGAAGAAGAAGACCUUUUGCCAGCCCAGGGUCAGUGCCAAAGCUUCAGCAGAAGCAAUGGUUGAAGUCAGCAGAAGCAAGGGUUGACCCAAGACACAUGCCUCAGCGCCCAGAACGGGAGAAGACAGUGCUGCAUUAGCCAUUUUCAGGGGCUUCAACUUUGCGAAUGCAACAGCUGGCCCUGUUUGGAGCUCAAAUCUAAGCCGAUCCAUACAUGCAUUGAUGAGGGCUCCAUCGUAAUCAUCUUUGGGCCAAGGGAAAAUCCAAGUAACACGCAAAAAACAUAGCAGUAAAACUGUACCACCAAAUAAACCAAGAAAAACUAUAUCAAGAUUGAUCAGAUCAAAUAGCCAAAGCGAAGGCAAGCAACAAACAAAAGAUACUAGAAACACAAUAAACAAAGUAACAGAACAAACCUGACCUUGACCAGACGAAACAAGCAAAUUCACAAAGCUGAAGAAGCCAAAUGGCGAUAAUGCAAAAUUUAUGCAUAAAAGACAGGAAUGCAAAUGAAGGAUUUCCAUCAAGCCAGUAUAUACAGAUCAGGAAGAUGAAACUGAAAAUAAAUAUGACAAACACAAGUUUACUGGUAAUUUGUGUAAAAUGGCAAAAAUCAAGCCUGUGCCUUCAGUUGUUCAUAUACUCCCUCUAUUUCUAAAUAUAGCCCUUCUAGAGAUUUCAAAGUGAACUACAUAUGGAUGUAUAUAGACGUAUUUUAGAGUGUAGAUUCACUCAUUUUGCUCCGUAUGUAGUCCAUGUUGGAAUCUCUAAAAGGGCCUAUAUUUAGGAACGGAGAGAGUAUGUAGCAUUCACUGAUAGCACAAGGAAUGAUCUUAAAUUCAUCCAUAAUGUUAGAUCUGCUGUCAGCACACGCACGCACACAUGCGUGCGUGCUCGGAGAGAGAGAGUACCACCAUCCAAAAGACCAAAACAAAACCAUCAUGAAAUAGUCAAAAUAAAAAUUUUAGCGCAAAGCCACAAGUUCACAAUUAGGAUCAGAAAUGGCGUAAGAUGUAACAUGAGGUUAAACUGGUAAGGAAACAGAAAGAAAAGCAGGAAACAUAUGAAAGGCGUUUGGUCACCAAAUCUGUAGCAAAGCAUGUCAUUUGCUACAAAGGAGCCAACCUGCAUUCAAGAAUGGCAAAUGAUGACACGUGACACAAAAUAGAGUAAAAGAAACGAAAUAAAAAAAUGUACGACAAUGAUCCUCAGAUAGACUAGUAACAUCUGUCAGAGCAUGGUCCUAUGCAUCAUAAUUCAUAUCUAACACAUGAGGGAUGAGUUGGUGAUUCAGUGCCAUCAAUUAAUUAUCUAACCAAAAGAUUAGCCUAGAUCUUGGCGAAGACAGGCAGGCAGCGCAUGCAUGGCCGCAAGGAGUGUUCCACACAUGUGGCAUGGCAUCCCAUUCCACCAUUUCACACUACACGACGGUAUAACACAAUGUGCAGAAGCCGUCUCUUUUACAGUGUGACCAAGCAAAAGAGUUGGGUUCGGAUGAAAAUACCGAGAAUUCUGUAUCACAACAUGGCCCUCAGAUUUCAGGUUCAUCGUCAUGGGCUAAUGCAGCGGGCUCCAAAGCCGGCACUGGGGCGUAUCUGGGCGAACCGAAAGAGGAGGCGAGGCCAUGGCAAAGGUGCGACGACAAGGAAGAGGAGAAGGAAGCAGAGGUAGACCUCAACAAGGGCAGGCCCAUAGGUCAGUGGCAGAGCUUGAGCGGAAGCAACGGCUGACCCGGACACAUGCCCCGGCGCCCAGAACAGAGAAGCCAGCGCCGCAUUAGCCAUUUCAGCGGCUUCAACCUUGCAACGCACCGGCUGGUCCCUUUUCGAGCUCAGAUCUGAGCCGAUCUAUCUAUCUAUCCAUCCAUCCACAUCCCCGCAUUGGGGUUAAAACCUAAUCAUCAUCGGGCAAAGCCAAGGGGAAAUCCGUGCAGCAAGCGAAAACAUAUACAGUAUAGUACACUACAAAUUGACCAGGCAAGCUAUGAAAGUAAAUCUACCCCGAGAUCGACCGGAACAAAGCAUCAAACCACCGGAGGGCCGAAGGAAUUGAAGCGGGAAAUAGACGUAGGAGACGGGGCAAUGCGGCGGAGAACUUCCCACCGAAGCGAAGGGGCCGAUGCCGGCGGCGGCCGAGCAGAUCCGGAG